CUUGGUUCUGGCGUUCAUAUAAAUAAAAGAGACAAACAUGUAUGAUUUACAACUCUAGAUUAACCAACCCAACUGAUUCAACAUGUUUAGUCCUUUAAUCCUUGUUCUUAGUACUACCUCCAUGAUCCCACACUCCUAAUCAUUUGAGCUAAAAUAUUACACAUUCAAUCAUUGAGAGAUAUAAAGAAAAAGACAUAUACAUAGAUAGAUUAUCUUUCCAUAAGGUUGAGCGAUCUGAUCUGACAAAUGUCAUAAGUGCUACACUCAUGAACUUUUCAUCCAUCAACUUUGUCUUGCUCACUAUGCUUAGGGUUAGAGAAGAAUAAAUACACUUUAGUUUCUGUUGGUGUUUUCCACCAACAAGACCCAUGCACUUGAUCUCUACCUUGUCUCUAUGAGCAGGUACACUUUGAGCAAAACACGGAGGAGUUUUAUAACUCUCAGACUCUACCAAGUGAAGGACCUGGAUCUACGAGCACAAACACACUGAGCAGGAUACUGCCAACGUCGCACUUCGAACUGCUGGGCAAACGAAGAACGUGGGUGACACCGUAUCAAGAGGUGCAGACGUCAAGGUCCGCACCUGAAUCAAAUGACGCACCUGAAGAAUGAACACGGUGAGAAGUCUUGUCAAGAAGACUUAAAACAUUGAACCCUCGCCGAAAGGUAAGAUCAGUAGUUAUCCAUAUUUAUCCCUUCUGAAUUCUCUUUUCCCUUUAAUUAUUUACUUUCCUUAAAUAGAUUAUUAGUUAAUCAUGCUAUCUUGAAAAGAAAAUAAAAAUGUUAAAAAAUACUAAGCCCCAUGUGAGUAUACGAGUGACAUAAAACCCAUAAGUACCUUCACUGUGGUGGCAUAAAAAUAAAAUAAAUAUUUCUUUUCUGCUUUAUAAAAUAAAAAUAUAAAAACAGGGAGUAAUAUUUAUCGAGGAAGCUCAACAUGAUGAAGGCUAGAUAUUUAUGCUAACACUUAAUUAGUUCCACAAGCUUUGUUGUCUAUUUGAGCUCCACAGAAUUUAAGAAUCAAGAAGGCUAGCAGAUGGAAGACAUUCUAAUCGCUGUCAGAAUGUUGCUGACUUUCAAAUACACCUCUGCCACCAGCUAGCUACAUCAAGAGAAAUUACGUCAAAAUUCAGCUUGGGGGAGAGCACCCUCAUUUAUCUCGCUAAGUAUUUCUACCUAUCUUUAUACUUAUAUUAUAUUAGAAUAUUAAAAUACAUAAACUAUGAAAAACCAAAUAACGAUUUUGUGCUUAUAUAUAUAUAUAUAUAUCUUUUGCUUAGUGUGUUUAAUAAAUAAAUAAAGUGGCUAUGCUAAUCUGAAUCUUAAUAAUAAAACUCUAGCAUGGAUAUGAUGAAUAGUUGCUCUGCCAUGACUAGUUCUCAAAAAUUGAAUUCUCUCUCAAGUUUAGGCAUGACUGUUAUGAAUUAAGAUUUGCUCUAAACCUGAACUUGUGGGAAGAGUACUUGAUCUAAAGUCUAAGUCGUUAACGGAUAUGAUAUGGGAUGGUUGAGUUGCUAUUUAUCUGUUCCUAGAGAUGCUAGAAAUCUAGAGAAUUUUAUCUUUGAAAAUCUUUAAACUGUUGCAUGAUGAGUUCCUGUAUGAUGGGAGUUUAAAAUCCUACCACAGCCAUAUAUAUACAUGCUUAUUAGACUAUGAACCAUACAUUUACUUUUUACUGCUUAUGAGCAUUGAGUGUGGUCCAGCUGUGUAGACCCUUAGGAGCUUAUCAUAUGGUUAAAUCAAGAUCCACUUGCACGUUCACUCAUACAUGCUGCUACUACUCUGGAAGUACGCAUCCACAUACAUCCACUCAUUUCCAUCUCCAGAUUCACCCAAAAAUAUUCUACUCCUAAUCUGGGAGAGAAUAGCCAAAAAUAUUUCUGUUUUCCCUUGUGAAAUAAAUGCUCAAGUUAUCUUGCUGCUACCACUUGCUAUAUUAUCUCAAGAGAUGAGUGCUCUGAAAAGAAAAAAAAAGAGAGAAAAGAGAAGAAAAAAAUUAAUAAAAAAAUAAUAAAAAAACGAGGAAAUAAAAAGGGGCAAGUGCCCGGAACCUCGAAAGAAAGAAAAAGUGAGACGAGAGGUAAAAAUGGACAAGUGUCCGACAAUAGAAUUAGGGGUACAAGAUACCCACCUGAGAGGAAAGAAAAAGAAAAGCAUCUCAUUCUCCUCAUAAAGUUUCAAAAAGCAAGGAAGGUAUGUAUCCCCUCAAAAGAGCAAAAGUAGAAUUAGACUUUCACCAUUGUUAUCACCAUCAUCACCAUACACCAUUCAUUCGCCACACAUGCACAUCUUGAUUUGGCUUAUUGAUUUGUUUCUUUGGAUCCAUGGUUUGACUAUACAAUAAAUGUCUUGUAAGUAUGUAUACUUUAUCUCCCACCUAUGAGCUCCAGAUAUUAAAGCCUUAUUAGAGUAGGGUGAGAGGGAAGGCAAUGUCACUAUGCCUUAUACCACAAAUACCACAUAUCUUGAGAGAAGGCAUAUAACAUCACUGCCUUGGUAAGGAUCCAGAAAUACCACAAAAGAGAGAUUUAGAGAGUCAUACAAGGAAUCUCUGAGUUUUAUUUGAAAAUCUGCAAAAACUCCAGAGCUAUAGCUGAUCAAGAAUAAGAGACAUGGCACUUGGCUAGACUGUUCUAUCAUUUAACUACUCAAGACAGAAGUGACGGUUACAAGUCCCAUGGUGAAAGGUAAAGUAAGUAAGUUUUAGUUCUUGACAGUUUACUCUAACUCAUAGAUGAGAUCUUAUUUAAAAGCAUGUGUACCGUCAAAUUUUUAAGAUAUUGCAACAAGUUCUGGUCCAUUGCUGAGUCUAUCCUUGCUCAGGGAUGAGUAAGAGGUAAGCUUGGGGGAGUUUGUUGACGGUCCUUAAGUACCAAAUAUAAUCGUCAAAUAAACAAAGAAAAGGAUCCAAAUGAAAUCAACAUCUAGACUUAGGGUUUUAUCUGACAGAAUUCCACAAGUUUCGGUGUUUGUCUAUUUCUGCAGGGGGUUAUCAGGAAAUACGGAAGAAAGGCCCACACGUCAGGAUUACAUAGAGAUAUCAACGUGCCGCGCAAUUAUCUUACAUCUAGAAGACUCCAGAAGCCACGGGAAGGAAGCGGAGGCCGAACGGGGCCAGAGGCAGGGCGCCCGCCCUCCUUCCCUGGGCGCCCGCCCUCCUGCCGAGCCCAAUCAGGACUCUCUUUCGGGACGAUGUUCCACCGACCUAAAGGAUCAAGAAUAACCGUUCAAUCAAUGUCGGUUUGAUCCGACGGCCCAGGUUCACUUGAGGGGACUAUAUAACCAGACCCCCUGGCCCCUGGAAGAGGCACCCCUUGAUCAUUAUUCAUUAUUCAUCGACAGAGCAAAAGCUAGGGUUUAGAGAUGAGAGCUCUCCUCUCUUCUCUAAACUAUUGUAGAUCUAGAUAGUAGCGAGAUGGAGAGCGAGGGGGGAUUGGAGGAGAGGCCGGCCUGUCGGUUCUUCCUCCGGUUGUACUUCGUCAUGAUCAAGCUCUAAUCAAGCUUGCUCGUGGGAUGACUCUGGUAAUCUACUUCUAAUUCAUUAUGCAAUUACUAAUUAUGUAUGUUCUGGUUCACAACUCUUUUAAGUAUUCUAAUCUAUAGGACGCUAUAGGUGAGAGUUGUAGUAUAGGUGUAAGCGAGGUGCUUAGAUCUAGAUUACUUGUGGAUAUCCCCUGUCUAGCUGGAUCGUGUGGUAGGCCGCGUAGGUGACAGUUACGUUGGUCCUCUAUAGUCCACCUCUCGUUAGCAGGACGGGUAGGGUUUAUUGGCCUAAGGAUAAGCAUCCUUUGUGGUGUACUCUUAUCACAUGGUUCGUCCCAGACAUAGACAUACCCCUUUGAAAUAGAGAAACCAUAGUUAUUCUCUCUAUUCUGCUACCGUCGCCCAUAUACUAGAAUUGCUCUAUUCUCUAUUCCCAUAUUAUCACUCACUGUUAUCUUACCUUUAAUAUUGUUCUUAUUUGAUUCUACCAUCUUUCCUAUUUACACUUAUUUACUUAUCUUGGUUAAGUUAGAGCGUAGAUUAGUUCUCCCGUUUUCCUGUGGAUACGAUAAACCUUUAACCGGGUAAAAGCUAUAACGGUAUCCGUGCGCUUCCGGAUUAUCUGUGUGCGUAUAAAUACCAUAGUACACUCUAGUGCCAUGCUGGGGAUGACAACCUAGUAUUCAAGUGGUGUUAGCAAGUGUCAACAAUUAGCAAUCAUCAAUAUUGAUUACAGAAUAGAAUAUGAGAUUGAGUAUCUAUCAUUGCAUGUAUAAUUGAGAACAUAUAUCUAACUCAUGCAUACAGGGAUAAGUGUCACAUAAAAGAUAUAUGAAAUAAUAAAUAGUGACAAAGAUAAUUGAUCUGAUCAGCCACAUAUAAAUAUGAUAAGCACCUCAAUUAGAUACUCUAGAAAGUCAUUAGCAUGGUAUUAGAACGACGUACAUGAAUAUUCCCUAAGUUAUUCUCAACUAUAUAGUCUAGCAUUACCAUAGUUAGUGCAAGCAUACUUAGCAAUCAUUGCGAGACAAGACUACGCCCAUGCAUAGUGAUAUUAGCAAGGUAAAUGAGAAACAUAGCAAUCACUCCCCUGUAAUAAUAUUGCUCUGCCAGCCCAACACACGAGAGGGGGACUAUAUAAGAAUCAAUGAAGUUGUCACUAUCACGAACUUGCCCACGAUCUGGCAUAUUGGGUACAAUCGUAGAUAAAUACGGUAUAAGCACCACGCCUACACAAUAUCUAUCAUUUACCCAUGGAUCCAAUGGUUAAACGCUAUACGAUCCUAAGCAUGUAUAUAGAUCCAAUCUAACUAAGCCAAGUACAUAACUAUGAUAAACUAAGAACAAUAUAAUCUUGAAUAUAAACAAGUAGAGCAAAGUCAUAAGCAAUAUAUUGAAGUAGAACAAAGUCAUUUCAUAAUAUUGAAGAACAAAGAUGAUUAGAAAGCAAUUAGAAGCACAAUUAGAGAAUUACCAAGAAUCCUCUUGACAGAUCCGGAAACCAAUCGAAGAUUGACUCCUUCUACUUCUAAUCCUAUGUAGCUAUGCUAAUCUAGAUGUCUAAUUGAUGUGGUGGCUCUAAUCUUGAUCAGAGGCUUCUUCUCCCUUGAGAAUAAUGCAUUAGGGUUGAGAGGCUCUCUCCUCCAGGGGCCAGGGGGUCUGGUUUUAUAGUCUCUUCAAGUGAAUAUGGGCCGUUGGAUCAAACCGACUUAGAUUGAACGGUUAUCCUUGAUCCUUUAGGUCGGUGGAGAUCUCCCACGAAGCAGAGUCCAGAUUGGACUCCAAAGGUGGGCGGGCGCCCAGGGGAACAGGGCGGGCGCCCUGCCUCUGGCCCCGUUUCGCCUCCGCUUCGGUCUCGUGGCUUCUGGAGUCUUCUAGAUGUAAGAUAAUUGCGCGGCUUGUUAAUAUCUCUAUGUAAUCCCGACGUGUGGGCCUUUCUCCGUAUUUCCUGAUAACCCCCUGCAGAAAUAGACAAACACCAAAACUCGUGGAAUUCUGUCAGAUAAAACCCUAAGUCUAGAUGUUGAUUUCAUUUGGAUCCUUUUCUUUAUUUAUUUGAUAAUUAAAUUUGAUACUUAAGGACCGUCAACACUAGGCUAUCCUUAUCCAUUCAAGUCCACUAGUUAUAGUCUCCCUUGGUUUCACCACAUUGGCAUAACAAAGUCUGAUCGGCAGUUGGCCAAAAGCCAGUUGACGAGCUAGUGCCGAUGGGUUAUAGAAUUCAUAAGUGGCGUUGGUGUUCUUCCCACUGCCCAAAAUAUUCACUGGGAUGGCCCUUAGAGUGAUGAUUGCCAUCAUCAAGUCAUUAUCUUUGUUGAGAGCAUCAUCAAAAGGGUGGAAGGUAAGCGAGAACCUAGUUUCUGGAUCUUCAUAAGGCAUCCAUGCCCACUAUCUUUGGGAAGACCAUCAUAGAGAGUCUGAAAGAAUCGGCUGACCUGGUCUUCAAUGCCACCAGUGCCGGGUAGAACUAUAGUAGCCUCACCAUAGUUCAGGGGUGGGCGAGUUGCCGAUUCUUCGUCAGCCAGUUCAUGGCCUUCGGCGAUAUCUCUGGGGAAUCAUUGUGCAAAGAGGUCGAACUGGAGGCGUUUGUGCAUGUGAACAUUAAGCCACAUGUUGAUAAACCACCAAGGGCCUGCUAGGUUGCCGAUGGGUUCACCUAACAGGAGCUUCUCAGCCACUUGAUGGAGGAGGUGAUAAGCAGAACCUAGCAAGUAUCGACCAAGAGGGAAUUGGCCACCAUCGGCUAAUUUCUCUACUACCGAUAGAUAAACAGAAGUUGGUCCUACCGAUCGGCCACAGAAGACAAAUUUAUCUAGCCACAUGUUCAGAAAGAUGGCGUGUCCUCUUUGCCCAACUGGUCCCAUUUUCUGGUACUUCUGGAUAUACCCUGACCAGCCGCCGAUGUUGCGGGUUUCUACUUUACGUUCAGCCAUGCUAUCGAACAGGUGACUAUCAUCGGCAGUUGCUAUUUCCAAACCGGUGAGCAUGAGUACAUUGGCAAGGGUAGGAGAAGCAGGGCCAUGGCCAAACAAGAAAGCAUUGAGUGUGUCUGACUAGAAAUACGAGGCCACUAUCAGUAGUGAUUCAUUUCUUUCCAUAUCGGCAAUGGAUAUCCUGAUGCACUGGUCUAGUUUACGCUCACUCCAUUGGACUUCAUUUGAGUUGCUAACUCUCAAGAACCAAUCCUUCCAUCCCUUAGUAGAACUGGGCCAGGAUCGGAAGGUAUCUUUCCACAGAUCUAAAGAGAAGUUCUCAGCUCUAAAGGGGAUCCUAUUUGUUUCCGCAUUGAUCAGAUCGGUAGGAUCCGGAUUACCCAACGGACGGAGGCAUUGAAAGUGUGGUUGCUCGGUAGGAAUAACAAUUUUCUCGGCCAAUUCCUAAAGGUUUGAAGGUUGGAAGAAUAGAAAAAGGAAGAAGAAAGAAAAUACUAAGUAAAUAACUGUGUAAAAGGUGGAAAGUACGGCAAAGAAAAGAAAGAUGGUACUAGGUUGACCUCAUGGACGAUGUAGUUGAUAGCCAUUUCUUCCCAAGGGAGAAAAGGAUCGAAGACUUGAAGAACCAAUGGGGAAGAUCAUCGCUGGAAGUUCUUGGGCUCUUCAACGAUGCCGCCGCUAGAAGGAUGGGUUUGGAGGAUGCAGAAUGACAAGAUGGAGGAAAAGUACCAAGGAAGGAAGUAUUUAUAGGGUAAAGUGAGCAGGGGCAUUUCUGACUUAUCUCUUUUUCGUAUCCGUAAAAAUCGAGGGUGUUCAGGUGGAUAUGGUAACUGUUCGUACGGUAAUCAAGGGAUUGUGCAGGUGAUUUGACAGCAAGCGGUCAUAGUUUUGGGAGAUAUUUUACUGUGUAAGAUCUCCUAGUCUAACGGAAAAGUUGCCGAUGAGUGAAUAUUUAGGGAGAUUCGGUUUGAGAAGUUGAGGGAUUCGAGGUAUAUGCUAGAAAUCCGGGCUGAGGUUGUUUGGAUUUGGUAAUAAAUUACUGUCAGAGAGAAAUUACUGCAGAAAGGGCAUCAUUAUUAGAGAGAAUUUCAGAGCAUUAAUGAUUUUAUACUCUGAAAUUAGGGGGCAUGUGUUGACACCGUUUUUAGACACGUAUCUCUAGACGCGUAUCUAGGAUUUAAUGAAAUAUACAUCGGCAUGCGAAAAGGUUAUGAUUUGUUAGCAGAGGAGCUGCCGAUGAAGUUAUGAUGCCGAUGGCAGAAUAGCAGAAUAUGACUAAGUCCAGGAAUGGUGAUUGAUCUGUGCCGAUGGCUGGCAUUAAUGGUUGCCGAUGCCGAUGGAAGGUGAUUUGCCGAUGAUAGCAGAAGAAGGCACAGAUGAUGACGGUGUGCUGAUCGCCUAUGGUGGAUAGAUUAAUGUUUUCCAUAGUUGUUAGAGUUUGUUUUACGUACGGAUUCCGUUCGAUUUGGAAUUAGAGUCCUAGUCGUGUCUGGUUGUAACCUUUUUGGGCACGGUAUAAAUGUAGACCCCGUAGCAAUGCAAGAAUAUACACAAUAAAUCAAACACAAGUUUUUACUUCUAUUCCAGCAUCUACUUUUCCAUGACUUCGUCAAUUUGCAUAUUUUCCUAUUACUUACGAGUUCUUAGGAAUUCAUCGAGUCAAACUCGGCGAGUUCUCAUGUUCCGCAUGAAUACCUCUUGGCCGUGGCAUCCGGGCGUAUCGCUGUUGUCGGAACCAAAGUAUUUGAGUUAUCACCUUUGUCGAUUGUAAGGUCAAAUCGGCUGACACGCCUUAACAUCAAAUCGGGUAUUAGCCCUUUGUGUUUGCAGAUCUACUUUUGCAUCAACAGUAAGAUCUAAACUUGUCUAUAGUAAAGACAAUAGCCAAGACUUCUUUUUCUGUGGUAGCAUAGUUGAGCUAAGGUCCAGACAAGGUUUUGCUAGCAUAAGAUAUGGCAUAGUGCUUUUUAUCUUUGGUUUGGCCUAAGACGGCUCCAACCGCAAAAUCACUAGCAUCACACAUGAUCUCAAAAGGAAGCUUCCAAUUAGGUGGUUGGAUAAUUGGAGCUGAGAUGAGUGCUUUUUUAAUAAUUUGGAAAGCUGUAUGGCACUCGUCAUUAAAGAUGAAAGGUGAGUCUUUAGCAAGGAGACUAGUCAGGGGUCUAGCUAUUUGAGAAAAAUCUUUGAUGAAGCACCUAUAGAACCCUGCAUGUCUAAGAAAACUGCAGAUGCCUUUCACAUUUGUGGGAGGUGGAAGUUGUUCAAUAACUUCAAUCUUGGCUCUAUCCACCUCUAUCCCACGUUUGGACACCUCGUGCCCUAGCACUAUUCCUUCUCAGACCAUAAAGUUGCAUUCCCCCACUUUAGGAUUAAGUGCUUUUCUUCACACCAUUGUAAGACUUUGUCCAAAUUCUCUAAACAAUCAUUGAAGGUUUUGCCAUAGACGGUAAAAUCAUCCAUGAAUACCUCUAUGGUUUUCUCAAUCAUAUCGGAGAAAAUAGACAUCAUGAACCGUUGAAAAGAAGCUAGAGCAUUACAUAGCCCGAACGACAUUUGUCAGUAUGCGUAAGUUCCAUAGGGGUAUGUGAAAGUAGUCUUACUCUGGUCAUCAGGGUGGAUUGGGAUUUGAUGAUAUCCGGAAUACCCAUCAAGGAAACAAAUGAACGAGUGAUUUGUGAGCUGUUCGAACAUUUCAUCAUUGAAGGGUAAUGGGAAGUGAUCUUUCGUUGUGGCCUUGUUGAGUUUUUAGUAGUCAAUGCACAUACACCACUCGGUGACAGUUCAUUGAGGGAUGAGUUCGUUUAAGGACCUCUUCUUUAACAACUUCUUUGGUACCUCCUUUCUUUGGUACAACUUGUACCGGGCUAACCCACUCACUGUGAAGAAUAGGAUAAAUAAUCCCAGCGUGUAAAAGCUUAAGGACCUCUUUUUUAACAACUUCUCGCAUGGCAUGGUUAAGCCUUCGUUGUGGCUCCCGUGAAGGUGUGCAAUCAGCAUCAAUAGGGAUGCGAUAAGUGUAGAGAACAGGGCUAAUGCCUAUGAGGUCUUUGAGUGAGUAGCCGAUAGCUAGUUUGUGUCUUUCUGAGAAAGUGACAAGUUUAUGGGUUUCUUCUUGGGAAAGCUUGAUACUGAUGAUCACUCGGGUUUCUCGAUUAUUGUUGAGAUAGACAUACUUUAGGCCAGGAGCGAGAGGUUUUAGCUCAAUUGAAGGAACACGUGGUUGCUCACUUUUGUCUAGUUCAAUGGGCUCUACUAACUCUUCCUCUUCUUGAAUAAAGUGUUCAUCAUCAAGGAUUGGUUGGGCCAUGUUUUCUAGAGAUUCCAUUAAAACCUCUUCAAUAGAUACUUGCUCGUAUUUGGGUUCCACUAUUGUGUUGAUAGAACGGGCAAGAGGAAUAUUUAUAGUGGAAUUCCCAACCUUAAAGUCCAAAUGACCUUGUAAAGGUUUUUCCUGUAAGAGUCUCAUGAUUGGUCUGCCAAUCAAGAGAGUAAUCUCCAAGGUGUCGUAUAUGUGAAAAUCUAGGCAUAUCUCGGAGUUGUUAAUUUUGAUAGGAAUAAUCCUUAAUACCCCAUUGCUCUCAAGAAUAGUUCCCAAAGAGGUUUGGAAAUGCCUUUCUGAUGGGGUUAAGGAUGUGUUGGGGUAAAGGCUAUUAGCUAAUGUCUUUGAAAUAAGGUUUAUCCCAACAAUUGGACUAUAGUGUAUUUUCAGAGUAGACCUUCAAUUUUGGCACUAGAGAAUGGUUGUGGGAUCGGUGAUUCGAGCUACCUCAGGAGAUAACUCAGCUUCCGUAAGCCAUUCAUAACUCAUGAUUGAUGAGAGGCUUCUAAUUUGUUCUGUGAUAACAGAGCCUUCAUGUGGAUCAGAGGGGGUAGUGUGAGCCUGAGGUCUUGGUUGGAUAGGCAAAAUUGAGGUAUUUCCAUAAUCUUCAAAGAUAUUUUUCCUCGAAUUCAAAUGUAAUCUCUAAAGGAGAAUCAUCAUCCUCUAGUUUUGUUUGUGUUCCCUUUUUAUGGGGUUUUUCAACAACCAAUUCAUGAGAUGAAUUAGGUGGAGUUUCUAAUUCGGUUGCUGAAAGGUCCAAAUGGCUAGAGGGCGGGGGGGGGGGGUGAAUAGCAUAUUUAAAAUUCUCGACAAACUCAACUAGACAAGUUGAUUAGUAAAACAAAUGGAAAAGCUAUUCUUGCACUAGCUCAACUAAUCUAUGCAAGCCACCUAAACUAGUCUAGCAAGAAGGCUAAACACUAAUUCACAACAGCAAAGCACAACUAAAGUUAACUAUACUCCUAUUGUAAGAAGACUAAGCUACACAAGCUAUACAACAAGUAAGAUGUGCAAGAAACUAAUGGAGUGUGAUUGUUAUACCAACAUUGUAGAGAAGAGACAUAUCCAAUCAAUUACUCACAAUCAUAAUCAAAGGAGAAUCCUCGGCAAGACAUGACACAAGUUUUUUUACCGAGGUUCAAUUGCUUCCCGGCAAGCUAGUCGUUGUUGUGGCGAUACACCCACUUGACGGAUUACGAGCUAAUUGGCAAUCCAAAGCCAAACCCUCAGCGGGUGCCGCAUAUCCACUCACAAGAUGGGGAUCCUCCAAGCCACAAGCAAUCUACUAGAGUAGCCAAUUGCGAUCUCCCACGGGGAAGGCUCAAGAACCCCUCACAAAUCACUUGGUGAGGCUCGAUACAAUCUCCAAUCACGAACUCAACACCAUCGCUGCUCCAAGCCAUCUAGGGCAUUGGGAAACACCCAAGAGUAACAAGAAAUCCGUAGCAAACUCAAGGAUCAAGUGCCACUAGAUGCAACUCUCAAUGCAAUGCACUUGAAUCUCACUCAAUCUCACUAAGAUUAGCAAUCAAGCAAGGAGAUGAGUGGAAGGAGUGUUCUCUAGCUCAAUGUAUGCCUCAAGUAAUCAAAUGUGCAAGAGUAAGCCUCCCAAAUCUGGCCACCUUCUAUUUAUAAGCCCCCUCAACAAAAGAGCUGUUGGCCACUUUCACUGGGCUGAAACCGGGGGCACUAGACGCUCAGCACGGUACCACCGGACGCGCCAACCCUAUGUCCAGUGCCUAGAUGAUAGCCACGUGUCGACUUUUGAACCUUCGCACAAUAAUCUCUAACGGCUACAUCUGGUACUCACCUGACCCGUGUGCUGUCACACCCUAGUUUUUAAAAGAAAACCAGAGUCAUCAUAUGGGUGCCUAGGAAGUCCACACAUACAACAAAAGAAUAGAGAUAUCAGAAACAAUGUUACAUAUAGCGGAAAACAUAUUUAUAAUAACACUUACAACUAUCAGAGUAUGCGGAAAUAGUUGGUAAACUUCUUGGGCUCCAUUCUUCUCAGGGACGGUUGACUGGGGGCUCCGUACGCCAAGCACUUCUGAUAAGCUUCUAAAAAACUUCAUGACAUCUUUAUCCUUCUUCUGAGCAACACUUUACUACACACUGGGGUGUGGGGGAAAUAGCAAGGGUGAUUUCAGGUCGAACUCAACAAGUACAGGCAGAAAGUAUAAUGACAUGCAAGGCUUAAUCAAAGAAAAAGCUAACACUGUUUAAUUGCAGGUGAGCUUUUUAGUUGGUAAACUUUUAUUACAAUUCUAUUAUUAAAACAACCUAUUACUAAACAUGAGUAAAGCAUCCCGACCCUUAAUUAGAUUAAAGUAAAUUAACAAUAUUAUUAAUCAUUAGUAUAAUUAAUAUUAUUAUUAAGAUUACUGAGGUAGCAACCUUGGAUAGUAACGCAGGGUAGCAACCCCAUUAAGGUCAUGGGAUAUCAAUACCAAUUAAGAACACAGCAUAGCAAUCCUGCUAACAUGGAAUAGCCAUUCCACCAAAGAACGAGGUAUCAACCUCAACCUAGUUCCGCCUCCAAGUUCCAUGUGAUUCCAAUUUGCGCAUCAUGUGAGAGUUUGGGCCGCUCGUGACCUUGAGCACGGCUGAUUUAUUAGUUUUACACUCUGCAGAGGUGUGCACUUUCACUCCAAGUCGUGAUUCCCAUUCGUCUGGGGUUGUGACUCCCCAAAACACUACUAAGGUGAGCAGGCAGGGUUUCACUAUGAGACUUUUCACAGGGUCCAACUGAUAGGAUGCCACUCAUAAGUUUUGGCCAGGGCGUGCGGUAGCCGUGCCCAUAGCAAUAGGACCCCGAACUGACCGACCUCUUAAUAUGAAUACCCAAGCUACUUCCUUACACCUUCCCAGAAAGUAACACCCUACCAGCAGAGGUCAUGAUAAUUAGUCAAGCCAGAGCCAUAUAGCUUGGAGCUAUACUGUAUGUCCUAGGGGGCCGCUCAAUGACUAAGAUCUUACGGAGAGGAGAGACGGGUACGCCCGGCAACCGGGCCAACCAACGGUACCCGGUCCCCCUUUCCUCAACAAACCUUGAUGCUCGCAAGCACCGCAACAUCUCCAUCACCGAAGUGACCAUUGUUCAUCAUUUAAACAUUAAUCAUCAUUGAAGAAUUCAUUAGGCAAGAUUAUUUACUUUCAUUUAUUAUACGGAAUAGAUGAGCAGAGUAGCUAAGAAUAUCUACUGUUCACUAUACUACCCAUGUAUAAAAUCUAGGAGUACAAGGAAUAUAGUAGAAGACUAGUCAGGUCCUUAGGGUUUGCAGUAUUAAGACACAUGCAAUAAAAGUAAAUGUAUUUAAAGUUCAUAGGUACAAUAUGAUCAAAGGGUGUCUGCACUUGCCUUUAUUCCCAGUGUACAACUACUCAGAAUUCUUUAGCUUCUUUCUCCUGAUCUCUAACUUCUGCUUCGACUGUCGGUCCUCAGCUCCUGGUCUUCGGCGCUAACAAAUAUGCUUCUUCUACUCAUAGCAAACAAGCAACACAAACAGAAAAACAAACAAUCACAACUAAGAACCAAUGGCAAUCAAAAGAAAAGCUUAGAAAGAGUGCACUAAAUGACCUGACUUGUUGCUACGAUCGUGACAACGCAAGAACGGGUGAGAAGGAGCUAUCGUUAAAUGAACACGAUUAUCAAGGUUGGCAACAUAACGGAGAAGAUAGACUACACGUUGGUUGUAUUUUAUUUAAUAAAAAGAAGGUGAUAGACUUUUUUCAAAGAAACAUCUCAAAGUUGUAAUUGACCAAAUUGUAAAGAAUUAUAAAGGCUGGAGUUAAAGUUUAGUCAUAAUCUAAUUACAAACAAUUCUACAUCAUAUAAGUCACUUUACUACUUAUAAUUAGAAAACGAGGAAUUUGUGACCUAUGUUAUACCAGGUAUUUAUGUAACGAGGCUAAACUUUAGUCAUAUCUUAUUUAUAAACAUUUAAUAUUAUUUAUAUCACUUUAUCAUUUAUAGUUAGAAAACAAGGAAUUUGUGACAUAAGUUAAAUAGAGCAUUUAUGAAAAGAGGUUAGACUAAGUAAGUCAUACUUGAAAAGACAAUUCACAUUGACAUUAAUCAUAUUAAUAUUUGUUUAAGAAAAACUAAAGUUAUAAACCUAAAUUACUUAUAUAGAUUAGAAAGGCAUUUAAUUAGAUAUUAGUCAUUUUAUAUUUAUGGUGAAAAUGUAAAGUGUCAAACAUGGCAGAUGUCAUGGAUAACGCGUAGUUUACGUCGAUGGUAACCUAACACGACAUGAACGGGCUCAAUCUGAGUUAAAACGCGGAUUCUAUGGCCAAAACUAGGUCAGUGGCAAAACUGGGAAUAAACAGAACUAAUUUUCAUAUUUUAAAUAAUUAAAAACUACAUUUUAAAAGCUUAAAGGACUAAAUAAAUAAAUAUUAAUGGUGCCAAGGUCCUAACUGCUAAAAAUAGGGCCUAAAUCUAGUUAUUUCUGAACUACUCAGGACUGCGGGUUAAUUUAAAAAACCACAGGGGCUUUUUCGCAAGAUGGCCAGGGGCGGCGCGCGUGGGGGUGGUGCUCGGUGUGGCCGGCCACGUGGCGGCUCGGGACUAGCCGGUCUACGGUGGACCGGAUGCAGUCGUGGGGGUGCACCGGUCCAUGGUGGACCGGGCCGUUGCGCGGCGGCGCUGGGGGCCUGGCCAGCCGCGGCAGCGCGCUGCGCGUGGGCAGCGGCGCCAUGGCCGGUGCCGGCGAGUUGGUAGCGGCGGUGCUACGGGGCACUACAGGCCGCGAUGUGUGCACGGGCGCGUAGCGUGUGAUGCGGCAAGCUCAGUGCGCGCGAUGGCAGGGGCUAGAUGCGGCCGAGCGGCGCGGGCCACGUGGCGAUGCGUGACGAUGGCGGUGGCUCUUCUCUGGCGAGCCCGUGUGCACAGAAGGGAGGGAGAGAGAUCAAUCCGAGAGCACCUAUGCGUUCAUCACACUUUCACAAGUUCAGAGAGCGUCUCACCUUGGCGGAUGAGGCAGCGGUGGGGCGAGCUCAUCGACGGCCGGCUUCGGGGAUGGAGGGGCGGGGCAUCAAGCUCGGUCUAGGGCUUCUUGGCGGUGUUUGGAGGCGACUAGGGUUCCUAGAGAGGUGUGCGGCGGCUGCAGGGUGCCCUUAUAUAGGUGGAGGCGAACCUCGGUUCACGUGUGCACGAAAAACAGGGCGGCGACAUUAUCCGCAUCCGAGUCGGGCGGGAGGUUAGGGGUGACCUCCCCCUGACGGGUGGGCCUCGCUAGUCGGUCGCAAAGCACGGGCGUAAGGGGGGCGUGGAGCUGGGCCGCAGGGUUGGGCUCGGCCUGCUGGCCUACGGUGGUGCGGGGUGGGCCGUGGCCCAUGCGGGCGAUUGCAUCGCGAGGGGAGGUGCUCAGCCAUGGGGAGAGGGAGCCGGCCGAGAAAGAAGAGACGACUUUUUUCUUUUCUUUUUCUUUUUGUAAAACAGAAAUUCUAAACUAUUUUGCCAACCAAUUUCCAAACUAUUUUCAAAUCAUAUUUCAAAAUAAAUAUGAGUCAAUACUUAGGGAUUAUUUUGGAAUUUGCUUUUUAGACUAUUUUGAAAUCUAAAUAUAUUUUAGUCUAAACACACUUCUAAAUUGUCUUCCAACUUGAAUUUGAAUUAGUUUUCAAAUAGGACUUUUGGAGUUUUGUUUUCCAAAAACCAAUAGGACCUAAACGCGACUCGCUAGAAAUUUUGAAAUUCAUUUUUCUCCACAAGCCAAACAAAGCUAGGGCACAAAGCACACAAUAACAAAACAAAACACCCUUCACUUAUCUUUAUAAAAGAUUUAAAAUUCCACAUUUUUCUCUCUUUUUGAAUUCAAUAAUUAAAUGAAUCUUGAAAUAUUUUAGAAAAAAUUUAAAUCCUUAUUUAACUUAGUUCUUUCUAAUAACAAUCCAAAAUUAGAAAUUUUGGAGUGUUAUAUGCGCAGAGAGGAUCGCAAAGACGCUCGAUCACCGGACUCAUGCGCAGAGAGGGUUGCAAAACCCCCUCACACCAGACACACACCGCCGGACGCACUCAGAGCGUCUGGUGCUCUCAGUCACACACCCUCUGCUUAAGUCAGGCCACACCGGACGCAUGAGUAGGGAACAACCUACGUCCAGUGCUCAACCCUAACAGGGCCAAACACUAACAGCACACUAGACGCUCAGGCCAGUGUCCGGUGCCUCCGCGCACUUCGUCCGGUGCACUCCCGCGACUUCUGCAAAUUUCCCACCGGCGCAAUAGAAAAUAUACACUUAAUUUUCUCAAAAGCGCCGAAUCCCUCUCAACCCGAGGAACUCAAACCUCCUUUGCAAAUGUGCUAACACCAACAAGUGUUCACCACCAAAGUGCAUGUGUGUUAGCUUUUCACAAACAUUCUCAAUGGCGUUAGGUUAGCACUUUACUAGAUCCUAAUGCAUAUGCUCAAGAUGUGGACCUAGUAGCACUUGAUUAGAGAGAUGACCAUGAUUUCCCCUCUUGAUAGUAGGCUAUCAAUCCUAAAUUCGGUCAGUCACUUCUCUACUCAACUAACACCGGCAAAAGCAAAAACCUAUGUUUAUACCUUUGCCUUGUUCACUUUACUCUUUGUUUAUCACCAUGAUCUCCACUUCAUGCUUCAUCUCUUUGUGAUUAUGUGGCCACCUUUCCAUGCCACCUUGCUCCUUCAUCACAUGUGUUGCUAUGCCUAACUCAAAUCAUUUAAACACAAGGCAUUAGCAACUUGGUGUCAUUAAUUACCAAAAUCAAACUUGGGAUUUUAGUUGCUAGUGUUUCCUCUUUUGGCUCGGGCUUAUCUCAACUUGUUCUUCAGGGAAUUCAUCAUAGACGCCAGUGUUUGUGGUGUUUUCUAGAAUUUUGUCAAGGAUUGCUUUCCCCUCACUAACAGUUUUAUGUGAAAAGGACCCUCGAGAAAAACGACAGCUUCUUUGCUAAGGCCAUAGUGAAAGUGUUGUAACAGGACAUGUUUAGGCAUAGACAAAUCUGGGCCAGAUGCAAUUAAAUUUGAAAAUCUUGCCCAAGGUGCUCCUAAGGUUUCCUUCUCUUUUUGUUGGAAAGUGAGAAUUUAAAGACGAAGAGGGAUAAUCUGGGAAAUAGGAAAGAAAGAGAGACAAAAUUUAUCUCGAAGUUUCUUCCAAUAUCCCUCUACACUCCUAACAGUAUUAGCAUACCAUUAUUUUGCCCUUUCAGAAAGAGAGAAUGGAAAUAAUUUCCAUUUUAAGGUCUCAUGAUUCACGCCAGAAAUAUUCAGACAAGAACACAGUUGCUCAAAUUCUCGGAGGUGAAUGUAUGGAUUUUUGUCUUUUUUUCUAGAGAAGGUUUGUUCCCGAACCAUGGCUAUAAAAGCAGGGCAAAUAUGAAAGUCAUCUAUAAGUAUAGGAUGUGAUGAUGGUGGAGGCUCUAAUAAUUCACCCUUUAGAGCGAAAAAUUGGUAGAUGGUUGUGGAAUCCAUGUAGGGGUAAAGGUAAUGGUAAAAAAGGAAAAAUGAUAAACAAACGAACUUGGUCGAAACUAGCACAGCUACCGUUCCCUGGCAACGGCGCCAGAAAGCUUGUUGGAAUCUUAAAUGCAAAUAGAGAAAUCCGCAAGCGCAUGGAUACCGAUGUAGCUUUCACCCGGGAGUAUUCCACAGUACCGAUUUUCCACAAGGAUCGUGAUGUGUACUAAUUAAGGUUCAACAUCAUCCAACAAUAAAGGUGAAAGUAUUUUAGUGGGUAGAGAGGAUGUUUCUAAGGUUUCUCUAUGGAUCUAUAAAUCGAAUUAACUUUAAAUUCUACUUAUUUCGGGACAUCAGAGCACUUAGCCACAGAUAGAUGAGAAGGGGGCUAGGACAGUCUAGCUAUGGUCCUACAACACCAAUCCAAACGUGGUGGAAUACGUCGGCCAUCAGGGAUGUCACCACCUAGGGCUACCACAACUAUCCGUAGAACUGUGUGUAAUUCUAGGUAAUAUAUAGACUAAGCACCACACAUAACCUUUUAAUUACUACUCUAGCAUUGCAAAGACUAGAGCACUUGAUGCAAGCGAGAAACUAAUAAAUGAACUUAAAGUACUAAGAUUAAGUAAAUAAAGAACUAAUAUGUGCUGAAUGAUGAACCAGAUACUGCAAAAGUACAAUGUCAAGGAAGAUCAGACAGAUUCGGCUCCUCCUUCGCUCUCUACCUCUUCUGAUUACAACUAGAUGAACUAGAACUUGAACUAGAAAAACUAGAACUAGAUGAACUAGAGGGACACUACAAACCCUAAUUUGUGUAUAGAAUAUGAGGCACUGGGUGUAGAAUGCCUCAUGGGGGUGCCUUGGGCAUCAUUAUAUAGGAUGAGGUGGAGUAGGGGGCAAGGAAAUGCCACGUUAGCGAUCCGCGUCUUCAUCUUGUGUGCACCAUCGGAUCAAACUGACUUAAAAUCGACAGAGGGUUACUUUGCUUGGCUUCCUAGGAGGUGUAGGAGGAAGACUCCAGAAGGCGGCGGCCAUCAGGUGAAAUAGGGCACCGACCGGCCCUAGGGUGGGGCCGGCCGGCCCCACCUUCUCUCCUUUGCGGGUCUUGUUCCUUCGGGUGACUUCUAGACCCUUCCUGAGCCUGAUGACGAUAUUUUCUGCCGUGGAUAAGUUUUGUGAUAAUUAUGCACUCUAAUCCUUCUUUUACGCUUUUAUGGAAUAAUCCUUGGGAAAUACGAAACAUGCAAAACUCAUGGAAAUUGUUAGUUAAAACCCUAGACUAGUGGGAAUUCAUGUAUCCUUUCAUGUCUAAAGUUCUAAUAAAAGUUGACGUUAUCCAUCGUCAACAGCUGAUCAUUUGUCUUGGAUGUAUUUUAAAGAACCUCAAGAAUUACCUAUUAAUGAGUCAUUAAGAGAUGACUUGCUAUUUAAAGUGACCAAGAAAGAUCCUUGGUACGCAAAUAUUGUCAACUUUAUGGUUGCAGGAUACGUACCACUAGGAGAAAAUAAGAAGAGUAUCAUUUAUGAAAGUCUUCUCCACAUAUGGGAUCCACUUUACCCUUUUUGGGUAUGCUCAGAUGGGUUUCUUAGAAGAUGUGUACCAGUGGAGGAAGGCAUGUAGAUCAUUCAAAGUGUCAUGCAUCACCAUAUGGAGGUCAUUAUGGGGUAUUCUGUACUCAUGCAAAAAUUUGGUAGACUGGCUUAUUUUGGCCAACCAUGUAUGAAGACACCAAAGUUUUCAUUCCAAGAUGUGGGUCAUGUCAGAGGCACGGAAAUAUCAAUAAUAGAGAUGCUAUGUCACUCACCAAAAAUCUUAGAAAAGAACUCUUUGAUGUCUGGGGAAUUGAUUACAUGGGACCAUUUGUGAAAUCAUGGAAUUAUGAGUACAUUUUGGUGGCAGUUUACUAUGUAUCCAAGUGGGUAGAAGCCAUGCCAUGCAAGAAGGCUGAUUGAAGACACUCAAAGAAGAUGUUUGAAGAGGUUAUAUUUCCGAGGUUUGGAACACCUAGGAUGGUUAUAAGUGAUCGAGGAACACAUUUCACUCAUAAGAAGUUUCACUCAUGCCUACAAGCUCAUGGAAUACGACAUAAUAUCGCUACUCCAUAUCAUCCUUAGACAAGUGGCCAGGCAGAAACAUCAAAUAAACAAAUCAAAAACAUUCUCUAGAAAACAGUAAAUGAGAUGGGAUCUUUAUGCAGGAUCGGUUACCAGAUGCACUAUGGGCAUACCGGACAACUUAUAAAACACCGUUGGGUAUGUCACCAUAUCAUCUGGUAUAUGGUAAGACCUACCAUUUGCCAGUUGAACUAUAACAUAAAGCUCAAUGGGUUAUCAAAAGAUGGAACAUGGAUUUAGAAGCCACUAGAGAGAAAAGAAAAAUGCAAUUAUCAUAACUAGAAGAAUGGGGAGAAAAGGCAUGUCACAAUUCGAAGAUCUACAAAGAACGAAUGAAGAGAUGGCAUGACAAAAGGAUCAAGAAGAAGGAAUUUGCACCAGGAGAUAAAGUAUUACUUUUUAAUUCUAGUUUCAAAUUAUUCGGGCUUGGAAAAUUGAGGAGCAAAUGGGAAGGACCCUUCACCGUCGUGAAUUCAUCACCACACGGAGCGGUAACUUUACAAUCAAGCGAAGGUACGUUAUUGAAGGUAAAUAGACACUAACUUAAACUCUAUUUAGAACCGUUUGAUUCACAAGUAGUUGACGAAAUAGAAUUCAUCCAAUUGCCAGUAUAUUAAGCUCUAUUUAUUCUGGUAUGAAAUUUUAUCCAAAAACAUAUCUAACAGAAAAUAGGAAGAGUCUAAAGGCACCACACAGAAGGGCACCCGAGGUGGGCCCCUGGUGGGGCCGAUCGGCGCCUAUGUGGGGCCGGUCGGUGCCCCCUGCCGCCUCUCAUCCCGACUCUCGUUCUCUGUCUUUCUAGACCAUUCCUCCGAAUAUUUGCGCAUCAUCCAAUCGUAUUCGGAUAUUCUUUUGUACGGAUCCCGUAGAGCCUAGGAUUUGUCCUCAUCCUAUCUCCUAACCCAUAUAAAUACGUAUCUAGACCCCUUAAUAGUAUCCCAUAACCAGCCACCUCUUUCCUCAGAGAAACUCUCUAAUCUAGAACUAUUAGCAAUGGUGGACAAUGCAAUCAUCUCCUACGGCAUGGACUUCAACAACAUCCCAAGCGAUGACUCGAAGGCCCUCGUCCUCGCACAGCCGAAGCCUCUUGCCAUUGUGUCACCGAAUCCUCUCGUCGUUGUGCCACUGAAGCAACUCGCUACGGUGCCCUAGCGUUAUGAGCAAGCCUACUACAUACAAGAUCCAUCUGCUCUACCUCCAACUGCUGCAAGACUACUGCUUGAAGGAGGUACUAAGGGGAAGCAAAUUGUAUCCCAAGGGUACUGCGCUUCUUCCACCUAGAGACAAUGAAUGGCUCUUGUUGGUCCAAACUGACAAGAAAGGGAAGCUGAUAUGUGCCAAGUACACCACUGCUCAUCGUAUUAUCCAAGGAGUGCGCGCAAACCCUAAUAAGGUAUGCUACACUAAGCAUAUCGCACCUAAGCCCAAGCCCAAGAGGAAGAGAGCAACAUCAAUUUUAGCACUGGAAAAAGUUCCCAAUCAGCCAGCUCCUACCCUGCACACCCUCAAUGAGAAGCUUGAAGGCCUCUCCGACAUUGUCAAGAGUAUGGAAGCAUCCAAAAAUUUGAGGGACAAGCUCAUAAAAGACAUGGAUACUCAGUUAGGGAUCAGUUUCAAGUUAAUCUGCAGCCUCAACCGCGAUAAAGACAAGCUUGUAGCAGAUGUUGCACCCUCCAAGAAUUAAUUCAGCGCCUCAACAAUGAAGGGCAGCCUUAGUUGCCCAGUUAUCAUUGAAUAAGGCACAAUUCUGCCAGCUUUGGCUAGUUAGUUAGGUUAGUUGAGUCAUAAAUUUUUUUAGGACAAAAUCCUAAUGAGCUAGGGCAGUCGUUAGCUCAGUCGUUAAAGUGUCUGUUAAAUUAUAUAAUAUCGCCACCAUGAAUAAAGUGUCUUAUCUUUUAUUUAUUGUACUCUCUAUAUUUCUUUUGGUAUGUGUUUGUCUCCACAUAUUGCAUAGAAAAGUAUGCACGAAAACAAGUGUGGGGGAGGCACAUUGUAGUCAUGAAAUGAAAAUUCAAUCGGAAAAAUAGCGUAAUCCAAAACACAAUCGAACCAAGACCGCGCAUGGCUAAGCGGGCCCCACAUUGCCCAAUAGUGGGGCCGGCCGAUGCCCUAGGUGGGGCUGGGUGGCGCCCUGCUCACUCGUCUUCGCUCUCACUUCGGUCACGGUCGGAUUUCAGUUAAUUGUUGACGGUCCUUAAGUACCAAAUAUAAUCAUCAAAUAAAUAAAGAAAAGGAUCCAAAUGCAACCAACACCUAGACUUAGGGUUUUAUCUGACAGAAUUCCAUAAGGUUUGGUGUUUGUCUAUUUCUACAGGGGGUUAUCAGGAAAUACGGAAGAAAGGCCCACACGUCGGGUUUACAUAGAGAUAUUAACGUGCCACGCAAUUUUCUGUCAACUAGAAGACUCCAGAAGCCACGGGAACGAACGGGAAGGCGAACUGGCCCGGGGGCAGGGCGCCCGCCCUCCCCCCUAGCGUGCCCGCCCUGACAUAGAGUCCAAUCAAGACUCGUUUCGGGGAUUACGCUCCACCGACCUAAAGGAUCAAGGAUAACCGUUCAAUCAAUGUCGGUUUGAUCCAACGGCCCAUAUUCACUUGAGAGGACUAUAUAACCAGACCCCCUGGCCCCUGGAGGAGAACAAGUUCAUCAUAGAGUUGAGAGGAGCCCUCGAAGGAAUACCUCUCCUCUAAAUAGACUUAGGGCCUAGCAUCCAAUGUGAGAGUAGAAUUAGUUCUUCUAAGUUCUACUAGAUUGAGAGAGAUAGAGUGGAGGUGUAGAUCGGAGGAAGCCCGACCUAUCGGUGUCUACUCCGAGGUUGUACCUGCGGGAUCAAGUCUUCUAACCCGAGCCUUGCUCCUAGGAUUCUUCAGUAAUUCGACUUCUAAAUUCUAGUAAGUUCUUGUUUUAUUGUUCUUUGGUUUAUGAGUUUACUUUACUCUCUUCUGGUUGAGUUUAGAGUAAUCAUUGCUAGCAUAAACAUGGUGUUUGGGCUAGGGUACUCAUAGAUAUCCCCUGACAAGCUGGACCAUGGUAGUAGCGUGGAACGUGAUAUUUCCGAGUUACCUUUGCAGCCCACAUCUCGUUAGCAGGAUGGGUAGGGUUUAUAGGUGCGGGUCGAACAUCCUUUGUGGUGUCUAGAUUCCGUAAGCUUCCCUAAUAGAAUAGUAGAUCAUCCUUACCAUGGUUAGAACGAGACUACGGUUGGAGUCUUCUCUAUACAUCACUCACAUCGAGAAACAUUCUUUGUAGCCUAAAGGGUAGUAGCAAUAGAUUUGGUUAGUGAGAUGCACGCUUUCUCCCAGUGGUAAAAAUAUAAAUACGAUACUUUGGAUAACGUCCUGAGUGAAGUGCUCACAGAUAUCCGUGCGCUUGUGGAUCAUUUCCAGAUGGCGUUACCAAAUAUCAACAAGCAUUUCUGGCGCGUUGCUGGGGAGAAAGACGGUUUGCUAAGAUAUCUUUAAAUCUUGCUAUUAUCUUGUAUUAUACUUUUAUUCUUUUAUUCUUUUAUCUUUUUAUUUUUUUCAUCUUUAUGGAUAAUUCAAAUUCCAUACCUAUUAUUGAAUUCUUUGCACCUUCGGAGACCAGCCAUAGACCAUGGGAGUCAACAAGUCCUGUCCCUAAUUAUGAUCUGUGUCCGGAGUUGAUUGCAAUAGGUCAAAACCAACCCUUUUCUAUAGCCGAGGUCCUAUCUUUUAAUCAAGAAGAUAAUGAACUUUUAGCUACACCUAGGGAAUCUUUUAAUCUUUCUAUAAAUUUUGGUUUAAACCUAGCCCUACAAUACCAUGUUUUUCCUCGAUAUUUUCACAUUGGUCUUAAUCAUAUAACCUUUGGUAGAGUCUUUCUUUCUAUAUCUAUUAGUAAAGCAAGGUAUGUCUUCAUUUGUCGACAUCCUUCUUGCACUAGUCUUCAUAAAAAAAUCCUAGAGAUAGAGAAGGAAUCAUCUCCCAGACGAGGAAAGGAAGUUUCAAUAACCGAUUUCCAAACAUUUCAAUCCCAUGUUUCGGCUAUCCAACCCAAACUUGUAGUGCUUCAAAAUCAUCUUAGGGAAGAAGAAAUCCUACCUUUGCAAAUUCAUUUUGGGAUGAGCUUAAACUUCCUACUUCAUAAGAGACCUUUGAGUGCAUAUAAUCUAAACCUUCCUAAGAAGGGAUCUCUUAGAAAGCACCUCAAAUCCAGUCCCUUUGAUGGACAUCUAGAAAGACUCAAGGAUGGCAUUUUAAGAGAUGCAAUAGAAGGAGAGCAAAGCCAUUUAGAAAACAAUCUCAUCUUCUCCCCUUCUAUGCCCACUUUUGAUGACUUAUUCGAACCUAUCUUUAAACCCAUCCUUGAGCCUAAUAAUUUCUACUAUGCUCUUUCUCUUGAACCUCUUGAUGAUCCUAUGAAUCUCUCUAGACAUCCCAUGCAUAAGAGUCACCAAGACCACAAGGAGGGUCGAGAAGAACAACAUCAAUGGCUAGAGGGCAUUAAAAAUCCAUAUGCUAUCACCAUUGAAUGGAUGGAUAAAACAAACUUGAGAGACAAUCCUAGAGGAAUUUUAAGCAUUCAUGAAGAAUCAUCCUUGGAGUUUGAGAAUGAGAGAAACAACAGUGAGCAUGGAAUUUAUUUCAUAAAUACCUCACCAAGUCCUUGCUCAUAUAAAACAUCUCCCCAAUCAAUUGGUCUCUCCAACAUCACCGCAUUUGAGAUCUCCAACCCCCUCUAUUUAUAAAAACUUUAAAAGGGAGGUUGUCGAUGCAUAUGUCUAUAAUAAAUAUUGCAGAUCUCGUUGAGUUGAUCUUGAUAUAGGUCAGCGUUAGAGGGGAAACCACUUCGCCGACAUAAAUUGAUGGUUUCCCAAGGACAAGCUUAGUGUCCUAAAACAAGCACUGAUCCGAUCGUAACAUGAACUUCUAAUUAUUUGCAAUAUUGCCUUGUGUAUUGAGCAUAUAAAGAUAAUUGUAGAAAUAUUCCUUCGGGUAUUCUUGUCCACUAACCUUUCCAGGAUUAGAGCAAGAAGAUCGGAUGAAUGACAAGCACACGGUAUGUCCAACCAAUCAUCAUACAACAUUGAAUUAAAUUCAUCCAAACUUGAAUUUUGCAAAAUUCAAGCUUGGGGGAGUACUUUACAUAAAAACAUCAUUUGCCAUGUUGCUAUAUUGGUUGUCCUUACCUUUGAGACAUGCUCAAUUUGUUAAAUACUAAUCACACUACUUUAUAUCCACUUGAGUGGAUCUCUAUAAAUGCUCUCAUGCUACAUUUAUUUGCUUUAGUAUAUGUCUAGGUUUGGAGUAGUUUCAUUUAUCUCUUAAUCAAGCAUGGUGCUUAGUUUAGGAAUGAUGAUCUUACUUCCAAAGGAUUUUUAAAUUAAGCAUGGUGCUUAGGUUAAAAUGGCCUCCUAAAUCAAAUUAGACAUGGUGUCUAGGUUGAUUUUUGAGCUGAUAGUAUGCUAUAGUAGAUAUGAGAUAUUUUGUUGGACUAACCCCUGCAGGAAAACUUUCAAUAUCAACCUGGGAAGUCCUAAGAUACAAACUCACAUUGGAGAUAAAAUGAGACACAUGAAGUUUAACAAUUUGCACAAGAAGGACAUAGCUCAUUCAUCAUAAAGAGAUGAUUCAUGGAGGGUGCCACAAACACGAUGCACAACCGCUAAGAAAGGAAAGCUUCCACAAGGUGAUACUAUACCAUCACUCUUCAAGAAAGGUAACACCUUAAGGUACUUGACUAUCACUUUUAUAAGCUUCUCCUUGGUUCUGGCAUACACAUGAAUAAAAGAGACAAACAUGUAUGAUUUGUAGCUCCAAAUUAACCAACCCAAUUAAUUCAACAUGUUUAGUCCUUUAAUCUUUGUUCUUAGUACUACCUUCAUGAUCCCACACUCCUAAUCAUAUAAGCUAAUAUGUUGCACAUUCAAUCUUUGGAAGAUAUAAACAAAACAUAAACAUAAAUAGAUUAUCUUUCCAUUAGGUUGAGCCAACUGAUCUAACAAAUGCUACACUUAUGAUCCAUCAACUUUGUCUUGCUCACUAUGCUUAAGGUUAGAGAAGAACAAAUACAAUUUUGGUUCUGUUGGUGUUUUCCACCAACAGGACCCAUGCACUUGAUCUCUGCCUUGUCUCUAUGAACAGGUACACUUCGAGCAAAACAUGGAGGAGUUCUACAACUCCCAGACUCCACCAAGUGAAGGACCUGGAUCUACGAGCACAAACACACUGAGCAGGAUAUUGCCAACACCGCACUUCGAUCUGCUGGGCAAACAAAGAACAUAGGUGACUCCGUAUCAAGAGGUCCAGACGUCAAGGUCCACACCCAAUCAAGUGAUGCACCUAAAGGAUGAAGACGGUGAGAAGUCUUGUCCAGAAGACUUAAAACAUUGGAUCCUUGUCGGAGGAGGUCAAGAUCAUUGACUCAAGUCGCCUUUCCUGAUCAAGAAGGACGACCCUGGUGUUCCAAGCAUCGAGUGCACAAUCAAUGGAUACUCUUUUUAGAAGACACUCUACGACACCGGAUCUGACGACAACAUAAUGGCUGCAGUUACUUAUCAGCUCUUGCAUGGAACCAUGCCCCUACAACCAAUAUAUAUUCAGCUCUAGAUGAUUUUCAGGUUAUUGACAUGUGAAAGGAUCUAAACAAUGCCUAGAGGGGGGGUGAAUAGGCGUAUCUAAAAAAUUCUACACAAAACUCAAAGUCACUUGUCAGCAACUGUCGGAAGUCCCGACAGUUUGGGUCAGAACUUCCGACGUUGUCAGAAGUUCCAACGCAAACUGUCAGCAGUUCCGACACCUACGGGAAAAGAACUACAAGUGCUUAAAUGAACUUUGUGAGAUCCACAACUUACAACACCACUCUCUAGUGGUUAGAAGAGGAUGUUGAGAGCCUUCCUUGACACCAAGAGUUCCCCAAACCGUAGAUCGAGACCAAACCCUAAAACGAGGUAGAGGGACAAGCAAAUACAAGUAAUACGAGUAGAACUUAAGAAAAGCAACCACAAGAGACACAAGGAUUUAACCCGAGGUUCGGCAACCCCACUUAGGAGUUCCUACGUCCUCGUUGUUGAGGUGACCACUAAGGUUGGAGUCUCUUUCACCUCCUUGCCUCCCUCAAAGUAACCACAAAGGUCACUUGAGCUUUCCACUAAGAAAAACGGGGUAAUACAAACAUUCCAAGGCUCUUCCACAAGAUGGAAGCUCUUGGACGACGCCUAGCCGGCUAGGGUUCCAAGAACCCAAGAGUAAUAAACUCAAAACCUGCCGGCUUGACGAAGAGAUCAAGUGCUCAAGCUUCUCAAGGCAUUGCUCUCACUUAACCACUCUCCAAUUACUCCAAGUCUAAGGUGAAUCGAAGUUGGGAGCAAAGAGGAGGAGAAGAGGGGAGUCUUGAAAGCUUGGGAGCUGUUUCGCCUGAGGGUUGGUCGCAAAGAAUGAGUGAGUAACGGUUAGAAACACAGAGGGAGCUAUUUAUACUACAGGGAGAAAAGUUUGCUCAGAUCUACGUCGGAAGUUUCGACAUAGUGUCGGGACUUCCGACACUCACUGGGAAACACUGUUGAGCAGGCAGCCGAGGUCAGCGCAGGAAGUCAGUGUCGGAACUUCCGACAUGCGUCGGAACUUCCGACGGGUCAACACUGCUGACGCUGGCCGGAACUGUUGGCACUCGCGCGGGACAGGCCCGGCGUCAGGACUUCCGACGCGUGCGCGCGCAGAACUCAACGUCGGGACUUCCGACUCACGUCGGGACUUCCGACGCUCACAGUUCUCGCGCAGCACAUCGGGAGUUCCGACCCGCGUCGGGACUUCCGACACCAGAAGUCACAGAAGUUAAUCCUAAGUGCAAGAGAGGUGCUAGAGUGUCUCUAAAAAGAUUUAGUUGAAAGACUUGAGCACUCUAUCUUCCCCAAACCAACAACCUUUGAAUCCCUCUUGAUAGUACGGCAUAUAUAUCCCCAAGUUAACAUAAAAACGAAUAAGCUCUAGAUUGAAUCCAACGCCUUUCUCACGAACGAAGAUUGGGGGAUACCAUUUCAUCUUAAGUCGAACCUUUGCAUAUUUCAUGAGAAUAGUAGCUGUAACAAAUCUCAAAUACAACGCAUUAGUCCCUAAAUUGGAUGUCAUCAAUACACCAAAACCCACAAAGGGGGCAAAUGCACUUUCAACAUGGGAGAAGACGAGUAUGAUCCACCCACCAUCCUUGGGAGACUGUUCCUCAACACUAUCAAAGCCAUCAUCUAUAUUGGAAUCGGAGAAGUCCACAUGUACUUUCCCUCUAAGAAGGUACGCCGCUAUUUUACUGACCCUAACUAUAUAGUUGAAGACUCUAAGCAGGUCAGGACAAGAAGAAGACGACGCAACUGAAACCAGAGGAGGCAAAUCAUCAAGGACGGAUGGAUAGACUACAAAGGAGAAGUGGUUGUUGACGGUCCUUAAGUAUCAAAUUUAAUUAUCAAAUAAAUAAAGAAAAGGAUCCAAAUGAAAUCAAGAUCUAGACUUAGGGUUUUAUCUGACAGAAUUCCACGAGUUUUGGUGUUUGUCUAUUUCUGCAGGGGGUUAUCAGGAAAUAUGGAAGAAAGGCCCACAUGUCAGGAUUACGUAAAGAUAUUAACGUGUUGCGCAAUUAUCUUACAUCUAGAAGACUCCAGAAGCCACGAGACCGAAGCGGAGGCGAAACGGGGCCAGAGGCAGGGCGCCCGCCCUGUCCUACUGGGCGCCCGCCCCCUGUUGGAGUCCAAACAGGACUCUGCUUUGCGGGAGAUCUCCACCGACCUAAAGGAUGAAUCUAAACCAUACAAUCUAUGUCGGUUUGAUCCAAGGGCCCAUAUUCACUUGAAGGGACUAUAAAACCAGACCCCCUGGCCCCUGGAGGAGAGAGCCUCUCAACCCUAAUUCAUUGUUCCAUUAAGGGAGAAGAAGCCUCUGAUCAAGAUUAGAGCCACCACAUCAAUUAGAUAUCUAGAUUAGCAUAGCUACAUAGGAUUAGAACUAGAAGGAGUCAAUCUUCGAUUGGUUUCCGGAUCUGUCAAGAGGAUUCUUGGUAAUUCUCUAAUUGUGCUUCUAAUUGCUUUCUAAUUAUCUUUGUUCUUCAAUAUUAUGAAUAAGACUUUGUUCUACUUCAAUAUAUUGCUUAUGACUUUGCUCUACUUGCUUAUAUUCAAGAUUAUAUUGUUCUUAGUUUAUCAUAGUUAUGUACUUGGCUUAGUUAGAUACGAUCUAUAUACAUGCUUAGGAUCGUAUAGCGUUUAUCCAUUGGAUCCAUGGGUAAAUGAUAGAUAUUGUGUAGGCGUGGUGCUUAUACCGUAUUUAUCUGCGAUUGUACCCGAUAUGCCAGAUCGUGGGGUGGUUCGUGAUAGUGACAGCUUCAUUGAUUCUUAUAUAGUCCCCCUCUCGUGUAUUGGGCUGGCAGAGCAACAUUAUUACAGGGGAGUGAUUGCUAUGUUUCUGAUAUUCCUUGCUAAUAUCACUAUGCAUGGGCGUAGUCUUGUCUCACAAUGAUUGCUAAGUAUGCUUGCACUAACUAUGAUAAUGCUAGACUAUAUAGUUGAGAAUAACUUAGGGAAUAUUCUUGUAGUUCGUUCUAAUACCAUGCUAAUGACUUUCUAGAGUAUCUAAUUGAGGUGCUUAUCAUAUUUAUUAUGUGGCUAGAUCAGAUUAGUUAUCCUUGUCACUAUUAUUACUUCAUAUAUCUUUUAUGUGACACUUAUCCCUGUAUGAAGAGUUAGAUAUAAUGUUCUCAAUUAUACAUGCAAUGAUAGAUGCUCAAUCUCAUAUUCUAUUCUGUAAUCAAUAUUGAUGAUUGUUAAUCCCUUCCCAGUGGUAAAAAUAUAAAUAACGAUACCUGGAAUACUUCCCGGUUAAAAUGCUGCAUCGGUAUUAAUCUGUGCGCUUGCAGAUCCCAUUCAUUAUUUAUUUAGAAGAGCAAUGGCAUAUUUCAAUACCGCGUCUCUCAUGUCAUGCUGGGGAUGACAACUUGGCUUAAGUGGUGUGAGGGAUAGGUUUGGCAUUUUUGGCACCGUUACUAGAUUUAGAGAACUUAGUCUACUUUUGGUAAUGAUGUUAAGAAUACCCAACAGUGGUAAGGUCUGAAGACACACAGCUUGAACAGAACUGUCGUUAGGAGACCGUAGCACCGAGUCAGGAAAAGAAGAUAGUUAUACACGAAGAGGAGGCGCCGCCGGAACCACCGACUACGCCAUCCAGCAAAUCCCAGGACGACUGAGAAAACAGAGAGUCCCAUUCAGAGGAGUUAAAAACACCGAACGCCUUGCCAAGAGGUAAACUUGGUAGUUAUCCUUUUUCCUUUCAAUUAUUUAAAAUAGUUUGCUUGGUUAAUCAGGUUCAUAUCAUCUCGAAAAGAAAAUAAAAAUGUUAAAAAUAGUAAGCCCCAUAUAAGUAUGCUCAUGGCAUAAAACCCAUAGGUACAUUCACUGUGGUGGCAUAAAAUAAAUAUGUUUUCAUCUUACAAUAAAAAUAUAAAAAUAAUAAGUGCAUGAUUGUGCUAAAUAAUAACAUUUAUUGAGGAGGCUCAACAUGAUAAAGACUAAAUAUUUAUGCUAACACUUAACCAGUUCCACAAAGCUUUGUUGUCUAUUUGAGCUCCACAGAAUUCAAGGAUCAAAGAAGACUAGCAGACGGAGGACAUCCUAAUCGCUGCCAGGGUGCUGCCGACAUUCAAAUACACCUCCGCCACCUGCUAGCUACAUCAGGAGAAAUUACGUCAAAAUCCAGCUUGGGGGAGAGCACCCCCAUUUAUCCCGCUAAGUAUUUCUAUCUAUCUAUAUACUUAUACUAUAUUAAAAUAAAAAGAUACAUAAUCAUAAAAACCCAAAUAAAGAUAUUGUGUCGAUUGCUUAGUUUGUUAUAUAAAUAAAUAAAUAAAGUUUGCUAUGAACCCUCAUGAUAAGCUCUCACAUGGAAAUGAUGAAUAGUUACUCUGCCAUGACUAGUUCUUAAAAUUGAAAUCUCUCUCAAGUUUAGGCAUAACUGUUAUAAUUUAAACCUGAACUUGUGGGAAGAGUACUUGAUCUGAAGUCUAAGCUGUUAACGGAUAUGAUAUGGGAAGGUUGAGCUGCUGUUUAUCUGUUCCUAGAGAUACUAGAAUUCUGGAGAAUUUUAUCUUUGAAAAUCUUUAAAAUAACACAUGAUGAGUUCCUGUAUGAUGAGAGUUUAAAUUCCUACCACAGCCAUAUAUACAUGCUUGCUAGACUUUGAGCCACACAUUUACUUUUUACUGCUUAUGAGCAUUGAGUGUGGUCAAGCUGUGUAGACCCUUAGGAGCUUGUCAUGCGGUUAAAAUCAAGAUUCACUUGCACAUUCAUUCAUACAUGCUACUUCUACUCUGGAAGUACGCAUCCACAUACAUCCACUCAUUUCCAUCUCCAGAUUCACCCAAAAUUAUUCUACUCCUAAUCCGGGAGAGAAUAGCCAGAAAUAUUUUUGUUUUCCCUGUAAAAAAAUGCUCGAGUUAUCUUGGUUACUACCACUUGCUAUAUUAUUUCAGGAGAUGAGUGCUCUAAAAAAAAGAGAGAGGAUAUGAGGAAAUAAAAAGGGGCAAGUGCGCGGAACCUCGAAGAAAAGAAAAAGUGAGACGAGAGGUAAAAAUGGACAAGUGUCCGAUAGUAGAAUUAGGAGUACAAGAUACCCACCUAAGAGAAAAAGAAAAAGAAAAUAUAGAGCAUCUCAUUCUCCUCAAAAAGCUUCAAAGUGCAAGAAAGGUAUGUAUCCCCUCAAAAGAGCAAAACUAGAAUUAGACUUUCACCAUUGUUAUCACCAUCAUCACCAUACACCAUUCACUCGCCACACAUGCACAUCUUGAUUUGACUUAUUGACUUAUUUCUAUGUAUCCAUGGUUUGACUAUGCAAUAAAUGUCUUGUAAGUAUGUAUUAUCUGUCUCCCACCCUUGAGCUCUAGAUAUCAAAACCUUAUUAGAGUAGGGUGAGAGAGAAGGCAAUAUCACUAUGCCUCACACAAAAAAUACCACAUACUUUGAGAGAAGGCAUAUACCAUUACUGCCUUGGUAAGGAUCCAGAAAUACCACAAAAGAGAGAUCUGAGAGAGUCAUACAAGGAAUCUCUGAGUUUUAUUUGAAAAUCUACAAAAACUCCAGAGCUAUAGUUAAUCAAAGAACAAGAGACAUGGCGCUUAACUUGACCGUUCUAUCUUUUAACUGCUCAAGACACAAGUGAUGGUUACAAGCCCCAUGGUGAAAGGUAAAAAGAGUAAGUUUUAAGUCUAAACAGUUUACUCUAACUCAAAGAUGAGAUCUUACUUUUAAGGCAUGAAACCACUGUAGAAACUUUUGAGUCUAUCCUUGCUCAUGGACGAGCAAGAGGUAAGCUUGGGGGAGUUGUUGACGGUCCUUAAGUACCAAAUAAUCAUCAAAUAAAUAAAUAAAAGGAUCCAAAUGCAACCAACACCCAGACUUAGAGUUUUAUCUAACAGAAUUCCACAAGUUUUGGUGUUUGUCUAUUUCUGCAGGGGGUUAUCAGGAAAUACAAAAGAAAGGCCCACACGUCGGGUUUACAUAGAGAUAUUAACGUGCCGUGCAAUUUUCUGUCAUCUAGAAGACUCCAGAAGCCACGGGAACGAACGGGAAGGCGAACGGGCCCAGGGGCAGGGCGCCCGCCCUCCCCCCUAGGGCGCCCGCCCAGACCUAGAGUCCAAUCAGGACACGUUUCGGGGAUUACGCUCCACCACCUAAAGGAUCAAGGAUAACCAUUCAAUCAAUGUCGGUUUGAUCCAAUGGCCCAUAUUCACUUGAAAGGACUAUAUAACCAGACCCCCUGGCCCCUGGAGGAGAACAAGUUCAUCAUAGAGUUGAGAGGAGCCCUCGAAGGAAUACCUCUCCUCUAAAUAGACUUAGGGCCUAGCAUCCAAUGUGAGAGUAGAAUUAGUUCUUCUAAGUUCUACUAGAUUGAGAGAGAUAGAGUGGAGGUGUAGAUCGGAGAAAGACCGGCCUGUCGGUGUCUACUCCGAGGUUGUACCUGCAGGAUCAAGUCUUCUAACCCGAGGCUUGCUCCUAGGAUUCUUCAGUAAUUUAACUUCUAAAUUCUAGUAAGUUCUUGUUUUAUUGUUCUUUGGUUUAUGAGUUUACUUUAAUAUCUUCCGAUUGAGUUUAGAGUAAUCAUUGCUAGCGUAAACGUGGUGUUUGGGCUAGGGUACUCAUAGAUAUCCCCUGACUAGCUUGACCGUUGUAGUAGCGAGGAACGUGACAUUUCUGAGUUACCUUUGCAGCCCACAUCUCGUUGCAGGACGGGUAGGGUUUAUAGGUGCGGGUCGAACAUCCUUUGUGGUGUCUAGAUUCCGUAAGCUUCCCUAAUAGAACAGGAGAUCAUCCUUACCAAGGUUAGAACGAGACUACGGUUGCAGUCUUCUCUAUAUAUCACUCACAUCGAGAAACAUUCUUUGUAGCCUAAAGGGUAGUAGCAAUAGAUUUGGUUAGUGAGAUGCACGCUUUCUCCCAGUGGUAAAAAUAUAAAUACGAUACUCUGGAUAACCUCCCGGGUGAAGUGCUCACCGAUAUCCGUGCACUUGCAGAUCAUUUCCUGAUGGCGUUACCAAAUAUAAACAUUAAUUACAGUAUAAUUGCAUACAUCUUACUUCGAAUUGUCAUCUGAAUCAUUAACCUUUUAUAUUAAAUAUGUUUAAGAGAUGAUAAACACCAUUUAAUAUAUGACUUCAAAAUAAAUUAUAUAACACUUUCCUAGACUCAUGAUAAUUGUGAAAUUUAUUGUACUUCAUGAUUGCUUAAGUUAUUGUGGAAAGAGAGAUAGCAAAAUAAUGAGUACUCAAUUCGUGAUAAUUUGUCUUUGGAGAUUUUAUUUCAAAAGGUAAAAAACAAUUAGCUUCAUCUCUCUUUGUAUUGGAGUCAAAUAAAAAUCGUAUCAUUCUAUUAUCGUGACUUUGGUUGAGAGAUUUAUCAAAUUCCUAGUAUCAUAAAAAUGAAAUAAAAACAUAAUACACUCUAUUGAAGCACUAUUAUGAAGGAGGCAUGAGCUAUUCAUAAGGAAAUCCGAGGAAAUAAAAAGGGAAAAGUGUCUGAAACCUCAAAAAGAUAGAUCAUGAGGAAAUAAAAAGGGACAAGUGUCUAGAACCUCGAUUCAAUAAGAAAAGAGAUGAGCAUGUGCUCAUAAGUAGAAUUAGAGAGCUCAUGGUCCCUCCUACAUAAUAUGCCAAAGAGUGGAUGAUUUGUGUGAUCCGGGAAUAUGAUAUUUCCCUCCCUGGUUAUGAACAUCAAUUUUCUAUCAUAACUAUUGAUGCCACUACAAAUAGGAAAGGCUAAAGCUAUGCUUUAUUUGCAAACUCCACUCACUCUCCAAUAGACAAAAUUCAAGGAAGAGAGUAAUCUAUUUUAAGCUAUCCUACUCUGCAGUCACUAUAGAAUUCAUGAAAGGCACUUUAAAUUUCCACAAUGCAUGGUAGCUAGACUGGUUUUAUAUAAUUUAAUUUCCAAGUUAUGCAUUAAAUGCUCUUUAUGAUAGAACCAACCUUUUCCUUGGGACAAGUAAAAGCCUAAUUGUGGGGGUAAUUGUUGACACCUGUUAACUCAAAAUUUCUUAGCAUUUAUUUCUCCACCAGAUAUGAAUAUCUACUAGAAUAGGGUUAACACUAACAAUUUUCACGAGUUUUGCAUAUUCUUUGUUUUCUAGGGUUUAUUCCAUAAAUAGCUGAAAAGAGGGAUUCAAGUCUAAAAUAAACACGAAACUUAUCCACGACGCAACAACACUACCAACGGGACAUGGGAAGACUCUGGAAGACACCUGAAGAGUCGGGGGCUAGAGGCCGCCAGGUGGGGCCGGCCGGCCCCACCCUAGCGCCGGCCGGCGCCCCACUGUUAGGGUUUUAGCCCCCUUCUGAAACCUUCCUCCACCGCCUCUGAGGAGCCAUCUUGGCCGCUUGUUAAGUCGGUUUGAUCCAACGGCGCGUAUCCAUCCCGCAGGCCUAUAAAUAGAAGGCUAGACCCCCUGGAGGGAGGCCAGAUCAAGAGAUGAAGAGUCAAAGCAAUAGAUAGAGAUCCACUAGAUUUAGGCUAGCAAUCAAGACAGAGAUUAUAGAGAUAGAGUAGAGGAGUAGAGAUUCGUAGGAGUUCCAGUCUGUUGGAGCUUCCUUAGGAGCUGUAUUCGUCUGGUUUUGGCUCACUCGCUCGGAGCUAUGUUCUGAGGUACUUUGUAUUUACCAUUCUGAAUCAAGUAAGCAACUUAUUUUUAUUCGUUGUUUGGUUUGCAACUCAUAUUAUAUUGAGUAAUUUGAUUUGGGUAGCUCCUAGGUCAGAGUAGUGAUUUGUAGCAUAGACCUGGUGUCUGGGCUAUGGUUGCUUGUAGAUGUCCCCUAAUCAGCUGGACAGUGGUAGCUCGCGUAGGUGACUUUAUAGCUACAUUGAAUCCUCUGUAGUCCACUUCCCAAUGUUAGGACGAUAGGCUUAUAGGUGCCUGAUAGGAGAUUACUCUGUUUCUUCUCCUAUUCAGGUUACUUGCCCGAUAAGACGAUAUUACACAAAGUUUACCGGCUAUUAGAACCAGAGUACAUUAGCUAUCUCCUCAUUCUCAAUAGUUUUUUAGAUUGAUUGUGUCCUCCUUAGAUUAAUAAGUUAUAGACUAAGUCAUAAAUCACCUACUGUUCCUUUGGGUUUGAUGUUAAAACUGGGUUGAUCUUGGUGAUGUGCUGAUCAGUAUAUAUUUGUGCGCUUGCGGAUAAUCUGAUUAUAAUCAUUAUUAGGUUGCAGUUAAUCUAUACCAACAAGAGUACAAGGAUGAAAACUAGGUACUUGCAAGAAAUUAUGGUAGAGCAACUAUUCAUCAUCUCCAUAUAAGAGUUUAUUCUAGAGAUUCAUCUUAAUAGAUUCAAGCUAUCCUAGCAAAAACUAAUUAUGAAAGAUAAAAUAUUUAUUGAGUUUCUUGGAUUAUCAUCUUUUUAUCUUAUCAUAAACGCACUAGGAAUGAAUAAGUGAGUCAAGGGAUACUUAGCUUGGUAUACGGGGGUAGUUCUCCCCCAAGCUAGACGUUGACGUAGUCUGCGGAGGUUGUUGACUGGUAGUGAAGGCGUACUAAUCCUCCUAGAGUGUCAUGGGUACAUGCUGUCACAAACAGCACUUGCCUCAUUGUUGACAUUGCUCCGACAAAGGACAGGACGUCCUUCUACCUGUUAGUUCUUCUUGAUCCUUUGAAAGCCUCUGAAGCUCAAACAGAAAACAAAGCUUAUGGAACUGAUUAAGCGUUAGCAAUAAAGCUCUAAGCUUUGGGAGUCUAGAACUUUCUUAUACCCAUUUAUCUUUUAGCAGGAUCAAUAUAUUUUUUAUACUUUUCAUAUUUAUAAUAUGCAGAUAGGAAAAUAAAUAUGCUAAUUUUUUUUUGUGCCACCACAGUAGAUAAGUAUGUAAGGUGUUGCAUCACAUAUUAAAUACAUGGAGCUUAGUCGUUUUCUAUAUGCAGUGCAAUACAUAUUUAUUUUCUUUUCUAUUGCAUAAAUAAUAAAAAUACAACUUCUAAUGCAGUUAGCAAAAAUAAAUAUGCUUAAACGAGAAUGAAGAUAAAUACCAAGUUACCUCUUGGUGUGGUGUUUGGUGAUUUUAGUCCUCUGAAUAGGACCUCUUCCAUGUUAAUUCUUAGGUGCUUUUAUCUGGUCUCAAAGGUGGAGACCAUGAUAGUUGCACCUCUUGAGAUGGUGUCACCCAUGUUUGUUUCUCUUCCAGCAGGUUGGAGUCAAGUACUAAUUCUAGGAACUAGCAAUAUCUUCACUCAGUUUGCAUGUUCAUAGGUCUAGGUUCUUCACUUGUAGGAUUCUUGGGGAGUUGACUAAAGUGUGUCCUGCUCAUAGAGACAAGGCAGAAAUAAAGUGCAUGGGCUCAGUUGGUGGGAAAACACCAAUAGAACUAAAAGGUUUGUUCAUUAUACUCUAGCCUUUGGCAGAUUGAAUGAGAUAAAGUUGAUACAUGUGUUUUGGUCUAUCUAAACAUACGUGAUAAGAACAAAUUAUUAGCAAGCUUGUAGCUUUAAAACACUUGGACGAUCAGAUUACUCAACAUUAUGGAAGGAUGGUCUUUCUGUGCAUAUAACUUCAUAAUUAUGACUAUUAUCUUCCAAAGAUAGGAUGUGCAACAUUUUAGAUCGUUGAAUUAAAAGAUACAAGACAAAAAAGUGAUUCUGGGAACAAGCAUAAAGAACUAAACAUGUUGAGCUAAUUAGAUUGGAUCAAAUGAAGUUGUAACUCAAAUCAUGUUUGGCUCUCUACUUAUGUGCAUGCUAGAAUGAAGGAAGAUAUUUUGGAAGUGAUGAUCACUUACCAAGAGAUGUUACCUUUAGUACCGAAGCAUGUUGACGUUGUAACAUCUUGUGGAAACCUUUCUUGCUUAGCUAUCUUGCCUCCUUUGUUGUACUCCUUUCUUGCCAUUAUUUGUUCUUUGUCUAAUUUGUGCUUGGACCUUUAGCUCUUCUUAUUAUUUUACCCCUGCAAAUCAUUAGUGGUCAACACAUACCAGAAGGCGUAUACAAGUAAUGACAAGGGAAUUUUUGUAACACAAAGCUAAGGGUCACUUCCUAUGCUACAAGAAGUUGUUUUAACAUACUUAGCAUAGCACUUUUUUUAUUCACAAUUACUUAUUUAUAAACGAUUGAUUUUAUUUUCCCGAUCUUAUGUCUUUAUUCUUAAAUAUAGGCAUUAUGAAUCAACUGAAACUCAUAGAAAUAAAGCAAUAGUAAAUUUAGGGAUUGCAAACCAGCGUGUGGAGCGAUGAGGAAGAACUUGGUUGGAUCAUCUAGAGGAGUUGACCUUCUUUCUCAUCUCUCAGCUUCUCAACCUUAGAGGUGAGAGUGUAGGAUGUUACAUACUCUUCUCUUGUUAAUCUUUUCUUGAUUCCUGAUAAUUAGUGGUUGACAAGAUAUUACAACUCCAUGGAGUGAAUGCAUUGAUCAUGGAUCAUGUUUUGUGUCACCCUUCUUUCUUCUUGGCUACGCGUGAGUUGUGUCUCCCUUCAUCUCUAGUGUGAGUUCAUCUCAGGACUUUCCCAUUUUGGAUUUGAUAGUAUUUCUGCAGGGGUUAGUCCAACAUAAAUAUUUUAAUAUCUACUAUAGCAUACUAUCAGCUCAAAAAUCAACCUAGACACCAUGUCUAAUUUGAUUCAAGAAGGCAUCUUAACAUAAGCACCACGCUUAAUUUAAAAAGCCUUUUGAAUGUAAGAUCACCACUCCUAAACUAGACACCAUGCUUCAUUUAAGAGAUGUAUGAAACUACUUCAAAGCCUAUGCAUACUAUAGCAAACAAAGGUAGCAUGAGAGCAUUAUAGAGAUUUACUCAAUAGUGAUGAUAGAGUAUGAUCAUAGUGAGAAAUAUUAUUAUAUUUUUAGAUGCAAAUGAAUUGUAUGCAUGCAAGGAACUUGUUGGCGAAAGUAGAUCUACAAACACAAAGGGCUAAUACCCGAUUCAACGUUAAGGCGUGCCAGCCGAUUUGACCUUACAAUCGACAAAGGUGGUAACUCGAACACUUUGGUCCCGACAACAGCGAUGCGCCCGGAUGUCAUGGCCAAGAGGUGUUCACGUGGAACACAAGAAUCCGUCGAGAUUGACUCGAAGAAUCCCUCAGAACUCGUAAUUAAAAGGAAAAAUAUGCAAGGUGACGAAGUCGUCGAAAAGUAGAUGCUAGAAUACGUGUAAAAACUUGUGUUUGAUUGAUUGUGUAUAUCUCUUACAUCGCUAUGGGGUCUCAUAUUUAUACCCUGCCCAAAAGGGUUACAAUCAGACACGACUAGAACUCAAAUUCCAAAUUAAACAAAAUCUGUAUACAAAACAAACUCUAAUAACUAUGGAGAGCAUUAAAUUAUCUUGGUCGGUACAAAACAAGUCACCAACUCUAAUAACCGAUCGGUAGACCACCACGACUUGGUCGACAACUCCUACGCCUUUCUCCAUGACCUUCGGUGAACCAUCUCUCAUAGCCAUCGGUAACCAUCUACACCAACCAUCGGCAUGGACCCAUCAUCAACCCAGGAAUUAGCCAUAUUCUGUCGCUUUCUCAUCGGCACAAACCCUCAUUGGCAACUCUUCUGUGAACUUAGUCACCACAUCUCUGCCUGCCGAUGCACACCUUAUUAACUCCGGAUACACGUCCAAAGAUAUGUGUCCAAAAAUGGUGUCAACACAUGCCCCCCAAUUUCAGAGUAUAAAAUCAUUAAUGCUCCAAAAUUUUGUCCAAUAAUGUUGUUUUUUCACAAUUACUCUUUCCUGUCAAUAAUUAAUUACCAAAUCCAAACAACCUCAGCCCGGUCUUCCAACACGUAUCUUGAAUCCCCCAACUUUUCGAACUGAAUCUCCCUAGUAUACGUUCAUCGGCAACAUUUCCGUUAGAGACAACUACCGAUGAGCCGACCAGGAGAUCUUGCACAGUAAGAUAUUUCCAAAAUCAUGACCGCUUGCUGUCAAAUCACCUGCACAAUCCCUUGAUUACCGUGUGAACGGUUACCAUAUCCACCUGAACACCUACGGAUUUCACGGAUACAGCGAAGAGAUAAGUCAGAUUUACCCCUGCCCUCUUUGUCUUAUAAAUACUUCCUUCUUCGGUACUCUUCCUCCAUCUUGUCAUUCUACGGCCUCAAACCCACCUUUCUGGCGGCGGCACUAUUCGAGAACUUCAAGAACAACGUCAAGGAUAUCCCCUAACAAUCUCCUGAGUCUUCGAUUCUUCCCUCCUCUUGGGAAGAAAUGGGCAUCAACUUCGUCGUCCCUGAGGUCAACUCAACAUCCCCUUUCUUCUUUUUACCAUAUUCUUGAUCUUUCGCACAAUUAUUUACUUGGUAUUUUAUCUCUUCCUUUUCCCUAUCUUUUCAACCUUCAAACCUUUAGGAAUUGGCCGAGAAAAUCGUUAUUCCCACCGAUCAACCCCACUUCCAAUGCCUUGGUCCGUUGGGAAACCCAGAUCCUACCGAUUUGAUAAAUGCAGAGACAAAUAGGAUCCCUUUUAGAGCUAAGAAUUUCUCUUUAGAUCUGUGGAAAGACACUUUCCGUUCCUGUCCCAGUUCUACCAAGGGGUGGAAAGAUUGCUUCCUGAGAGUCGGCAACUCAAAUGAGGUUCAAUGGGGUGAGCGCAAACUGGACUAGUGCAUCAGGCUAUCCAUUGCCGAUAUAGAAAGAAAUGAAUCACUAUUGAUAGCAGCUUCGUAUUUCUGGUCAGACACCCUUAAUGCUUUCGUAUUCGGCCAUGGCCCUGCUUCUCCUACCCUUGCCGAUGUACUUAUGCUCACUGGCCUGGAAAUAGCAACUGCCGAUGAUAGCCACCUGUUUGAUAGUAAGCCUAGUUCUAAGGUGGAAACUCGCAGCAUCGGCGGUUGGUCAGGAUACAUUCAGAAGUACCGAAAAAUAGGAUCACCCGGGCAAUGGGAACAUGCCAUCUUUCUGAAUAUGUGGCUAGAUAAAUUUAGAUUUUGUGGCCGAUCGGCAUGUCCGACUUCUGUUUAUCUAUCGGCAGCAAAGAAACUAGCCAACGGUGGUCGCUUCCCCCUUGGUCGAUACUUGUUAGGCUCUGUUUACCAUAUCCUUCAUCAAGUAGCCGAGAAGCUUCUCUUGGGCCAAUCCAUCGGCAACUUAGGAGGACCUUGGUGGUUCAUCAAUAUGUGGCUCAGUGUUCACAUGCACAAACGCCUUAGGUUUGAUCUCUUCGCACAGCAUUUUCCCAGAGAUAUCGCCGAGGAUCAUGAAUUGGCCGAUGCAGAAUCAGCAACUCGCCCACCUUUGAAUUAUGGUGAGGCUGCCAUACUUUUACCUAGUACUGGUGGCAACGAAGACCAGGUUAGCCGAUUCUUCCAAACUCUCUAUGAGGGUCUUGCCAAAGAUCAACGGGCAUGGAUGCCUUAUGAGGACCCAGAAACCAGAUUCCCGCUCACUUUCCACCCUUUUGACGCUGCCCUCAAUAAGGACCAUGAUCUGAUGAUGGCAAUUAUUACUCCGAGAGCUAUACCAGUGAAUAUCUUUGGCAGUGUUAAAACUUCCAACCCCACCUAUGAAUUCUACAACCCAUUGGCACUAGCUCGUCAACUCUCUUUUGGGCAGCUGCCGAUUGGACUGAGUUAUGCCGAUGUGGUGAAACCAAGGGAAACCAUAACUAGUGGUCUUGAAUGGAUCAGGAUAGCCCAGCUUCCACCGAAUGUCGAUACGUCAGAUAUUGAUUUAUCAGCUUGGAUCCCAGCUCUCUUCAUCACUCAAGAAUACAAACAGUGGUGGGAAGAGUGGAAAGAACAUCUGUACUGCACAUCGGCUCUGACAUACCGCGGUAUGAUCGACCCUAAGUAUAAGGUCCCUGAAAACAUUGUAAGUCUUCAACUGAUACCUCAAUUCUUUUGUUACUUUUAUCCUUAUUGGUAACUCACUUUCUCCUUUCUUAACAGGUUGACAACCCACCACCAACAGUCAGCAGGAGUGGAAAGCCGAUCGAGCUCCUUCCAUCAGGCCUGAUUUCUCUGAUCGACAACAACGCACCAAGCCUAGCAGCUCUAAUGCACCGGAAUGUGCAUUUUAAGAAGAUAACCACCAGGCGGUCAAAGACAUCUCCAACGGUUGUCGCUGCUACCUUGGCACAAGCUUUCAAGGUAAAUCUUUGAUUUCCUCAAUUUAUACUAAUUCCAUUCUAUACUUACACAAUCUUUCCAGGAUACAUCGGCCGCUAUGGGAACCUCAUCGGUAACAUUUUAUCUUUUAACAAGAUUUUUAUCAACAUCCUUUCAUAUUUGGACUCAUGAAAUCUUGCUUAUUGUAACAGCAAACUGGCAAAUUAGCAAAGAACAGAAGUACGAAAACAAGUGCCGAUGCCCCCCAGUCCAGUCAAGUCAAGAGAAAAGGCCCCAAGAGCAAUUAGACGCAACCAAAAUGCCAGAAGACAACACCGCAUUCUCCUCCUCGUCCAGUGUCACCGAUUCAUGUGGAGUUGUCCCCCUCUUCACCAGGAAUCCAGAUGCAGCAAGCAUCAUCUCCUCCUCAAUCAGCACCUCAGCCACAAGAAACACCAGCCGAUGUGCUUGAGUAGACUGCCGAUCCAGUGGAUCCAAUCAUAUCAUCGGUAGUCUCUUCAGAACAGACAAGCACCUCACCCCCUCAAGGUAAAGUACUGUCCACAAAAUUAUCACCGAUGGAUUUACUUUUUUAAAAUUAUUAUUAUCCUUAUUAUUUCUCAGUUGACACUGUUCCAUCGGCAACUCCAGCCGAUCAACCUGUGAUACCAGCGGCAUCAACCAGCCACAGGUGUGAAAUAGCUUUGAAGUAAGUAAGUUAUCUGAUUUCCAUCCUUUAUAUCACUAAUAUCUGAUCAUCAAAUAACUUAUCUUAUUUUCUUUCAGGAACAAGACUUCCCGGACAGCUUAUUUUCCUUCGCCAUUGAUAUUUUCAAUGAUGAGGGUGAGGAAGCAAGCUCCUCUCAAGCAAUAGGGAUCUCAUCGGCAGAAAUCAGAGCCAAACUAGAGGACCUGCUGGCCUUGUUACACCAAGACGCUGCUCAAUUGGUUGACGAUUCCGAUCUAGCCAAAGCUCUGUUCAAGACUCUUCACGGCUAAAUUCCAGCCGAUGCUGAAGAGAUUCUCUUCCAAGCUGCACACUUGGAGAGCCGGCAGCUCCAAUACCAAAAGGCCACCCAGCGUCUUGCUGACAGAGCCACUCAUGCCCAAAUUUCAGAGGAGGUAAUGCAAGUGAAGCGCCUUGCCGAUGAGAAACACAAGAGCAUCGGCAUCCUACAGUCUUCAGGGGAAACACUGAAGCAGAAGAUUUCCGACCUAUCAGCAAGAAGGGAAGUCCUGCUAGCUAAGUUCAAGCAAGUGGAAGAGGCCCUCUCUCAAGCACAGCAAGAAGAAAGCCAGCUGCCCGAUAUGAUCAAAACUCUUUGGCAAGAACGAAACACCCAUGCCCGCAAGGCGCUGUAGAUGAAGAAGAAGCUGAAGCCAGUGGAUGGUUCUGCCUGUAACACCCUAGGUGUUAAGCAUGCACUUAGUCUCAUAAAACAUUCAAAAGCAUCCUCAUCAAGCAUGGCAUAAGCAUCACAUCCCAUGAGCACAAACAUAAUUCAAAGUGUGAUUUUAUGUGCUUUAUUUUAUGAGAAUUAAAUAUGUUACAAAUAUCAUGCUUGCAUCUAAAUUCUUGAAUUGCCCAAAUUAAGUUGAAAUGAGUGUUAGAAUAUUUAAGAGUAAUUUUGUGAUAUUUUUGGAGCUAUAGAAAUUGAGAAAUUGAUUUUAUACUAAAUUUGCCAAAACAGAUUUAUUUAAAAACCUAUAACUAGUUUUGAGUUGUAUUUCAAAAUCUAAUUGGAAUUUGUGAAUUCGACUUAAAGCAAAGUUGUAGGGUUUUUGUUCUGGAAUAACUUUUAUUUUGGGAUAAAAAGGUGAAAAUGAUUUUUAAAUAGUCCAAAUGAAUUUAGAAAGAAUUUGAGAAAAGAAAUUCAAAAAAAAAGAGAAAGGGCGCAGGCACUGCUGGGCCGACCCGCCUCCCUUUCAGCCCAGCCAGAUAGCGCGGCCCGCUUCCCCUCCCCUCUCUCUCCCGCGCGCGGCGCCCGCCUCGCUCCACCCGGCGCCGGCCACGUGGCGGCCGUACGCCGGCGUCGUGAACACGCCGCGGCCGACCCGCCUUCACCUAGUCGGGACGCCGCCCCGCGCCCCUGUUGAUGCAAAUGCUGAUCUGCAAACACAAAGGGCUAAUACCCGAUUUAAACGUUAGGGCGUGCCAGCCGAUUUGACCUUACUAUCGGCAAAGGUGGUAACUCGAAUACUUUGGUCCUGACAACAGCGAUGCGCCCGGAUAUCACGACCAAGAGGUACUCACGCGGAACUUGAGAACACGCCGAGCUUAAGUCGACGAAUUCUUAAGAACUCGUAAUGAAAAGGAAAAAGUAUGACGAAGUUGUCCAAAAAGUAGAUGCUUGGAAUAUGAGUAAAAACUUGUGUUUGAUUGAUUGAUAGAUAUCGAUUACAAAGCCCUAGGGUCUACAUUUAUACUCUGCUCAAAGAGCUACAACCAGACACAACUAGAAUUCGAAUUCCAAAUUUAGACAGAAUCCAUGUACAAAACGAUCUAAAUAACUAAGGAAAACAUUAAACCAUCCUCACGUGACAAACUAGAACACCCCCACAAGCCGAUCGGCAACUUCCAGGUUCUCCCUCCGUAUCAUCGGCAGACUCCUUUGUCAUAGCCAUCGGCGCAAACACAUCAUCACCUAUGGACUUGGUCACGUUCAACCAUCCUUCCAUCGGCAACCAUCUUCAUCGGCAACUCACCCUGUAGAUCAAGCACUGCCGUCUUAUCUUGUCGACUUACACUUUACCAAUCAUGGACACGUGCCCAAAAACGGUGUCAACACAUACCCCCAAUUUCAGAGUAUGAAAUCAUUAAUGCUCCAAAAUUCUCUGUAGUAAUGAUGCCUUUCCGCAAUUAAUGCUCCCAAUCUGGUAACCGAUAGCCUUAAUCUGAACAACUCUAAUCCUAUUCCUCUGCGGAUUCCUCGAAAUCCUCAACUUCCCCGAACGGACAUUUCCACUUUAGUCGCACAUCGGCAAUAUUACCGUUACAGGGACUUGCCGAUGGACGUUCAUAUCUCAUCCUCCCAAACGGCUAUCUCCACGUUACUUGCCCAUCGGCAAUAUGACCGUUACAAGGCGCUGCCGAUGAACCGACCAGGAGAUCUCGCACAGUGAAAUAUCUAUGGAUAAUGACCGCUUCCUGUCAAAUCGCCUGCACAAUCCCUUGAUUACCGUGCGAACAGUUACCAUAUCUACCUGAGUACCCUCGGAUUUCACGGAUACGGCGAAGAGAUAAGUCAGAUUUGCCCCUACCCAUUUUGUCCUAUAAAUAGUUCCUUCUCGGGUACUCCUUCCCCAUCACAUCAUUUCACGGUUCCAACUCCACUCUCCCGGCGGCGGCGCUGUUCAAGAGCUCCAAGAUCUCAACGAAGCCCCUGCUUCACCAACUCCGAAGCCCCAGAUCAUCUUCCUCGUGACGAGAUGGCCAUCAACUUCACCGUCCCUGAGGUCAGUCCUUCAUCCCUCUUUUUGUGCUUUUUCUCGCAUCCCUGUUCAUCCGCAGUUCAUUUUACUGAACAUUUUCCUUCUUUCUUUUUGUUCUUAUUCUUCCUUAUAUACCCAAAACCAAUAGGAUCUGUCCAACAAAAUUAUCAUCCCCACCGAUCAACCACACCUUCAAUGCCUUGGCCCGUUAGGGAAUCCAGAUCCAACCGACCUCAUUAAUGCAGAAACCAACAGGAUCCCCUUUAGAGCCAAAAACUUCUCUUUGGAUCUAUGGAAGAAUACUUUCCGUUCUUGGCCUAGUCCUACCGUGGGAUGGACGGAUUGGUUCUUGAGGGUCAGCCACUCAAAUGAAGUCCAGUGGGGCGAGAGAAAACUAGACCAAUGCAUCAGGUUGUCUAUUGCCGAUAUGCAUAGAAAUGAAUCAUUGCUGAUAGCUACAUCAUACUUCUGGUCAGACAUGCUCAACGCCUUUGUCUUUUGCCACGGCCCCGCUUCCCCUACUCUUGCCGAUGUAGCUAUGCUUACUGGCCUAGAUGUAUCUUCUGCCGAUAGCACCCAUUUUUUCAACACCAAGCCCAGUGCCACGGUAGAAACUCGUUCCAUCGGCGGUUGGUCAGGGUAUAUUCAGAAAUAUAAACGAACUGGCCCUGUCAACAUAAAGGAGCAGACCAGCUUUCUAAACAUGUGGCUGGACAAAUUCGUGUUUUGCGGCCGAUCGGCAGGACCAACCUCCGUCUAUCUAGCAGCAGCAGAAAACUUAGCUAAUGGUGGCCGAUUUCCCCUUGGCCGAUUCCUGCUUGGUGCAGCCUACCACCUCCUUCACCAAGUGACUAGAAAACUCUUACUCGGCCAGUCUAUCGGCAACUUGGGAGGUCCCUGGUGGUUCAUAAACAUGUGGCUCAGUCUCCACAUGCACAAGCGUCUUGAGUUUGACCUUUUUGCACAGCGUUUUCCAAGGGACAUAGCCGAAAACUACGAACUGGAUGAAGAAGAAUCGGCAACACGCCCUCCCCUAAACUUUGGUGAAGCUGUCAUAGUUUUAUCUGGUAUAGGGGGUAAUGCAGACCAGGUCAGCCGAUUCUUCCAAACCUUGUAUGAAGGCUUGACCAGAGAGGAGCGAGCAUGGUUGGCUUAUGACGAUCUAGACACCAUGUUUCCUCUGGUUUUCAACCCGUUCAAUGAUGCUCUUGACACAGAUCACGAGGUGAAGAUGGCACUGGUCACUCCCAGAGCUAUACCAGUGAAUUUCUUUGGUAGUGGGAAAACCUCCAUCCAGACCUAUGAGUUUUAUAACCCAUCGGCAUUAGCUCAUCAAUUAGCUUUCGGCCAGCUGCCGAUUGCACUCUGUUAUGCUGAUGUGAUAAAACCCAGGGAAGCCAUCACUAGCCUUCUUGAAUGGAUUCAUGUGGCCCAAUUGCCAUCAAGUGCCGAUACAGAUGUAGACCUAUCAUAGUGGGUUCCAGCCGCCUUCAUCACUAAGGCAUACAAGCAAUGGUGGGCAGAAUGGAAGGAACAUCUGUUCUACAGAUCAGCUCUUAUGUAUCGCGGCAUGAUCGACCCCGAGUACAAAGUUCCCGAUGACACUGUAAGUAUCUUCGAACCGAUGUUUCAAUUUUCUCAUUUUUAUUUCCAUCGGCGAUUUACCUUUGUAUCAUCUUGCAGGUUGACAACACCCCUCCAUCGGUCAGCAGGAGUGGCAAGUCGAUUGACCUGUUUCCAUCAGGCCCAAUCUCCUCAAUCGGCAACAAUGCUCCUACCCUGGCCGCCAUCAUGCAUCGAGGUGUACGCCUCAAGAAAGUCACCACUAGGAGGACUCAGAUAUCUCCAUCGGUAGCUGCUUCCACCUUGGCACAGGUGUUCAAGGUAAUUGUUAAACCUUUUUAUUCAUACCGAUUCUUAUUAUACAUCUGCCACACUUGUACUCAUAAAUUUUUUCAUAUCAGCAGACUGGCGCAUCGGCAAAGACCAGAAGCAAAGGUGCCAAUGCCCCCCAGUCCAGCCAGCAGAAGAGAAAAGGUGCCAAGAACACUAGGGCACAAGCAAAGCGCCAAAGAGUAGCAACCCCUCCUCCUCUUCCGGUAUUUCCAAUUCUGGUGGAAUCCUCUCCUUCUUCUCUAGAAACACAGACACAGCAAGUACCAUCUCCCCCUCAACCGCAAGAAGCACCACAAGCAGAAGAACUCCGACCAGAAGAGCUCCAACCAGAAAUACCUCAGCCAGAAGGCACAUCGGUUGAUACAGGUGAGCAAACUACCGAUCCAGCAGGAUCAAUCAUAUCGUCAGUAGUUUCCUCUAUCCAGACGAGCACUGCACCUCCCCAAGCUAACACAUUUUCUUAUGAAAUUAGUACCGAUGAACUUAUUUCCUCUAUUCUUACAAUCAUUUCUAUUAUUUUUCAGCUGAUAUAGUUCCAUCGGUAACCCCAGUCGAUCAACCCGUAAUGCCAUCGGCAUCUUCCAGUCAGAGGCGAGAGAUUACCUUGAAGCAAGUAAGCCACCCAAUCUCCAUCAGCACUAUUUACCGAUGCUUGACCAUGGAAUGACUCGCUUUGUUUUCUUUUUUAGGAACAGGAUUCUCCCGACAGCCUGUUCUCCUUUGCCAUUGAUAUCUCCGAAGAUGAAGGCGAGGAAGCAAGUUCCUCCCGGGCAGUUGGGAUUACGUCGGCAGAGAUUAGGGCAAAGUUGGAAGAACUAUCGGCUCUCCUCCAUCAGGACACGGCCCAACUAGUCGAUGACUCUGAUCCGGCCAAGGCUUUAUUCAAGACCUUGAGAGGCCAUAUUCCCGCUGAUGCUGAAGAAAUCCUCUUCCAGGCCGCACAUCUAGAGAGUCGUCAGCUGCAGUACCAGAAAGCUGCCCAGCGCCUUGCCGACAGAGCGGCUCAUGCCCAACUCUCCGAGGAGAUGAUGAAGGUGAAACUCCUUGCCGAUGAGAAGCACAAGAACAUUGGCAUUUUACAGUCCUCAGGAGAUGUAUUGAAGCAGAAGAUUUUCGAUCUAUCGGCGAGAUGAGAAACCCUACUGGCAGAACUCAAGCAAGUAGAAGAUGCCCUGUCCCAAGCCCGACAAGAAGAAAGCCAACUGCCAGAGACAAUUAAGCUUCUCGAGCAAGAACGAAACACCCAUGUCCGCAAGGCGCUGCAGAUGAAAAAGAAGCUGAAGCCGAUUGAAGGCUCUGCCGAUGACGACGUGAAGGAGAUAGAGGAAGCCAACCAGAUUCGUCUGCGCGCCAUAUCGGCGAUCCAGGCGCUGUUGAACACAUGAACCCUUCAUCAGCAACACAUCCUUGCCCCUCUGCACUUUCCAGCUCUCUUGUUGUUUAGUCUAGCUGAUAGGACUGUUAUCGGCACAUUUUGAAACAUUAAGUCCGGCCCCAGACACAUCUCAAUCCAGCCGAUAGGAGUGUUAUCGGCAUUUAAACUUUUAUGCAUCGACCCAUAUACUUGGGUAGUACUUCUUUAGAUAUUUGCCAUUUAAUGCUCUGGGAAAUUUAACUCCUUCGAGAGUUUCUAGAAUAUAAGCAUUACCAGGAGCCAAUCGACUUAUCCGAUAGGGACCUUCCCAAUUGGGAGACCACUUCCCAAACUUUGGACUUUUAGUCCCGAUCGGUAAGAUUAAUUUCCAUACUAAAUCCCCAUCGGCAAACUCCUUAGCUUUUACCUUCUUAUCAUACCAUCUGGCAACUCUUUUCUUAUUCUCUUCUAUACUCAUCAAAGCCCUCAGCCGAUGCCCUGCUAGAUCAUCCAACUCGUCUGUCAUCAAAGUAGCAUAAUCAUCGGCAGCCAAUUGAUCUUGAAAAGAUAAUCGCCUAGACCCAGCCUUAAUUACCCAAGGUAAUACUGCAUCAUGCCCAUACACCAAUUGAUAGGGUGAAACCUUGGUCGACCCAUGACAAGCCAUCCGGUAUGACCAUAAAGCCUCGUUUAACAACGUGUGCCACCUUCUAGGAUUUUCUUCAAUCUUCCGUUUAAUAAGCUUAAUAAUUCCUUUGUUAGACGCCUCGGCCUGCCCAUUGGCUUGAGCAUAGUAAGGAGAAGAAUUCAACACUUUAAUCCCCAUACCGAUUGCGAAUUCAUCAAACUCCCCUGAUGUAAACAUAGUGCCCUGAUCGGUAGUAAUUGUUUGAGGAAUCCCAAAUCGGUAAAUAAUAUGCUCUUUCACAAAAUCAAUCAUACUGGCCGAUGUAACUUUCUUCAAAGGAAUAGCUUCAACCCAUUUGGUGAAAUAAUCGGUGGUGACUAGAAUAAACUUAUGCCCUUUGCUAGAUGGUGGAUAAAUCUGGUCGAUCAAAUCAAUAGCCCAUCCUCGGAACGGCUAAGGCUUUAUAAUAGGAUUCAUAGCCGAUGCAGGCGCCCUUUGAAUAUUACCAAACUUUUGACAUCCUUGACACCCUUUGAAAUACUUAAAGCAAUCUUCAAGUAUAGUCGGCCAAUAAUAUCCAUUCCUCCUAAUCAUCCACUUCAUCUUAAAAGCCGAUUGAUGUGCUCCACAUACCCCUUCAUGGAUUGCUCCCAUCAAACUUCUAGCUUCAUCAUCACCGAAGCAUCGGAGAAGAAUCCCAUCAAUAGUUCGGUAAUACAAUUCAUCUUCGAGGAGCACAUACUUGGUAGCUUGAAACCGAACCCACCUUUCAACUUUCUUAGAUGGAUCCUUCAAAUAAUCAAUGAUUUCUUUUCUCCAAUCAUCGACACCAAUUGCCGAUAUCGUACUAAUCAUAGGCUGAUAUCCCAAGGCAUGCUGAGCCAACCGAUUGGCCUCUUCAUUAUGCAAUCGAGGAACAUACUCUAAUCGGAAGUCUUUGAAUUCCUUUAACAGUUGUAUACUCCUUUCGUAAUAAGUUAUGAGAACUUCACUUCGACAUUCAUAGCUUCCAGCCAAUUGAUUUAUAACUAGCAUAGAAUCCCCGAAGACCUCAACAGCAUCAGCAUGAACUUCUCUUAACAACUCUAAUCCCUUUAUUAAAGCUUGAUACUCAGCCUGAUUAUUCGUCGACGUGGCAACAAUCGGCAAGGAAAACUCAUACUUCCUUCCCCGAGGGGAAAUUAAUACUAUGCCGAUCCCUGCUCCCCGGUCACAUGUGGAUCCAUCAAAGAAGAAUGUCCAAGGUACAAUUCCCAAAGUUUCCACUGUACCACAAUGUCGUGUUACAAAAUCGGCCAUAAUCUGACCCUUAACUGCCUUAGCCGAUUCGUAACGCAGAUCGAAUUCCGACGGCGCCAAAAUCCAUUUACAGAUCCAACCACUCAUAAUCGGCAUAGACAGCAUGUACCGGACCACAUCAUCCUUGCAAAUAACAGUGCAUUCGGCCGAUAGCAAGUAGUGCCUCAACUUGAUACAAGAGAAAUAUAGGCACAAGCAUAGUUUCUCGAUAGCUGAAUACCUGGUCUCAGCAUCAAUCAGCCUCCUGCUUAAGUAAUAAAUCACACGUUCCUUCCCUUCAAAUUCUUGAAUUAAAGCCGAACCGAUGACCAUCCCAUCGGUAGACAAAUACAAUCUGAAGGGCUUCCUUGCUGAGGUGGAAUUAAAACUGGAGGACUCACUAAAUAGUUCUUGAUUUCAUCCAGAGCCAACUGUAGUUCCUUCCCCCAGACAAACUCUUGAUCGGCCUUUAACUUCAGAAGAGGACUGAAAGCACGAAUUUUACCAGACAAAUUAGAUAUAAACCUUCUGAUAAAAUUUACCUUGCCGAUCAAGGACUAGAGCUCGGUCUUGUUGGUAGGGGCCACUAUCUUAUUGAUGGCAUCAAUAGAUCUUUGACCGAUUUCAAUCCCCCUUUGAUGCACCAUGAAACCAAGAAAUUGUCCUACCGAAACACCAAAUGCACACUUAUUGGGGUUCAUUUUCAAACCAUUCUUCCUUGUGCACUCCAACACCUUUCGUAAAUCAGCAAGAUGCUUUGUCAAGUCUCCAGAUUUUACCAUGACAUCAUCAAUAUAAAUCUCCACCAGCUUGCCGAUGAACUCAUGAAAUAUAAAAUUCAUGGCCCUUUGAUAAGUAGCACCAGCAUCCUUUAGGCCGAAGGUCAUGACUAUCCACUCAAACAAUCCAACAUGACCAGGACAUCUAAAUGUGGUCUUUGGAAUAUCUUCUUCUGCCAUGAAUAUCUGAUUGUAUCCUGCAUUGCCAUCCAUAAAGCAAAUAAUCCGAUGCCCAGCCGCAGCAUCAACUAGCAGAUCGGCAACUGGCAUUGGGUAUCCAUCCAUCGGUGUAGCCUUGUUGAGAUUCCUAAAAUCAAUGCAGACUCGAAGCUUCCCGUUCUUCUUGUACACCGGAACAACAUUGGAAAUCCACUUGGCAUACUGACACUGCCGAAUAAACUUGGCUUCAAUAAGUUUAGUUAUUUCGGCCUUGAUGUCAGGAAGAAUAUUAGGAUUACAUCGGCGAGCAGGCUACUAAUGUGGCCAAAAUCCAGACUUGAUAGGCAACUGAUGUUCAACAAUCGAUCGGUCCAAACGAGGCAUUUCAGUAUAAUCCCAAGCAAAGCAAUCUUUAUAUUCCUUUAACAAAUCAGUCAACUGCUGCUUACACUCAGGACUUAACUUAGCACUAAUAAAAGUAGGUCUAGGUUUAUCACCACUACCUAUAUCUACUUCUACCAAAUCAUCGGCCGAUGUGAACCCCUGGCCUAAUUUUCCAUCAUCGGCGAACCUAUCCAUUAAAAACCAUCUUCAGAACCGACUGCUUGGAUCGGUGGAAUUUCAUAAUCGGCAACCUUGAGAAAAUCCUUUUCCCAAGCUUCUCCUGAAAUACACCUAGUCCUUUCAUAGGUGUCAGCCUCUACCGAUGCGAUGACAUAAGAAGAGUCUCUUGGGACAAUUUCAAUCUUAUCGCCUACCCACUGGACCAAGCAUUGGUGCAAUGUAGACGGGAUGCAACAAUUGGCAUGAAUCCAAUCUCUUCCCAACAGUAAGUUGUAAGCACCCUUUCCACUGAUCACGAAGAAGGUUGUCGGCAAGGUUUUACUGCCGAUGGUCAACUCUACGCAUAUAGCUCCCUUAACUGGGGAUACAUUGCCCUCAAAGUCCUUGAGCAUCAUAUCGGUCUUGGUCAGGUCCUGAUCUCCUUUUCCAAGCUUCCGACACACAGCAUACGACAUGAUGUUGAUAGCAGCCCCACCAUCAAUUAGAAUCUUGGUCAUCGGCUGCCCAUCAACCCUUCCUUUGACAAACAGAGCCUUGAGAUGUUGCCUUUCAUCAUCGGCAGGCUUCUCGAAGAUAGCUAUCAUCGGAUCCAGAGCCAAUUGAGCUAUUUGGUCAGAGAAUUCUACCUCAUCAAAACUGGAUGGCGUGAGGAACUCUAUCGGCAACAUAAAGACCAUGUUGACAUCUGUCGAUGGACCUUUCCCCUUAGGAUCUGGUUGUUGCUGAUCCCUAGACAGUCCAAAGUUCUCCCCCUUGCUCGAGUCUUCUCGCCUUUCACGCUGCAGUCUUCUCUUCUGAGUCCUGGUCAACCUCUCCGAACACCAUGGAGGAAGUUGCUGCUGCCUUACUGAUGGGAGGCGAUUUUCUCCUGACCCCAUUUGGUAAGUAUUGGCAUCUCGGCAGAUGAUGAACUCAUCGGGAGCCCGUGCAUUGGCCAUCUCUUCGAGUUCUUCCUGGAUCCUGGGAAAAUAUUCAACACGAUCCCCAAGUCUAUCGUGCACACUGAGUCUGCCCCCCAGCCGAUCAUGAACGGAUGCUCUCCCCCUAAUCGGCCAAUCAAAUCGUCGAUCAUUAUCACGAUAGUACCUAUCGGACCUGUCAUACCGGUCAUAACCGUUGCACUCGGGACAAUCUCUGACAGUGGGGAGUUUGAUAUUUUCCUCCCAACAAUGAAUGAAGAACGGGCAAUUCCAGUGGUCCAUAUGCCGAUUCCACUUCUGUCGGCGUCUUUCCUAUUCCCGACGAUAAUCCUCUUGCUGGCGCCGAUACCGAUCUUCACGUUGCUGCCAAGUCUCCCGGGGCCUCCUGUGAGUUAUCACAACGCCAGAUCGGGGAGGCCUUCCUGAGUUAGCUCCCUCCUGGAUCAAGCCUUUCCCUUUCGCAUCGGCAGUAGUGAUUUGAUGCUGAGGAUCCACCGAUGCACUUCUUUCAGCUGCUUCUGACGUUAAGACCUUGGCCUUUCCCUUCGCAUCCAGCAUGUUCGUUGGGAAAGGAUGUUGAUCAAUCUUCAUCGGCUUCUGGGUCUUGGAACUGUCAAAUUUGAUCCUUCCAGACUCUAUAGCCGAUUGUAGUUGCUGUCUGAAAACCAUGCACUCAUUAGUGUCGUGAGAAGUUGCAUUGUGCCACUUGCAAUAUUUCAUCCUUUUCAAUUCUUCAGCCGAUGGGAUCACGUGAUUAGGUGACAGCUUGAUCUGACCUUCCUGAAGUAGAAAGUCAAAUAUCCUAUCGGCCUUAGUGGUAUCGAAUGCGAACUUCUCUGGUUGUUUAUGUCCAAAAGGGUAAGACAUCGACUUCUUAUUUUUCACCCAUUCUGCCAAGUCGAUGAUUGGUUCCUCAUCAGAGUCCGAGCUUGUUGCUUCAUCAACGAACGACACCUUUUUGUCCAUGCUCUCUUGGGCUCGAAAGGCUUGAUGUCUUGAUCAGAAAUCCUUUGCACCAAAUGACUUAAGCUUUCAAACUCCUGAGACGCAUACUUGUCCCUGAUGUGUGGCAACAAACCCUAGAAAGCCAAAUCGGCUAGCUGCCGAUCAUCCAGAACCAGGCUAUAGCAUUUAUUCUUGACCUCACGUAUCCUCUGCACAAAACUUUCAACCGAUUCAUCAUUGCGUUGCCUCAAUUUAACCAAAUCGGUGAUCUUCUUCUCAUGGACCCCAGAAAAGAAGUAUUUGUGGAAUUGUUUCUCCAGAUUGGCCCAAGUAAUCACUGAGUUGGGAGGUAAUGAUAUAAACCAGGUAAAAGCUGAUCCAGACAAUGAUGACAAGAACAAGCGAACCCUUAACUCGUCCCUGUUACCAGCUUCCCCGCAUUGAAUGGUGAACCUAUUGACGUGCUCCAUGGUUGACGUGUCAUCCUGCCCGGAAAACUUAGUAAAAUCCGGUACCUUGUACCGAUUUGGAAGCGGGAUCAAAUCAUAUGCGGGAGGAUACGGUGUCCGAUAAGAGUAAGUGUUGACUUUGGGUUUUAUUCCAAAUUGGUCCCUCAUCACUUCAGCGAUCUUAUCGGCCCAAUAAGCAUCGGCAUCUUGCCGAUGAGGCGAUUGCGGAUCGGGCGCCUACUGGUAGGCUUCCACGUGUCGAUGCGGCGCACGAUCUGCAUGGAACAUCAGAUUAAUCAUCUGGCCCCCAAUUUGUGGACCACCAAGCUGUUGCCCGCGAAUCUGUUGUCCGCCGACCUGGUGCCAAGAUUCAUUGGCUGGUUGGGAAUCCCCUGAUUCUGAAACCCAGGAUAGAUCUGGCUCUGCUGGAACCCUGUAGCCUGAUGACUCUGUUGGGGUGUUUGUGGAAAGACUUGUUGCCCAAGCCAUCCAUUAUUAGCAUUCAUCGACAUAGGACCUGCUGAUGACUGGUAAUUGGGUAUCAUCAUCGAAUUAGCAUACCCUCGUUGAGUCAUAAUCCUCUGUUGCAUCAGCAUUGAGUCUACCGAUGCGUUAGGCAUCUGGAACAUCGGAGCUUGAGAAUUCCCAGUGUAAGGUCUUGCAGUAGUAGUUGUAGUAUACUGGGGACUCUGAUUCAUCGGCAUGCUUGGGGUGCCGAUGCCAUAGGAGCCUUGCCUCUCACAUCAGUCGCCUGCGACAUACCCGGUGUUAACUCUGGAGGCAUACCAUAACCCCACCAGUUAGGAGGAGGAAUCGAUCCUGACAUUGCUGAUGCCAACAGAUCUAUAGCGCGUUUAAUCUGCCCAUCUAAAGUUGGUGGAUUAGUCGUCAUCGGCGUAGAUCGUGCAUUAGUGAUUCCUAACGUGCUUGGCGGAACAGGAAUUUCCGUGCCCGCAGCGGCCGUAGCAGCCGAUGGAGCUGUAACCACCGGUGAUCCUGGCUGAUGAUGAGAGGGGCCCACAUAGUCUGGUGGCAAUUGUCCUUCCUUGAACGUUCUGGCUAUGGCGUUGAAAACCGUAUUGGACAGCACAACAGCUUGGUUGAUCAAAGCACGGUUGAUAGCACUAUCAAACAUCUCUUGAAGUUUACCAGGAUUGGCUUCGAAAGUAACCUGCCGAGGCAUCGGCAGCGCAUCCUUCUGGAUCACUUCGCCGCUCCUGUUUAUGCUGAAGGACCUCAGGCAUUGCUCCUUGUAAUCCUCCAUGGCUUUAGCAAUAGCUUGCUUCUGCUCGUCUUUGAGACUAUCUUCUGUCACGGUGAUAACAUUCUCCAAGUCGAACUCAGUAUUCGACAUGUUGAUCUUGAUCUUGAAUCUAUCCCACCGGGCGUGCCAAAAGAUGUGUUGAUGCAAAAGCUGGUCUGCAAACACAAAGGGCUAAUACCCGAUUUAAACGUUAGGGCGUGCCAGCCGAUUUGACCUUACUAUCGGCAAAGGUGGUAACUCGAAUACUUUGGUCCUGGCAACAGCAAUGCGCCCGGAUGUCACAGCCAAGAGGUAUUCACGCGAAACUUGAGAACACGCCGAGCGUAAGUCGACAAAUUCCUAAGAACUCGUAAUGAAAAGGAAAAAGUAUGACGAAGUCGUCGAAAAAGUAGAUGCUUGGAAUAUGAGUAAAAACGUGUGUUUGAUUGAUUGAUAGAUAUCGAUUACAAACCCUAGGGUCUACAUUUAUACCCUACUCAAAGAGCUACAACCAGACACAACUAGAAUUUGAAUUCCAAAUUUAGACAGAAUCCGUGUACAAAACGAUCUAAAUAACUAAGGAAAACAUGAAACCAUCCGCACGUGACAAACUAGAACACCCCCACAAGCCGAUCGGCAACUUCCAGGUUCUCCCUCCGUAUCAUCGGCAGACUCCUUUAUCAUAGCCAUCAGCACAAACACAUCAUCACCUAUGCACUUGGUCACGUUCAACCAUCCUUCCAUCGGCAACCUUCUUCAUUGGCAACUCACCCUAUAGAUCAAGCACUGCCGUCUUAUCUUACCGACUUACACUUUACCAAUCAUGGACACGUGCCCAAAAACGGUGUCAACAGCCCCAGGCCACUCCAUUCUGUCCCCUCCCCGCUCCCCUCUUCUUCCUCCGCUCGCGAGCGCCACCGCCGUAGUCGUUCCGCCGCAGCGCCAUCACCGGAAAAGCCCCGCUGCUCACCGCCGGUCCCACCAGUGGCCUAUCCUCGGCGCCAAAGCCACCACUGCACUCGCCUUCGCCGCGGUAAGCUUUUGCGCACGCUCUACCGGGGUAAGAGGCCACCGUAUGCCGUGAAUCGCUCAUCGGAGUUACUACGACCUCGCCGGAGAGCUCCGCCACGUCGAACCUCACUCGUUUCUGCAUUGUUUCGCUUGCUUUUUGGCGCGUUAGAUCCGUAGCUCGAUGGGGAAGCCUCGACGGGACUUUGCGCGCGCUCUACCGCGCCGGAGCAACCUGGCCACGGCGAGCAGCGCCGCCGUGCCGCCAUGCAUGCUCGCGAGGGUGCUCCGGUCAUCCUCCGGCCGAUCCAAUUGCACCCUUGGGUGCGCCUCACUGCGGGGAGCACGAUGGUGCUCACCCCGUGGCCGGGGACCUCACCGCUGGCGAGAUCCGCUCGUCGGAGGUGCCCUCCCUCUCGGUCGCAGUGACCAGUGGGGUCAGAGGCCCACUGUCAGUCGCAGGGGGACCGAGUUGGGUACAGAUCCGGGUGUCCUUAGAGUUUUUUAUCUCGGUUUUGAAUUGGUUUUCAGAAAAUAAUUUCCAGAAAUUGAUUUAAAUGAUGGAAAAUCCAUAUCUUGAGAUGCAUGGCUCCAAAAUGAGUGGAAUAAAUUUUGAUGUGUUCUAGAAUCUCAGAUCUAUAGUUUGGUUUGGUUGCAUGUCAUGUUUGGACAAUUCUUCUGUGCAAUUAUAUUUAAUCCAUGUUUUUACUGAAAUUUGGAAAAUGCAUAGUAAUUAAAAUAUAGCUCAGAAAAUUGUGGAACUUGUUUUUUUGGCUCUGCAUAGAUGAUUAGGCUCUAGGAAAAUUAUGUCACACAUUAUUUGCUGUAUGAAUUAAUUUAUGGUGAUUUAAAUGCUUGCAUGGCAGUGGUUUAUGAUUUUAAAUAAAUAAUUGGAUCAUGCAAUUAAUCUGGAAAUUUUUGUGGGUGUUUCUUAUGUUAAUAAGUUAAUUAUAAAAAUAUGAAAUCUACUGUUUGACACUUAUACCACAGUAGAGUAUUUAUACUUGCUUUUAUGAAUUAAUCAUGCGAUUUUUGUAGCUCAAAAUAACUGUCCAAAUAUUAUGGGAAAUUUAUGGUAGACUUUAUGUUUGACUGGUAGUCUACUGUAAUUUUUUGUAGAAUUUAUUGAUAAACAGAAAUGCAUGCUAGUUUGGUAGGCCUAAAAAUGGAUAAGGAAAUUAUGAAUUGUUAUACAUAAGUUAAGUAAAAUAAAAGGGGUUUGGUGUACCUUUGAAGCAUCUUGUGAGUUGCUGGUUACACUUGAGGACAAUUUGUAGAAGAGAAGGGAAUAGAUGCUUAGUGUGAUUGCAUGUUCUCGGAUGAUGUUGACUACCUUGUAAAAAGAAUGACCAAUUAAAUCAUCUAUGCAUCAUGUCAUGGUCAUUUGGUACCCUCUCAUAUAAGCAUUGCACCCGGGCAACUCGCACUCCACUCAUGAGCACACAUGCAUCAUACAGGCUCACAGAAGAACGAGGUGGGACCCGAGAAGCAGGAGGAAGCACAGGAGCAGGAACCUCUGGGAGUGUCAGAGCCCGGAGAAGAGCUGCAAGAGUGCCCGGAUCACAAGCCGAGCACGUUUGAGAAAGGCAAGCCCCGGAGCAUUCUAAGUCUCCCUAUUCUCGCUAACUUAAAUAAUAUAUUAUGCUUGUUCUACUAUGUUACAUUUAAGUGAUAGGAAUUGCUUGAUAUCGUUGAUGCAUAUGUACUCCUUGAUAUCCCCACUUGUUUAUCUACCUUGUCCUAUGUAGAUAGGCACGGAGUCUAUGCUUAGCUUGCCUAGUCCGGUAGAAGUCGGGUGAUUCCCUGUCACCUACGAGAUAUAGGUGGAUACCUGCAUGAUUAAGCGGUGAUUGCUUUGGUAGAGAAUAACCAAGUGUGGAAUGGAAUUUGAGACCGGGCAGGGUCUUAUGGUGGGUUGACUGUAGUGCCCCUGCCUGUGUCGAUUAAGGACCGAUCGUUGACGGCCCUCUUGUCAUGUUGAACGCAUGCCCCACACUUAGCUGGAAGGAUAAGUCGUUCCGACCGCGAAGCCUGAACACUAUCCGGGCCGGAAGUCGAGCCGCCAUGCGCUGUAUUGGUGAUGGUUGAGGAGAACAACGAGGGCGCGGCACGCAACCUUGAUAUACCUUGGAUACCUCGGUCGCCGGAACGGUCCUCGGGUACUGGCGGUGCCUGCCGAACCCACGAUUUGGUCCUUGAUAGUGUAACACGGUGAUCUGUAGCUCACUUUAUCAGUGAGUGUGGUUUGUGUGGGGAAUACCUCGCCAGCUGGUUAGAAAUCGAUUCGAAUCGCCAUCGCGCCUGGACAGUGAGCACUUGACAUGAGCUUCGUCCUCGUAGUAAGGACUAUGGAACACUUGGGUUAUAUGAUAAAUAAUUGCAUGAAUGCUAUGAUGAGGUACCAUCAUAUUAUUACAUUGUUUGCCAUAGUGCAGGUGCAAACCUAGAUAAUAGGUAAUGAUACUUUCAACUUGAGCUAAUUAAAAGAAGAAGGAUUCCUUCAGGAUAUGUUAAUAGAAUAGUGUUUUUAUGCAAAAAGUCAUCAGCUACCCCCGCAAUAUAGCCUUCAUGAUCCUUGAAGAGUUCUUAUUUUUCGUUUAUGACGGGUAAGUCUAGCUGAGUACAUUCUCGUACUCAGGGUUCUACUCCCAUGUUGUUCUGCAGAUGGUCAAAUGUACUAUGGUUAUUGCAUCCUCUCCUUGUACCCAGCAAUGGGCGAUGACUAGACCAAUGGGCGAUGACUAGACCAAGGGCGAUGGUCACUCUACCUCCUCUUUUGCUUUUGUGGGAAUGACUGAACUAUGGCACUGUAUCAGACUAAGUAUGUGUGUGUUAUUUUCGAACUAUGAAGCUUCCGCUACUUGAGAACUUGGUUUGUAAUAAUUUUAAGAACUCCGAUGUAUUUUAUGAAUGUUGUAAACUGAAUGUAAUUGUGAAUGGUGACCGCUAAACUUAUUACGAUCUUGGCUGUAUGUAUGAUAUGUGGUCUGAAAUCCUUCGAGAUUUCACGGACUACCGGGAUUAUAUGGGUUUAAGCUCGAUGGUUCGACUGUGUAAAUGGUCACUAUUAAGCUUAAUCUCUUAUAAUUUGGGCGGUUCUGUUACAGCUGGUAUCAGAGCAAGGUUUGGCGAGUUACUAUUCAUAAGUACGUUCUAAACUAAAUUUAAACCGGUUUAAUAAAAGAUUUUAUUAAUUAAUGAUAAUCAAGGUGUCAAACUAAGUUUUUGGAAAACUAUCUAGUGUGCCAUGGUCAUAUCCUCUAUGCCCAGUUAAGGACUCUAAUGUGGCUAGUUAAGUACUGACUUGGGGGGAUUAUGCAUCAUAUUUCUAUUUCGUCGCUCAUACGGCGUGCAAUAGUAUGAGUACCAUUCAUUUGAGUGGUAAUGUAUGGACUAAUUCUUCCUCUACGCCUCAGUAAGUGGGAGCUGUGAGAGUAUGAUCGGAUACACUGCUGAUCUAGGGGAGUGUUGUUAGGUGCUGUGUCAUGCAUACAUGUUUGGUGUGCUUGGGAACACUACCGCAUGUUGGGAGAUUCCGUCCUGAGAGGCGAUGCCGUCAUUAGGGUGAUGAUGUGGGUAGUAACACGUCAUAUGCAUGGAUGGGGUGUCUGUGUAUGUGGGGUGUAUAGCUUUAAAUUCUUGUUCUGCAUGUUCAUACUAUGGUUGGGCUGAAAUGAGUUUUCUACAGGUACACUAACCACGUUCCCGCCUAGCACGCUAAUUAGGCUAUGAGAGAACGUUGUGUGCCACCGCAUAUACCGAUUAGUGUUAACCUUUGUUUCUAAGUUUGUGAGAUCGUAAGUCCGUGCAUGCAUCAUGUUCAUUUCAUAUCAUUGCUUACUUUCUCCCCUUAAUUUACCCUGUCCCAAUUCUAAAUAAGAUAAUUAAAGAUAAUCCUCAAUCUUACCCCAGGUAUUCCAUUUGCAGCAGAUGGCACGCACUAGGCUCACCGCUCGCAAGUCCACCAGUGGGCGGGCCCCUCGCCAUCCGUUGGCAGCCAGGAGCUCGCGUCAUAAGAGCAAGUUCCUGGAGGAGUUUGGGAUGCCCACCUUGCUUUGGAGGGUGCUCAGUUCGAUGGAGUAUCCCGAAGGAAGGGAACCUCGCUACUAUUGGGACAAGGAGCAGCUUGGUGACGGGACCCUGGUGGGGAUCGAGGCAGUGGUCCCUACCAGUGGAGGUGACCCCGCCUGGGGUGGCUGGGUGUACGAGUCCCGAGGUGUCACGCCUUUCCACGGUGCCAGCAGAGUGGCCUUUGCAGUUCUGAGGGACCUCAUGGAGAGGUUUCCACAGGAGCUGGCCCACGCCUUCGCUGGGGUGUUUCCUCGGGGUGACCCCUACACUUCGGUGUGGGAUCAGUCCGAGGUGAACGCUCUAGAGAGGAGUGCGGAUGAGUACCAUCACAGUGACAGUGCAGCUAUGAGUGCUAUGUAUGCCUUGAUGAAGACCUAUGGGGGCCUGGAGCGUUGUUUGGGGCACUUGUCUGGGUCUCUUCUCAUAGUCCAGGAUGAGAAGCGUCAGCUGCAGUGUGAGUUUGACACUGAGGUUAAGAGGUUGCAGGCAGAGUUGGCCUGCAUGACUCGAGAGAGGGUCAGGCGGUCCAGAAGAACAGUGAGCUGAGUCAGGACCUGCUUGCAGUUAGAGAGCAGAGAGGCAGGGUGACUACUGCUCAUAGGAACUGCGAGCGCAUGCUAGUUCAUGUGCUUGGUCAGAGGAAUGAAGCCUGGCACGAGGAGGACACCUUGAGGGCCCGACAACUAUAGCUUGAGCAGCAGCUAGCUAAUGCUGAGGAGUACAAUGAGAACUUGCAUGAGGAGAUCCACCAGCUGCAUAACCAGCUCCACCCUCACCACCUGCCUAGAGCAGCUGAGCUAGACUCUGAGGACGAGAUGGAUGAGGAUCCAGAGAUAGAGGCAGCUGCUAGUGGAGAUGAGGACGAGCAGGGCUCCGGCAUGGACAGUGCCGUAUCGAGUAGAUGCUAGGGCUCUAGAGCUAGUCCUUCUUCUUUUGUUGUUGAUGUUGCAUGGCAUGUCUUGUACUUUUGGAUCUGGGCUAUGUAAAACUUUAUGAGAUGACGCUGAAAGUCCAGUGUAUGUAUGCUGGCAAUUUUGGAUGUAUGUGAACCUUAUUGCUUGAAUGUUACUUAAUAUGUUAGUGAUGUUGUAUGCGGAUGAUGAAUUGUUGUGCCUCUAUUUAUUGUGCGAAUUUAUUUCCUCAGUAAAUUCAGUACGACAUAAUUCUACACAUGUCUACCAUUGAUGGCAACUCCUAACGAUUUCUUAUCAUUGACGCAUGCAGAUGGUGCAAACACGUGGCGGGGGUAACAGCAACCCUGGUCUUGGAGCAGGUACCUCCGGAGGUGGGGCUCGACGGAAUGAGGACAGUGCCCCAUAACCGCCGCCACCACCACCUCCUCUGUACACUACGGACGUGUUUUUCGCGCAGUUUCUGGGAAGCCAACGCAACAUGGAGCAUAUGCAGCGCAACAUGGAGGAAGCCCUGCGUAAUAUCGCUGACAAUACCCGCCGUGGGGAUAAUCAGGGCGGCCGUGAAGCCAAUCAGUACAGCUCUUUCAAGGACUUCAUGGAUACCAAGCCACCGGUCUUCAAGGAGGCCUUGGAACCGCUCGAGGCAGAUGAGUGGAUUAACACCAUGGAGCAAAAGUUCCGUCUUCUUCGGAUGACUGAAGAACUUAAGGCUGAGUAUGCAGCGCAUCAGUUACAAGGACCUGCUGGGAUUUGGUGGUCCCAUCACCGUACCACCUACCCAGAGGGAACCCCAAUCACCUGGAACCGCUUCACCACCGCUUUCCGGGGAAAUUACAUUCCUCUGGGCAUGGUUGAAAUGAAGGUUGGGGAGUUCAUGACGCUGUCUCAGGGAACGAAGUCUGUAAAGGAGUAUCUACACGCUUUUAACAAUCUCACUCGCUACGCCCUUGAGUUUGUGAACACAGAGGCCAAGAAGAUCGCUAGUUUCCAGAGAGGUUUGAGCCCAAAGAUGCUGAAGACCAUGGGUACAGGAACCCGGGCUACCUUCAAUGCUUACAUCAGUGACUGUCUGACCCAGGAGAACAAUAACAACAACUAUAGUGCAUCCAAGUCUCGUAAGAGGGCUUUUGAAGCCGGGUCCUCUCAGUCCAUGGCACCAAUGGUAGGGCGACAGCAGUAUCGUCCUCCUGCCCCAGGUGCUAGGUUCCGACCGUCGUAGAGAAGGAACACCGGGCAUCCCACACAGCAGAAGCCGUACAAGGUGGCGAUAGCUCCUACCAAGCCAAAGGCAAUUCAAGCUGCAGCACCUGCCGCCAACAAUGUGACCAAGGGACCGUGUUACAACUGCCACAAGAUGGGGCACUUUGCGAAGGAAUGUCCCUACCCCAAGAGGCAGCAGACAACCUACCCAGCCCGUGUGCACCAUACCUCAAUAGAGGAGAUCCUAGAAGGAGAACCGGUAAUAGCUGGUAUGUUUUCUAUCAACCAACAUCUUGCAGUUGUUUUGUUUGAUUCUGGAUCAUCGCAUUCAUUCACGAGCCAAGCAUUAGCACAAAAGCAUGACCAAACAGUUACAGAUUUGGGUUAUGGCUAUCGUAUCAAUUCAGCAGGAGCAGAUGUCUUGACAAAUACAGUGGUCCGAGGGGCAACCCUAGAUAUAAGUUACCGGGUGUUUUGAGUAAAUCUGGUAGUCAUGCCUGGAUUAGUUUUGGAUGUUAUCAUGGGCAUGAACUAGAUGAAAGAGUGGAAUGCUGUUAUAGAUACUGGAAGAGGGUGUUAUCGCUCAGAGAACCUCAGGGCAGUGGAUCUUUCCAAGUACCUCUGCCCCAUCGCCUUUACUUUGCUAGCAUCUCUUGUGCUACGCACGUGGUUCCACUACCACAGAUCCCAGUAGUCUGUGAGUUCCCUGAUGUUUUUCCUGAGGAAUUACCAGGACUUCCUCUAGACAGGGAAGUAGAGUUCGCAAUAGAGUUGAUACCAGGUACAGCACCGAUAUCUAGAAGGCCGUACUGGAUGCCGCCAAACGAACUCGCUGAGUUGAAGAAUCAACUGAAGGAAUUGUUAGAUAAAGGGUUCAUCCAGCCAAGUUCGUCAGAAUGGGGUUGUUCGGCGUUGUUUGUGAAAAACAAGGAUCAAUCGCUGCGCAUGUGCGUGGACUAUCGUCCACUCAAUGCGGUGACAAUCAAGAAUAAGUAUCCAUUGCCAAGGAUUGAUAUUUUGUUUGAUCAGUUGUCCAAGGAAAAAGUAUUUUCCAAGAUAGAUUUGAGGUCCGGGUAUCACCAAAUCAAGAUCCGUCCGCAAGAUAUCCCGAAGACUGCUUUUUCCACCAGAUAUGGGUUGUAUGAGUAUCUUGUCAUGUCCUUUGGGUUGACGAAUGCUCCUGCAUACUUCAUGUAUCUGAUGAAUUCGGUCUUUAUGCCAGAAUUAGAUAAGUUUGUUGUGGUGUUUAUCGAUGAUAUUCUGGUUUAUUCAGAAAAUGAGCAAGAUCACGGCGAGCAUCUGAGAGUCGUGCUAACACGACUGCGAGAGCAUCAAUUAUAUGCAAAGUUUAGCAAGUGUGAGUUCUGGUUGAAGAAAGUUCCUUUCCUAGGGCACAUUCUGUCUGAAGAAGGGAUUGCUGUGGAUCCGUCAAAAGUACAGGAAAUCAUGGACUAUAAGGCACCAACUUCUGUCUCGGAAGUUCGAAGUUUUCUUGGUCUGGCCGGGUAUUAUCAUCGUUUCAUACCCGACUUCUCCAAGAUUGCUAAGCCAAUGACCAGUUUGUUACAAAAGGAUCAUAAGUUUGUCUGGACGGAAGGGUGUGAACUAGCCUUCCGCACCUUGCGAAAGUUGCUAACCACCGCUCCCGUUCUAGCGUAACCCAAUAUCGAGAAGCCUUUCGAUGUGUUUUGCGACGCAUCGAAAAGUGGAUUAGGAUGUGUGCUGAUGCAAGACGGUAGAGUAAUAGCUUACGCUUCAUGACAGUUGAGAAAGCACAAAGCCAACUAGCCCACUCACAAUCUCGAGUUAGCAGCGGUAGUGCACGCUUUGAAGAACUGGAGGCACUAUUUGCUAGGAAGUAAGUGUCAUAUUUACACCGAUCAUAAAAGUCUGAAGUACAUCUUCACUCAGCCCGAGCUGAAUAUGAGGCAACGAAGAUGGUUGGAACUGAUCAAGGAUUAUGAUCUGGAGGUCCACUAUCAUCCAGGUAAGGCUAAUGUGGUAGCAGAUGCAUUGAGUCGCAAACCGCACUAUCAAGUGGUUCAACUGUUGUAUGAAGAUGGUUUCAAUCUCCUGCAUCCUGAAGUCUUAUAUCACAUAGAGCUCAGUUGUUCACUUGAGAGUCAAGUCAUCGAAGGUCAGAAAACAGACAAGGGUAUUUUCCACAUCAAAGAGAAGAUCAAAGAUGACCCAAAAACUCAGUUCCGAGUUGAUGAGAAAGGGGUAUUGUGGUUUCAACACCGGCUAGUAGUUCCGAAGAAUCGAGAAUUAAAGAAUCGCAUCAUGGAUGAAACACAUCUCUCCAAGCUUUCUAUUCAUCCUGGUAGUAGUAAGAUGUAUCAAGACCUAAGAUCUCACUUUUAGUGGACUAAGAUGAAGAAAGAGAUAGAAGCGUAUGUGGCCUGUUGUGACACGUGUUGCAGAGUCAAGGCUAUACAUAUGAAACCUGCAGGUCUGUUACAACCGUUAUCAAUUCCAGAGUGGAAAUGGGAAGAGGUCAGUAUGGAUUUUAUCACAGGGUUGCCGACAACACGAAAGGGAAAUGACUCGAUUUGGGUAAUCAUAGAUCGAUUGACCAAGUCGGCUCAUUUCAUUCCAGUUAAGAACACAUACAGACCUCAUGACUAUGCUGAUAUAUAUGGCUGAGAUCGUCAAGUUACAUGGCAUUCCCAAGACUAUCAUAUGAGAUAGAGGACCACAGUUCACCGCUCACUUUUGGGAGCGAAUGCAUAAGAGUUUGGGGACCAGUCUGAUAAGAAGCACGGCGUAUCACCCCCAAACCUUGGGUCAAACGGAAAGACUCAAUCAUGUACUAGAAGAUAUGCUGAGGGCUUGUGUGUUAUCGUCCAAGGGAUCAUGGGAAUCGUGGUUGCCAUUGGCUGAGUUCUCAUACAAUAAUAGCUAUCAAGAGAGUAUCAAGAUGGCCCCGUUCGAAGCUUUGUAUGGUCGAAGAUGCAGGACUCCGUUAAACUGGGUUGAACCUGGUGAAAGGAGAUACUAUGGUAUCGACUUCAUGAACGAGGCUGAGAAAAAGGUACAAAUCAUACAGCAGCAUAUGAAGGCGGCACAAUCGCGACAAAAAGAGUUAUGCUGAUAAGAGAAGGAGGCCACUCGAAUUCAAUAUAGGUGACUAUGUUUACCUCAAGGUUACACCAAUGAAGAAAGUUCAACGUUUCCGAGUAUGAAGCAAGCUUGCACCCAGAUAUGUGGGACCGUACCAGAUACUAGAAAGAAAAGGUCCUGUGGCCUACAAGAUAUAGUUACCUGAAGAGUUGAGUUCAAUCUUUCCAGUUUUCCAUGUGUCCCAACUACGGAAGUGUCUGAAGGUACCCGAGCAGAGGAUCGAACCCCGAGGAAUCAAAAUAAAAGCAAACUUGGAGUAUAAGGAGCAGCCAGUGGGUAUCAUAGAUACCAAAGAGCGAGUAACCCGGAACAGAGUUGUCAAAACAUAUAAGGUGGUGUAGAGUCAUCAUGAUGAUAGGGAUGCUACCUGGGAAACCGAGGAUUACCUAAAAACAGUUUACCUAAAAUUUCACAAGAAAUGGUUAGUAACCCAAAUCUCGAGACAAGAUUUCCCUAAGAGGGGAAGGGCUGUAAGACCCUAGGUGUUAAGCAUGCACUUAGUCUCAUAAAACAUUCAUAAGCAUCCUCAUCAAGCAUGGCAUAAGCAUCACAUCCCAUGAGCACAAACAUAAUUCAAAGUGUGAUUUUAUGUGCUUUAUUUUAUGAGAAUUAAAUAUGUUACAAAUAUCAUGCUUGCUUCUAAAUUCUUGAAUUGCCCAAAUUAAGUUGAAAUGAGUGUUAGAAUAUUUAAGAGUAAUUUUGUGAUAUUUCUGGAGCUAUAGAAAUUGAGACAUUGAUUUUAUACUAAAUUUCCCAAAAUAGAUUUAUUUAAAAACCUAUAACUAGUUUUGAGUUGUAUUUCAAAAUCUAAUUGGAAUUUGUGAAUUCGACUUAAAGCAAAGUUGUAGGGUUUUUGUUUUGGAACAACUUUUAUUUUGAGAGAAAAAGGUGAAAAUGAUUUUUAAAUAGUCCAAAUGAAUUUAGAAAGAAUUUGAGAAAAGAAAUUCAAAAAAAAGAGAAAGGGGACAGGCGCUGCUGGGCCGACCCGCCUCCCUUUCGGCCCAGCCAGACAUCGCAGCCCGCUUCCCCUUCCCUCUCUCUCCCGCGCGCGGCGCCCGCCUCGCUCCACCCGGCGCCGGCCAUGUGGCGGCCGUACGCCGGCGUCGUGGACGCGCCGCGGCCGACCCGCCUUCACCUGGUCGGGACGCCGCCCCGCGCACUCAGGCGACUCCAUUCUGUCCCCUCCCCGCUCCCCUCUUCUUCCUCCGCUCGCGAGCGCCACCAUCGUAGCCGUUCCGCCGCAGCGCCAUCGCCGGAAAAGCCCCGCUGCUCACCGCCGGUCACGCCAGUGGCCUAUCCCCGGCGCCAAAGCCACCACUGCACUCGCCUUCGCUGCGGUAAGCUUUUGCGCACGCUCUACCGGGGUAAGAGGCCACCGUACACCGUGAAUCGCUCGUCGGAGUUACUCCGACCUCACUGGAGAGCUCCGCCGCGUUGAACCUCACUCGUUUCUGCAUCGUUUCGCUUGCUUUUUGUCGCGUUAGAUCGGUAGCUCGAUGGGGAAGCCUCGACGGGACUUUGCGCGCGCUCUACCGCGCCGGAGCAGCCUAGCCAUGGCGAGCAGCGCCGCCGUGCCACCAUGCAUGCUCGCGAGGGUGCUCCGGUCAUCCUCCGGCCAAUCCAAGGGCACCCUUGGGUGCGCCUCACUGCGGGGAGCACGAUGGUGCUCACCCCGUGGCCGGGGACCUCACCGCCGGCGAGACCCGCUCGUCGGAGGUGCCCUCCCUCUCGGUCACACUGACCAGUGGGGUCAGAGGCCCACUGUCAGUCGCAGGGGGACCGAGUUGGGUAUAGAUCCGAGUGUCCUUAGUGUUUUUUAUCUCGGUUUUGAAUUGGUUUUCAGAAAAUAAUUUCCAGAAAUUGAUUUAAAUGAUGGAAAAUCCAUAUCUUGAGAUGCAUGGCUCCAAAAUGAGUGAAAUAAAUUUUGAUGUGUUCUAGAAUCUCAGAUCUAUAGUUUGGUUUGGUUGCAUGUCAUGUUUGGACAAUUUUUCUGUGCAAUUAUAUUUAAUCCAUGUUUUUACUAAAAUUUUGAAAAUGCAUAGUAAUUAAAAUAUAGCUCAAAAAAAGUGGAACUUGUUUUUUUGGCUCUGCAUGGAUGAUUAGGCUCUAGGAAAAAUAUGUCACACAUUAUUUUCUGUAUUAAUUAAUUUAUGGUGAUUUAAAUGCUUGCAUGGCAGUGGUUUCUGAUUUUUAAUAAAUAAUUGGAUCAUGCAAUUAAUCUGGAAAUUUUUGUGGGUGUUUCUUAUGUUAAUAAGUUAAUUAUAAAAAUAUGAAAUCUGUUGUUUGACACUUAUACCACAGUAGAGUAUUUAUACUUGCUUUUAUGAAUUAAUCAUGUGAUUUUUGUAGCUCAAAAUAAGUGUCCAGAUAUUAUGGGAAAUUUAUGGUAGAUUUUAUGUUUGACUGGUAGUCUACUGUAAUUUUUUGUAGAAUUUAUUGAUAAACAGAAAUGCAUGCUAGUUUGGUAGGCCUAAAAAUGGAUAAGGAAAUUAUGAAUUGUUAUACAUAAUUUAAGUAAAAUAAAAGGGGUUUGGUGUAUCUUUGAAGCAUCUUGUGAGUUGCUUGUUACACUUGAGGACAAUUUGUAGAAGAGAAGGGAAUAGAUGCUUAGUGUGAUUGCAUGUUCUCGGAUGAUGUUGACUACCUUGUAAAAAGAAUGACCAAUUAAAUCAUCUAUGCAUCAUGUCAUGGUCAUUUGGUACCCUCUCAUAUAAGCAUUGCACCCGGGCAACUCGCACUCCACUCAUGAGCACACAUGCAUCAUACAGGCUCAUAGGAGAACGAGGUGGGACCCGAGGAGCAGGAGGAAGCACAGGAGCGGGAACCUCUGGGUGUGUCAGAGCCCGGAGAAGAGCUGCAAGAGUGCCCGGAUCACAAGCCGAGCACGUUUGAGAAAACUAAGUCUCCCUAUUCUCGCUAACUUAAAUAAUAUAUUAUGCUUGUUCUACUAUGUUUCAUUUAAGUGAUAGGAAUUGCUUGAUACCGUUGAUGCAUAUGUACUCCUUGAUAUCCCCACUUGUUUAUCUACCUUGUCCUAUGUAGAUAGGCACGGAGUCUAUGCUUAGCUUGCCUAGUCCGGUAGAAGUCGGGUGAUUCCCUGUCACCUGCGAGAUAUAGGUGGAUACCUGCUUGAUUGAGCGGUGAUUGCUUUGGUAGAGAAUAACUAAGUGUGGAAUGGAAUUUGAGACCGGGCAGGGUCUUAUGGUGGGUUGACUAUAGUGCCCCUGCCUGUGUCGAUUAAGGACCGAUCGUUGACGGCCCUCUUGUCAUGUUGAACGCAUGCCCCACACUUAGCUGGAAGGAUAAGUCGCUCCGACCGCGAAGCCUGAACACUAUCCGGGCCGGGAGUCGAGCCGCCAUGCACUGUAUUGGUGAUGCUUGAGGAGAACCACGAGGGCGCGGCGCGCAACCUUGAUAUACCUUGGAUACCUCGGUCGCCAGAACGGUCCUCAGGUACUGGCGGUGCCUGCGGAACCCGUGAAUUGGUCCUGGAUAGUGUAACACGGUGAUCUGUAGCUCACUUGAUCAGUGAGUGUGGUUUGUGUGGGGAAUACCUCGCCAGCUGGUUAGAAAUCGAUUCGAAUCGCCAUCGCUCCUGGACAGUGAGCACUUGACAUGAGCUUUGUCCUCAUAGUAAGGACUAUGGAACACUUGGGUUAUAUGAUAAAUAAUUGCAUGAAUGCUAUGAUGAGGUACCAUCAUAUUAUUACAUUGUUUGCCAUAGUGCAGGUGCAAACCUAGAUAAUAGGUAAUGAUAUUUUCAACUUCAGCUAAUUAAAAUAAGAAGGAUUCCUUCAGGAUAUGUUAAUAGAAUAGUGCUUUUAUGCAAAAAGUCAUCAGCUACCCCCACAAUAUAGCCUUCAUGAUCCUUGAAGAGUUCUUAUUUUUGGUUUAUGACGGGUAAGUCUAGCUGAGUACAUUCUCGUACUCAGGGUUCUACUCCCAUGUUGUUUUGCAGAUGGUCAAAUGUACUAUGAUUAUUGCAUCCUCUGCUUGUACCCAGCAAUGGGCGAUGACUAGACCAAGGGCGAUGGUCACUCUACCUCCUCUUUUGGUUUUGUGGGAAUGACUGAACUAUGGCACUGUAUCAGACUAAGUAUGUGUGUGUUAUUUUCGAACUAUGAAGCUUCCGCUACUUGAGAACUUUGUUUGUAAUAAUUUUAAGAACUCCGAUGUAUUUUAUGAAUGUUGUAAACUGGAUGUAAUUGUGAAUGGUGACUGCUAAACUUAUUAUGAUCUUGGCUGUAUGUACGAUAUGUGGUCUGAAAUCCUUCGAGAUUUCACGGACUACCGAGAUUAUAUAGGUUUAAGCUCGAUGGUUCGACUGUGUAAAUGGUCACUAUUAAGCUUAAUCUCUUAUAAUUUGGGCGGUUCUGUUACACUGCCGAUGAGGACAUCCGGGAGAUAGAAGAAGUCGACCAAAUCCGCCUACGCGCCAUAUCGGCCAUCCAAGCUUUGCUGAAUGCAUGAGCUCCUCAUCGGCGACUUGUUUUGUUCCGUCCUUAUAAUACUUUUGAUUAUUCUAGUCUAGCCAAUAGGACUGUUAUCGGCUCUUUUGAAAACAUUAUGCCCCACAUACAUUUCAUCCAGCCGAUAGGAGUGUUAUCAGCACUUAAACUCUUAUGCAUCAACCCAAAUGCUUGGGUAAUACUUCUUCAGAUAUUUUCCAUUUAAUGCUCUGGGAAAUUCAACUCCUUCGAGAGUUUCCAAAAUAUAAGCAUUACCAGGAGCAGAACGAUUUAUCCGAUAAGGACCUUCCCAAUUAGGAGACCACUUCCCAAACUUUGAACUUUUUGUCCCAAACGGUAAAAUUAAUUUCCAUACCAAAUCUCCAUUGGCAAACUCUUUGGCUUUUACAUUUUCAUCAUACCAUCUAGCAACUCUCUUUUUAUUUUCUUCUAUACUUGUCAAAGCUCUCAACCGAUGCUCUGCCAAAUCGUCCAAUUCAUCUUUCAUCAAAGUAGCAUAGUCAUCGACAGCCAGUUGAUCUUGAAAAGAUACUCGCCUAGAUCCAAUCUUAAAUUCCCAUGGUAGCACCGCAUCGUGUCCAUAUACUAACUGAUAAGGUGAAACUUUAGUCGAUCCAUGACACACCAUUCGAUAUGACCACAAAGCUUCAUUCAACAAUGUAUGCCACCUUCUAGGAUUUUCUUCAAUCUUUCGCUUGAUGAGCUUAAUAAUUCCUUUGUUAGAUGCUUCGGCUUGACCAUUGGCUUGAGCAUAAUAAGGAGAAGAAUUCAAUACUUUAAUCCCCAUACCGAUUGCAAAUUCAUCAAACUCUCCCGAUGUAAACAUGGUCCCCUGAUUGGCAGGGAUUGUUUGAUGAAUACCAAAUCGGUAAACAAUAUGCUCUUUCACAAAAUCAAUCAUGUUAGCCAAUGUUACUUUCUUCAAAGGAAUAGCCUCAACCCAUUUAGUAAAAUAGUCAGUAGCAACUAGGAUGAACUUAUGCCCCUUGCUUGAUGGUGGUUAAAUCUAGCCGAUUAGAUCAAUAGCCCAUCCCCAAAACGGCCAAGGCUUAAUAAUGGGAUUCAUAGCCGAUGCGGGUGCUCUAUGAAUAUUGCCAAAUCUUUGACAUCCUUGAUAUCCUUCGAAAUAUUUAAAGCAAUCCUCAAGUAUAGUUGGCCAAUAAUACCCAUUUCUCCUAAUCAUCCACUUCAUCUUAAAAGCCGACUAAUGUGCUCCACACACUCCUUCAUGGAUCUCACCCAUCAAGCUUUUGGCCUCAUCAUCACCCAAGCAUUUGAGUAGAACUCCAUCUAUCGUUCGAUAAUACAAUUCUUCUCUAAGGAGUACAUACUUAGUAGCUUGAAACCUGACACGCCUCUCAACCUUUCUAGAUGGAUCUUUUAAGUAAUCAAUGAUUCCCUUUCUCCAAUCAUCGGCACUGAUUGCCGAUAACAUAUUUAAGAUAGGUUGAUAUCCUGAGGCAUGUUGAGCCAACCGAUUAACCUCUUCGUUAUGUAAUCGAGGAACAUGAUCUAAUCAGAAAUCCUUGAAUUCCCUCAAUAGUUGCAUACUCUUUUCAUAAUAGGUUAUCAAGAUCUCACUUCGACAUUCGUAAAUCCCAGCCAAUUUAUUUAUAACAAGCAUAGAAUCGCCGAAGAUCUCAACAGCAUCGGCACGAACCUCUUUUAACAAUUCCAACCCACUGAUCAGAGCCUGAUAUUUAGCUUGGUUAUUCGUUGAUGUGGCAACAAUCAGCAAAGAGAACUCAUACUUCUUUCCCCGAGGAGAAAUUAAUACUAUACCGAUUCCUACCCCCCGGUCACACGUGGAUCCAUCAAUGAAGAGCGUCCAAGGAACAAUCUCCAAAGUCCCCACUACACCGCAAUGCUGAGUCACAAAGUUGGCCAUAAUCUGCCCUUUAAUUGCUUUAGCCGAUUCGUAACGCAGAUCAAAUUCCGACAGCGCCAAAAUCCAUUUGCCAAUUCUACCACUCAUAAUUGGCAUAGACAGCAUAUACCAGACUACAUCAUCUUUGCAUAUAACGGUGCAUUCGGCCGAUAGCAAAUAGUGUCUCAACUUAAUACAUGAAAAGUAUAAGCAUAAACAUAAUUUUUUGAUUGCCGAAUACCUUGUCUCAGCAUCAACCAACCUCCUACUUAAAUAAUAAAUCACACGUUCUUUCCCUCCAAAUUCUUGAAUCAGAGCCGAUCCAAUGACCAUCCCAUCGGUAGACAAAUACAAUUGGAAAGGUUGUCCUUGCUGAGGUGGAAUUAGAACUGGAGGGUUUGUCAAAUAACUUUUGAUUUCAUCCAAUGCCGAUUUUUGCUCUCUUCCCCACACAAACUCUAGAUCGGCUUUUAACUUAAGUAAAGGACUAAAAGCACGAAUCUUACCAGACAAGUUAGAUAUAAAUCGCCUGAUAAAAUUUAUCUUACCGAUCAGAGAUUGGACUUCAGUUUUGUUGGUGGGAGCAACUAUUUUGUUGAUAGCAUCAAUAGAUCUCCUACUAAUUUCAAUUCCUCUCUGAUGCACCAUACAACCAAGAAAUUGCCCUGCCGAUACACCAAAUGCACAUUUAUUAGGUUUCAUCUUCAAACCAUGCUUCCUUGUGCACUCCAACACCUUUCGCAGAUCGGCAAGAUGCUUUGUGAAAUCCCCAGACUUAACCACCACAUCAUCAAUGUAAAUUUCCACCAGCUUUGUAGCACCCGGUUUUAAGAACAAAACCAGAUACACACAAUAUGUGAGCCCAGGAAGUCAAAUCUCACAUAUAGCCACAAAUAGGAGUAAUAUCAAUAGACAAUGCUUAUAUAUAAUGAACUUAGUAUAAAAGAUAUAACCUUAGAUAGCAAACAGCGGAAAGACACUCCGUUCUUCAGGCGAAAGCUCCAAAUCCACAUGGACAACUGACUGGUUGAGCACAAAGAAAUGUAUAAUUACUUAUUUCUCCUCUAUUUCCAAAAGAGCAAAAUUUAGGGUGUUACAAUUCUACCCCCCUUAAAAUGAAUCUCGUCUCCGAAAUUCAGUUGGUGCUUACUCCAACAACUGCGGGCAUGUUUUUCUCAGAUCCACUUCUCUUUUACAAAUAGCCUCCUCUUCGGUGCACUGAUUCCACUAGACUUUGUACAUCCUGAAAAUCCAACUCCCGGUAACCCUUUCUGCGGUUUACAAUUUCUUAUCGGGUACUCUUCGUUUGUGAAAUCUGAUUUAACAGUCAAUUCUUUUAACGACUACCUGUUCUUAUGGCACACACAAGUACUUUUAAGUUGAGACACAUGGAAGACAUCAUACACUCCUCCUAAACUUUCAGGUAGCUCUAUUUGGUAUGCCGCUUCGUUCCAUAUUUCUUACAUCUUGAAAGGUCCGACAUACCUUGGUGCUAUUUGAACUCCUCCAGCACACUCUUUAUGAUUUGGGCAUCCGGAAAGGCUUUUUUCUCUUUCAAGUGAUAGCAUUUUUCCUAGUCAUAACUUCUUGAUUCAUUCGAAUCCAUCGACAAUGUGACCAGCUCAAAUCCAACUUCCUAAAGAUGUCCUUUAGUUUGUUACGUUCUACACAGAUAUCACUCCUUAGACCCAAUAAGAUAGUACCUCCAUGCUCCACUAUGGAUACCUCCACAUCACAUGUCAGUUAAUUCAACCCACUUAGUUGACUUAUGCACCAACCACUACUUUCCUUGUAUGGAGCACAUCUAAGGUCUUGAUGGAGUAGAGGAACCCUAUAUGUUGAUCUUUAUAACACCUUUAGUGAACCACUGAUAGAAUCUUAUCAUUCCAAGUCAAUCUCUUAUUCACUCUUAUGUCAAGAUCACAUUGGCCCCAGCAAACCUAUGAUAGCCUCUUGCCAUAUCUAUAAAACUCUAAGUCUCAUUCACUUUCCUUUGGUGGUUUCCAACUCUUGAAUUUUUAACUUUCUUAAGUCCAUCAUUAAAGAUUACAUCUCCUAGAUGAGAACUUCCAUCAACUAGAAUAUACUGGUCAUGCUCUCUUUAGCAAUGAAGUCUUUUGAGUCUCCGUAGAAUCAACAGUAGAUGUAGCAUACCCACUUCCUAAGUUGUCAAGUGACCAAUUUCACUAGCUCGAGCCAGGAUAGAUUAUAAUCAUGGGAUAUCUCCAAAGACAACUUCUCUCUUCAUGGUAAAUUGAAAGGGCAUUAAUCUAUCAUAUCAAGGUACUACCCCCCUUAAGAUGAGAUAGGUCGGGGGACAGUAUGGACUAGCUCUCAUAUUCCAUGUAUAACUUUGUAGCCUUUGGUGUCACCUGAUUCUCAUAAGCACCACUUCCAAGCUAUGAGUACCAGCAAUGACCUAUAUCACCAUCCAAAUUAUCACACUUUAAUGGAACAAUUUCAUGUAUCAAAACCAAAUUUUCCAAACACUUGAGGUCCUUAUCGAUGAUCCAAUGUUAACCAUUACUUCUCCCUGUAACUCCUUUGAUAAGACUACCCCCCUUAGAAAAGGUAAACUAGGGGCUUAAAUGGGUAGUUUAGUCCAUCUUUCAAGUGGGUUUCUUAUCAUCAAAACUUCUAACAACGAAGAGAAACUCAUGUGUACUGAUAUGUACAAGUAAUCUAAAAUUCCUCACGAUAUGAAAACACCAGCGCAGUAAAAUAGGCAUAACUCCUUUCCUGUUAAUCAAAUAAUGUCUUAGCUUAUACCGUUAGAAACCUUAUCAAAAUUCCUACAACUUUCAUAAAGAAGGCUUCCUUAGUUUUUGUCUUUAAACCUAGGUAAAACAGCCCAACAUGAUAUCCAUCCCGACAAUGUCUCAGCAUCCAUACAACAAUUUGCAGAAGUCAUAUCUCGAGCUACUUAGAUCAUAUGGGGACGAGUCUUACAUGGUUGAAAAGCAUAUGAAGUCCUCCACAACUUCUGUAUAUCACACUUUUCCAGAUUCUGAUGCUAAGUUGGCCGAAAAGUAGGAGCUAACUAGAACUGUCCAGAUUUUGAACUGUGCAGCAAUAGCAACUUGUAGAUGUCAUAACUCAAGUUCUAUUAAUCCGAUAAAGUUGCAGCUUGCAUCGUUGGAAAGCUUAUCAAAAGACCUAAAUCUUUAUUAUAGAACCUUUUCCCAAAUUCCGGAGUUACAUUUGUCAAAACAGUAGGCAACUGAAACUGGUCCAGAUUCAUGACAGCUCAACUAUACCAUCUUGUGAUUUUUGUAACUUCCAAACCAUAAUAGCUAUGAGGGUGAUUCUUGAGUCAAAGAACGAUCUUGUAGUCCACUGUCACCCAAAAUUUCCUCAUGAUUUUUGUUCAUUCGAGAACAUAGAUAUAAUCUGAUAAAGAGAGGAUACUCCAAAAAGGCAGGAUAAGAUAACAAGAGAAAAACCAAAACCCAACUAUUUAUGUCAUUAAUCCUUAUACCUUAGACCUAUACACUAAAUGAAAUUGUGGAGAAAUCCCACAAGAUCACUGCACUCACUACAAAGAUCCAAAUCAAGCAUAAGCAUAAUGACAAACCAAUUAAGCAUUAUAGUUUCAUACGUCAAACAAGUCAACUUGCGAUACUAUCGUUCUCUUCAUCUUAGGGGUUGGGAUCCUAAAACUUCUGUUUUGAAGACACAAGAAGAGUUAAGAGAAGGUUCUAAAAGCAUACCAAAUCAAGGAGUAAAGAUGAGAACAAAGAUUUUUAAAAUAAGCAACAAGGUAGGAAGGAAUAUCAAGGGUAGAGAUAUAGUAUAGAGGAAAAUACCAAGGUUUAUAGAGCAAGGGUGUUAUAACAAUUUCAAAACCUUAAGAUGACCAAUUGCUAACUAGGCUUGCGUCCUACAGUCAGCAUUGCUUUGAUACCACUUUGUAGCACCCGGUUUUAAGAACAAAACCAGAUACACACCAUAUGUGAGCCCAGGAAGUCAAAUCUCACAUAUAGCCACAAAUAGGGGUAAUAUCAAUAGACAAUGCUUAUAUAUGACAAACUUAGUAUAAAAGAUAUAACCUUAAAUAGCAAACAGCGGAAAGACACUCCGUUCUUUAGGCGAAAGCUCCAAAUCCACAGGGACAACUGACUGGUUGAGCACAAGCCUAAACUCUUCUCCAAACUAGCAAUCUGGUACCCAUCCUGGAUUUUUAUCCAAAUAAAAUGUAAAGGCAAGCGUAAGUACAUCUCGUACUCAGCAAGAAUAACAUGGGGUUCAUGAGGCUCAAAGACUAGACACUGGUUUAACUACAUGUAGCUUUUAGUUGUCAUAAUUUUAGCAUUUGAGUAGCAUCAAGUUGUCGAGUCCCAAAGCAAACUCAUGAUCAAGUAAAGUGAAUAAAGAAUAGCAUAAACAACAUAUUAACAACAAUAACUUUAAUGAUUUGCCAUUAGUGAUUAUUUAUUCUGUAUUGGUCCAAGGCCGCUCGUGACCGUGAGCACGGCUGAUAUAUCAGUUUUACACUCUGUAGAGGUUGUACACUUUCACUGUGAGUCAUGAUUUACCCUUUCGCCCGAGGUAGCUAAUCUCUUAACCCCCUUCCUAGGGAGGCCGGCAGGGUUCACUAUGAAGCCUUUCAAAGGUUCGUCUAACAAGUUAGGGCCGCUAGGUUUCGUUAGUCAGCCCGUGUGACUCACCCGCAGGAAUCCACGGUCUGCUAUUCCCCAUUUGCGCCACAAGGGUAACCACUAACAAGCUAGAAAAGGUCCUCAUACUGAGCUAAAGCCAGAGCCAUGUAGCCCUCACAGUUGUACUGUAUGUCCCGGAUGGUCAGAUACAGAUCAGUCCUUAUGGAGAGAAACUAGAGCACCAUAAGAUAGCCCAAUGCUCCAGCCCUCUUUACCAAAGUUGCCAAAAAGUCAUCCUUUAAUGUUUAUUGCAUAUUCCAUUAGUCAAAUUACAAGAUCAUGGUUUAGUGGAGCACUAGCAUAGGCUACCCAAUGCAAACCAUAGGUGACAAGGUAUAAGAUCAAUACUAGGAAAUCCUUAUCAAGGAGACACAUGCAAUAUGAAAUGUGUGAUUAAAGUUAUUAGGAAACAAGGAUGAUCCCAUGCUAUACUUGCCUUAAAUUUAGCUCCUUCUUCAAGUCCAACCCAUGAAAGAACUGCUUCUAGAUUCACCACGUAUGGCUCACCGACUAGACAUGAUCAUAAAGCACCACACAAGCAUUCAUACCAUCACACACGAAGCAAACAAUAGAACUAAAUUAGAGCAGUACACCAAACAAUAAAAAGAUUUGAAAACUAAUCGACACAUCGUUACGAGCAUACAGACGUAAAAACACUCUAAUCGAAGUUAUAGUGAAAAAGAACGACUACCGGGAGUUUAUAUUAUAAACGAAAAGCCUACAUUUAUUUUAGUAAAGCUGCAUAAAGUUAAAUUACUUUAGAUAAAUCAAAUUACAUUUUAACUUGAAAACUAAAUUAAAACUAUUAACGUUUUAUUUAUAAACACUAUUGUAUAUUUUAUUAGGCAAGUGUUGACACUGUUUCUGAGCACGUGUCCAUAAACGGUAAAAGUAUAGAUCGGCAGGAUAAGGCGGUGGUGUUUGGUCUGCAGGGAGAGUUGCCGAUGGAGAUGGUCGCCGAUGGAAGGAUGGACGAACGUGAUUAAGUCUAUAAGUGGUGACAUGUCUGUGCCGAUGGCUACGACAAGGAAGUCUGCCGAUGAUUUGGAGGGAGAGCCUGGAGGCUGCCGAUCGGUUUGUGGAGUUGUUCGAGUUCGUCACGGAAGGAUAGUUUUAUAUUUUCCUUAGUUGUUUAAGUCAUUUUGUAUACGGAUUCUGUGUAAUUUGGAAUUCGAGUUCUAGUCGUGUCUGAUUGUAGCUCUUUGAGCAGGGUAUAAAAAUAGACCCUAGGGCCUUGUAAUGAUCUAUCUGUCAAUCAAUCAACACACAUUUUUACUCAUAUUCCAGCAUCUACUUUUUCGACAACUUCGUCAUACUUUUUCCUUUUCAUUACGAGUUCUUAGGAAUUCGUCGACUUAAGCUCGGCGCGUUCUCAAGUUCCGCGUGAGUACCUCUUAGCCGUGACAUCCGGGCGCAUCGCUGUUGUCAGGACUAAAUUAUUCGAGUUACCACCUUUGCCGAUAGUAAGGUCAAAUCGGCUGGCACGCCUUAACGUUGGAAUCGGGUAUUAGCCCUUUGUGUUUGCAGACCAGCUUUUGCACCAACACAUCUUUUGGCACGCCCGGUGGGACAGAUUCAAGAUCAAGAUCAACAUGUCGACUUCUGAGUUUGAUCAAGAGAACGUCAUCCCCGUGACGGAAGCCAAUCUCAAGGAUGAGCAGAAGCAAGCUAUUGCUAAAGCCAUUGAGGAUUACAAGCAGCAAUGCCUGAGGUCCUUCAGCAUGAACAGGAGUGGUGAGGUGAUUCAGAAGGAUGCACUGCCGGCACCUCGGCAGGUUAAUUUUGAGUCCAAUACUGGCAAACUUCAAGAGAUGGUUGACAACGCUAUCAACCGUGCUUUGAUCAACCAAGCUGGUGUACUAUCUAAUACGGUUUUCAAUGUCGUGGCAAGAAAUUUCAAGGAGGGACAAUUGCCACCAGAUUAUGUGGGCCCCACUUAUCACCAGCCAAAGUCACCAGUCGUCACAGCUCCAUCGGCUGCUACGGCCGCUGCGGGUAUGGAGAUUCCUGUUCCGCCAAGCACGUUGGGAGUCACCAAUGGACAUUCUAUGCCGAUGACAACUAAUCCACAGACUUCAGAUGGGCAGAUUAAACUUGCCACAGAUCUGUUAGCAUCGGCAAUGACAGGGUUAACUCCUCCUCCCAACUGGUGGGGUUGUGGCAUGCCUCCAGAGUUAACGCCGGGUACAUCGCAGACGACUGAUAUGAGAGGCAAGACUCCUAUGGCAUCGGCACCUCCCAAUAUGCCGAUGAACUAGAGUCCCCAGUACACUACAACUACUACUGCAAGACCUUACACUGGGAAUUCUCAAGCUCCAAUGUUCCAGAUGCCUAACGCAUCGGCAGAUUCGAUGCUGAUGCAACAGAGGUCUAUGGCUCAAUCAGGGUAUGUCAAUUCAAUGAUGAUGCCCAAUUACCAGUCAUCGGCAGGGCCUGUGCCGAUGAACGCUAAUAAUGGAUGGCUUGGGCAGCAAGUCUUUCCGCAAACACCCCAACAGAGUCACCAGGCUACAGGGUUCCAGCAAGGACAGAUCUAUCCGGGGUUCCAGAAUCAGGGGAUUCUUAACUAGCCAAUGAAUCUCGGGUAGCAGGUCAGCGAACAGCAGACUGGCGGGCAACAGCUUGGUGGUCCAUAGGUUGGAGGCCAGAUGAUCAACCCAAUGUUCCGUGCAGAUCGUGCACCGAACAGACACGUGGAGGCUUACCAGCAGGCACCUGAUCCGCAACCGCCCCAUCGGCAAGACGCCGAUGCAUACUGGGCCGAUAAGAUUGCUGAAGUAAUGAGAGACCAAUUUGGGAUAAAACCCAAAGUCAAUACUUACUCUUAUCGGACACCGUAUCCUCCUGCAUACGACUUGAUCCCGCUUCCACAUCGGUACAAGGUACCAGAUUUUACUAAGUUUUCUGGGCAGGAUGACACGUCGACCAUGGAACACGUCAACAGGUUCAUCAUUCAAUGCGGAGAAGCUGGUAACAGGGACGAGUUAAGGGUCCGUCUAUUUUCAUCAUCAUUGUCUGGAUCGGCCUUUACCUGGUUUAUAUCACUACCUCCCAACUCAGUGAUUACUUGGGACGAUCUGGAAAAACAAUUCCACAAACACUUCUUUUCCGGGGUCCAUGAGAAGAAGAUCACCGAUUUGGUCAAAUUAAGGCAACAUAAUGAUGAAUCGGUUGAGGGUUUUGUACAGAGGAUACGGGAAGUCAAGAACAAGUGCUAUAGUCUGGUUCUGGACGAUCGGCAGCUAGCCGAUUUGGCUUUCCAGGGUUUGUUGCCACACAUCAGGGACAAAUAUGCAUCUCAGGAGUUUGAAAGCCUAAGUCAUCUGGUGCAAAGAAUCUCUGAUCAAGAAAUCAAGCCGUUUGAACCCAAGAGAGCAUGGAACAAAAAGGUGUCGUUCGUUGAUGAAGCAACAAGCUCGGAUUCUGACGAGGAACCAGUCAUCGGCUUGGCGGAGUGGGUGAAAAACAAGAAGCCGAUGUCUUGUCCUUUUGGACAUAAAGAACCAGAGAAAUUUGCGUUUGACACCGCUAAAGCCGAUAGGAUAUUCGACUUUCUGCUCCAGGAAGGUCAGAUCAAACUGUCACCUAAUCACGUGAUCCCAUCGGCUGAAGAAUUGAAAAGGAUGAAAUAUUGCAAGUGGCACAAUGCAACUUCUCAUGACACUAACGAGUGCAAUGUGUUCAGACAGCAACUGCAAUCGGCUAUAGAAUCUGUGAGAAUCAAAUUUGACAGCUCCAAGACCCAGAAGCCGAUGAAGAUUGACCAACAUCCUUUCCCAACGAACAUGUUGGAUGCUAAGGGAAAAGCCAAGGUCUUAACCUCAGAAGCAGCCGAAAGAAGCGCAUCGGUGGAUCCUCAGCAUCAAGUCACUACUGCUGAUGCGAAAGGAAGGGGCUUGGUCCAGAAAGGAACCAGCUCAGGAAGGCCUCCCUGAUCUGGGAUUGUAAUAACUCACAGAAGGCCUCGGGAAACUUGGCAGCAACGAGAAGAUCGGUACCGGCGCCAGCAAGAAGAUUAUCGUCGGGAAGAAGAAAGACACCGACAGGAGUGGAAUCGGCAUAGUAUUAAUUUCCCCUCGGGGUAGGAAAUAUGAGUUUUCUCUGCCGAUUGUGGCCACGUCGACAAAUAAUCAGGCUGAGUAUCAAGCUUUAAUAAAGGGAUUGGAGUUAUUGAGGGAGGUUCAUGCUGAUGCUGUCGAAGUAUUCGGAGAUUCUAUGCUGGUUAUAAAUCAAUUAGCUGGAAGCUAUGAAUGCCGAAGUGAAGUUUUCAUAACUUAUUACGAACGAAGCAUGCAAUUAUUGAAGGAAUUCAAAGAUUUCCGAUUAGAGUAUGUUCCUCGAUUGCAUAAUGAAGAAGCCAAUCGGUUGGCUCGACAUGCCUCGGGAUAUCAGCCUAUGAUUGACGCAAUAUCGGCAAUUGGUGCCGAUGAUUGGAGAAAAGAAAUCGUUGAUUAUUUGAAAGAUCCAUCCAAGAAAGUUGAAAGGCGAGUUCGGUUUCAAGCCACCAAGUAUGUGCUCUUCGAAGAUGAAUUGUACUACCGAACUAUUGAUGGGAUUCUCCUCCGAUGCUUGGGUCAUGAUGAAGCUAGAAGUUUGAUGGGGGAAAUCUAUGAGGGGGUAUGUGGAGCACAUCAGUCGGCUUUCAAAAUGAAGUGGAUGAUUAGAAGGAAUGGAUAUUACUGGCCGACCAUACUUGAAGAUUGCUUUAGAUAUUUCAAAGGAUGUCAAAAGUUUGGCAAUGUUCAAAGGGCACCCGCAUCGGCUAUGAAUCCUAUUAUCAAACCUUGGCCGUUCCGGGGAUGGGCUAUUGAUUUGAUCGGCCAGAUUUAUCCACCAUCUAGCAAAGGUCAUAAGUUUAUUCUAGUUUCCACCGACUAUUUCACUAAAUGUGUUGAAGCUAUUCCCUUGAAGAAAGUCACCUCGGCUAAUAUGAUUGAUUUUGUUAAGGAGCACAUUAUUUAUCGAUUUGGGAUUCCUCAGACAAUUACUAUCGAUCAGGGUACUAUGUUUACAUCAGGGGAGUUUGAUGAAUUCGCAAUCGGUAUGGGGAUUAAAGUAUUGAAUUCCUCUCCUUACUAUGCUCAAGCCAAUGGGUAGGCCGAGGCGUCCAACAAAGGAAUUAUUAAGCUUGUUAAACGGAAGAUUGAAGAAAAUCCUAGAAGGUGGCACACGUUGUUAAAUGAAGCUUUAUGGUCCUAUCGAAUGGCUUGUCAUGGAUUGACCAAGGUUUCACCUUAUUAGUUGGUGUAUGGACAUGAUGCGGUAUUGCCUUGGGAAGUUAAGGCUGGAUCUAGGCGACUAUCUUUUCAAGAUCAAUUGGCUGCCGAUGACUAUGCUACUUUGAUGACAGACGAGUUGGAUGAUCUGGCAGGGCAUCGGUUGAGGGCUUUGAUGAGUAUAGAAGAGAAUAAGAAAAGAGUUGCCAGAUGGUAUGACAAGAAGGUAAAGGCUAAGGAAUUUGCCGAUGGAGAUUUGGUAUGGAAGUUAAUCCUAACGAUCGGGACUAAAAGUUCAAAGUUUGGCAAGUGGUCUCCUAAUUGGGAAGGUCCCUAUCGGAUAAAUCGAUCAGCUCCUGGUAAUGCCUACAUUUUAGAGACUCUCGAAGGAGUUGAAUUUCCCAGAGCAUUAAAUGGCAAGUAUUUAAAGAAGUACUACACCACAAUAUGGGUCGAUGCAUAAAAGUUUAAAUGCCGAUAACACUCCUAUCGGCUGGAUUAAAAUGUUUGGGGCAGGACUUAAUGUUUCAAAAGAUGCCGAUAACAGUCCUAUCGGCUAGACUGAACAUCAAGAAAGCUGAAGAGCAGGAAGAGGCAAGUGUGUUGCCGAUGAAGAGUUCACAUACUUAAUAGUGCUUGGAUGGCUGAUAUAGCGCGUAGGCGGAUCUGGUCGGCUGCUUCUAUCUCCUUGACAUCUUCAUCGGCAGAACCUUCUAUUGGCUUCAAUUUCUUCUUCAGCUGCAGUGCUUUGCGACCGUGGGUGUUUCGCUCUUACUCGAGGUGUUUGAUGGUCUUCGGCAGUUGACUUUCUUCCUGUUGGGCUUGGGAUAGGGCAUCCUCCACUUGCUUGAGUUCUGCCAACAGGGCUUCUCGUUUUGCCGAUAGGUCGGAGAUCUUCUGCUUCAAUGCAUCGCCUGAGGAUUUCAAGGUGCCGAUGUUCUUGUGCUUCUCAUCGGCUAAGAGUUUCUCUUUCAUCAUUUCCUCGGAGAGCUGGGUCUAAGCAGCUCUAUCGGCAAGGCGCCGAGUGGCUCUCUGGUACUGCAGCUGGCGACUUUCUAGAUGCGCAGCCUGGAAGAGGGUUUCUUCAGCAUCGGCAGGAAUCUGGCCUCUGAGGGUCUUGAACAGAACCUUGGCCGGGUCGGAGUCAUUGACCAGUUGAGCUGUAUCUUGAUGAAGGAUAGCCGAUAGCUCUUCUAGCUUAGCCCUGAUCUCCGCCGAUACAAUCCCAACUGCUCGGGAAGAACUUGUCUCUUCACCUUCGUCUUCGGAGAUAUCAAUGGCGAAGGAAAAUAGGCUGUCGGGGGAGUCUUGUUCCUGAGAAAGAAAACGAGACAAAAUGAGUCAUUCCAUGGUCAAAGCAUCGGUAAAUGAUACUGGUGGAAGAUUGGAUGGCUUACUUGCUUCAAGGCAAUCUCUCGCCUUUGACUCGAAGAUGCCGAUGGAGCCAUGGGUUGGUCGGUCAGAAUUGCCGAUGGAACUACGUCAGCUGAAAGUUAACAGAGAGGGUUAUAAGGCUGAAAAGGAACAAAUUCAUUGGCAAUAAUGUUAUAAAAAUGUGUUACCUUGAGGAGGGAAAAUGCUUGUCUGAAUCGAAGAAACUACCGAUAUGAUUGAACCUGCUGGGUCGGUAGUUUGUUCGCCCACAUCGGCCAGUGUGUCUUCUGGUUGGGGUGCUUCCAGCUGAGGUUCUUCUUGCUGGGGUUCUUCCGCCUGUGGUGCUUCUUGCGGUGGAGGAGGAGAUGGUACUUGCUGGGUCUCUGUUUCUGGAGGAGAAGGAGAAGAUUCCACCGGAAUAGGAGAUACCGGAGGAGGAGAAGGAGUUACCACUUUCCGGCGCUUCGAUUGCGCCCUGGUACCUUUUGUGCCUUUUCUCUUCUGCUGGCUGGACUGGGGGGCAUCAGCGUCUUUGCCUUUGAUUCUUGCCGAUGCACUGGUUUGCUGUUACAGAAAAAGGAAUUUGUCAGUACCAAUACAGCCGAUGACAAGGUGAGAUCGAUAUAGGUGAGAAGGUUUAGAAGUUACCUUAAAAGCCUGCGCUAGGGCGGAAGCGGCUACCGAUUAAUUUUCGGAAUUAAUUAAUUCCAUGCAUAAAAUAAUUCUAGAAAAUAACUAAAAUUUCUCUUGCUCUUCCACGCUUAAAUUUUAGGUGCAAUAAAUUUAAUAAAUCCCAAAGACCAUAUCUUUAUUUAUUAAUGGGCUUUAAUGUUUAUUUAGCCCCAGUAAAGGUGGAAGGUGCAACAUCAAUUAGUACCAUAUUGCUAAUUGAUGUAGAUGUGGAGAGUUUUCCUCCCUAUAUAUAUGUACUAACCCCUUAGGCAAAGCACACCAAAACUAUAUGGAGAGCCCCUAGUUUGGCAAAUCCCUCGUUUAGUAAAUUAUAAUUUUCUCUCUUUUUGCCGCCGCCGGCCAACUCCUACGACUUGUCCCGCAAGGCUCCAUAUUGCCAUUGUUCAUCUGCAGCCGAAUGAUGAAGGUGAGCACACCGUUAUUUUCCUUCCUUCUCGUCCAGACUUGUAUCUCAUCCUCAUCAACAAUCAGGUCGUGCUUACCUUGCAUGGUUUUGGAAUCCCAUCCGUAGCUUUCUGACCAGCAAGAUAAAUAGCCCCAUAAGCACGCUGAGCCGAGCGCCAUCGAAGCCGGCCGAUCAGGCCUAGAGUUUGGUCGGACAUGAAAAUUGAACAUCAUUGCACAUGGAAAUUUAAUGGAGUAAAACACCUAGAGCCGCUCUGCUCUUCUCCAUCAGUGGUGAGAGUCUCGUCAUGUUUCUCUAUCGUUUUUACGUUGUCUUUGAAGUAUCGUUAAUAUCCGUAGGUCUUUAUUUGCCAACCACCUAGUUUCCUUGUGCAUGCGCUCGCAGCUUCUUUUAAUAGACCCAAUGAGCAUGCCGAGGAAACCUACAGAUUAGGUCAACUUUGCUUGCUACUGCGUUCAAAUUUCCAAGCCACUUAUCAAAGGCAGAGCCGUAAUCGUGUGCAGGUGCAGCUUACAUGCUUCGUUUUGCUGGGCCUGGAGAGCAAAACGUCCAUUAUAUUAUUAACAAGUCAUCAGCACUUUCGGCUCCUUGCCACGCAUAUAUAUCAAAGUAUAUGGCUGAUGCUAUGCUUAUCUCACCCUUACACAGUAAUCUAUCUUUUUAUGCUCAUUCGUAAUCCUUUUUGAAUUGGGAUAAUUCACUUGAUUAGCUUACGUGCAUAGACGGAACAUUGAGUCUAUGUGUCCUUUCGAGUAGACCUAUAUACCUUUAAUCCUCUGCCAUUUUAUUAUUAAAGCUCCACUCAAGUCCAUUCAAGUUGUAUGUACAACAACUUAAUCUACAUGUUAGAAUUGACGUUUAACAUGUUAAAAGUUUCUGAGUUUUAUAAAUCUUAAUUUGAUUAAUAUCUAAGCGACUAGUUUGUCAAUAAAUAAAAGCAAUAUAGGUUUCGUAUUUCGCUAUUUUAUAAAUGUUAUUAAUAUGAUUUAUUCCAACACGUCUUAUGCAAUUCCAUCAAAUGCACUCACUUGCUUAUUUCUUUUAUUUACCAAGAUAUAAUGUUUAACUUGCCUAAUAAAAUAUAUAAUAGUGUUUAUAAAUAAAACGUUAAUAGUUUUAAUUUAGUUUUCAAGUUAAAAUCUAAUUUGAUUUAUCUGAAGUAUACUAUGUAAAUAAAGGAAAUCACAGACGCGUGUUGUCAUGCAUCACAGACGCGUUAGCACGCGUCUCAAGUAACGCGUCUGUGAAGAGUGUUAUUAUAGACGCUCAUAGCGCGUCUGUAAUAGCGCUCUUCACAGACGCGCCAUGUAAACAAGUGUCUCUACUAAGACGAAUACGCGUCUGUGAAUAAAAGAACACGCGUCUGUGAUACGAGGGACAAGCGUCUGUGGUUUUGUUGUACUGCAGAAGCAGAUAUAUAUGAUAGCCUAAGAUGCUGUUUCUACAUGGCAGAAAUUACCCAGUUCUUAUAAUAACGCACUGAACACCGACCACAGAUAAAACACAACGUAAACAUGUUCACUUAGUAUUCACGUAACGUUACAGAGGAUCCACACAAAAUGCUAGUUCAAAUUAAAUUAAUUGACCAGCGCACUAUAGCUAGGCCAACACACUUGUUGGCCGCGAUCUUAAAGUGCUCAACUACAAAGUGCCAACACAUCAUGAGUGUUAUUUAUCUCCAUCUAAGCUUCAUCGCCUUUUUUUUGUAAGAUCACACUACAAUGAAACUCGCCAUUUUCAUCAAUGAUCUGUUCCACAAUGAACAGGGCGAUCCUCUCCCUAAUAUCAUUCAGGUUGAUUGGAGUGGACGUAAAAUCAAAGUCCUGAAAAACAGCGGAUCAUAAGGAAGCAGCUCAAGGACCAUGCUUACUAUUAAAAUAUAGAUAUGUCAAACAUUUCACAUGUCAAACAUAUAUAUCCAUAUAAAUUGAAUAUAUAUGCCAUGCAUGCAAAUUCAAAAAGGUAUAAGAGUUUAUAUUAACCGACAAUCAUAAUUGAAAUGAUUCAGAGUGAAUGUUAUAAUUAAUCCAAAAAACAGAGGUAUUAAUUCUAGUAUCCUAAUUUCCCUUUCAAACCAAAACUUAUGUCUUUCUUGUUCUUUCAACGAUCGAUGCUAGCUUUCAAUCAAUGUUGGUUUAUAAACAACUAAAAUCCUGAUUUUCACAACAUGUGUAAUAUAUUACUUUGAACUGAUGUAUGGAUACUCGACUCAUGAUAAAUGCCAUUUUGCUAUAUUGUUUCUAUGACUAUUUAUUUCUGAUAUUUCCAGUUCUUAUGCCAAAGAGCACAUCAUCUGCUGCUAUAGACUACUAUAUAUAUAUAUAUAUAUAUAUAUAUAUAUAUAUAUAUAUAUGUGUGUGUGUGUGCUUGCCAUACAAUAUAAGGUCAGUUGAUUAUCUUGUUUAUCCCAUCCUGUCAAUCUAUCUGAAUAUACAAAUUUCUUCCUCCAUCCUGUCUAUAUAUAUAGUUAAGAAUCCUUUCAAGAUAAAGAUCAAAAAGCUUGGCAAACUCCUUGUAGUUGCAUCACAGUUCAAGGUUAGAACUCUCAGGAGAAUGGUGAGAGGAUGGGAUGAGGUAGCUACCCUAAAUAGAAAUAAAGCCUCUCUUACUGACAAGUUUAGAAGAUAUUAUAUAUGGAGACUAGAAGUCUGGAACCAAUAGAGAUGAUAGAAUAUAGAGAUAUAUAUAGAAGAAUAGUUAUCACAUAUCUAGGCCAUAGAGGAAAUUAAAGCUAGACAGAGAUCUAGAAUAUAGAUCCCUACUACAGGGUGACAGAAACAGCUUACUUUCAGGCUAUAGCAAAUUAUAGACGUAGGAGAAAAAAUGAUAAAUGUUUACAAGGUCCGAAUGGUUUAUUUUAUGAUCAAAAAGGAAUGAUGCAAAUAGCUGUAGAUUUUUAUAAAAUGUUGUUUGCUAAGGAAAACAAUUCCUUUGUUAAGCUAGAUGAGCAUUUUUAGGGGAGCCCCAAGAUAUGGUUCCUUCUGAGGAGAAUGAGAGUUUGUUAGCUCCUUUUCUGGAAGCAGAAAUAAAGAAGCAUUAUGCUGAAGGGGCUGAUCAGGUCCUGAUGGACUCCCUUUCCUUUUUUACCAAAAGUUUUGGAAUUUAGUUAAACGAUCUAGUACAUUUGUUUGAUGAUUUCCAAAAAGGUAAACUUGACUUGUUUAUAUUAAAUUGUGCUCUUCUCACCUUGAUCCCAAAAGUAGGAGAUGCUUCAAAUAUGAAGCAAUUUAUACCUAUUAGAUUGCUCAAUUGAAGCUUUAUGAUUUUUUCCAAGAUUCUUACUAGUAGAUUCAGUACCAUUGUGCAGAGAAUUAUAGCUCCAAACCAAUCCGCGUUCAUUAAAGGUCGGUAUAUUUUAAAAAGUGUGGUGAUAGCUCAUGAAAUUGUUCAGAGCAUUCAUACAAUGGGAGAAAAAAGGGGUCAUUCUCAACUUGGAUUAUGAAAAAGCGUAUGACCAAGGUAGCUGGACUUUUCUCUUUGAGAUGCUACGAGCUAGGAACUUCAACCCCAUGGUCAUUAGUUGGGUUAAACAAGUAGUUAGGUUCUAGAUCAUGCUCAACGGUGAGUAUAGCUUACUUCAAAACUGGUAAAGGGUCGAGAAAAUCCUUUGUCUCCUUUUCUUUUUAAUUAAGUUGGUGAUGGCUUAUCCAAAUUGCUAACUAAGGCUUCUAAUAGAGGUUUCAUCAAAGGUCUUUUAGAGGACUUUAGACCAGGGGGAUUAUAUCACUACAAUAUGCAGAUGAUACAAUUUUGUUUUCGAAAGCAGAGGAAUCUGUUUUAAGAAAUCUAAAAUGUGUUUUGAUGUGGUAUGAGGAGAUCUCUAGUAUGAGGAUUAAUUUCAAUAAAAGUGAAAUAGUACCUCUCAACUUAGAUAUAGAAGAAACACAGUUUUUCUCACAUUUUCUCUUGUCCUGUAGGUGAUUUUCCUAUUAAGUAUUUAGGUGUCCCUCUCCAUUAUGAUCACUUUACCAGAGAGGACAUUCAGCCUUUAGUAGAUACAAUUCUGAAAAAGAUAGCAGGUUGGAGGGGGAAACUCCUAUAUAUAGUGGUAGAUAAGCUGCAGGAACUGCACCGGUACCGUUGACAGAAAUGUAAUGUAAUGCAACAAAUACACUAUAUUAUUUUCAUUUAUAUCGAAGAGGAGAUGAAGGGAUAGGGUUCCAGAAUGUUUAUUGCACCCGUCAUCUUUUGCUUCAUGUACGCUCACACAUAUAGGUUAGAUCUUUGUUUUUUCAAAUCAGAUUGCUAAUGUUCAGGCAAAUGAUUGCUUGACUUUUAAAACUAAUUAAGUUUGACAAGGGUAUUGUACUAUGAGAACAGAAACAUAGACAUGGAUAAUGAGAACUAAUGUUGCCCCUCACAUUUACUAAUCCUAGCUACCAACAAAACAAAAAAACUAAAACUUGUACGGAAAAAAGGGCCAAUCAACGCUAGCUGCCAACAGCAAAAACACUGGCCAUAAGUGGCAACGACGCGAACAUUUCUAGUAAGUAAAAUAGAUCUGUUGUACCUUAGGAUCAUCCAAUUUGGUCUGUCGCAUCGCAAGAAUCAUGUUGUAGGACGCAUAGAACCCACAUGUGUUGUCCAGAGGUUGCUGCAGGCACUACGAACAGAUCACAUACGCACGGUUAAUAGUGGUAUUGAAAUCACAUUAGGAAUUGGAAGUGAAGCAACUAUACUUACUGGAGUUUUGGGCACAUGGGUCAACUUCACAAUUUUGGGCUUCUUCCUCGGUUUGGUUUGGCAAUUGCGAAAAGCCCUACACAGAAUUUAGUUGCCACAAUUUUUUACUAUGAAUGAAUAACAUAAUUUAGAAAAGCACGUGUCAAUAGUAGCAAGAUACAAAACACUCACUCAUCUAUCACAGAUUUCAACCCACUCAAGUCUGUCUUGCGGCCUCUAUUGGAGUCUACGUACAGCACCUUCAGCCACUUGGGAAUGAUGAUAACAGCAAUCCAAUGAUCACCAGUGUUAUACGGAAACAUCAGAUACUCUUUCUUGGCAUGUUUCCUUAGACCUUUUUCCAGAUAUUGCACACUAAAAUCUCUAGACCUAGUCAAGUUUUCUACCGACAAUGCAUAUGGAUCAAGAAGCCCAACUGGAACCGAAGUGUCCCUAGCUUCUACAAUCAGGCAUCUAGGAAUGAAGAAGGAUAGAAAAGCAAUUUAGCAAGGAAAUAUAUGAAGAACAUCCCUAGCUUUGGUAUGGACAAGUCUGAAAUAUAAGAAAUUUUACUUACAACGUCACGCAACGAAGAAUGGACAUUUCCAAUGCAUCUAGUGUGAAGAGGUCAAAGAUAUCUUCAAAUCCCACAGGGAAUUCCAUAGUUUUUGAUUCAAGCAAAAAAUGCUCGCUCCUGACCAUAGCAAAAAACGGGGAACUCCUGUUCUGUGCACAUGCGUUCAUGUAGUGAGCAUGAAGAGCAACACAUCCAGGCCCAUCAAGUUCUGUUUCUGGUACCAUUGGUUGUCCAAAUAGGAAGUCAGGGUUCGACUGAAACCAAACAUGAGCGAGUUUAGACGAUUUGGUGUGUUGUGCUAUCUGCUGCUUCUCAACCACCUCCUGACAUCCAUGCUGCUUCUGCUUGUGAACCACCUUCUGAACCAGUUUGGUGUCACCACUGGGUCGCCCCUGCUGCUUUAGCUUGUCAACCACAUUCUCAACACCCUUGCCUACUUUAGGGGGUCGGCGAGGUGCAAAUGGAGGCUUUGUGUUUGUGAGCUUAUUUUCUUUGUUGCCUACCACAUGUGCCAAGGAAGCACAAUUUUGUACAGUAGUGUCAUUCGCUUUCCCAUUCAGUGAGGGUGACACUUUGGGUUCCAAAAGGACAUUUAGAUUGCUUUUAGCUGACCCUGGUGUUGGAAGUUUAGCUAAGAUAGAAGAGGACCGCGGUGUUACCACAACCCAUUCUCUCUUCCACUUGAUCCUUUUGUACAAAGCGUCUCCAAGAGUUCUUAUCUCCUUGCUUUGCAACGGAAGCAGCACAUGGCCUUCAUAUUUUGGACAUACAAAAUCAAUAUGUACAAUGACAUAACCCUCCUCUACCGGAACCCUAUAUAGCUCAGUAUUGUUUGGAUAUACCGUACCCGUUGCUACCUCGACCUGAUAACCUCCACUGAUGAUUACCAGUGUACAGGGUGAAUCCAUAACUUGUUGUUCUGAACUAGGGGAAAGCCAAGGUGCAGUUGGAGGCUUGGUGUUUGUGAGUUUCUUUUGUUUUUUGCCUACCAUAUGCGCCAUGGAAGCACAGUUCCGUACAUUAGAGUCAUUCACUUCAUAUAUUGAGGGUGAAACGUUGGGUUCCACAAAGACCUUUCUGCUUUUGACUGACCCAGGUGAUGGAGGAUUUGCAGACAUGGAAGAGAACGCCCGAUGUACCACAACCCAUUCCCUCUUCCACUGAAUCCUUUUGUACAGAGCGUCUCCAAGAGUUCUUAUCUCAUUGCUUGGGUGCGGAAACAGCACAUGACCCUCAUAUUCCGAUUCUACAGAAUCAAUAUGUACAAUGACAUAUCCCUUCGCUACUGGAACUGAAUCUAGCAGAAAAUUGUUUGGAAAUACACGACCCGUUGCUACCUCCACCUGAUAGCCUUCAUGGUUGAUGAGUACUAGUGUACAAGAUGACUGCCAAACUUGUUGUCCUAAAAUUCCACCAAUUCUGUCCAACUGUACAUCGCAGACUGCAUCUGAGGCUGAGGCAAAGCUGCUGCUGUUGUUACCACCUGCAGAGGAAGGGGUGUUGGAAAGCAAGCUCAAAUGCACUCCUUGUGCACGUAGCCUGGCCAUGAUAUCAUUUGUGACCUUCUCAGUAAUCUUCUCGGUGACCUUCUCGGUAAUUUCAAGUGCCAUUUCUUCUUUAAUGGCUUCCAAAUUGACAUCAUUUGAACGCUUCCUCUUUCUGUACAUGUCGGUGCAAAGCGGCCAAAACUGCCAACCAAAAGAACUAGACAUACCACGGAUGCGCCCUGUCUGUUCUGGUUGUCCCAAGGCCUGUGUGAGCACAUCUUUAUCCCUGACCAAAAUGGCCCCUGAAGACUCAAUUUCAGCUUGCUUCUUUACAAUUUCCUGAGAGAGAUUUUCAGCUUCCUUAUUCUCCCAAACAAUCACAGCUUCACCUUCUGAUAUAACCAAUCUACCACGUGCACGCAUGAAAUUCCUAGAGCGGCCAGGAAAUUGGUACCAAGGAUUAGCAAUGCCUGCAACGGCUAACUCCCUGUCCUCUUGCUCCCACUGUGCCGAUUUCCCAGCAUAGCCCCCUGUCCCCAGGUGGUGGUCAUGCUUGUUCCUCUCCCGAAGCUUCUUGAAUCUCAUACUUUCUUUCUUUGCAGGUUCGCUCUGCUUUAGUGUCACAAAAUCUUCCCAAUCUUUUGGAGCAAUGUAUUUGAACUUGGCCGUGGCAUUCAACCCUUUGCUGACAUAGUUGCUUACUAGGUGGCUUUUGUGUGUUCUCCAACAUUUGGCUACCAUCUGCAUCAUCUUCUUACAAGCCAUAUCCUUUAACUCUUCUGCAAACUCCAACUUAGGCUGGACACAAUCAUCAAAUAAAUGCAUCUUAUCUUCAUCACUUAGGACACUGAAAGAUGCCAUGACCAAGGAUAUCCUUUGCCUAGCAAUCAGACCAGCAAGCCUCCUCAUUCUUGCCUUGGCCUCCUUCUCUUUGGGCAUCCCAUCCUCCGUGAGCUCCAUGACAACUAUCUUGUCUUCUGGCCACUUUGUGACUGUCCUCUUUCUCCGGAGUGGACACCGAGGUUGAGAUGCUAGCACCUCUGCAUCUGCAUCUACCUCUCCCUCCUGUGUAGAAUCAUCACUAUGUUGGUCCUCUGUAUUAGCAUCUGUCCCUUCCUCCUCUUCACUAUCAACUCUUUCGUCGGCAUUUGAUGAUAAAUAUUCCUCAUCAGAGACCUAUAAAACAAAAUAUAUUAAAGGGUCUUAUUGACCAUGAUACAACUCUGCCAUCUAUCUAGAAGUAGUGUUAGUAUAUCACAAACUAAUUAGCUUACCAUUCGGAAAGGGAUCUGUACUUAGUCAACAGCUACAACUCCGAAGACACAACAACUAACGGACCAGUGACCAGCAGCCUUUUUUCUUUGUCAGAUUCCUGGAAACAACGAGCAAAAGAACUUACAUCAGUUGUAUUAUUUGAUAACAGUGUAUAACUUGUUCAGAUAUCUUUUUCAAGAUUCGGUUUCUAGGAUAUAGUUGACAUUCGAAGCAGUAAUACACCAUACCAUCUAUCUUUUUUUAAAAUAUACUUAACUAAUUUUUCUGAACUUUAUACCCCAAUCAGCAACAAUUGAACUCAAAAUACUAUUUUUAGAUUCUUGCAAGUGUUCACACAAUCUCAGUGGAUAGAUGAGUAACAUUUAGACAUUGACAGUUUGUUGUUAACAAUGCCCCUAAAUAGCAUAGUAUUUUUCCUUUCACACAGCUUCUUGAUUGACUCUUCUUUGUAUUUUACAUUAGGUACAACAUGAAUUGUACUACAGGCUCCGGAUCUGGGAGGUACAGUAUGUUAUUACCAUUUGUAUCUCUGUUCCAUCCAAUUGAUGAUCACAGUUAAAUUAAGAACCAGCAAAGCAAUUAAUUCAUAUGCCUGAGACAUGCAGUUCGUGGAGUACAAGCGCAUGGUAUUACCAUUUGUAUCUCUGUGUUUCCUUUUCCUUUUGAGGUGCAUCAAUAAGACUGGCUUGGCUUGAGUGCUGAGUUCACAACUAUCUAUUCUGUUGAGUUGCACUGCAAUAGUCUGCACGACAACUAUACUUGUAGAUUUCUGCGAGCAAGCAUAUGAUGAACUUACUUUCCUGUGUAAAAUGUACUCUACUGUUUCUUAAGCAACAUGAUUUACUGGUACAUUUCUAGUUCCAAAUCAUUUUGAUAAUUGGUCCCCUUUUCAAUCUGGUUCUCUUAUAAGAUAUCAGGAUUUCUAGACACAUAUCAUGUUUGUUGUUUCUUCCUUUUAUUAAUAUUCUUUAUGCUGCCUUCAUCUCUUUUCAAUCUGAAGUUACUUUUUGUAAGUCCUUUAAUAUUAUUUGUAUUUGACACACAUGCAAUGUUUUUUGUUGUUUUAUUGACAGUGUGCUACUUGGCUGACUUUAAUUGUCCCUACUAGCAUGACAGCCCUAUAUCUGUACUCACAUGGAGAAGCAUCUAUUGCAGCAUCUCAACCAGUGUAAUAUCCAGCCUAUUCAGCAUUAAUUCAUUCACUGCUUUAUUCAUCUUCCUUUUGUGCUUGAGUUCAUGAGACACUUUGGUUUGUUUCUUAUAAUUGCUUAUUAUGUUUUUGGUAGUGCUUCCAUCAAGCCAGUAUUGCUUUAAAUAACCAAAUGUAUAUAAGAAUAUAAUUCCCUGAAUUCACUCAUCCAGUAACUGUAUGCUAAACAGUGUUAAUUGAUACCUGUCAUCCCAUCGUAAUAGAAAAUCUGAGUGGUUUAUACAAGGUAUUAGUUUUACAGAAGAUCUGAGUAGUACGUAGUUUCCUAUGUGUUAGCUUUACAGAAAUCGGUGGCACCUUUACAUAAUGACUACUAUUUGUUCAGCAUUUCACACAUAUCCCCUAUUGCUGCUGCUAAUGACCUUUUGCUUUAUAUACCUGCAGCAACCUAACCAGGAUUUUCAUGUUCAAAAACCCAAGCAUAUGGACUAGCCUUCUUUAUAUGGGCACAACUAGGUAUAAACUUGAACACAUAAAUGCUUAACUCCCUGCACAAUUUGAUCGGCUACUACCACCAGUGCCCUGAGCGCGUGGCGUGGCCGGAGCAGGAGCUUGGCCCGCCGCGGCGACUCUACUUCAAUGCCGGCCGCAUGUUCGUGCAAAUAUAUGUAGCACCCAACGUUAUCUCUAAAUAUGAUUCUUGCACCAAAAGCGGGCUAAUGGAUAGGGCCACGUCGCCCGCUAACCCGACACCCGUUGGAUCGAGCGGUCAAGCGAUCUGGUCCGUCCGAUACGGGUCAGUUCGGGUCUCGACCGAUCCAUCAUCGUGAACCUUCGUGGACCACAGUUCUCUGCCCGUUCCCUCCCCUCUGCCUGCGCAUCGCAAGCGGCAGGCGCCGCUGGCCGCAUCCCACACCGGAGAGCUGGCCACGCCCGCACCAGGGAGGAGUAGCGCUGGGGCUAGGGCCAUCUCGCCGCCACGCCAGGGAGCAGCUCCGACCCGCCAUGGCCGGGGGCCUGGACCACGAGGGAGAGAGAGAGAGAGAGAGAUCAAAACUGGGGCAGCACGCCAGGGGCCUCGCCGAAGCGUCGUGGACCGGCGGCGCAGCAGCAGGGGAUCAUUAUCGAGUCCCCUACCUAUGCUCAAAAGCUAUUUGACAAAAUGCCGCAGCAGAAAUGGGAACUAGCUUUUCAAUGCGACAUAGAGGUGCUGCCACUCUCCAGUCAUCUCCAUGCGCACAGUGCAGCCAGCAAGGGCGCAUCACUUGCCAAGGUGAGAACCAACAACAACAAGAACCCCAAACAACUUCAGGUAUUAAACACAUAUUUCUCCCAUUCUGAUUUCUCUCUUUUUUAUUCUAUGCUCUACACUUACAUAUCCAUGUGUUAUGCUACUUUGACAAGCAAAUGUGUCUGCUACUCAGCUCCCGAUUGAAUUUUCGUUUUGAUGUGUUUAGUUCUAGGCUUUAAUUAACUCAGAUGUUUCCUAAACUGUCAAAGGAAAUAUACAUGAAUUAAACAACAGAAUGAAAUUUGUGGAUGAUCAUUCCUUUAGUGUCAUUUAGUGGCAAACAAGUAUACUCAUCGAGUAGGGCUGCUAAACAAAUAUAGGAUUGAGGUAAAAAAAAACUAACAGGGCCUGCAAAAGACUGUAUUCAAGAUUAUUAUCAUUUUUAUACACAGAUUUAGUAUUUAAAGCAUAGAACAACUUGAAUGCCAAAUAUCCUAUUUCCUGCAAUUUGGGCAACUGUAUUCAUAAAUUUAUCUGUCAAUGCAUGUGUCCACGAUGGUAUGGUGUAUUGUUAUUUAGACAAAAUUAUGGGGAAAAAUAAAUCCAAGCAUAGGUACAACUCAGUAAUAAGUCCACUGGAGUAAUCAAGUGUUAGCUCAUCCAUAUGCCUGUACCUUGUUCCAUGUCUAUGGUGUUUACUUUUUCCCACAUACAGUUUGGAUAUAGUUGCCACUUCAUUCUCAGCCCUGCUCAAACAUGUUUAACUUUUACUUUUCUCACACUGAUACUUCUUAUUAUACUUAAUUUCAUCAGUUAAAUGUCCUAAACAUCAUGACAUUUCAUUGUACACUUCUCGCUAUCUUCAUACACUCAGCCAACUUGAUCUAUAUUAUAAAUUUAGCUAUUGAACAUAUUCAAAUUUGAUGUCUACUUACAUAAAUCCCUUCUUAUCAUCCUUUGCUUUACAAUAUCCUGCAGGUGGGGCAUGAUUAGUUGAAGAAAGACAAAUUUAGCUAUAUAUAAGAGAUCUAUCAGGAGUGACCCCUAUUAAACUUCACCAAGAUUUAUAUCUGAAGCAUGGUUAACAGAUCAAACGAUGCUAGUAAAAUGUCCAUGUAAAUUCAAUUAUUUAUAACUUUUCUCAGCUUGUUAGUAGUCGAUCUUGCAAUUACUAACUACGUAAGUGAAUAUUCAGCUGCCAACAUUAUCAGCUUGCACAUCUUUUUACAUUUAGUUACUUGUUGAUACUAUAUGUCACAGAUUGAUCUACUAGCGACAUCAAAGGACUCAAAGUAUAUCUGGCUCAGUGCUCUAACAAGGAUAGGGACUGAGUUGAAUUGUUUAUAUGUUUACAAACUUAAAGUAAGAUCUGUACUUGCUACACAUUUAGAAAGUUGCAAAUUGCAUAUUCUUAUCAUCGAUUCAUCGUAAUGCCAUAGGUAAUUAUUUGAUAUUUUCAAUUAUUAAUAUUUUGCAUCACAAUAUUUUUCUCAUUCAAAAUCAUUAUAAUGAUGGAUAUUCUUAUAUAUUAUCCAAGCAGCAAAGGAGCACAGUAAUGGUCUCCACAUACUCCCGCAUGCAUCACGGACUGGGCACUGGCCAACACAGGCAGGAGUGCGGCAAAGCCGCGCAUGGUUUCUAGUAUAUACUAGUGUCCGCCACUGGCACAAACCCAACUGAUGGAUUUUGCAAAGAAAAAGACUAGGGUUGCAAAGUAGCAGCAGAUCGAGACUAAUUAAGCACUAAAUUAGGAGGGGGCCAAAGGAAUCGACCAAAAGCGAUGAACGUGCGCAGAUCGGACAAAAAGAUAUCACCUUGAGAAGGACCUUCACGUGCUUGAGAAAGGGGACCAGAGGGCCACUUGGCUUUGUCGCUGUCGGGCGGAGCACCUGGUCCGGGGGCUGCAGAUGAUGGGGACGAGGAGAGCCGACCUCGCUGGCCCGGGUGAGCUCGCAAACCGGCACGACACAGCCUGGAUCGGAGACGCUCGGGUCGCUGCCGAGGAGGGGCAGCGAGGGCGCAGGCAGGCAGGGCAAUGCUGGCGAGAUGUGGAAAAAAUGAAGUGGAUGUCUAGAUCGCUGUGUAGAAAGGCGCCUCGAAGAAGGGACGCCAAAAGACCAUCCUGCCCUCACUGUUUCACGUCUGAACCGGACAAAACAGGGAGCGUGACCUCAUCCUCUCCGAUCCUUCUCAUUUCGUCUCUCCCCGGGCCCGAACAGGAGCCGUUCCCACGCCGCCGUCACCUCUGCCGGCUGUCGACGCCGCCAUCACCUUCCACCAUUGCCGCUGCCCUGAGCCCAUCCACCCUCCCCCAAAUCGUACGUCAUGCGAGCGUCGUCCGACCAUAGCAGCGCUGUGAGCUCUGCUUACCAGCGCCUGGCAUCGGACCGCGGGGAGAAGACUGGGCUUCCGCUUGUGCCGUGCCCCAAGUGUGGUGCGGAGGUCUUGGAGCUCGUUUGUGGUCCCAGAUCCAAGGUUCCUGGGUCUAUUUUCUUCAAAUGCCGGUUUCAUGAAAGAGAUGUAAGUCCUCAGUGCCAUUUUUUGCUAUAGGGUUUGUAUUUUCUUGCCUUUGGUCCGGGACUGUGCCUGAUAAUUGGUCAGUAAUUUGCAAGUGCAGGUGCCAGGAACGUGCCCUUGGUACUUGUUUCAAGACAAGUAUGAGCAAUUGCUGGUUGCAAGGGGACUGAUUGCCAAAGAAGGAGGCCAUGGACAACAAGUUAUGAAUAAUGAUGAGCUUGGAGGGUUGCAGGGAGAAGAACAUGAUGUGGAGGCACUGAAGAGUGGGAUUGCUGGUUUAGAUGCAAAGCUGAAUAAGCUUGUAGGCCUAGGCCAAAUUGGAGUUGUCUGUUGUGUGAUUGUUACUGUGUUUGUUGUUGUUGGUGUCAUCAGCAUGAUGCUGAAGUAUUAGUAGGUAUUGUAAUGGAAAUGUGUUUUGUUCAUUGAAAUCAAUCAAUUGUGCAAUGAACUCCGUUUGAAUGAAAUGGCUGUGAUGUGGACGGAGGAAUUUCUAGCUCUGGGAAGUACUAAUAAUUCCGAGGGGUUCUCUGUCUUGGAACGAGAAAAUAUAGAAGGAUGAAUUAUUCGUGGGCGGAGCAAUUUAAACUCGGUGAAGUAAUAAUCCCACGAGAAAAUAUUGAAGGAUGAAUUUCCAGGUCGGGUGAGUAAUAUUUCUGAGGAAGGGCUCUCUGUCUUGGAACGAGAAAUAUUGAAGGAUGAAUUUUCAGGUCGGGUGAGUAAUAUUUCUGAGGAAGGGCUCUCUGUCUUGGCCGAGGGAAAUUUUACAGGUUUUUGGACGGAGGAAUUUCCAACACGGUCAAGUAAUAAUUCCAAGGAAGGGUUCUCUGUCUUGGAACGAGAAAAUAUUGAAUGAUGAAUUUGUAGGUCGGAUGAGUAAUAUUUCUGAGGAAGGGUUCUCUGUCUUGACCAAGGGAAAUUUUGAUAGAGGUGUUUAUAGAGUUAAUAAAAGAUCUAUUGAGCACUUAAAGAAACAACUAAGUAAUAUCAUUUUCAACCCCACUUAAUAGUAUGUCAUCCUAUAACUCAAGAGAAGUUCAAAUGAAAUUAACAUCAAAACCAAAGUUCUCUCGAAAUGAAGCAUGAUGUUCGCAUCUGAAGUAAAAAUUGAUGGUCACAUAUUUCAAGUGCACUUUUCACAUUGAUAUUUAAGUGAAAAUUCACAUUGAUAUUUAAGUGAAAAUCUCAUGAAACAUCAUUAGCUCUUUAUAUGCAUUGUCAUCUAUUCAACAAAACCCACAAUGCCACCAAUUGUAAAAUCAGAGAAAAAAGCUCCUCUCAUUAACCAAAGACAAAUCUGUGGAAAUUCCGAUUCAUCAUCUAUGCAGCAUCUGGAUGACACAAAUCUCUGAAUUGCCUAUGGACCUCAUUAGAGUUGUGUCUGCCACUCUUGAUUGUUGUGUUGCAUAUAGUUACUAAUAAGAAGAAUCAGAGGCCAAAAUUAAAGAAUAAAGUACAUUGUGCCAACUGCAACACCAAUAUAUAUAUUGCAUAUAAUAAGUUAUACUGAUCAGUUCUAGAAUUUUACACCAGAAAGCAACCAACUUCUGGUAGAGUUAAACAUUUCCAUCUGCUAGCGCCUAUAUAUCUCUACCAAGUAAAUCAGAUUCCAUGUGUUCGAAGUGCAGCAGCAGCAACUUAAGCAGUUGAGGAGCUCCUACAUAUAUACCUGCAUAAUAAAUAAACAUCAAGUUAUAAGCAGCUUGCUAAAUCACCGCGAGGCUUAAUUGUUCUAAAAAAUCAUAGGGGCAUUUGCUCAAAAACUCACAUGAGCAUCAUUUUCUACGUGCUUGCUGUUUUCGGCGUGUUUUUUCCACGGGAGCACUCUCUCUACGACCAGCUCUUAGGUAUGGCGUUAGCUCGCUCGCCAAAAGCACAGGGAGGAUGGAAGUAUCAAAAGGAGGGACUUCAUUGGAUUGCUUGAACUCUUCCUCUUCCACUGGAUUUUCAACUCCCACAACCCUCUUUUUCCCAGGGAGAACCACUAGUUGUUUCAUGUUUCUAGUGUCACGCACAUAGAAGACUUGGGAAACCAGACUUGCGACUACAAACGGCUCUUCCUUGUACCCAAUCUGUUCAAGGUCAACUGUGGUGUAGCCAUAUGGGUCUUUCUUGACAUGUCCUCCCUUAACCCAUCUACACCGAAAAAGGGGCAUCUUGAAGCCUGAAUACGAGAGUUCCCAUAUCUCUUCAAUCUGGCCGUAGUAUAUUGUCUUCUGCAUGUUGCUGUUAAAUGCAUCUACACGAACAGCAGAGUUCUGGUACACACUUUUCUUGUCUUGAUCAAUGGUGUAAAACGUGUAGCCAUUUAUGUCAUAGCCCUGAUAAGUUGUGACUGUGAAGAACGGGCCGGCUGCCACCUGUCGUAGCUUAUUGUCUGUGCAAGAGCUUGAACUGGAAAAUUUAUCUCUAAACCAAUUAUUGAACUCAUUCAUAUGUGUCCUCGCUACCCAAAACUCGCCCCUGUGUGGAUAAAGUUGCCUCAAUUCCUCCUUAUGCUCUGUGAUGUAAGGUUCCACUCCUUUUGUGUGUUGUAACACUAGAAACUUGGCUCUUUCAAAGUCAUCUGCAUCCGGAAUAAUUUGCUUCUCCCCAAGAAACCCUUUCCCCGCUAGCCUUCCCUCAUGGCGAGACUUGGAGAUGCCGAUUGGAUUUGUGGGGUCAAUGUAACUGAGGCACCAGUCGACCACCUCUUCAGUAGAAUAGCACUGCGCCAUGCUUCCCUCAGGGUGAACUCGACUCUUAGCAUACUUAUUCAAAGUACUCAUAAAUCUCUCAUAUGGAUACAUGUGGUGGAGGAACAUCGGUCCAAGAUACCUGAUUUCCUUAACCAAAUGUAUAAUGAGAUGGACCGAUAUGUCAAAGAAAGACGGCGGGAAGUAAGCCUCAAGGAGACACAUUGUCUCAUAUAUGUUUUCUUCAAGAUCAUAUAGUGACUCUUCAUCAAGGACCUUCUGAGAGAUUGCAUUAAAGAAGAAACAGAGACUCAUGAUUGCCUUUCGGGUUUUUUCUGGCAAUAUGUUCCGAAUACCAACAGCAAGCAUUGUUGUGAGCAUAACAUCACAAUCAUGAGCUUUCAUGGGGAGCAUUUUGUUUUCUUUUGGAUGUACAAGUUUUCGGAUGUCAGCUGCGUAUCCAGAGGGAACUUUGACACUACGAAAGAAGUCACACAAUUCUUGCUUCUCUGAUCGAGUUAGGUUUACGGCACAUAAACGUGGCUGGGCACUAGCACCGUUAGGUUGGAGCUCGGGCCUUAUAUCCAACUCCUCUAGGUCAGCUCUUGCUUUUGCAUGGUCCUUGGUUUUAAGUUUAUCAUUCAUGAGUGUCCCAAGUAAACUCCCACAGACAUUCUUUUUCACGUGCAUGAGGUCGAUGCUGUGGCGGACCCCAAGGUCUUUCCAGUAAGGUAGCUCCCAUAGGAUUGACAUUUUCUUCCACCUCUUUUUAUCGACACUACUUGUUUUUUCAUUGCGCUUUCGCUUUCCAAGGACAGUGCUCUUAGGGUUAACUGUAGGUGUGAUAUCCUUUAGCACCUGCUCAUAAACAUGUUCACCAUUGAAAUGCCUUGGAGCAGAUCCGGUCUCCCUCGUCCCAUCAAACUGAUGUUUCAUUUCCCGGUAUGGAUGAGACAUACGAAGGAAACGCCGGUGCCUUACAUAAACUCUUUUCUUUGAAUUAUUCAGCCAAACAGUCUCGGUGUCAUCUAAGCACUGAAAGCAGUCUUUUUCUCCUUUGCUCUGCCCAGAAACACUACGAUGUCCUGGAAUAUCAGUGAUGGUGGUGAACAACAUGGCACGUAAGUCGAAAGACUCUUUCCUAAAACCAUCAUACACCUUAAUACCCUUUUCUUUCCAGAGUUCUUGGAAAUCAUCAAUAAGCAACCUUAGAAACACGUCGAUGCUAAGACCUGGUUGAUGCGGACCAGAGAUCAAAAUUGACAUCAUCAUGUACUUCUGCUUGUUACACAACCAGGGUGGAAGGUUGUAGAUACUUAACAGCACAGGCCAGACGCUAUGUGAGCUACUCAUUUUACCAAAUGGGUUCAUACCAUCUGUGCUUAGUGCAAACCGAAGAUUCCUUGGUUCUUUAGCAAAAGAUUUAUAUUUGUUGUCAAUGUACCGCCACUGAAUACCAUCUGCUGGGUGUCGUAUAUAACCAUCAACCUUCCGGCCAUCUGAGUGCCAAGUCAACAGUUGUGCGUCCUUAGAGGUUGCAAACAACCGUUUUAGGCGAGGGAUUAUAGGGAAGUACCAUACGACCUUCAUAGGUACUUUACGACGCAUCAUGCUGCCAACAACCUCACCAGUUCCUUGUUUGUAACGAGAGGUUUGACACUUGGGGCAUUCCGUGGCAUUUUUAUUGUCACCAGUGAACAAGAUGCAAUUAUUCUUGCAAGCAUCAAUUUUCUCAAACUUCAAUCCCAUUGGACAGAUAAUCUUUUUGGCCUCAUAUGUAGUCUUGGGUAUCUCAUUCUCCUCAGGAAACAUAUCUGCAAGCACUUCUAGCAUUUCUUUGAAGCCCCUGUCAGUCAAAUGAUUUGAUGCCUUCAAUUGGAGAAGCUUUAGCGAACCAGACAACCUUGUAUACCUCCUGCAAUUCGGAUAGAGUGGGGUCUUCAUAUCCUUUAACAGUUGUUCCAGCUUCUUCAAAUCUGGACAAGCGUAACUAGCAAAGCCUGCAUCACGCACCAUCUCCUCUAGAUUCUCGGCAAGAUGGACUUCAUCAAAGCUCGCAGCUAUAUCUGCUACAUCAUCAUCACGAAGUUCUUGAUUGCCAAAGGGUGCUUCCUCGCCACAUGUAUCAUUGAAUUCAUGGAGGCUAUCCUCACCAUCCUGUUGACCAGCAGCCUGCGCUUGGUCUCGGUCAUUGGUACCUUCUUCUCCAUGUUUGUUCCAACAUAUAUAGUCAUCCAUAAAUCCUCGAAUUAGUAGAUGAGCAUGGAUUUCUGGCAAAUACGAGAAUUGCUUUUCAUUCUGACAAUCAUUGCAUGGACACCACACUGCUCACUUAUGUCCAUUCGACAUAUCUCUACUUGCAACUUUCAGAAAAGAUUGAAGACCAUUCACGUACUCAAAACUAGUACGAUUCCCAAGAUACAUCCAACGGUUUCGAUCAGCCAUAGUCUAAAAAAAUGAAAAUAAAAGAAUAUUAAGUCAAUCAACACAACAUAAUUAUUUGGUCAGAUCUGAUUUCAGAAUGCAAAGUUGCACAAGUUUUGCUGAGAGCUCACCCACUGGCCCUGCUGGGAGGCGAAGCACUGCCGGAGGAUGGCUGGCGAAGCAUGUACUACAAAGAUCAAGAAGUAAGCGAGCUCGCCCUCCUGCAGAGAUCGAGAUAGAAUUAUAAUUAAGCGCACUCACACAGAACAAAUUGAAUUGGGCAAUGCUAAGAUACACCCUUUUUACCUCUAAGGAGGUAGUAUUUCAAAUAAAUCCGAGUCAUUAGUUUUUAGAUUUUUAAAAUCAAUUAAUUGAUCUAAGAAAAGAAAAAAGGAAAAGAAAUAUACGUUGGGCACAUACAUGUACACAUCGUUUUUCACGUCACUUUGAGCACAUGCAUACACGUAUACGCGAGUUACUUGAAUAAAAGUUAUGUAGUUUAUGUUAAUUAAAUUAUGCUAUAUAUAAGGUUGAAAAAAUAAGAAGAUUUACCACAUUCAAUGGAUCAUGAAUGCAUCAAUUAGAUCUAAAACGAUCUUAAAGCUUUUCCAGAUUUGUCAUAUUUUCCAAAAUUAAAAAUUAAUUAAAUAAAUGCUUCAUAUAUUACCUCCUAGGGAGGUAAUAUUUGAUCGUGAUCAUCCGAUCGAAAUAAAUAAACAGCAUAUUACCGUCAGUAAAGCCCAAUUAAAUUAUACAAUGCGCUAUUAAGGCUCUGUUUGCAUGGUUUCCUUGUUAAAUUUUAGGUAACUAAAUUUUAGUAGUUCAAAACCUGCUGACCGAGCUGAUCAGCUGCUGAGCACGCCGCAGGGAGAUAUCGUCGGUGGAUGGAGGAUUGGAUGUAAAGCAGAGCAUAACUAGUUGGAAUGGUCGCUGGGCAAUCAACUAAUUAAGUCAAUUAGCUAGCAUGCAUAUGCAUAUGCCCCCGCCUCAUAUGCUGCCGGAGCCUGCGUCGCACGCGCUCGCCACCGCACGUACCUCAAUCGCGUGCCUGCCUGCCCCCCGCGCGCAGCCGCACGCAAGGCUGCAUUUCGCGCGCGCGCCCGGCCGCGCCUCGCACGCCGUCCACUGCCGUGCGCGCCUGCCCCCGCGCCGCCCGCUAGCUCCUACCUCAGAGCCAAGUGCGCGCCCACGGCCGGCCGCCGCCCAAAGAGCUAGCCUCGCGGGCGCUCGAGCCUCCCCAGGUGUGGACGCAGCGUUAGGAGUUUUGAAAAAACAAAAAUGGCAAUGUGUCUGUGGUGACAAAAAAGGAAAAAAAAAAAGGCCCCAAGUACUGCACUUUCCCGCCUCUGCCAUGAAGAAAGCAUGAUAGCGUGUAGCGGACUCCGUGCACGGCUCUACCUCGAAGACCGGACGAAGCAACCACACACUACUGUUGCGCAGCAACCCCGCUAUUGCGCAGUAGUACCGCGGAGCUAGGUAUCCUGCAGCCGAUCAGAGAGAGGUUUGGUGGUCGAUUGAAUUCACCUGCUCAACUCCAUCGAGAGAGGAUUGCACCUAGCUCUUACAAAUAAUUGCAUUUCUUUGACUGCUACAAUUUAUGUUUGAUCAUUCGUCUUGUUUAACUUUUUUGUGCAAAUAAUAAAAUAAAUAAAUCAUUACAAAAAUAUAUCUAGCAAUAAAAUAAAUCAUGAAAAAAAUAAAUAAUAUUUAUUAAUUUUUUUAAAUAAGACGAAUAGUCAAAUAUGAAUCAUAGAAGUCAAAAAAAUAUAAUUAUUUGUGGGACGAAAGGAGCUAUAUAGAGUGUAGACACUUGACUACCUUAUGACAGAGGACCCUCGGCCUGGAUAUAUUUCGUGUCCGAGCUGGAAAUUCACUCACCCUACCAAAAACUUUUCAACAACCACGAUCACGGUCACGCAAAGGACAGUAGCCCACGCGACAGGCCGGCCAGGCCAGACGCCAGCGGCAGCCAGCUGAUUGAAGGGCUCGCUGGGACCUGCGUUUUUCUGAACAGUGACCAAACAAAUGGGCACAUCAAUGGGGUCGGCAUCGAGGAAACUUUUUAUCCAUGUCUAUCUGUGCAUCCGCUCCAUUGAACCUACCGCUGCCUACCUAUUAUCUUUUAGGCCUUCUUUUAGUUCCAAAUUUUUUUUUAAAAUUGAUACUGUAGCAUUUUCUUUGUAUUUGAUAAAUAUUAUCUAAUCAUGGACUAAUUAGGCAAAAGAUACUGUAGCACUUUUCUUUGUAUUUGAUAAAUACUGUGCAAUUAGUUUUUAUUUUCGUCUAUAUUUAAUACUUCAUGCAUUUGUUUAAAGAUUCGAUGUGACGGAAAAUCUGAAAAAUUUUGCAAAAAUUUUUGGGAACUAAACAAAGCCUAAUAGUUGUUACACUGAUUGCAAAACACCCGUGAACCAUGUUAAAGCAGUUUAGGUUUGUUGGCAGAUCAAACAAGUUUACUAGCUAGCUCGAACGUAAUCGUACGUCCGGUCUUUACAGAUGGCCCAACCUGCAAUGCCGAAUGCUUUAAAUAACGAAGCUUCAAGUUCCAUCUUUGCUUUGUCAAUCAUGGGAAACACCUGAUUUUGCAAAUUGCUAAUCACUUACAACCUGUUGUUAAUUCAUCAUCGAAGGGAUACAAAAAUUGAAGCUACUCAUUGCUGCCUUAUUAUGAUUAUCAUAGCAAUUUGUCUUUAGGGUACUUUGUUACGUUGACUUAUCUUUAAUAUUGAUGCUUUUGUUGUGUCCUAUAGGAUUAGUCUGUGUCUGGCGACCAUUCCUUGAUAGUGUAUUCGUUUAGGUCUAAUUUGAAGAUGUCAACCAACAUAUGUUUCUUCUAUAGCUGCCACAACUCUCUUUACCCACUUCGUAACAAAGACCGUAAAUAACAUAUUUUUUAUAUUCAGAAAAAAAAAGAAGAAGGAAGCUUUAUUUACUGCGUGUAAAGAUGCUCCCACGGACAGAAACGUGAUCAGGCUCGAGAGGGAUCUUUUGGCUGAAGGCUGUUGUGGAGCCGAAGUUGGGCACUCGCGUCUCGACGCCUUCAUUGCGCCGCAGCGUGGCUCUGACGGUCGGUACGCCUCGGUGAGCCGUGCCUCCAGGUCGCUGCAGCCCAUCCCGGGCAACAGAAUCACCGGGUGGAGGUGGAGCUCGCUGCCGACGACGACGGCAUCUUUGUUGAACAGGUGGCCUGCCGAGAGGUAAUCUCGGAGGGCUGGUGGGAGCAGAAGCAUAGGUUCCCGUUGCUUCAAGGGUACGACGACGCUAGCUGGGUACGGCUCCAAUAUCUGAUCCGCUAGAUUGUAUUGACUAUUGAUUGACUCGAUCCUGGUUGAUUACGAUUGUUCGCCACGGCGCGCGCCGACGCUAAACUGACCUAUCGUCGACUUGCCUUGUUUACUUCCAAUUUUUUUUACAAAAUAGAAAUAGUAGCACUUUCGUUUGUAUUUGACAAAUAUUGUCCAAUUAUGGACUAACUAGGCUCAAAAGAUUCGUCUCAUCAAUUUCGACCAAACUGUGCAAUUAGUUUUUAUUUUCAUUUAUAUUUAAUACUCCAUGCAUACGUCUAAAGAUUCGAUGUGACGGAAAAUCUGGAAAGUUUUUGCAAAUUUUUUGGGAACUGGGCCAGGAAUCGCCGGAAAGAAAUACUCAUACUACAGUAUUCUGCGGCUUCAUUUCAUUUUUCUUAUGAUUGUUGGAGUGAUCGGUUCAGUGUGGUUGCAUGAUUCAGUUAUUAUUAUUAUGCAGGGUGGUUACAGUGUACUUGUUGAGCUCUCUCGGCUGAAACUAUCCCCAGAGGAUGCAGCAGGAUGGGUGCGCCGCCGUCAAGGCCAAGGAUGACAUGGGAUUGCUCAAGAAGAGCAGGGACGGCUCGCCGGAGGACCAGCCCAUGCACCACCGUACCCAUAACAGCAGUUGAGGGUUGUCAGGAAACGAAAACAUGUCAGUCCUGUGUGCAGUGUGCUCUAUCACGUAUUAGGUUAGGUAACCUGUAAGUGAACUCCGCGUAAAUUUCCCUGCAUUUUUUUGGCACGAUGCGUCAGGGUCUUGUUUAAGGCCUUGUUUAGUUGGCAAAAUUUUGGGUUUUUGACUACUGUAGCACUUUUGUUUUUAUUUGACAAACAUUGUCCAAUCAUAGAGUAACUAGGCUCAAAAGAUUCAUCUCACAAAUUACAGGUAAACUGUGCAAUUAGUUUUUAUUUUCGUCUAUAUUUAAAGCUCCAUGCAUGCGACCAAAGAUUCGAUGUGACGGAGAAUCUUGAAAAUUUUUGCGAACUAAACAAGGCCUAAGUCGCUCUGAAUCUUCUUGGCGUGCGAGCAAGCGAGGCCGCCGAAUUUCGUGGCUCUCAACGCAGGUGUGAGGGGCGUUCGCUUACUUCACGGCAUCUGCGAGAGGCACAGUCAGCGACCGACCGGUGCCCGUACCGACGAGGAGGCGCACGUAACCGUAGGCGAGGACGAACGUACUACGCCGCCUGGUCCGUCCGGUCCGGCGACGGACGGAGACCACGCUAGCUGGCUACUCCAGCCGAGGUGGGGGACUGCUCAUGAUUGAAUUUUCUGCGACGGGUGACUCUCUGCGAGAGUAGAGUAAUGGUCCAUGGCGACGGGCGGUUGAGAUCCGAGCUCUCGGCUGGCCGCUCUUGUCUCGGGGAGCGUUGCUGUGGGAGGCUGAAGCCACCCGACUCCGGACACCCGACUCCAUCCGCUCGCCGUGAGUUCCAUAAUCAAAUACAAAUGAAACUGCUAAAAUUCUAAAUUUAAAAAAAUUGGAUCUUAACAUGCCCUCAGUAAAGGCUCAGGCCUUGUGCAGUUAUCCAUCCAAAAAAUUUUCAAACGUCCCGUCAAAUAUUUAGAUACACGUAUAAAAUAUUAAAUAUAGAUGAAAAGUAAUCUAAUUAUAUAAUUUAUUUAGAAAUUAUGACACGAAUUUUUAAACUUACUUAGUUCAUGAUUAGCCUUAAGUGCUAUAUUAACAUAUGCUAAUGAUAAAUUAAUUAGGCUUAAUAAAUUCGUCUCGUAGUUUCCGUCGAGUUAUACAAUUAGUUUUUUAUUAGAAUCCGAAUACCCCUUUCAACAUCCUACAAACAUCCGAUGUAACACCCAAAAAAUUUCACUUCCUAAUUGUUUAGACGGAAUACUACAAACAUCCGAUAUAACACCCGAAAAAGUUUCAUCCAAGAGACAAAAACUUUUCAAAAUUCUCCGUCACAUCGAAUAUUUAGACACAUACAUGGGGCAUUAAAUUUAGACGAAAACAAAAACUAAUUGUACAGUAUAUUUGUAAUUUACCUGACAAUUUUUUUGAGUCUAUUUAAUUUAUAAUUGGACAAUAAUUAUCAAAUACAAGCGAAAAUGCUACUGCGAUCAAAUCUAAAAAAUGGAAAACAUGGCCUAAACAGGCCUGAUCAAAAGGAUUUUGCAAGGGGCACUCAUACCUGAUUCUUUUGAGCCUAUGGAAGCUUUUCUCCACUGAAGCACACAUGGUUCUUUUAUUGAAAUUACGGUAGAGUAGGUCACAAAAAUGGGUCAUUUUAUGUUCAGGACAAACACUGAAAAAAGUUCGUUUGUUUCAGCGAUCAUGUAAAAAUUGGCUAAUCCGCGGAAGAAUUAGUUCAUUUUGUAGUUCGAACCAGCGAUGAAAAUGAAAAUAAUAAUUUCCUAUUUUUGAUUAUUUUCUGGUUUUCAAACCUAAACGGAUAUGGUAGCGGUAAAUGAAAAAUGAAAACGUCAUGGAUAAUUUUGGCCUUUUUUGAUUGUUUUUUAUCAUAUUUAAUUAGUAAUUUAGCAUCAAUAAUUACCGAUUCAAAAGCCUUGAAACCUAAUUUAUAUAUAGACUAAGUGCAAAUGCUUUAGAUCUUGUUGGUUCACAUCUAAGCAUCCCAUUUGACGCAAGCACAUAAGCCAAAUAUUUUUUUUGGAAAGGAAAUAAAUAGUAAGUAUUUCAUCCGUAUAGGAAUACGAAGACAACCUAUCAAUCACGUAAUGAAUCCAGGCUAUGUUUAGUUCCAAAUUUUUUUUUGCAAAAUAGGUACUGUAGCACUUUCGUUUGUUUGUGACAAAUAUUGUCCAAUCAUGGACUAACUAGGCUCAAAAGAUUCGUCUCAUCAAUUCCGACCAAACUAUGCAAUUAGUUUUUAUUUUUGUCUACAUUUAAUACUACAUGUGUGCGUCUUAAAAUUUGAUGUGACGAGAAAUCUGAAAAAUUUUGUAAAAUUUUUUGGAACUAAAAGGCUCACCAAGCUCGGUUUGCUUGUCCAAGUGGACGAGGUUGCAGCAAGCUCACCAAGCUGAAUGCUAACACCAACACGGUUCGUCUCGUCAGAUGGUGCUCGAGCUCUCAAAUCAGUCAGUCAGAGGGGAACGAGGGAGCACUGCUAACCGAGCUGAAGGUCACAGCACAGCACAGCGGAAGGUCACAUGGAGCUGAAGAGCACAGCACAGCGGAAGGUCACAUGUGGCUCAGCACACCGUGCUGAGACGGCUCGGGAACCAAAGGCGGACUGGUGCAGGUGGUGUCCGCAGCAGGCAGCCUGCGGCCGCACCGAGUCCCGGUCCGUGGCCGGCGUGGUGGCGUGCAGCGUGCGCUAGGCUAGGCUAGGCUAGGCUAGUCUCCCCCUCCCACGUCGUCCCGUCCCGUCUUUAUUAACCGCACCUACUCGCUCGCUGUCUCGCCCGCCGUCGUCCCCCCAGCGCGAAAUCCCCGAGUCCGCGGCGGCCGAACCGGGAAAAUCCACGGCCCCCCCGUCCCGCGUGAUGUGUCACCCUCACCGCGUGUGUCCACUUCCGCCAAUCCGGCCGCCUGGACGGAAUGGGAUCGCGGUCGCGUAGUCGCGUGCGCUCCCAAUUGGCCGAAUGGGGAAGAAACUCGCGGAGAAAAAUACAAAAGUCAGCACUGCACACUCGCUCGCUUGUCGCCUUCCAGGAAUCGUCUUGCGCAGUCUCCUACCCGUGCAAAAGGAACACACCCACCACACGGGGUGGCUAGCUUGGAAGGGAAUGGCGGGGGGCCCAACCUGCUCGGGAACCAAACGUGCUCGGACGGACGUCCAUGACGGUCGGCUCGCUGUGUACUUACACUCAUCUGCAGCCCUAUCCAAAGCAUUUUUUCCAUCCUAGAAGAGCCCAAGGCGGUAGCAAGGCAGCCUAGCUGAGCAUGGUGGGGCCCAGCUUGGGCCCUUGGAUCACAAACGCUUCAUCCGCCACCUACCACCAUUAUUCACACCUGUCAUCAUGACCUUCUUUGCCACAACACAAUAAAGACAAAGGAAUAGUUGAUGCACCUCUACUGUCACACUUAAACAGGCAAGUACUGAGACAACGAAAUAACUAUGACUUUGGAUUGAAGCAAACAAAAACCAGACAACAUCUCUCUGUGGAUUAGAAUUUAGAAGCAGCUUAAGCUUGUACUAACGCAAUAAACGAGACCACGCAUGUAUGCUUGCACCGGAACAAGAAUCCAAAACGUUGUUGGCAGCGCCGCGCGCGCGCACAUGUGUAGCAGGGCCGGCCGUCCAUCAGCAGCACGUCUUUGGAUGCAAUCGCGUGCCGCUGCAGCAGACCUGCGCACGCCUGCCCUGGGACGUCAAAUCCGUUGACUGACCCUCGGCUGGAUAUAUUUCGUGUCCGAGCUGGAAAUUCACUCGCCCUGCCUCGUGCGUCCAGAGCACCCCGUCCUGGAAUUUUCACCUCCAUUAUUUGCGAUUUUUUUAAAAAAUAACAUUAAUCGUCCCACCCUCCCACCGACGGGCCGCGAGCCGUGCGGCUUCUUCCCCCCUGCCCUCUCGCUUCUUCCCCCCGUGGCUGCUUGAGUGCGUGCCAGCUCGCACGCCCUCUGGCCGCCCACUCGCGUGCGCGACUUGCCACUCCAUCCAGGCGCAGCGGCGUGCCCUACUGCGAGCUCGCCCGGGCCAGCGAGGUAUCGGCUCUCGUCCUCCAUCAUCUGCAGCGCCUGGACCAGCUCCGCCCGACAGCGACAAUAAAGCCAAGUGCCUUCCAAAUCCCGCUGGUCCCCUUCCAAGGUCCUUCUCGAGGUGAUUACUUUUUGUCCGAUGUGCGCAUGAUCUUUGUUUCUGGUCGAUUCCUCUGGCCCGGUCCUAAUUUAGAGCUUAAUUAACUAGUCCCGAUCUGAUGCUAGUGGCAGACUCAAGUAGUUAAAAUGGGUGUAGAUGCUACCUAUAUACAAAUCGAACCAUGUGCAUAUGUAAAUCUAAGUGCUUAUUUGUUGAAGCUACAAUGGCUUAAUGAACUAUUGUGAGCUAUUUUUAUUUUUGAGAUGACCGUGCCCCCCUCCCCCCUCGCUGCCGAACCAAACCCGUACGCUAUCAACGGUCGCCUCUCCGUCAACCCCCUAGCACUCACCCAUCCCCGGCGCCCGUAUGCGUCGUCGCCUCGGAGACUCCGCGGUGGUCGGAGCACGAGCUCCUCCAACUUCUCCGGCGCUCCUUCAACUUCUCCAGUACGCCCCCGAUUCGUUUAUUUCCUCAUCCCCUUUCCAUGUACCAUUCUGUUUCUAGGGUUUUGGUUACUUAAACUGGACAAAUCCAUGGUUAGAGUUCCUAUUUUGGGGAGUGGGAGGAUUUGCGCUCUGUGCCUCGGUGUAGCGUUUAGGGCAUGGUGUGGAGCCCAUGGCUGUUCCUAGUGUGCUUGUUUCAGGUAACGGUUAGGGUUUGCGAAGCACAAAAGGCCUGCACUCUUGUAUCUUCAAUCCCCAUCAUUGUUCAUGAUUUCGUUGUAAGUUGUCACAUUUCGAUGACGAGCAGUCUGCUCACACUCCGAGGCGAGGCAGCACAAAGGCUAAGCUCAGUGAAGCCCAUUUUAUUUGCAAAUCAUUUGUAGUCCUUCAUGAACUCCUCUAUCCACCCUAAAAGAUGGAUGCCAUUAUGAAUUUAGCACGGCACUGCAUUCUAAACUGCAAUGGACAAAACAAACCUAAUUCAUUGUUUUUUGUAUUGCAGCUCUCCUACCGAAUUCCCUAGACUGGCACCUUCGUCGACAGCUUCCAGCUCACCGCCGGAAGCUGCACGAUACAAGCUGCGUCCCCGGCUCAUCAAACGCGCAAGGAAGGCAAGUAUAUACUCUCUUGCUCACUACACAAUGCCUUUUACUUUGUUCACAUGUAUGCUUGGUUCAGUGCCCUCAUUUUGCAUAGCCCCAAUCUAUAUUAGCACUUGCAUGUUCCGACAGAUGUCACGCGCACAGUGGAAUGAUGAGGAGACAAGGCUCUUGCUGACAUUGUGCCUUCAAGAGAAGGACAAAUUGAACUUCAGUUAUCUUGGGCUGACUAAUACUGGGUGGUCCAACGUUUACACCUACUUCCCUCACUAUGAUAAGAAGCAAUGCAACAACAAACUCUAUGCCCUAAAAAGCACAUAUGUCAAAUGGAAAGCAAGCCAGAAAGCCACUGGUCUCGGUAGGGAACCACGCACAGGUGACAUUGCUGCAGAACCUGAGUAUUGGGACACACAGUACGGUUCCCAGCCUCAGGGAGAGGUAUGUGUGCUCACAUUUUCAGCUCUACAUAGUUUGGUUCCAUACUCCCAUGUCUUGUACACAGGAAGUACUUACAGUACUGUUCGAUUUGUUUCCAGGAUCCAAGCUCACCAGUUCCAACACGUGGAAAGGCACCAAAGUUCCUGGCUCUACUUGAAGCAUUGUACGGUGACCGUAACAGGAACACAGGCAUUUUUAUGUCAGCCGGGGGGCAUCGGGAUGCAAUCCCUCCGCCAGUUUUCCCGCCUUGACUCUCAACCAACAAUUCUAGGUCUAAGAGGCCCUCUAGGGAGCAUGGUGCAACUAGCCCGGUGAAGAAGAAAUCUUGUGACAUGGGGGAGUACAUGGCCCGUAUUUCUGAAAGCAUUGCUGCUAGGAGCAGUUCUCGUGAUCGAGAACGGACCCGAGAACAAGCUGAGGUCGAUGAAGCAAUGAAGCUUUUACGAGAUGAUGGAGUGCCAGGAUGUUCAACUAUGUUUUUCGUUGCAUUGGAGCUGUUCAAGAACUCAGUGUACCGUAGGGAAUUCAAGAAUUUGCUGAAUGCACAAGAGCAUCAUGCGUGGCUCGCAUGGCAUGUCAAUGGGAACCCCAAGUAGUGAUCGGGUGCCUCAUUCAGUGCAGUGCACACCGGAUGACAUUUCCAUGUCUUGUAUCGUUUUCCAUUUGUGUUGUGCACACCUCGGAUGACAUUUCCAUGUCUUGUAUCGUUUUCCAUUUGCGCUUGUUUGCAUCUUGUAUUGAUUUGUGUUUUUUCGGCUACAUGCAUGUACUGCCCUAUGGGCUGACUUGAGGCUGUAAUUUUUUUUCACUGAGCUACUUGUGCAAAGCAGUUUUGCUUUGCUCUAUAAUUCUGUUGUAUGUUAUGGUCAAUUUCAUAACUGAUUUCUGUGGUUUUUGUGUUUUUGUUAAUGUAAUUUGCUUGUGCUUUGGUACAAUAUCUGCGGCUGACCUGUUUAAUUGCAAUGAGUGCAGGGUCUUGCUGUGGACAACAGUGUAUGGUCGUGCACUUGUUACGGACUGCGUGAAUCGUGGAUAUCUCUUCGAUUAGUAAGGUACGUAUAGUGGCAUUUUUAAUUUGUGUUCUAGGUUCAGUGCCAACACUAGAUAAUAGAACUGCAUAUUGGUGGUAUGUUUAAUUGUGGUAAUAUUUGCCUUGCACUGCACUUUCUUUUGAUGUCUUCAUAUUUUGUUCAUGCUAUGCUUCUCCUUGUUUCAUUUGUUCAUGUAGCAGUGUUUCCGUAUGUAAUAUUUCAAUGCGUACUGUCUGAUGUAGGGUGGUGUUGUCAUGGACCAAAGUGAGGACAGUGAUAAUUCUAGUGAGAAUAGUUUCAACGAGAUGGUGACAGUAGGAACGGGUGUAGCAUAUUGUUACUGGGCCACGAUGCAAGCACACCCACAAGUCAGCCGACAGUUGGGUCAGCCGGACAUCACCGGUCGACAAUGGGUGCACAACGUGUUGCAAAAUCAGCAUAGGUGCUAUAACAACUUUCGCAUGCUGCCUGAGAACUUUGAACGGUUGCAUAGCUUAUUAACGACUUGGUAUGGUCUAUCAUCCACUAGAAACAUUGAUUCACGUGAAGCAUUAGGCCUAUUUCUUUGGGCAUGUGGGACGAAUCAAUGUCAGAGGCAAAUGAAUGAAAGGUUCAUGAGGGGAUUGAGCUCAUGUUCCAAAAUUUUUAUGGUAGUUCUGAAUGCCAUGACUGGGUUUGCAAAUGAUGUGAUUAGGCCAAGGGACUACAAUUAUGGUGAAGUCCCACAUGAGUUGUUAGAGUACACACCCUUUUUUGAUGGCUGCAUAGGAGCUAUGGAUGGAACUCACAUAUUAGUGUCAGUUGAUGAUGGAGUUCGUUUGGACCACAUAAAUAGAUAUGGUGUGACUACCCAAAAUGUUGUUGCUGUUUGUGACUUCAACAUGAUGUUCACCUACAUUGGCGCGGGGACAGAGGGUUCGGCGCAUGACAUGCGCGUGAAAAAGAAGGUAGAGGAGGAUCCCGCUUUCCCCAUCCCACCAGACGGUAUGGCUACCUUAGUUGUCGCGUUGGGUGUAGUAAUGUAAUGGUUUUGUGUUCUGCAUUUGCUUACUGAUUGGGAAUUUUUGUGUAUGCAGGACGGUACUACUUGGUGGAUUCUGGGUAUGCACUUGGGCCGGGCUACAUGCCGCCGUAUCCGCAGAAGAGGUUUCGGGCCAAGGACUUCAAGAAUCUUGGUCCGCAAGACGCGGAGGAGUUGUUCAACCGGCACCAUGCGGGGUUGCGCAGUGUUAUUGAAAGGUCUUUUGGGGUCGCAAAAUCAAAGUGGAGGAUGCUCAAAAGCAUACCGCACUAUCCAGGAACUAAACAAACACAGAUAAUUCUGGUUUUGUUUGCACUGCACAACUACGUGCGUGGGCUGGAGGGAAAGCAUCGUGUGGGGAGGCGUAGGCAAGCACCAGACCUUGGCCCUUCAAGUAAAGUGACAGCAAUGGCAUUAAGUGACCCAAAUGAUAUGGAACAAGUGAGGGAUUGGAUUACUUACGGCCUAGGUCUGCUUGGGAAGACAGGUAAGUGAAACCAAUUCCGUUAGUCAUUAUGUAGUCAACUGAUUUAGUUGUUUUGGGUGCUCAUUAGGCCUUGACAAAAUGCAGAUUUCCAGUCGGAUGAGUAGCAGCCGAUGGCAGGAAGAAGGACAAGUUAGUAGGUGCAUUUUGACCAAUUGUCCUUCGUGUUGUUCUUGGUUAAGUACCGGAUAAUGGGUACAACUUUUGAAUUGUGGAGCCACCUCACCAAUUAGGAGUAGUGCUUUAUAUGUGAAUUGCAUAUGAGCGAUGAUGCAUUAAUGCAAUAACUCCUAGCAGGCCAGGUUGUGGCUCAGAUGGGAUAUAUGUAAGAACUGGAGUAUUGUGAUUUGUGUUGUACUGCUGACAAUCUUUGUUUAUGGUGUUUGGCAUAUAUGCAAAUGAACUGGUGUAUUAUUUGAAUUUCAAUGUGUGUCAGUCCUGUUAGUUUUUGAAUUCGAAUGGCUGCUGCUGUUGCUGACUUUUUGGCUGGUGGUUGCACUGGUCAGGCUGCAGCAUUCAGCCAUGUUUACCAUAAACUUAUCCCUUAGGCUUCGUUUGGAUAGACUUGGAUCUGCGUUGAUUGCAGACGGUUUGUUGAUAGGGUGGAUGACUCACAGACUCUCUGUUGGUUUAUGUAUACGUCUAUUUGCUACAAGCAAUUAAGUCGCGCAAUACUAGUAUUCACUACUUAGUCGCAAGCUAUAUAUGGUUGAGCAUCAAGUAGUAUAGAACAUAGUUAUUAGGACCGGACCGGACAUUGAACCGGUAAGGUCAACACACCACGCCAUGGAAAAAUAAACAUGUGAUCGGUGGCUAGGUGCAUUAUUUAUGAUCGCACCCCCCCUCUAAAUUUCUCUAGGUCCGUCACUGCAGGCGGGCGGACCAAUGACAGGGGCAGUAGUCCACCAACUAGCAGCCUAGCACCACGCCACACAGCACAGCCGCACCACACGCCCUCUUACAAACCAAAGCGGUUCGAACUGUAAAAAACCGGCCGGUUUAACCUGUUUUUACCGGUUCAAUUGCACAGACGAUCUUUUAAGUGAACCGGACUGGUAGAGACUCUGGUUCGGUCUUUUACCGGUCCGACCGCCUGUUGCCAUGACGUUAAUAAUUGUGUAUGUCGUCAUAGCUUAGCUUAAAGAAAUGCCAACAUAGCUUAAAGAAAAUAAUAUCGAUUAACAUUUUGUUUUUGAAAGUAAUUACUUAUAAGAAAAUCAAAGAAACAAAAUGAGAUUAGAAAGUGUUGCUUAACGUACCUAUAAUAAUUUUACAAAAGUAAAAUAUACUUUUAAAAUACGUGUUUACAUAUUCUUUAAACAUAAAUAAACAAAUAUAAGUGAAAUUGCCUGUGAAAGACAUUACAAAAAAUAGUGCGAAGAGAGUUUAUGUAUUUAGGCUUGUGGAACUUUUAUAGAAAACAAAUCAAGAAAUGGGUAGAAUAAAAAGUGUUGCAGAAACAUUAAUUAUGAAAAUAUAUAAUUAGUGAGUAAAUUAAAAGAGUAAUGAUGUACCUACUUAAUCUUUUUAAAAAUGUAAAUGAUUAAAUAUUAGUAAAAUGGAUGAAGAAUGUCGCAAAAUAUAAAAUAGAAAAAUAGUUAACAACAAAAUAAUGGAUGUAGGGGUGUUAAAACUGAAAAUACACUGUAGCAUUUUGUUUUAUUUGAUAAUUAUUGUCCAAUCGUGGAGUAAUUAGGCUCAAAAGAUUUGUAUAGUAAAUUAUUCUCUACUACAUGUAAAUAGUAUAUUUUUGUAUUCCAUGCAUCCCUAUUUGGUUGCUCUUGUUAAAGUUUACUGCCCGUCACAUUCAAUGUUUAGACACAUGCGUUGAGUACUAAUAUAGACUUUUUACGAAAUUAAAAACACAUGCAUGGCCGCCCCUGUCAUCGAGCACACCAGCCUUCUACAUCCCCGCAAUGAAGACAGACCCUCACAGUCUCUACCCAAUUCGACAAAGAGUCUUGAAGUUUCAUCUAUCUUGUUCAUGAUCUUAUGGUGAAGCUUCACAGUGCCACCACAACAGCAAAUUGGAGCUAUCAGUUUAGUUGAAGAUAGAGGACUGCAGGUUGGAAAUAGUGCCGUCUCAAUUGGAUUUUUUUCCUCAAUCGUGGUUCAAGACAGAGGACCCUCGGCUGGAUAUAUUCCAUGGCCAAGGUGCUAAUUCAUUCGCCCUACCUCGAUCUUUCCUCGCGCGUCCACCCCUGCCGUUUUUUAGGAAAAAAAAGAACAUUAUCUGUUCCCCCCCUUCCGACGGGCCGCGCGACCCUCUACGCCGUGCGGCGAAUGAACUGAGCCGCGUAGCCGUCCCAGAAGUGCACCGCCCGCCUCCCCUGCAUCUCGCCAGCAUUGCCUGCCUCCCUGCCCCCUCGGCCCUCGCUGCCCCUCCCUGCGUUUCCGUGCGUGCGUGGUAGCGCACGCGCCCUCCUAGCCGUGCGUUUCCCACUCGCGGCAGCGACCGGAGCCCCUCCAUCUAGGCUGCGCCGUCGUGCCCUACUGCGAGCUCGCCCGGGCCAGCGAGGUCGGCAGACACAUCCCCAUCAUCUGCAGCGCCAGGACCAGCUCCGCCCGACAGCGACAAUCCAAGUGCUUUCCAAAUCCCGCUGGUCCUUUUUCUCCAACACGUGACAGUCCUUUUCAAGGUGAGUUCUUUUUGUCCGAUCUGCUCACGUUUUUCGCUUUUGGUCGAUUCCUUUUGCCCCCUCAUAAUUUAGUGUUCAAUUAUUCCCGAUCUGUUGUUGCUUUGCAACCCCAAGUCUUUUUCUUUGCAAAAUCCAUCAGCUAGGGUUUGCGCUCAGGAUGCAGGUGGGGCGGGUCGUUAACGCUACCCACCAGCCCGCCCCGCAAAAUUUAUGGUUCGCGGUGACCAUGCCCCAGCUGCAAGUUGUUUGCGGCCUAAACGUUGUUUAGCUGCAAAGCCCACUGGAUAUUGUUUGUAGCCCGCAAAGAACCCGCAAAACCCGCAAGAAAGGCCUAUCCUUGUUUAUCCCUAUCGCAACUCCCGGUGUUGUCGGUGUCGGCCUCCCGUGCUUCUCCUUGUGCCUGUGCUAUAUUCCGCAGAUAAAAUUGCGGGCCUUGCAUCCAUGGCAGGCGUUGGAGACAUGGCUAGAGUGGAGGAAGAGUAGUAGGCAGGAGAGGAUGGGAACAACAUGGCAGAUCCUACCAUCCUAGCGCUUGCUGCUUGCUUUUGCAAGAUGCAGACGCCUAGUCAGGAGUGUAGCUUUCUCAUCCACCAUGUGGCUGGCAACCAAAGCGCUAUUAUAGACGUAGUUAUGCACCUUGCGGAUCUCUGCGGGACUAACGUUUGCUGCCGCAAAGCCCGCGAAACUUUGCUACCCACGUAAUUUAGUUUGCGGACAGCCACAAACCCGCAGGCAUUUGCUUGCGACGGGCUUUGUGGGUUUGCGGUUGGCCACAACCCGCCCCGCCUGCAUCAUGAGUUUGCGCUAGUGGCUACUAUUGAAAAUUGGGUGUACAUGCUAUAUAUACAUUAUAGAACCAAACCAUCGUGUCAUAUGUAAAUCUAAGUGAUUAUUUGCUAAAGCUCACAACGGCUUAUGAACUAUUGUGAGCUAUUUUUUUUUGCACCUUUUCUAACACCUUUGAAAAAUGGACUUAACUCUACUGAUGUACACGUCAUUAUUACCUCUAAAGAAGCUUUGACCCUGAAUUAUCUUGCAACUUGCCAGUGUUCGAGUAUCGCAACAGAACUCUAGAAAUUGGAUAAGGGCACUCAAAAAAUCUCACAAUGUUCUGAAAUCCCCUCUCUCCAUGCAAGUCCUUUGGUGAACUCAUGGUUGAGAUCUGUGUUUCCUUCAUCAAUAUAACUAUAAGCUGCUGGCACAAUUUUUUUUUUUGAGAACACGCGAAGGCGUGAUAUUCAUUAAGUGGAGAGAGUGAUAAUACCCGGUAACAAACAGGUUACCGAGUUACAGAGCAGAACACAACCAGAAGUUUAGGUAACAAAUUAGACAAGAUUACAUAGUGAGCCAAAUUUGCUUCAAGGCCACAGAGCAGCCUAGACCCGAGCAAGCCUAGCCCCCAGAGGAAUGUAUCCAGUUCAGUGGAAAGUUGUACUUGAUCUAGCAUGUCACAGAGACCUGCGAACUCAACCAGUAGCUGCAUAGUGAUUGCUCCCUGGAUGUGGCGGACCCAAGCAAACUCAUGUAGUGCCUCCGCCACUGUUGCCUUCCUCUUUCUUGCCUUAACAGUUUGAAACACAUUGGGCGCCAACGUUUGUAUACUAGACCUUUUUAGCCACCGGUCUGUCCAGAAGAAAGUUGAUUGGCCGUUCUCCAGGUGGAAAACAGUUGCCGCCUGGAACAGCGCUAGCACGACGCCCUCUUUGGUAGUCGGCGGUUGACCGUUCAGACGGUCUCGCCAGACCCAGCGCACGCGCAGCGCGAUUCCCACCCUCCUGCGGUCAGUGACGCCCAGACCACCAAGCUACUUGGGCCUGCAGACGCUUGGCCAGGCAACCUUGCAUCGCCCGCCCUGCACAUUGUCUGCCCCUGCCCACAUGAACGCCCUGCGUAGCUUCUAAAUGGUGUUGAUUGCCCACGGCGACAGGCAUAGCGCGAUGGACUGGGAUUGUCAAGAGUGUUGCUUUGACGAGCGCAAUUCUCCUAGCCACAUUAAGCAUCAGCUGCUGGCACAAUAAUACUCCUAUACCAGCAUUGACUGAUAAACUAGCAUAUAUUAUAAGUAAUCACUCACGGAGUGAUGGUUUGAUGCUAGGUUUGAAAAUCAACAGAGGGCCACAUCUUAUAACUCGCAUAUAUGGUCAUCCCAGCAGCAUUAGAACAACUAAUAACUGCAGAUAUAAGGAAAUUGAAAAACACUUGAUGCUGUGAUGCUCCCACACAGUUGCCUAUCUGCACUUGAACAGAAGUAGUUAAUGAAUAAACAAGUGAAGUAACAAUCAUCAAAAAGUACUAACGCAUCAGAAUUCAGUUAUCAUACUUAUAGCUGGGCAAUUAUGAUCCAUGUUCACCACACGCAUUUUACAAGAUCGGCAGUGUUGUGCUCUGUGGGCUUUGGUUUAUUACAGUAUGUACAAAAGGUAUAGGUCAACACAGCUAGCUUGUGAUUUUCAAUACAGCCAGCACAGCUGUUACCAUGCAGUGAAAGAUACCACAUGUCAGAUCAUGAAAUAUGCAGCAAUGCAAGAAGUGAGUGACUUUAAAUCAACCCCGUUCCCAUAUGCAAAGUUUUAAUAGUCGAAAUCUUUUAUCACAUCGAAUAUAAUAGGAAAAAGUUAAGGACUUUUUCCUGACUUAAUAACUAAAUACGUAUUUCACUUGUUACCUCCAAUGAAGUAAUAGAUAAUUCUACCCAACUUAACUAAAUGGAUGCCUCAUGGUUAUUUGGGAGUACCAUAAUGAAGGCCAUUAUUAUUUCUAGUAAUGUCAUAAUUGAACUUUUUAGUUUCCACUUGAACAUUGGUAACAAGUUCUCUGAAAUUGUUUUGUUCCUGUAACUGAAAUUUUUUGAGGCUCUUGAUUUUCCUUCUAAAUAAUUGGAAAAGACAUUUUUUAUAAAAAGGCUCCAAUAGUCUCUUUAGCUAUAGGGUACAAAGAUAUAUGAAGCAUUUUUGUUAUCCAAAUAACUCUCUGAAUGAUGAUUUAGAGAGUUAACUUAAUAAAAGUUCUCGAAGAUGCUGUAAUUUUUGUUGCUUUAUUUAUAGUUAUAGUACUAAUCUAAACAAUUAUGUUUACUGCAAGUCAUUGUUGUUAGUUGACAAAUUAACGCUGGUUCUGCCCCUGCCUUUUCGUAUAUCUUGCACCUUAUCUCUUAUGCGUGCAUGCCUUUUCUUUGCAGUAUGGUUCGCAAGAGGAUUUGCCGUGGUGAUGAGGAUGUUGCUUUGCCACCUCCCAAGCGUGGGCAGCGGCUUGCUGCAGUGACAUCGAGUGGCAGACGCAAGGUGCUAGCUGGUCGUGGCAAGGCUCGUGUCCGCAAGCAUGCUCCUGAUUUAGAUUUGCCCAAUGAGAAUCUUGAGUUUGUUCAGGUGACCGACAACCUGUACAUUAAAGAAGCGUUGCGGCGCAGCCCUUAUGAUGUUCACCCACCUAAACCUAAGGACUACACCCGGAACUAUAGUGGACAAGUUUUUGCUCAAAGGUUUGUCUGUCCUGAUGAGGUUGAUGUUGUUGAGAUUCUUGAUCCUCGGUUUGCAACUCCUUUUCAGCUGGACUACUACAAUUCUGUUAUUCGAUCUAAAGUUCAGCCAGUGGUAGAGCAGAAGUGCAUCGAUUGGAACUAUUGUGCUCGCAUUGAUGAUCCCGAAAUGACCAAGGCUCUUGCUAUUUUGGAGAGGCACAACUUCAAGAACAUCAUGACUAUGCAAUAUCCAUGGAACAAUGAGAUCAUUGCUCAAUUUUUUGCAACCGUUUGGUACGAGGAUCCUACAGAUACGGACCAUGGUUGUGUGCACUUUCGCACACAGGGUCAGAAGUAUUCUGUUUCUUAUCCUAGGUUUGCUCAAAUUCUUGGAUUUGACCUUGAUGACUUUGAGAAGCCAUGGCUUGAUUGCUCACCUAGUCGUAACAUUGAUAUAUCUUUUGCUUACUAUACGGGUGCCACCAUGGAAGAAUUUUAUACCCUCAAGAAAAUGAGAAAGGUUUAUCGCUACAUUAAUUUGUUGGUGAGGCAAACUGUGGUCCCCAAGAUUGGUGGUGCUUCAGAAAUCCUAUCUACUAUGGGUCCUUUCUUGGCUGCUCUCAAGGAGGAUAACGAAGACUCCUUCAGUGCUUUUGGUUUCAUUUUGAAGCAGAUUCAGCUGACCUCUUGGGAUGCUAAAAGGUCUUGUUCUCAUGCUCCAUAUAUAAUGAAGAUGAUUGAGAUAGUCAGUAAGAAGGAGUUUGUCAAAGAGAUGCGCCAUGAGGUGUAUCAUCCUGUGCGGAUUGCUGAGACGGCACCGAGGAGGGGCCGCAAGCCACGACAAUCUGAGCCUUUGCCUUCUGUAGACACUACCUCCAAUGCAGCAGCUACUACUCAGGCCGACCAGGGUCUUGUCAUGAGGGCUCUUCGAUCUGUGUUUGGGAUGUGCAUGGCCAUCCAUGAGGCUAACAGAGAACACCAGCGCACCGUCGAGGAGGAGCUCCACCGUGCUGAGGUUCAGCGAAAGGCGAUAGCAGUGCAGGCUGGUGUGCCCCUGUCUCCGGUUCACUCUCUUCCUCCAGCUCCUCCACAGCCCGCUUGGUUCCACCCACAGUUUCAGCAGUCUUUUGUGCAGCCCCAGUCCUCGUCCGGUGCACACCAGGGUGUAGCUGCUAGCUCGUCCUCUGGAUGGGCUGAUGCUACCUAUGGGUUAGCAAGUUACUUCUUCGACCCUGCGUUCGACACUCUCUUCCCCGCGAGCGGCCCUUCGGACUUUGGCAACCAGGAUACCGAUGGGAUCCAAGAGGACGACAAUGUUGCUGAUGACAAGUGAGGCAUGUUCUUUGCCGACAUAUUUUUUUUUUGGCUCUUGACGCCACAGGGGAAGAACUUUUGUGAUCGUCUCUUUUAUCGAAGAUAUUUAUGUAUGGACCUUGGACUCCUUUCUAUUUAUAUUCCAGUUAUGUAAGUCUAUUGUGAUGAACUAUGUGUGAUUGUUAGUUCGAACUUAAUGGUUGUAAGGACAUGUUACGGUGCUUGGUUAGUAUCACUUUUUAUGGUUUAAGUCUUCCAUUUUUUUUCAUUGCAUGAUAUUCGUGUCAUAUGCAUCAAGAUUAUUGUUUGUGCCACUCACCCAUGAAGGCAUGUAUAGAUGUGGAGCACAUUUAGUAAAAUUGUGCAUGUGGCCUUUUAUGCCAAGUUGUUAGUAAUUUAAAAUAUAUAUGGACAAGUUUAGCGAGAGCUUUUCAUAUACGUGGUUUUAUACUUAUUGUUGAUUUAUUGUAUCGUCUUCAACAGUAGCCAUCCAAUUGGGUGCUUUUUUUUGUUUUUUCCCUCUAUCUGUUUGUAUGAAUUAAGUUAAUUUAUUGAGAAAAUUUGCUAGUCUACAUAAAACAUGCACAUACGUCUUUUGCGGCAAAACCUUAAAAAAGAUGACUUUCUUCCUAAAAGAAAUUAAAACGGCCCAAUUAAUAUUGUCGAGCCACAUCAGCUUAACAGGCCAAUUUUUCGGACGGCCAAACGGCCCAGCUAGAAUCACCAAGGGGAACUUCAGAAUCCAUAGUUACAGACGUGUGUUGACAAUAAGCGUCUGUACUGAACUACAGACGCUUGUACAUGGCGCGCGUCUGUAACAAGGAAAAUCACAGACACGUUUUAAAACAGUAACAGUAGCAGGCGUCUGUAACAAGCUAUUACAGACGCGUGUUAACCUCCAGUUAUGCAAUCGCGCGUCUGUGAUUUCCUUUUUUUACAUAGUGGUAAUUUAAAUUUAUGCAGCUUUACUAAAAUAAAUGUAGGCUUUUCGUUUAUAAUAUAAACUCCCGGUAGUCGUUCUUUUUCACUAUAACUUUGAUUAGAGUGUUUUUACGUCUGUAUGCUCGUAACGAUGUGUCGAUUAGUUUUCAAAUCUUUUUAUUGUUUGGUGUACUGCUCUAAUUUAGUUCUAUUGUUUGCUUCGUGUGUGAUGGUAUGAUUGCUUGUGUGGUGCUUUAUGAUCAUGUCUAGUCAGUGAGCCAUACGUGGUGAAUCUAGAAGCAGUUCUUUCAUGGGUUGGACUUGAAGAAGGAGCUAAGUUUAAGGCAAGUAUAGCAUGGGAUCAUCCUUGUUUCCUAAUAACUUUAAUCACACAUUUCAUAUUGCAUGUGUCUCCUUGAUAAGGAUUUCCUAGUAUUGAUCUUAUACCUUGUCACCUAUGGUUUGCAUUGGGUAGCCUAUGCUAGUGCUCCACUAAACCAUGAUCUUGUAAUUUGACUAAUGGAAUAUGCAAUAAACAUUAAAGGAUGACUUUUUGGCAACUUUGGUAAAGAGGGCUGGAGCAUUGGGCUAUCUUAUGGUGCUCUAGUCUCUCUCCAUAAGGACUUAUCUGUAUCUGACCAUCCGGGACAUACAGUACAAUUGUGAGGGCUACAUGGCUCUGGCUUUAGCUCAGUAUGAGGUCCUUUUCUAGCUUGUUAGUGGUUACCCUUGUGGCGCAAAUGGGGAAUAGCAGACCGUGGAUUCCUGCGGGUGAGUCACACGGACUGACUAACGAAACCUAGCGGCCCUAACUUGUUAGACGAACCUUUGAAAGGCUUCAUAGUGAACCCUGCCAGCCUCCCUAGGAAGGGGGUUAAGAGAUUAGCUACCUCGGGCGAAAGGGUAAAUCAUGACUCACAGUGAAAGUGUACAACCUCUGCAAAGUGUAAAACUGAUAUAUCAGCCGUGCUCACGGUCACGAACGGCCUUGGACCAAUACAGAAUAAAUAAUCACUAAUGGCAAAUCAUUAAAGUUAUUGUUGUUAAUAUGUUGUUUAUGCUAUUCUUUAUUCACUUUACUUGAUCAUGAGUUUGCUUUGGGACUCGACAACUUGAUGCUACUCAAAUGCUAAAAUUGUGACAACUAAAACCUACAUGCAGUUAAACCAGUGUCUAGCCUUUGAGCCUCAUGAACCCCAUGUUAUUCUUGCUGAGUACGAGAUGUACUUACGCUUGCCUUUACAUUUUAUUUGGAUAAAAAUCCCGGAUGGGUACCAGAUUGCUAGUUUGGAGAAGAGUUUAGGCUUGUGCUCAACCAGUCAGUUGUCCCUGUGGAUUUGGAGCUUUCGCCUGAAGAACGGAGUGUCUUUCCGCUGUUUGCUAUAUAAGGUUAUAUCUUUUAUACUAAGUUUGUCAUAUAUAAGCAUUGUCUAUUGAUAUUACCCCUAUUUGUGGCUAUAUGUGAGAUUGUCCCUGUGGGUUUGGAGCUUUCGCCUGAAGAACAGAGUGUCUUUCCGCUGUUUGUUAUCUAAGGUUAUAUCUUUUAUACUAAGUUCGUUAUAUAUAAGCAUUGUCUAUUGAUAUUACUCCUAUUUGUGGCUAUAUGUGAGAUUUGACUUCCUGGGCUCACAUAUGGUGUGUAUCUGGUUUUGUUCUUAAAACCGGGUGCUACAAGCUUGCUGAUGAACUCAUGAAAGAUAAAAUUCAUAACCCUCUGAUAGGUAGCACAAGCAUUUUUCAAGCCGAAGGUCAUGACUAUCCAUUCAAACAACCCAACAUGACCAGGACAUCUAAAUGCGGUCUUUGGAAUAUCUUCUUCGGCCAUGAAUAUUUGAUUAUAUCCUGCAUUGCCAUCCAUAAAGCUAAUGAUCUGAUGUCUAGCGGCAGCAUCAACUAACAAAUCGGCAACUGGCAUUGGAUAACCAUCCAUCAGCGUAGCCUUGUUAAGAUUCCUGAAAUCAAUGCAAACACGAAGCUUCCCAUUUUUCUUGUAAACUGGAACGAUAUUGGAAAUCCACUCGGCAUACCGACAUUGCCGAAUAAAUUUAGCUUUGAUAAGUUUGGUUAUUUUGAACUUAAUAUUAGGAAGAAUAUUAGGAUUGCAUCAGCGAGCUGGCUGCUGAUGCGGCCGAAACCAGGCAUUUGAUAGGUAACCGAUGUUCAACUAUAGAUCGGUCUAAACCAGGCAUCUCAGUAUAAUCCCAAGCAAAGCAAUUUAUAUUCCUUUAACAAAUCGGUUAACCGCUGCUUACACUCAGAAUCUAACUUAGCACUAAUAAAUGUAGGCCUUGGCCUAUACCAUUACCUAUAUCUACUUCUACUAAAUCAUCGGCCGAUGUAAACCCCUAGCCUAAUUUUCCAUCAUCGGUGAACCUAUCCAUUAAAAUUCCUCAUCAGAACCGACUGCAUGGAUCGGUGGAAUUUCAUAAUCGGCAACCUUGAGAAAAUCCUACUCUCAAAUCUCCCCUGAAAUGCAUCUGGUCCUUUCAUAAGUGUCUGCUUCUGCCGAUGCAAUGACAUAUGAAGAAUCUCCCGGGACAAUUUCAAUCUUGUCACCUACCCACUGAACCAAGCAUUGGUGCAUUGUAGAUGGGAUACAACAAUUAGCAUGAAUCCAAUCUCUCCCCAACAGCAAAUUAUAAGCACCCUUUCCGCUGAUGACAAAGAAAGUUGUCGGCAAGGUUUUGCUGCCAAUGGUCAACUCAACACAUAUGGCUCCCUUCACUGAAGACACAUUCCCUUCAAAAUCUUUUAGCAUCAUAUCGGUCUUGGUUAAAUCUCUGUCCCAUUGGGCGUGCCAAAAGAUGUGUUGGUGCGAAAGUAGAUCUGCAAACACAAAGGACUAAUAGCCGAUUCAACGUUAAGGCGUGCCAGCCGAUUUGACCUUACAAUCGACAAAGGUGGUAACUCAAACACAUUGGUCCCGACAACAGUGAUGUGCCCGAAUGUCAUGGCUAAGAGGUGUUCACGCGGAACUCAAGAAUCCAUCGAGAUUGACUCGAAGAAUCCCUCAGAACUCGUAAGUAAAAGGAAAAAUAUGCAAGGUGACGAAGUCGUCGAAAAGUAGAUGCUCGAAUACAUGUAAAAACUUAUGUUUGAUUGAUUGUGUAUAUCUCUUACAUCGCUACGGGGUCUCAUAUUUAUACCCUGCCCAAAAGGGUUACAAUCAGACACGACUAGAACUCGAAUUCCAAAUUAAAUAGAAUCCGUAUAUAAAACAAACUCUAAUAACUAUGGAAAGCAUUAAAUUAUCUUCCACAACCGAUCGGUACACCACCGCGACUUGGUCGACAACUCCUACGCCUUUCUCCAUGACCAUCGGUGAACUAUCUCUCAUAGCCAUCGGUAACCAUCAGCACCAACCAUUGGCAUGGAUCCAUCAUCACCUUUGGACUUAGCCAUAUUCUGUCGCUUUCUCAUCGGCAACUCUUCUGUGAACUUAGUCACCACAUCUCUGCCUGCCGAUCCACACCUUAUUAACUCCAGAUACAUGUCCAAAGAUAUGUGUCCAAAAACGGUGUCAACAGAACUAAACAUGAUGUGGAUGAGAAAACUAAAUGAUGUGGAUGCAUGGAUGAUUCAAAGUAAACAUGCAGUGGUACGCAAGGAAAUAAAAAUAUAACUACUCAUAAAAUUUAAACCCAUGAGUAGGACUAUCUCACCUUGAUCACACUUACCAUGAUGCACAACUAGGAUGAGAGUUGAAUUCUUGUGAUGAUGACCUUUUCUCCAAUCUACACAUGUUUAGAAGAAAUAAUAUAUGUGUAUACACAAACCUAUGAGAUGGCGGAGUUCUAGAAUGAUGGAUCUUGAAUGUUCAAGCACCCUGGGUUCUUCAAUCUUGUGGAAUUUUGUCGCAAGGUCGAAAUGGCAUCUGUUGUCUUGUCUAUGCCACACUCAACAGAACAAAGGGGUAAUCCUACUAAAGCUAGUGAUACACUAAAUUAGCAGACAUCAAGAUCAUUAUCAAAAUCUUUACACCAAAUGCUUCCCUUACAACGGCACGAAAAAUGCUUGUUCGCAUUUCUUAACGCAAUCACCAAAGAUAGACAAAAAACCUAAUCCCUAGUAACGAUGCCAGAAAUACUUGUUGACAUUUGUUAGUGAAAAAAGAAAUAUGAAAUUCUACAAGUGCACACAACAUCAUCGUAGUACUGGGGGUAUUCUAGGUAUCGUUAUUUAUAUUUAACCAAAGGGUAGCCAGGGUUAACAAUUAGAUAAUUCACUAUCCUACAUCUACUAACUUAGAGUAUCAACUAAACUAAAGUAGGGGUAAAUGAUAUACUAUAAGAUAAUUCAAUUAAGUGCAUAUAAGAGAAUUCAAUGAUAAAUGCAUAGAUAGUCAUAGUGGGAGGACAACAGGAAAGAUCUAAGUUCCUUUCUACUUCUCUAUUACUUAGGUUCUAAGGUAACAGAAUAUGAAAGGAUAUAGCAGUCACACAAUGGCACUUUGGAGCAGCAGGUCCUUUCUAACUCUUGAAGAAGACUCGAAAGAAAGUAGUUGGGGGAAGGCUGCCAAAAGCUCUACAAAAUACCAACCCAAAUGUGGUGGAUUACAAUGGCCUGACAGGGCUGUCACCAUUGGGGAUACCACAACUAUUCGUGGGAUUGGGCACAAACUCAGUGCUUAGUCUAGGUGCAAAACUAGUGAUAGGCUAAUGAUAAUCAAGAUGAUGCUAAUAAGAAUGGUUUACUAUCCAAUUUAAGCUCUUUUGCAAAAAUAUGAGUCAAGCCAGCUGUUGACGGUCCUUGAGUAUCAAAUAUAAUCAUCAAAUAAAUAGAGAAAAGGAUCUAAAUGCAACUGACACCCAGACUUAGGGUUUUAUCUGACAGAAUUCCACGACUUUUGGUGUUUGUCUAUUUCUACAGGGGGUUAUCAGGAAAUACGGAGGAAAGGCCCACACGUCGGGUUUACAUAGAGAUAUUAACGUGCCGCACAAUUAUCCAACAUCUAGAAGAGUCCAGAAGCCAUGGGAAUGAAAGGGAGGACGAUCGGGCCUAGGGGCAGGGCGCCCGCCCUGGCCUGAGGGCCAAUCACAUCCAACUUCGCGGAUCAUGCUCCACUGACCUAAGGGAUCAAGGAAAACCGUGCGAUUAAUGUCGGUUUGAUCCAACAGCCCACAUUCAUUUGGAAGGACUAUAUAAGCAGACCCCUUGGCCCCUGGAGGAGAGCACCUCUGAACCCUAAUUCAUUUAUCCAUCUCGGGAGAAGAAGCUUGUGAUCAAGCCCUAGAGCCACCGCAUCAAUAGAUCUCUAGUUUAGCAUAGCUACAUAGGAUUAGAUCUAGAAGGAGUCAAUCUUCGAUUGGUUUCCGGAUCUGUCAAGAGGAUUCUUGGUAAUUCCUCUAUUGUUCUUCAAUUGUUCACCUUUGUUCUUCAAUAUUAUUAAUAUGACUUUGUUCUACUUCAAUAUAUUGAUUAUGACUUUGCUCUACUUGUUAUUAUUUGCAAUUAUAUUGUUCUUAGUUUAUCAUAGUUAUAUGCUUGGCUUAGUUAGAUUGGAAUUAUAUACAUGUUUAGGAUCGUAUAACGUUUAUCCAUAUGUACAGUGGGUAAAUGAUAAGUAUUGUGUGACCAUAUGUUCCCAACGGGAGGAUGAGUUGUGUGACGAACACGGUUUCGGGCGCUCAGACGGGCGAACUGCCUCCGACCUCGUCGGCGGUGGUUCCCGCACGUGGAUCCACCGGGACCCCGACGAAGUCCGUGGCGGGCGGUGGUGCGGAAGAGGCGAGGAAUGGGCGGAGGUGUCGAGAGUUGGCUAGGCUCAGGAUGGACCCAGGACCGAACACCGGGGACGGCGGGACAUCGCAGACCUCAUCGGAGGUGAUUCCUACGAAGGAUGGCUCGGCUGAAUCUCCGGCGACAUCCAUGAUGUGCUGUGAUGAGGAAGGUACAUCACCUUCUACCUUUGCCUAUCAUAUUUCUUCAGAGGAGCUAUUGCAGUAUAGAGAGAAGUAUGCUCGGCUACGGGAAACAUGGCGGGCGAAUCAAGCUGUUCGUGAGGGCAGGGCAAUGGAGAAUCCCAUGGUUGUUAGUGGGUCUCAAGCGCAAGUGGUGAAGAAGGAUUCACCAGUAAUUGCCAGGAGAAAAACCUCAGGUAAAAUCCUAGGGAAAUUGCAUUCCUCGAUUCCCCCUAUCUUCAGGAGACAGGAUUUUCCGAGUCUCGCUGAAUCUAUAUCUGUUUGGAGGAGGAAGAAGGGACUUGGUCCACCAUUUGAUAAGAAUUGUGGGAAUUUUAGUUGUGCUGUUAAGGAUGAAAACUUCCCGUUCAGGGAGGUGGAAGAUGAUGCUCUAACGCUGAAAUUUGCUCUGAUCAAACUUUGUUGGCUCAAACGUAGUAACAGCUUGAACAAUCUGGGCAGGAGAGUUGUAGAGGAAAAAAAUUUUUCUGAGGAAGGGCAAUUUCGAGAAGAACGGUGGUUCCGGGCACCACCUAAGGUGAGACUUAUCGCAGGCAUCCUAGGGCCAUGCCCGGGAGUGGGUACACGCGGCAUCCAUCCGCUGGGUGGUGAGGGGAAAGAGGUGGUUGACCUCGAGUCGAGGCACCCCCCUCCGGGAUCUAGAUAUCUAAUCCGAGGCGGAGUCGAUUGUCUGGAUCACACAAACCCUAAGGAGAUAGAAAUGCCCAAACCUUCCAAUCUCACACGAUUUGUUGGUCAUCUGUGGAGAGGAGCUCCUUCCAAAUCUUUUGCAGCGGCGGUGAAGACAGUGACCGCACCUACGGUCACUGUCAUGCAGCCCCAUGGUGAGGGUCGCGGUGGAGGAUUCAGAAUGAAUCGUGGUGGAUUUGGAUACAACAGAGGAGGUUUCAACAGGGGAACCUUCGGUCAUAAUCGUGGAGGUUUUGGAGGUAGGGGUUUUGGGCCGAAUCGUGGUGGUGGUGGGAGACAGGGAGAAGGAGGAGGCCAGAUGGAUCUCAGACCAAAUUUGUGGAAGCGCAAGGAGGAAACACUAGCUGGGGGAGAACAGUUAAAGCCAGUUGAAGAAGGGGCUGCGGGGGAAGAUCGGCAGAAGCAGAGUCAAGACUCAGAUCUGUCCAACUGGGAGAAGAGUCAAGAGAAGCCACCAGAGAAGCAGAGUUCUUGGGGCUCGCAAGGGGCAAUUGCAACUGGUGAGGGGGAUCAGAAAGAAAUAGGUAAAUCCACUGGGCUUCCUCGCACCAAUCCUCAAAAUCAGAAGUUAGCUUGUGAAAAUUGUGGUUUGUUCAAUCAUAAUACUAAAGAUUGCAAAAGGAGUUCUUGUGAAAUCUGUGGUCUUAGCAAUCAUUCUACUUUUGAAUGCAAGAACUGUUUAGCUUGGAACUAUGGUCCAGAGCUGUGUGCUACCCAAGUAGAGGAUCAAAGUUUUUUCUUUAUUGAUGAAUUGAUUGACUCUAGGGUAGCAAGGGAAAAAGCUUGUACUGUGGUUAUGACUGUGGUCACUGGUUCAGUGAAUGCCAAACAGAUAGAACAUGAGUUCAUGAACUUGAUUGGAGCAGCUUCAUGGAGAUGGAUUGCUAGGCCUGUAGGAGAAGGCAAGUUCACAAUGAGAUUCCCUACUGAGAAGAUGGCUCAGGAAUGGAGCUUCUUACAGAAUCUAAAUAUGAGAAAUGGAGCUCAGAUUAAAAUUGAAUCUUGGUCCCCAUCAGUGGGUGCUAAAGGAGCUCUACAGACUGCUUGGUUUAGAGUUAGGAAAAUUCCAGCUAAUUAGAGAUCUAUUCUAACCCUUGCUAAAGUAGGAGGGCUAGUUGGAAAAGUCAUGGAAAUAGAUGAGGAAUCUCGAUUCAGAUAUGAUUAUGUCAGACUGAAGAUUGCUUGUAGAGAUGUUUCCAAAGUUCCAAAAACUGCAGAAGGAACUCUAGGUCUGUAUAUUAUUGACUUUGAGUUUGAAAGGGAGAUCCCUGAUGGAAAAGGUGAGAGGAUGCUGAGAAGUGGUAUUAAAGUUGGGGAGGAUGCUCAACCUCCACAAAAAAAAAAAAAACCCAAAAGUGAUGAGAAAGCUGAGAAUCAAAAACUUGAUAAAGAAUCCACAAGAUCUGAUGGUUCCAUUCAGGAUCGAGGAGAUCAAUCUGGGAAACAGGUACAAGCUAUGUAUUGGUCAGCACCUCCUAAGAAUAGUUUUAAUAGAAAAUCCCAAACUAAGAUGAUGGCUGAUGCACAAAAGGCACCCAGUGAUGGUGGUGACAAUGACAAAGUUCAUAUUCCUGAUACUUUUGAGGACUCUGAUACAGAUAGUGAUUCUUUUAUAAGAAAGAUCAAACAACUCACUAGUGAUGAAGUGGGUCAAUCUUCUAAAGAGGGUCAAGGUGAUUCUUCUAAACAGAUUUGGUUUGUCCAAACUGAUUUGCCCAAAAUAUUUGAUAAUGCAGUUGGUUAUUCUGUGGAUCCAAUGGGAAAAAAUGAAUUAUUUUGGGAGGAAAAAGAACAGUCAGCUGGUGAAAAGAAUUGCAAAAGGAAAAGCCAAUCUCCAGAAAUCUUUAUGCCUGAUGAUAACAUUGUCAAUACUCAAGAUAGUGUGCAAGAGGAGGAUAACAAUCUGAUCAACAAAGAUGGUGGGCUGAAUGAACAUGAUGUAAACACAGAAGAUAUUGGUGUUGUGCCUGAACAAAAAGCUUGUAAGAUUCAAGAGAGAAGGAGUGAAAGAUUGAAGAAAGACACAAAGAUGACAACUAUGGAAAAGAUUGAGAAGGCUGGAGCUAAAAAGAAUUUAGAAGGUAACUCAAAAACAACCAAUUCUUUUUCUAUUCUUUCUGUAGAAGAUAUUAUUCAAACCACUGCUGAUAUGGGAAUUUUGGUAGACAGUAAUAACUUUGAUACCUUUGACCUAAUAAAUGAUUUAGAGAAUGCUAGAAAUGAUUUAUAUCAUAAACAAAUUGAGCAAAAAAAGAAAUCUCAAACUGAUUCAGUUGAGAUUGAAAAAAAAGAUGAAGGACAGAUACAUGAGUUAGAUUGGUUACAUGAGGAAUCCUCUGAGACAGAGAAUUUUAUUUUGGUUGAGUCCAGAAAGAAAAGGAGAAAAAAUAGGAAGAAAUUAAAAAUCUCUCCAUUAAAGCAAGUGAUUGAUCAGGACCAGGAAGUUCCUGGCCUGAUCAAGAAAAAAGGGAGGAAGCCUUGUAAUGCUUCUGCACCUAGGAACACCAGAUAUAAAAAAUCAUAAUAAAAAUGCAAGGCCUUAUUUGGAAUUGUAGGGGCCUUAGAAAGAAAGGGGUUUCUACUUUUCUUAAAGAUCUCAUUUAUCAAUAUGCUUUCCACUUUCUAGGAAUUCAAGAAACUAUGAUUAAAGAUUGUGAUGAAAAACUUUUGAGGAAAUUUGAUCCUAAGUGGUUGUAUAAUUCAGCACAUGGAAAAUCUGGGGGUAUCCUUGUGGGGGUUAGGAAAGAAUGGUUUGAUGUUGGCUCAUUCCAGCAAGGGGAUUUUAUGUUACAGGUGAAUUUGUGGGAUAAAAUGGAAAAGAUUAAAUGGAAUCUUUUGAUAGUAUAUGGAGCUGCUCAGGAGGAACAUAAAAUGGAUUUCGUAGCCGAAUUAUCAGCUUUCUGUACUAGAAAUCAGGAACCUAUUUUGGUUGGUGGAGAUUUCAAUAUUAUCAGAUUUGCAAUAGAAAGGAAUAAGCCUGGUGGCACCUUGAGAUAUUCUGAUAUGUUUAAUACCCUCAUCAAUUUUCAUGAACUUAGAGAACUCGAGAUGUCUGGGGGAGUUUUCACUUGGUCAAGCAAUCAAGUUAAUCCUACUUUGGAAAAACUUGAUAGAAUCCUUAUUUCCAAUGAUUGGGAGGAUAUCUUUCCUAAUGUUUUAGUUAAAAAAUUACCUAGGGAGGUCUCUGAUCAUAAUCCUUUGAUUCUAUUUUCUGAAACUAUCCCUAAUCAGAGACAUAUUGAAUUCAAAUUUGAUCUGAACUGGUUAAAUCAUCCGGAGUUUAUCCCAAAGGUUAGAAAUAUUUGGACCAAACCAUGCAGAGCUAAAACCAGUCUUGAUAAAAUUCAGCAGAAAUUGAAGAUACUGAAACAGUACUUCAAAGGCUGGGGCUUUAAUCUGCAAGGUGAGCUUAAAAAACAAAGAUGUUCUAACAGUGAGGAAAUAAAAAAAUUAGAAGUAUUAGAGGAAGUGAAUGGGCUUAAUGCUGAAUUGGCUGAGAUGAAAACUAGACUGCUUUGUGAAAAUUUACUUCUUUUGGAUCAAGAGGAAACAUACUGGUACAAUAGAUCUCAUGAACAAUGGUUACUAAAAGGAGACAAUAAUACUAGUUAUUUUCACAGAAUCGCCAAUGGCAGAAAAAGAAAAAACAAGAUCAUAACUUUUGAAUGUGAUGGAAACAUUAUUGAGGGGGAUGAAAAUCUUUUGCAGCAUGCAUCUGAAUAUUAUGCUGAGUUGUUUGGUCCUGAAAUAGAACACAAUAUACAGAUUCAUCAAAGUUUGUGGGAUGAAAUUGAUAAAGUGUCUGAUUUGAAGAAUGAAUUUUUAUGUAGACCUUUUUCUGAAAGUGAGAUUAAAGAAUCUUUGUUUCAAAUGGAAAAAACAAAGCAGCUGGCCCAGAUAAGAUACCAAUUGAGUUUUAUCAAAUGUGUUGGGAAAUUGUGAAAGAUGAUAUUAUGCAAUUAUUCUUAGACUUUCACGAAGGAAAGGUAGACAUUAGUAGAUUGAACUAUGGGGUGAUUACUCUGCUACCUAAAGUUAGUGAUGCUACUAAAAUUCAACAAUAUAAGACCGAUUUGCUUACUAAUUAAAUUGUUUGUACAAGCUGAUUACCAAAGUUUUGAAUGUGAGAUUGGAAAAAAUUGCUGAAAAACUUAUACAUCACAAUCAAACUGCUUUUAUGAAAGGAAGAAAUAUCAUGAGUGGCAUUAUGAUUCUGCAUGAAAUCUUACAUGAAACCAAAAGGACUAAACAGAUUGGGAUCAUCUUAAAAUUAGAUUUUGAAAAAGCUUAUGAUAAAGUGAAAUGGAGUUUUCUCUUCAAAUGUUUUGAGGCUAGAGGUUUCUGCACCAAAUGGUGUGAAUGGAUAAAAAAUGUGGUUUCUGGGGGAACAGUUAGUGUUAAGUUGAAUGAUCUAAUUGGGAGAUACAUAAAAAGUUACAAAGGAGUGAGACAAGGAGAUCCUUUAUCUUUAUCUCCUAUUUUAUUCAAUUUUGUGGCUGACGGCUUGACUAGAAUGAUUCAUAAGGCCCAAGCUAAUGAUCUAUUUCAUGGGUUGGUGGAUCAUAUUAUAGAUAAAGGAGUUGCAGUAUUACAAUAUGCAGAUGAUACGAUUUUAUGUUUGAAACACAACAUUGAAGAUGCAAGAAAUUUGAAGCUAUUGCUAUACAUGUAUGAGCUGAUGACUGGUUUGAAAAUAAAUUUCCUUAAAAGUGAGAUUCUUACCAUUAAUGAUGAGGAGAAUUGGGCUAAUAAGUAUGCUGAUCUGUUCAAUUGCCAAAUUGGAACCUUCCCUAUAAAAUAUCUAGGAGUUCCUGUGAGUCCUAGUAGGCUUCAUGUAGCUGACUGGCUUCCUUUAGUGGAUAAAAAUGCUAAGAAGUUGGAUGUUUGGCAAGGUUGAUCAUUAUCGAUAGCUGGUAGAACAACUCUUAUCAAAUCCAGUUUAAACAAUGCCCCUAUAUAUCAUAUGUCCAUUUACUUGUUUCCCUAAACAAUACAAAGUAGGUUGGACAAGUUGAGAAGGACUUUUUUCUCGCAAGGUGGGGGGACAAAGAAAAAGUAUCAUCUUGUUAGAUGGACUAAGAUUUGUAAGAAUAAAAAGAAAGGAGGACUUGGAAUUAAGGACAUUUCUAAAAUGAACAUUAGCCUUUUGUGUAAAUGGUUCUGGAAACUUGAAAAAGAGGAUGGGCUGUGGCAAUAGAUCAUUAAAUUCAAAUAUAUAAAAAAUGCAUCAAUUUGCACUGUGAAACACAGGCAAAAUGACUCUGCUAUGUGGGCUGAUUUGUUGAAAAUUAGAGAAAUAUAUUUGCAAGGGAGAAAAAUUAUAAUUGGUAAUGGGAAAUCAACUCUGUUUUGGAGAGAUACAUGGUUGUAUGAUAAACCAUUGUAAUUGUUAUUCCCUGAGCUAUUCAAAAUUUGUGUGCAUCAAAAUUUGAAGGUAUAUGAAGUUAGGCAAAACAUUCAAGUAGUUACUUUCUCAAGAUGGUUAGUGGAUAAAUUACGGGAUGAUUGGAUCAGCAUUAUGGAGGACUUCAAAAAAGUUAUUUUUACUGAUGCCAAUGAUGAUAUUUCUUGGAAAUUUGGUAAAAGUGGUCGUUUCUCUGUUAAAUCCUGUUAUGAUACUAUGACUAUAAAUGAUUCUGGCAUAUAUCAUAAAAGGAUUUGGAAAAGUGCGAUACCAGCGAAGAUAAAAAUAUUCUUGUGGCUUAUGCUUAACAAUGCUGUGUUGACAAAAGAUAAUAUGGUUAAAAGGAAAUGGACAGGUGAUCCUACUUGUUAUUUUUGUGAUAAAGCUGAAAACUUAUCUCACUUGUUCUUUCAAUGUAGUACUGCUAAAGCAGUUUGGGCAAUAGUUGCUAAAUGUAUUGGAGCUGUUAAUAUUCCUUGUUCUUUUGAGCAAUGUUGGAAUUGGUGUGAUGUCUGGAUACCUUCAGAAAAACAGUUUCAUGCAAUUGGGAUUGCUGCAGUAUGUUGGGCUAUCUAGAAGGCCCGAAAUAGAACAUGUUUUGAGGGGAAACUCCUUUCAAACCCAAUCUCUUUUAUUUGUCAUGCUUGUGCUUUAAUGAAAUACUGGGCAGGUCUUUUCAAGGAAGUAGACAAGGGAGCACUGGAGAAUGGAGUAAACACGAUGCUCAAGAUCGCUACCUCUCUUCUUGCUAAGAGGAACAGAGAGGGAGACCUGCUGAUGAAAGACAAUGAUGAUGACAGCCAAGAAGAGUAGAAGAUCUCUUGUCAAGUACCUGAAGAAAGCGUCCAGCUGUGAUGCGAUUUGGGUCUAUCUUGUUUUUGUGUUUUGUAAUCUGUUAUGUUUGCUGUCUUGUCAUAGUCAGACCGUUGGAGAAGUAGGUUUCAAUAGCUUUACCUUGAUGGUAGCUUUUGUAGUAGUGAGGUUUCUCUAGGUUCUGCCCAUUCUAUCUCUCUUUAUUGCUUCCUAAAGACUUUGUAUUUCCGUUAGUGAUAAUGGAAAUAGGGUUCACCUCGGUUUAAAAAAAUGAUAAGUAUUGUGUAGGCGUGGUGCCUAUACCGUAUUUAUCUGCAAAUGUACCCUAUAUGCCAGAUCGCGGGGUAGUUCGUGGUAGUGACAGCUCCAUUGAUUCUUAUAUAGUCCCCCUCUCGUGUAUAGGGCUGGCAGAGCAACAUUAUUACAAGGGAGUGACUGCUAUGUUUCUCAUCUUCCUUGAUAAUAUCACUAUGCAUGGGCGUAGUCCUGUCUCGCAAUGAUUGCCAAGUAUAAUUGCACUAACUAUAAUAUGCUAGACUUUAUAGUUAAGAAUAACUUAGGAAAUAUUCUUAUAGUUCGUCCUAAUUCCAUGCUAAUGACUUGUUAGAAUAUCUAUUGAGGUGCUUAUCAUUAUUAUAUGUGGCUAAGUUAUGCUGAUCAGAUUAAUUAUCUUUGUCACCAUUUAUACUUUAUCUAUAUCUUAUGUGACAUUUAUCCCUGUAUGAAAGAGAUAGAUAAAUGUUCUCAAUUAUACAUGCAAUGAUAGAUACUCAAUUCUAUAUUCCAUUCCAUAAUCAACAUUGAUGUUUAGCAAUCCUUCCUAGUGGUAAAAAUAUUAAUAACGAUACCUGGAAUACUUCCCAGUUAAAAUGCUACAUCGGUAUUAAUCUGAGCGCUUGUAGAUCUCAUUUAUUAUUCAUUCAGAAGAGCAAUUGCAUAUUUCAAUACCGCGUCUCUCAUGUCAUGCUGGGGAUGACAACUUGGCUUAAGUGGUAUGAGGGAUAGGUUUGGCAUUUUUAGCGCCGUUAUCAGUAUUAGGAAACUAAGUCUACUUUUGGUAGUGACGUUAAGAAUGCCCAACAAGCAUUUUUGGAGCCGUUGCCGGGGAAGGUUGAUUACUAAUUAGGAAUGAAUAUGGAAUUUUGAGUCAUCAUUCGCAUCACUAAUAUGAUUGAGAUUAUCAAUUCUCUCAUACAGUUUUACCCUGUUAUUUUUCUAUUUUAUUUUAUGCAGGGUAAAGUGUGAAUAGAAGACAUUUUCCAGAAAAUUUUGUUGACAAUCCCAAAGCGUUAUUCAGAAAAACAAGAGCCAAGCUCAAGAAGAGAUCAUCAACACUUCAGCACGAAGCUUCAUCCAUUCAAGAAGAUCACCGAAGUUUCACCCGGAACUUGUCUUCAGAGUUCGAAGCCAUGGCGAACAAAUCGAUCCGUCAGUUCUAAGCUCCGACUACGGACAACAUCCAUACUGGACCUACUGCAGAGAUCGACGGCAACUUUGAGCUCAAGCCUGGACUUAUCAACAUGGUGCAAUCCAACCAGUUCUGUGGAAAGGCACACGAAGAUGCUAGUGCUCAUCUCCAACACUUCCUGGAGAUUUGCAGCACAUUCACCAUAUCAGGAGUCCCCAGAGAUGCUAUACUACUUUGCCUCUUCCCAUUCUCACUGUUAGGGAGAGCGAAGCAGUGGUUCUACGCUACAAAAGAGAAGAAUACUACGUGGGCACUCUGCUCCACAAACUUUUUGGCUAAGUUCUUUCCCAUGGGGCAAGACCAAUGCUCUCUGUGGGAAAAUUACAAGUUUUCAGCAACAACAUGAUGAAUCCGUUCCAGAAGCAUGGGAGCGCUUCCAAGACUACAUCCUAGAAUGUCCCCAUCAUGGAAUGGAGAGCUGGCUAUUGAUGCAAACGUUUUAUCAUGGGCUCGGCCAUAGUGCCUGUGAGACCAUGGAUGCUGCAGCUGGAGGAGCAUUCCUGUCACUCACCAUAUCAGAAGCCACAGCUCUUGUGGAGAAGAUGGCGUCCAACCAAGGCUGGAAUGAAGAAAGGACCUAGACACGCGAGAGAGGUGGAGGUAUGCAUCAGCUCAAGGAGGUAGACAUGCUGUCUGCCAAGCUAGACCUGCUCAUGAAGAAGCUCGAUGAUAGAGCUGGAGAUAAGAAAGAAGUUAUGCAAUCACUGCCUUGAGAUACUUGAGGAUGUGAACUACAUCAACGGCAACAACAACAACUACUACUACAACCGUCCUCAACAAAAUCAAGGCUGGAAUCAACAGAGGCCUAACUACUCACGUAAUUAUCAAGGUAACAAUUCUUACAACAAUAAUAAUAAUUUUCCACCUCUAAGAGAGUUAGUGUCUAAUCAAGGAAAGCUAAUGGAUAACCUAUCUAAGAAAUUGACAUCUAAUGAUAAAAUAUUAGAAAAUAUAAAUAAUAGAAUGGAUAAUUUUGUUGACGGUCCUUAAGUAUCAAAUUUAAUUAUCAAAUAAACAAAGAAAAGGAUCCAAAUGAAAUCAACAUCUAGACUUAGGGUUUUAUCUGACAGAAUUCCACGAGUUUUGGUGUUUGUCUAUUUCUGCAGGGGGUUAUCAGAAAAUAAGGAAGAAAGGCCCACAUGUCGGGAUUACAUAGAGAUAUCAACCCACCGCGCAAUUUUCUACCAUCUAGAAGACUCCAGAAGCCACGGGAAGGAAGCGGAGCCCGAAAGGGGCCAGGCCCAGGGCGCCCGCCCUGAGGACCUGGGCGCCCGCCCACCUCUGGACUCCGUUCUGGACUCUCUUCGCACACGACGUUCCACCGACCUAUUGGACCCAGAAUAACAUAGUACCACCUCGCCUAUCGACCCAAAAACGCAUAGAAGGGGAGGACUAUAUAAGGAGACCCCCUCUGGCCCCUGGAGGAGACAAGAAAUUAUCAUAGAGAUUGAGGGGUGCCCUCGAAGGAAAACCUCUUCUCUAAAUAAUAUUUCUUUUUAGGCUUAGCAACCAAUGUAAAGUAGAAAUAGAUCUUCUAGUUUCUACUAGAUUGAGAGAGAUAGAGUGGAGGUAUGGAUCGGAGGAAGGCCGGCCUGUCGGUGUCUACUCCGAGUUGUACCUACGGGAUCAAGUCUCCUAACCCGAGGCUUGCUUCUAAGAUUCUUCAGUAAUUCGACUUCUAAUACUAGUAAGUUCUUGUUUUAUUGUUCUUUGGUUUAUAAGUUUACUUUAAUCCUCUUCCGGUUGAGUAUUAGAGUAAUCACUUGUUAGCGUAAAUGUGGUGUUUAGGCUAGGGUACUCAUAGAUAUCCCCUGACUAGCUGGACCGUGGUAGUAGCGAGGAACGUGACAUUUCUGAGUUACCUUUGCAGAUCACAUCUCGUUAGCAGGACGGGUAGGUUUAUAGGUGCGGGUCGAACAUCCUUUGUGUUGUCUAGAUUCCGUGAGCCUCCCCAAUAGAACAGUAGAUCAUCCUUACCAAGGUUAGAAUGAGACUACGGUUGCAGUCUUCUCUAUACAUCACUCACAUCGAGAGACAUUCUUUGUAGCCUAAAGGGAUAGUAGCAAUAGAUUUGGUUAGUCAGAUGCACCCUUUCUCCCAGUGGUAAAAAUAUAAAUACGAUACUCUGGAAAACCUCCCGGGUGAAAUGCUCACCGAUAUCCGUGCGCUUGCGGAUCAUUUUCUAAUUGCGUUACCAAAUAUCAACAAGCAUUUCUGGCGCCGUUGCCGGGGAGAAAGACGGUUUGCUGAGAUAACUUUGAGUCUUGCUAUUAUCUUGUAUUAUACUUUUAUACUUUUAUUCUUUUAUCUUUUUAUUUUUAUCUUUAUGGAUAACUCAAAUUCCAUACCUAUUAUUAAAUUCUUUGCACCUUCGGAGACCAGCCAUAGACCAUGGGAGUCAACACGCUCUGCCCCUAAUUAUGAUCUGUGUCCGGAGUUGAUUGCAAUAGGUCAAAACCAACCCUUUUCUAUAGCUGAGGUCCUAUCUUUUAAUCAAAAAGAUAAUGCACUUUUUGCUACACCUAGGGAAUCUGUUAAUCUUUCUAUAAAUUCUGGUUUAGACCUAGCCCUACAAGACCAAGUUUUUUUCUCGAUAUUUUCACAUUGGUCUUAAUCUUAUAACCUUUGGUAGAGUCUUUCUUUCUUUAUCUAUUAGUAAAGGAAGGUAUGUCUUCAUUUGUGGACAUCCUUCUUGUACUAGUCUUCAUAGAAAAAUCAUAGAGAUAGAGAAGGAAUCAUCUCCCAGACGAGGAAAGGAAGUUUCAAUAGCCGAUUUCCAAACAUUUCAAUCCCAUAAUUCGGCUAUCCAACCCAUCCUUGAGCUUAAUAAAUUCUACUAUGUUCUUUCUCUUGAACCUCUCGAUAAUCCUAUGAAUCUAUCUAGACAUCCCAUGCAUAAGAAGGAGGAUCGAGAAGAGCAACAUCAAUGGCUAGAGGGCAUUAAAAAUCCAUGUGCUAUCACCAUUGAAUGGAUAGAUAAAACAAACUUGAGAGACAAUCCUAGAGGAAUUUUAAACAUUCAUGAAGAAUCAUCCUUGGAGUUUGAGAAUGAGAGAAACAACAGUGAGCAUGGAAAUUAUUUCAUAAAUACCUCACCCAGUCCUUGCUCAUAUAAAACAUCUCUCCAAUCAAUUUGUCUCUCCAUCCUUACCACAUUUGAGAUCUCCAACCCCCUCUUCUUUUCUAUUUAUAAAAACUUUAAAAGGGCGGCUGUCGAUGCGUAUGUCUAUAAUAAAUAUUGCAGAUCUCGUUGAGUUAAUUGAUGGUUCCCCAAGGACAAGCUUAGUGUCCUACAACAAGCACUUCUAAUUAUUUGCAACAUUGCCUUGUGUAUUGAGCAUAUAAAGAUAAUUGUAGAAAUAUUCCUUCGGGUAUUCUUGUCACUAACCUUUCCAGGAUUGGAGCAAGAAGAUCGGAUGAAUGACAAGCACAAGGUAUGUCCAACCAACCAUCACACAACAUUGAAUUAAAUUCAUCCAAACUUGAAUUUUGCAAAAUUCAAGCUUGGGGGAGUACUUUACAUAAAAACAUCCUUUGCCAUGUUGCUACGUUGGUUGUCCCUACCUUUGAGAGAUGCUCAAUUUGUUAAGUACUAAUUACACUACUUCACCUCCACUUGAGUAGAUCGCUAUAAAUGCUCUCAUGCUACCUUUAUUUGCUUUAGUAUAUGUCUAGGUUUGGAGUAGUUUCAUUUAUCUCUUAAAUCAAGCAUGGUGCUUAGUUUAGGAAUGAUGAUCUUACUUCCAAAGGAUUUUUAAAUUAAGCAUGGUGCUUAGGUUAAAAUGCCCUCCUAAAUCAAAUUAGACAUGGUGUCUAGGUUGAUUUUUGAGCCGAUAGUAUGCUAUAGUAGAUAUGGGAUAUUUUGUUGGACUAACCCCUGUAGGAAAACUUUCAAUAUCAACCUGGGAAGUCCUGAGAUGCAAACUCAUUGGAGAUGAAGAAAGUGACACAUGAAGUUUAACAAUUUGCACAAGAAAGACGUAGCUCAUAAGAGAUGAUUCAUGGAGGGUGCCACAAACACGAUGCACAACCGCUAAGAAAGGAAAGCUUCCACAAGGUGAUACUGUACCAUCACUCUUCAAGUAAGGUAACAUCUUAAGGUACUUGACUAACACUUUUAUAAGCUCCUCCUUGGUUCUGGCAUUCACAUAAAUAAAGAGACAAACAUGUAUGAUUUAUAACUCCAAAUUAACCAACUCAAUUAAUUCAACAUGUUUAGUCCUUUAAUCUUUGUUCUUAGUACUACCUUCGUGACCCCACACUCCUAAUCAUAUAAGCUAAAGUAUUGCACAUGCAAUCUUUGGAAGAUAUAAACAAAACAAAAAUAUAGAUAGAUUAUCUUUCCAUUAGGUUGAGCCAUCUGAUCUGACAAAUGCUACACUCAUGAUCCAUCAACUUUGUCUUGCUCACUAUGCUUAAGGUUAGAGAAGAACAAAUACACUUUUGGUUCUGUUGGUGUUUUCCACCAACAGGGCCCAAGCACUUGAUCUCUACCUUGUCUCUGUGAGCAGGAACACUUCGAGCAUAAUAUGAAGGAGUUUUACAACUCCCAGAUUCCACCAAGUGAAGAACUAGGAUCUACGAGCACAAACACACUGGAGAUACUGGACGCUCAGGCAAUCACUGCCUUGAGAUGCUUGAGGACGUGAACUACAUCAACAACAAUAACAACUAUUACUAUAACCGUCCUCAACAACAUCAAGGUUGAAAUCAACAGAGGCCUAAUUACUCAGAGAGGUGAUCUAGGACGCCCCGUUAUCCCGAUCUCCAUCGGCAUGGUGGACUUCCCAGAAGCACUCUACGACUUUGGCUCCAGCAUCAACAUUAUGCCCAGGGUUGCAGAUCGAACACCCAGUUUCCCAAAGGAAAUAUUGAAGAACCUCUGCGUCCGAGUUGGUACCUUGUAUGCUCUAGCAGACUUCAUGGUGAUAGAGACUGGUACUGAGGAGAGGGCACCCAUCAUCUUAGGGAGGCCAUUCCUAAACACCAGAAGUGUCAUCUACGCUAAUGCUGCCAAGAUCAGUCUCUACAUCAAGGGGAAGAAGGAGAUUUUCCUUCAAGAACAAGACUACAUAAACUUCAGAGCAAUCCCGACAUGAACCAAGGAAGAGGACCAACAGGAGGAACAGGAACAAGCAAAUGUGGACCAAGUCAGCUAAGAUGGUCACUGCAGUUCAAGGAGGUCAAGAUCGUCGACUCAAGUCACCUUUCUUGGUCAAGAAGGACGACCCUGGUGUUCCAAGAAUCGAAUGCACAAACAAUGGAUACUCUUUUCAGAAGACACUCUACGACACCGGAUCUAACGACAACAUAAUGGCCGCAGUCACUUAUCAGCUCUUGCAUGGAACCAUGCUCCUACAACCAAGAUACAUUAGCUUCAGACAAUUUUUAGGUCAUUGACAUGGGAGAAGACGAGUAUGAUCCAUCCACCAUCCUUGGAAGACCGUUCCUAAACACUAUCAAAGCCAUUAUCUAUAUUGGAACCGGAGAAUUCCACAUGCACUUCCUCUCUGAGAAGGUACGCCACUACUUUAAUGAUUCUAACUAUAUAGUUGAAGAUUCUAAGCAGGUCAGGACAAGAAGAAGACAACGCAACCGCAACCAGAGGAGGCAAAUCAUCAAGGACGGACGGGUAGACUAUGAAGGAGAAGUGAUAAGUACUGAAGACAUUCAACUUGAACAGAACUGUCCUGAGGAGACCGUAGCACCGAGUCAGGUGUGGAAAGAGAACAUAGUUAUACACAAAGAGGAGGCGCCACCGGAAUCACCGACUACGCCACCUAGCGAAUCCCAGGACGACUGAAAACAGAAAAUCCCGUUCGGAGGACUUAAAAACACCGAACGCCUUGCCAAGAGGUAAACUUGGUAGCUAUCCUUUUCCUUUCAAUUAUUUAAAAUAGUUUGCUUAGUUAAUCAGGUUCAUGCUAUCUUAAGAAGAAAAUAAAAAUGUUAAAAAACUGUAAGCCCCAUGUGAGUAGACGAGUGGCAUAAAACCCAUAAGUACAUUCACUGUGGUGGCAUAAAAAUAAAAUAAAUAUUUUUCUGCUCUAUAAAAAACAAAAAUAUAAAAACAGGGAGUAAUAUUUAUUAAGGAUUCUCAACAUGAUAAAGGCUAGAUAUUUAUGCUAACACUUAAUCAGUUCCACAAGCUUUGUUGUCUAUUUGAGCUCUACAGAAUUUAAGAAUCAAGAAGACUAGCAGACGGAGGACAUUCUAAUCGCUGUCAAAAUACUGCUGACUUUCAAACACACCUCUGCCACCUGCUAGCUACAUCAAGAGAAAUUACGUCAAAAUUCAGCUUGGGGGAGAGCACCCCCAUUUAUCUCGAUAAGUAUUUCUAUCUAUCUUUAUACUUAUACUAUAUUAGAAUAUAAAUACACAUAACUAUGAAAAACCAAAUAAAGAUUUUAUGCUUUGCUUAGUGUGUUUAAUAAAUAAAUAAAGUGGCUAUGCUAAUCUGUAUCUAAUAAAACUUAAGCAUGGAUAUGAUGAAUAGUUGCUCUGCCUAAUUUGCAAAUUUGAAGUUCUCUCUCAAGUUUAGAUAUAACUGUUAUAAUUUAAGGCUUGCUCUAGACCUAAACUUGUGGGAUGAAAACUUGAUCUCAAGUCUAAGUUGUUAACGGAUACGAUAUGGGAAGGUUGAGCUGCUGUUUAUCUGUUCCUAGAGAUGCUAGAAUUCUGGAGAAUUUUAUCUUUGAAAAUCUUUAAAAUGUUGCAUGAUGAGUUUCUGUAUGAUGAGAGUUUAAAUUCCUACCACAGCCAUAUAUACAUGCUUGCUAGACUUUGAGCCACACAUUUAUUAUUUACUGCUUAUGAGCAUUGAGUGUGGUCAAGCUGUGUAGACCCUUAGGAGCUUGUCAUGUGGUUAAAUCAAGAUUCACUUGCACGUUCACUCAUACAUGCUACUUCUACUCCGGAAGUACCAUCCACAUAUAUCUACUCAUUUCCAUCUCCACAUUCACCCAAAAAUUAUUCUACUCCUAAUCCGGGAGAGAAUAGCCAAAAAUAUUAUCCUAUCCCUGUUAUUCCCUGUGAAAUAAAUGCUCGAGUUAUCCUGGUUACUACCACUUGCUAUAUUAUUUAAGGAGAUGAGUGCUCUAAAAAAAAGAAGAAAAAAAAGAAAAAAAAAUAAUAUACGAGGAAAUAAAAAGGGGCAAGUGCCAGGAACCUCGAAGAAAAGAAAAAGUGAGACGAGAGGUAAAAAUGGACAAGUGUCCGACAGUAGAAUUAGGGGUACAAGAUACCCACCUGAGAGGAAAGAAAAAGAAAAUAUAGAGCAUCUCAUUCUCCCCAAAAAGGUUCAAAGUGCAAGAAAGGUAUGUAUCCCCUCAAAAGAGCAAAAGUAGAAUUAAACUUUCACCAUUAUUAUCAUCAUCAUCACCAUACACCAUUCAUUCACCACACAUGCACAUCUUGAUUUGACUUAUUGACUUGUUUCUCUGGAUCCAUGGUUUGACUAUGCAAUAAAUGUCUUGUAAGUAUGUAUUAGCUGUCUCCCACCUAUGAGCUCCAGAUAUCAAAACCUUAUUAGAAUAGGGUGAGCGAGAAGGCAAUAUCACUAUGCCUCAUACCAAAAAUACCACAUACUUUGAGAGAAGGCAUAUACCAUCAAUGCCUUGGUAAGGAUCCAGAAAUACCACAAGAGAGAGAUAUGAGAGAGUCAUACAAGGAAUCUCUGAGUUUUAUUUGAAAAUAUGCAAAAACCCCAGAGCUAUAGCUGAUCAAGAAUAAGAGACAUGGCACUUGACUAGACUGUUCUAUCUUUUAACCACUCAAGACAGAAGUGACGGUUACAAGUCCUAUGAAGUAGGUAAAGUAAGUAAGUUUUAAGUCUUAACAGUUUAUUCUAACUCAGAGAUGAGAUCUUGCUUAAAUGCAUGUGUACUUCUAAGAAAUGAAACCACUGCAGAAACUCUUGAGUUCAUCCUUGCUCAGGGACGAGCAAGAGGUAAGCUUGGGGGAGUUUGUUGACGGUCCUUAAGUAUCAAAUUUAAUUAUCAAUUAAACAAAGAAAAGGAUCCAAAUGAAAUCAACAUCUAGACUUAGGGUUUUAUCUGACAGAAUUCCACGAGUUUUGGUGUUUGUCUAUUUCUGCAGGGGGUUAUCAGAAAAUAAGGAAGAAAGGCCCACAUGUCGGGAAUACAUAGAGAUAUCAACCCACCGCGCAAUUUUCUACCAUCUAGAAGACUCCAGAAGCCACGGGAAGGAAGCGGAGCCCGAAAGGGGCCAGGCCCAGGGCGCCCGCCCUGAGGACCUGGGCGCCCGCCCACCUCUGGACUCCGUUCCGGACUCUCUUCGCACACGACGUUCCACCGACCUAUUGGAUCCAGAAUAACAUAGUACCACCUCGCCUAUCGACCCAAAAACGCAUAGAAGGGGAGGACUAUAUAAGGAGACCCCCUCUGGCCCCUGGAGGAGACAAGAAAUUAUCAUAGAGAUUGAGGGGUGCCCUCGAAGGAAAACCUCUUCUCUAAAUAAUAUUACUUUUUAGGCUUAGCAACCAAUGUAAAGUAGAAAUAGAUCUUCUAGUUUCUACUAGAUUGAGAGAGAUAGAGUGGAGGUAUGGAUCGGAGGAAGGCCGGCCUGUCGGUGUCUACUCCGAGUUGUACCUACGGGAUCAAGUCUCCUAACCCGAGGCUUGCUUCUAAGAUUCUUCAGUAAUUCGACUUCUAAUACUAGUAAGUUCUUGUUUUAUUGUUCUUUGGUUUAUGAGUUUACUUUAAUCCUCUUUCGGUUGAGUAUUAGAGUAAUCACUUGUUAGCGUAAACGUGAUGUUUAGGCUAGGGUACUCAUAGAUAUCCCCUGACUAGCUGGACCGUGGUAGUAGCGAGGAACGUGACAUUUCCGAGUUACCUUUGCAGAUCACAUCUCAUUAGCAGGACGGGUAGGUUUAUAGGUGCAGGUCGAACAUCCUUUGUAUUGUCUAGAUUCCGUGAGCCUCCCCAAUAGAACAGUAGAUCAUCCUUACUAAGGUUAGAACGAGACUACGGUUGCAGUCUUCUCUAUACAUCACUCACAUCGAGAGACAUUCUUUGUAGCCUAAAGGGAUAGUAGCAAUAGAUUUGGUUAGUCAGAUGCACCCUUUCUCCCAGUGGUAAAAAUAUAAAUACGAUACUGUGGAAAACCUCCCGGGUGAAAUGCUCACCGAUAUCCGUGCGCUUGCGGAUCAUUUUCUAAUUGCGUUACCAAAUAUCAACAAAUUUCUCUACUGCCAUCAAGAAUCAAAUUAGCUUUAAUAAAAUGAUUGAAUCUCAGUUAAAUCAAAUAGCUGCUGCUGUUCCUGCUACUAACCCCGGUAUACAAUCACAACCGGAAGGAUUAGAAUCUGCAAAUCUUGUAGACAUGUUUGAUAAAGGUAACUACUGGAGUAACCCGUUGCGGAAGUUACUAGUGACCAUCUGCCGGUCAAGAGAGGCGAUCCAGGACGCCCCAUCAUCCCGAUCUCCAUCGGGAUGGUGGACUUCCCAGAAGCACUCUGCGACUUUUGCUCCAGCGUCAACAUUAUUCCCAGGGUACUCUAUGAAAAAAUCUUAACAUAUCCUUUAUUAGAAACAACUAUGUGUUUGUAGCUUGCAGAUCGGACGCUAAGCUUCCCAAAGGGAAUAUUGAAGAACCUCUGUGUCCGAGUUGGUACCUUGUAUGCCCCAGCAGACUUCAUGGUGAUAGAAACCAUUAAUGAUGAGAGGGCACCGGUCAUCUUAGGGAGGCCAUUCCUAAACACCUUGGGAGCUGUCAUUUACGCUAGUGCUGCCAAGAUCAGUUUCUACAUCAAGGGGAGGAAGGAGACGUUUUCCUUCAAGAACAAGACUACACAAAUCUCAGAGCAAUCCCAACAUGAACCAAUGAAGAGGACCAACAGGAGGAACAGGAGCAAGCAAAUGUGGACCGAGUCAGCUAAGAUGGUCACUGCAGUUCAUGGAGGUCAAGAUCAUCGACUUAAGUCACCGUUCCUGACCAAGAAGGACGACCCGGUUUGCUAAGCAUCCAGUGCUCCAUUAAUGGAUACAACUUCUACAAGACACUUUGUGACACCGGAUCGGGCAUCAACAUAAUGGCCGCAGUCACCUAUCAGCUCUUGUUCGGAAACAUGCCCCUAAAACCGACAUACAUUCAGCUCCAGAUGGCAUAUCAGACAUUUCGAGAGGUUGCAGGUAUAGUAAUUGAUGUCCCUGUCAAAAGAGACGAUCAUUUUGUCCAUACAGACUUUCAGGUUAUCGACAUGAGAGAAGACGAGUACGAUCCACCCAUCAUCCUUGGGAGACCAUUACUCAACACCGUUAAAGCAAUCAUCUACAUUGGAACUGGAGAAGUCCACAUGCACUUCCCCUCUGAGAAGGUACGCCGCUAUUUUACUGACCCUAACUAUAUAGUUGAAGACUCUAAGCAGGUUAAGACAAGAAGAAGAUGACGCAACCGCAACCAGAAGUGGCAAAUCAUCAAGGACGGAUGGGCAGACUACGAAGGAGAAGUGGUAAGGUCUGAAGACAUAAAGCUUGAACAUAACUAUCCUGAGGUGACCGUAGCACCAAGUCAGGUGUGGAGAGAGAAGAUAGAUAUACACGAAGAGGAGGCGCCGCCGGAACCACCAACUACGCCAUCCAGCGAACCCCAGGACAACUGAGAAAAUGGAGAGUCCCGUUCGGAGGACUUAAAAACACCAAACGCCUUGCCAAGAGGUAAACUUGGUAGUUAUCUUUUCCUUUCAAUUAUUUAAAAUAGCUAGUUGAGUUAAUCAGGUUCAUAUCAUCCUAAAGAGAAAAUAAAAAUGUUAAAAAAAUAGUAAGCCCAGCAUAAAAUCCAUAAGUACAUUCGCUGUGGUGGCAUAAAAAUAAAAUAAAUAAUUUUUUCUGCUCUAUAAAAUGAAAAUAUAGAGAGUAAUAUUUAUUGAGGAGGCUCAACAUGAUAAAUGCUAGAUAUUUAUGCUAACACGUAAUCAGUUCCACAAAUCUUUGUUGUCUAUUUGAGCUCCACAUAAUUCAAGGAUCAAGAAGACUAGCAGACGGAGGACAUUCUAAUCGCUGUCAGGGUACUGCCGACUUUCAAAUACACCUCAGCCACCUGCUAGCUACAUCAGGAGAAAUUACGUCAAAAUUCAGCUUGGGGGAGAGCACCCCCAUAUAUCCCGCUAAGUAUUUCUAUCUAUUCAUAUACUUAUACUAUAUUAAAAUAAAAAUAUACAUAACCAUGAAAAACCAAAUAAAGUUGUGCUUAUAUAUAUAUAUAUAUAUCUUUUGCUUAGUGUGCUUAAUAAAUAAAUAAAGUGGCUAUGCUAAACUGAAUCUUAAUAAAGCUCUAGCAUGGAUAUGAUGAAUAGUUGCUCUACCUAAUUUUCAAAUUUGAGUUCUCUCUCUAGUUUAGACAUAACUGUUAUAAUUUAAAGCUUCCUCUAAACCUGAACUUGUGGGAAGAGAACUUGAUCUGAAGUCUAAGUUGUUAACGGAUAUGAUAUGAGAAGGUUGAGCUGUUGUUUAUCUAUUCCUAGAGAUGCUAGAAUUCAGGAGAAUUUUAUCUUUGAAAAUCUUUAAAAUAUCACAUGAUGAGUUUCUGUAUGAUCAGAGUUUAAAUUCCUACCACAGCCAUAUAUACAUGCUUGCUAGACUUUGAGCCACACAUUUACUUUUUACUGCUUAUGAGCAUUGAGUGUGGUCAAGCUGUGUAGACCCUUAGGAGCUUGUCAUGUGGUUAAAAUCAAGAUUCACUUGCACGUUCACUCACACAUGCUGCUUCUACUCCGGAAGUACGCAUCCACAUAUAUCCACUCAUUUCUAUCUCCAGAACCACCUAAAAAUAUUCUACUCCUAAUCUGGGAGAGAAUAGCCAAAAACAUUCUCCUAUUUCUGUUUUUCCCUACGAAAUAAAUGCUCGAGUUAUCUUGGUUACUACUAUUUGCUAUAUUAUUUCAGGAGAUGAGUGCUCUAAAAAAAGAUACGAGGAAAUAAAAAGGGGCAAGUGCCCGGAACCUCGAACGAAUAGAAAAAAAUGAGACGAGAGGUAAAAAUGGACAAGUGUCCGACAGUAGAAUUAGGGGUACAAGAUACCCACGUGAGAGAAAAGAAAAAAAUAUAGAGCAUCUCAUUUUCCUCAAAAAGUUUCAAAGUGCAAGGAAGGUAUGUAUCCCCUCAAAAGAGCAAAAGUAGAAUUAGACUUUCACCAUUGCUUUCACCAUUGUUAUCACCAUCAUCACCAUACACCAUUCAUUAGCCACACAUGCACAUCUUGAUUUGACUUAUUGACUUGUUUCUUUGGAUCCAUGGUUUGACUAUGCAAUAAAUGUCUUGUAAGUAUGUAUAUCUCCCACCUAUGAGCUCCAGAUAUCAAAGCCUUAUUAGAGUAGGAUGAGAGAGAAGACAAUGUCACUAUGCCUUAUACCACAAAUACUACAUACUGUGAGAGAAGGCAUGUACCAUCACUGCCUUGGUAAGGAUCCAGAAAUACCACAAAAGAGAGAUUUGAGAGAGUCAUAAAAGGAAUCUCUGAGUUUUAUUUGAAAAUCUGCAAAAACUCCAGAGCUAUAGCUGAUAAAAAAUAAGAGACAUGGCGCUUGACUAGAUCGUUCUAUCUUUUAACUGCUCAAGACAGAAGUGACGGUUACAAGUCCCAUGGUGAAAGGUAAAAUGAGUAAGUUUUAAGUCUUGACAGUUUACUCUAACUCAUAGAUGAGACCUCAUUUGAAAGCAUGUGUACUGUCAACUUUAAAGGUAUUAGAACAACUUCUUAUCCAUCGCUGAGAUUAUCCUUGCUCAGGGACGAGCAAGAGGUAAGCUUGGGGGAGUUUGUUGACGGUCCUUAAGUAUCAAAUAUAAUCAUCAAAUAAAUAGAGAAAAGGAUCUAAAUGCAACCAACACCCAGACUUAGGGUUUUAUCUGACAGAAUUCCAUGAGUUUUGGUGUUUGUCUAUUUCUGCAGGGGAUUAUCAGGAAAUAUGGAGGAAAGGCCCACGCGUUGGGUUUACAUAGAGAUAUUAACAUGCCGCGCAAUUAUCCAACAUCUAGAAGAGUCCAGAAGCCACGGGAAGGAAAGGGAGGCGGAUCGGGCCCGGGGGCAGGGCGCCCGCCCUCCCCCCUUGGGCGCCCGCCCUGGCCUAAGGGCCAAUCACGUCCAACUUUGCGGAUCAUGCUCCACCGACCUAAGGGAUCAAGGAAAACCGUGCGAUUAAUGUCAGUUUGAUCCAACGGCCCGCAUUCAUUUGGAAGGACUAUAUAAGCAGACCUCCUGGCCCCUGGAGGAGAGCACCUUUGAACCCUAAUUCAUUUAUCCAUCUCGGGAGAAGAAGCCUCUGAUCAAGCCCUAGAGCCACCACAUCAAUAGAUCUCUAGUUUAGCAUAGCUACAUAGGAUUAGAACUAGAAGGAGUCAAUCUUCGAUUGGUUUCUGGAUCUGUCAAGAGGAUUCUUGGUACUUCCUCUAUUGUUCUUCAAUUGUUCAUCUUUGUUCUUCAAUAAUAUUAAUAUGACUUUGUUCUACUUUAAUAUAUUGAUUAUGACUUUGCUCUACUUGUUAUUAUUUGCAAUUAUAUUGUUCUUAGUUUAUCAUAGUUAUAUGCUUGGCUUAGUUAGAUUGUAAUUAUAUACACGUUUAGGAUCGUAUAGCGUUUAUCCAUGUGUACAGUGGGUAAAUGAUAAGUAUUGUGUAGGCGUGGGGCCUAUACCGUAUUUAUCUGCGAUUGUACCCUAUAUGCCAGAUCGUGGGGUAGUUCGUGGUAGUGACAGCUCCAUUGAUUCUUAUAUAGUCCCCAUCUCGUGUAUAGGGCUGGUAGAGCAACAUUAUUACAGGGGAGUGAUUGCUCUGUUUCUCAUCUUCCUUGAUAAUAUCACUAUGCAUGAGCGUAGUCCUGUCUCGCAAUGAUUGCCAAGUAUAAUUGAACUAACUAUGAUAUGCUAGACUUUAUAGUUAAGAAUAACUUAGGAAAUAUUCUUGUAGUUCGUCCUAAUUCCAUGCUAAUGACUUGCUAGAAUAUCUAUUGAGGUGCUUAUCAUUAUUUUAUGUGGCUAAGUUAUGCUGAUCAGAUUAAUUAACUUUGUCACCAUUCAUACUUUAUCUAUAUCUUAUGUGACAUUUAUCCUUGUAUGAAAGAGAUAGAUAAAUGCUCUCAAUUAUACAUGCAAUGAUAGAUACUCAAUUCUAUAUUUCAUUCCAUAAUCAACAUUGAUGUUUAGCAAUCCCUUCCUAGUGGUAAAAAUAUAAAUAACGAUACCUGGAAUACUUCCCGGUUAAAAUGCUACAUCAGUAUGAAUCUGUGCGCUUGCAGAUCUCAUUUAUUUUUCAUUCAGAAGAGAAAUUGCGUAUUUCAAUACCGCAUCUCUCAUGUCAUGCUGGGGAUGACAACUUGGCUUAAGUGGUAUGAGGGAUAGGUUUGGCAUUUUUGGCGCCAUUAUCAGAAUUAGAAAACUAAGUCUACUUUUGGUAGUGACGUUAAGAAUGCCCAACACCAGCUCCACUUAUAAUCAGCCUUGCAUGAUCCUUGGUGUCUUUUGUGUGUUGUUAGACGGGUAAGUCUAGUUGAGUACAUCCUCGUACUCAGGGUUUAUUCCCACUUGUUGCAGAUGACAUCUUCUAUGACGGAUUCUGCAAGACCUGUCUCCACCCCACUGGGGAUGAGGACUAAACCGUUAGGCGCGGUUCUCUAACGACUUCAUACCUAUGAUGCUUUUGGUGGAUUUGAUGAAACCCUGUCUGUAACAAGAACCAGUAAUGUGUUGUGAAAAUUAUGUUGCUUCUGCUACUCGAACUUGUGUUGUAAUAAAUUAAGUAAACUCUGAUGUGGUGUCGCUUCAUCGACAGUGAAUGAACUAUGUAACAAUCGUUGUGUUGUGCUGAACUAUUACGAUCUUGGUUCGUUGCAAAGAUGGUUUGAAAUCCUUAAUGGUUUGAGUUCACUACUGGCAUUAUAUGGGCUCAAGUUUGGAAACUUGAUUACCUACGCGAUCGUUUCUACACUUGAACUCUUAUAAUUUGGUCGGUUCUGUGACAGCCUUGAUUCUCUAUGGAUCCAUUAGUUGACUUUAUAUUACAUGCAUUGCAAGUAAGCUUAUCCUUGUUAUUAGCACUCCUAUAAGCUCUACCAUAUAUAUACCUUUAGCUAUAGGAGGCAUAACAUUAUUAAUGCCUCAAGAGAGAACCAUAAAUACAACAUACAUUGAGAGACUUAAGGUGUCAUACAAUUAAGUUGUGAGUUUUAUUCUGAAAACUAAUAAAAACUCUGAAAUAAUGGUUCUACAAAGAAUUCGAGACAUAGUGCUUAACCUGUUCUGUGUUCUGAUUACUCAAGGCUCAUGCAAAACAUGUAAAGCCCCAUGGUUAAAGGUAAAACGGUAAGUUUGAAGGUUAGAGCAAGUAUUGACUGAUCCAGAGGAGAAUCUUUGUUUGGGAGCAUGUGUACUCGGAAAGAAUGAAAACAUUAUAGCAACUCUUGAUCCAAAUACAUAUACUGCUUAGGCUUGGUUUGCCAAGGGGCUGGCAAAAGGUAAGCUUGGGGGAAUUGUUGACGGUCGAUAACGUCAACUUUUAUUAUAACUUUAGACCUGAAGUAAAACAUGAAAACACACUAGUAUAGGGUUUUAUCCGACAAUUUCCAUGAGUUUUGUAUAUUUUGUAUUUUCUAGGGUGAAUUUCAAGAAAGCUGAAAAGAGGGACUCUAGUGCGAAAUAAACAUGAAAACAUAUUCACCAUGGGAAACAUCACGAGAAGACUGAGGAAGGAUCGAGAAGGCACCUAGAGCAACGGGGGGCCUAGUGGCUGCUAGGUGGGGCCGGCCGCCCCGCCCUAGCACCGGUCGGUGCCCCCCUUUAGGGUUUCGCCCCCCUCUUCCGAAAGCUUUCUCCACCGCCUCUCCUGAUGCAUCUCGGCCCUUGGUUAAGUCGGUUUGAUCCUACGACGCACGCGCAUCCCAUCGGACUAUAAAUACAUUGGUAGACCCCCCGUGGAGACAACAACCAUUUCAUUAUUCAUCAAGGCCUCAAUCCAUCAAACAUCAAGCACCUUCAAGUUCAUCAAGAGCCUUCUAGUUCAUAAUUCUAGUUAGUUAGAUUAGAAGUAGAGUAGAUCUAGUUCUUUAUUGGGCUCUGGAGCCCCUAGCGUUGGUCUAGAGCACAAGAGUUUGGUAAUAGAUCUAGUUCUUAAUUUAUAGUAUUCAAUUGUAUAUUAUGGAGACUUUAUUCUUAAUAGAUUCAUAUGUUCUUAAUUGCAUUAGACAUUGUCUACUUUGAUUAUAUGUCUAGGAUAGUUGGUUUGAUCUUAUUGAAUUCAUGUAAUUGCUCGUAUAGCGUUUACCUAACCGAUCAUUGGGUAGAUGAUAGACAAUAUGUAGACGUGGUGUCUAGAUAUCUUGUUUGUCUGCGAGUGCCCCCUAACGUGGCGGGACAUAUGGUAGUCUGCGUAGGUGACAGCUACAUUAGUUCCUCUGUAGUCCAACCUAUUGGCAUUUCUUAGCGUCACUACUAAGAAUAGACCAUAGAUCCAUCCAUAGCAAUGGCACUAGAAAAGUUGGGUGUUGGCAUACCGUAACUAUCACUACAUCAGAGAGAUAACCCAAGGAAACUUGAGGGCGCCGACCUUAGCGGUGCAGUCUGGUAACAAUAAUUAGGAAUCCCGGAUUGGCCUUCCUAACUACCCUUACUUGAGAUAUGCAAAGCUGUGGCACUACGCUUGAAAGUGCACAAGGAUUACAAUCUUAAGUAACGGUACUUAGGUACGCCAAUCGAUAGUUCAUGAAUGAAGAAGUAAUGUAACUACAAGCGGACAGAACUAUCAUUGUAGCAUUUCAACCCGUGAGUAUUCAAGGGUGUCGAAUUUAUAAUUCCUAUAGGAAGGCAAAGGGAUCAAACAUGGUGUAAACAUGAUUACUUAUUGAAUGCUUGGUAGACAUAGAGUAAACAAGAAUAACCAUGAUAUUCAAGAUAGUGGACACGGGUUGGAUCAACCUCAAGGAUAAAAUAGAAGAGAAAUAAUAAAUAAAGAAUAAGGAAGUGAAUCUACUUGAGCAGGCAUGGGUCACAUAUAACUAUGCAUAGAACUGUUAGUGGAUCAUCUAAUUAGCAAUAAAUAGAGUCAGAACUAAGCCUGAGAUGAGGGGAGAUCCCCGCCGCUGGAUACCCAGCCGAUAGAGACUUUACAGAACUCCUAUCAGAAUACCUGAUCAUGGGGGAAUGCAAAGGAUGACAGAGCUAUCACUACCCUGCCACCUACCCCUCCACCCGAAAGAUAUGCGCACAUCCACUGAUUCCCGCAUACAUGAACACCAUGUUCACGUAAUUGCAAACAACUCCUAACCACCAUGGGCCCCACCCCUUCGAAGUGACCGGCUAGGCUAAGAGCAACCAUCACAUCACAGUGAACCAUCAUCCCAUUCCUAAUUCUAAUCCUAAUCAUACUAAUCUGAUGAACAAUGAAGAACAAUGAUGAACAUAUCAAAAACAUAGCACAAAAACUAAGAACUAGUUCAUAUACUAUGAACAUGAUAAGAACACAAUCAUACUCUAGUUCAUAUGCAUAAUCAUAUAAAGAUGAAUAGAACUUGCUCAUGCAAGAAGAUUGAAUAUUAUUCAUACCAAGAAGAUCCUUUCUUCCAAGGAGACAAGGUCUCCUUGCUAGCUCUUGCCUUGCUCUACCAGUAAUCUAGACUAAAGAUACAAGUGAGAGGUGUGAGGUAAAUUGACUCCAAAUGAUGUGUGUGUUGAAAAGGGGGGAGUGCCUCACUUUUUAUAGUGAAACUAGGACAGUUCAUCGCAUCUAAAUUUUGUAGUAGGUGAAACUGUCCUAUGCAUGGCAGCAUGCAACCGUCUCAGAAAGAUGGGCCCGGUUUGCCGCCUCUAGGGGUGCGCCCGCACCCUAGGUGGGUCCCCCUGGUCACUACCUUCGCUUGGUCAGUUUGGAUCUGGUCCUGGAUCUCUCCUGUGGUUACGAUCAGGCCUAGUUCUGCAUUGUUCGGACCUUUCUCUAUUUUCUUGGUUUGCGCAUUUCUAAAUACGUCUUUUGGUACUUUGCGCUUUCUUCGUGGUAUGGCACGUUUCCACUUGUUGCACUAUAAUUUCUAACACCCCAGUGUUAUGGUUGCAUAAAUCACAUGCAUAACAUGAGCAUCAUCAUCUACUCAAGCAUUCCAUGAUCAUCAUCUACCUUGAGCCAUGUCAUUUUAUGCAAAAAUGUGAUUGAAGUUGUCUAAAUAGGCCUCCUAGACUUGUGUUGGUGUGUACCAUGCUUGUGUUUGUGCUCUAUGCCUUGGUAAUUAGUUUAUCUAUGCUUAACUCAACAUUAGGAACAAUGUUCAUGUUGAUCAUUUCUCCAAAAUAAUCACUUAAGACAUACUUACACAAAUAGGGCCGAGAAACCUCUUCUGCUUAGGCUUUUAAAAAGUGUUUCAUAAAAUGUUUGCAUGUCAAAACUCUCUACAGCAAAGUUGUAGCAAAUUUUAUAAGUAACAAAAGUUGUUUUAUGGCCAUCUCAUGAAAAUGAUCACAACUAGCUCUAACGUGACCCACAAGGCAGAUUUGGGGCUGUUUCCAACACUUAGAAAAUUUUCUAAGUCCAGGAUCACAACAGUUUGCUCGAGGGUAUGUUGCUUAGCUUCCGGUUUGAAUUCUAGACCGAAUCAGACCUUGAUCAUGUAAGCAAUGUUGGAGUAUUCAUGUAGCUCUCCAGCAUAGAGCAAUUAGCCAGUAAAAUCAUCGAGUGGUUUAGGAGAUAAUCGCAGUGCAAGAUCGGGUUUCAGUCUGGUUCAACGACUGAAUGGAGUCGCCGUAAGUUCAGGGGAGCUCGCCGGUGACGCCAUGUGUCUGGACCCGUGGCAUCCGUACGUCGCCGUUGGUCCCGCUCGCCAGUCCUUAGCGCGUCCUACAGCUCGCCACGGCGCCCCGGUCGCGUGGACAGCUCCAUUUCCCUCCCGGUCUGCUCCCUCUCGCGUCUGUCGUUGUCUCCGCGUCGCCGCCGUUGCUUCGGCGAGCUCGCGCGCGCGUGUCUCCGUGUCUCUGGCCAAGCAACUCCGCCCAGCGCUCCGCUAGCUUCCCCGCAACACCGUCGUCGAGUUGGCUGUAGCUGCCGAGCCUCGGUAAGCCCGCAUUGCCUUCUCCGUCGCGAGCUUACCUCGCCGGAGCUCCGCCAUGGUCACCGACGUCGUGGCCAGGCCUCUGUAGUCCACCAUUCCUCCUUGUUCUUGUCCCAAAAGCUCCGCUAGGUCAUGCUGAUGCUCGUCCGCAUUCUCUUCCACUCUGUCUCCGGCCAGAGACGCCGGCGGUGGGCCGCGCACCACCGCCGUGCCGCCAUUCGCGAGGGCGAGGUACCUAGGGUCCAGUAGAGUUAGGGUUUCGGGUACCGCUCGAUGCGGAAUGGAGUGGGGAGCACGAUGGUGCCCUUGGCCAUUGCCGAGACCUCGCCAUCGACGAGAUCCCCGGCGGUCAAGUCGCGCCUCUGCUCUCGGGUCACUGGCAUGUGGGGUCCGUUGACUCGCGGGUCCCCCUGUCAGCCUCUCUUUCUCCUUUGUUUAAUUUAGGGUUUGAGCUGUUUUUGUAAAAAUCAUAUCUCUACUUCUGGUGAUCCAAAAAUUGUGAAACCGAUUUUGUGGUGUUCCUUGAGAUGGCUAGUUUUUAAUAAAAAUAUAAAAUGAACCAUGUUUUCUAGGAAAAAUAUUUACUAGGAUUUAAUCUUGUUAUUCAUGAGUAAAUUCAUAUCUCUUGUUAUACUCCUCCUUUUGCCAUGAAAUUUUUAUGGUAAUCUCUGUGUGGUGUUAGAAUGCUAUGAUAAAUAUUUCAUGAUUUGUGGAGUACUGCGUCUGUGAUAUGUAAUUUAUGAUUAAGAUAUGGCUUGUUUUCUUAACUAAAACAUAGUAAAUAAUUGAUGCUUAUGCUGGUGCUCUACUUUUGUGUGACACUUCUUUAUGGUAAUAUUAGCAUGUAAAUAAUCUGAAAUCUGCUGUUUGGCACCAUAUAAGCCAUGUUCCUUAAUUUAUGAAAUAAGUACCUUGUCACAUGUUAAAUGCUUAUCUAAACAUUGAUAUGUGCAAUUGCCCAGAAAAUUUUAUGGUGAUGUCCAUCUGCUAUGAUUGUGCUUGUGUAAUUUUUGUAGAUUUUUCUGAGCACUUUUGCUAAGUAUCUUGUAAUUAUGUCCUUUUAUAGAAUUAAAUGGAUAAAUGCAUUGUUAUUAAAUAUCUAGGGGUUAACAUAUAAUGUUCUGGUUAUCUUAUGUGAUACUUAUGCUUAUAAGCCAUGUGGUUGAUACUGUUUAUGUUUUGGCUAUGUCAUCAAAUAAUUAAUUGGUGGGUUAAAAGCUGUUCUGGACAGCAAGGGAGUAAUUUAACUUUUGCUUAAUGAUAACUGGGUUUUCUGGGAAACUUGUCUAAAUCAAAGUUGUUGUAAACUUUACGAACUAGCUGUGGUUUAAAUUUGGGAUCAUUUGGUCCAGUAGUUUUGAAGUUAUGAUCUUUCCAAGUUAGGUUCCAGAAAUAGGUGUUCUCUGUUUUUCUGGGACAGAACCUAGAACUUUGUUUAUAAGGCUUGCUUAACUUAUGAAUCUUGCUAUGAUGUUUAAAGAUGGUUUGUAGACAAUUUCAUAAGCUUUCCAGAAUGUCCUCACUCAUGUGUGUUGGAUCUGCCUAGCAUUAGUUAUGACCUGUUUACUGAGCUAAUUCUGAUAUGUGAUGCUUGCUGUUAUAGUAACUUGGUAGGCUUUGGCUAAGUUAACUUAUCAUCUUGUGUGAACUUGUUAUAACCGUUACUCCGUAAAUGAGUGUCCAAUGAGUCCAUUAUGUUAUCAAGCAUUCAUCUUUUAGUAUGUACAUCUUCUUAUUCAUCGAGCAUGCAAUAGGUGCAUCGGACGCGACCGCCUCCUUCGAGUUUCAAGUGAACCCCGAAGACCAGGAGGGCAACCCGGAGGUGGAGGUCCAGCAAGCCGGACUCGAGGAGCCCGAAGAAGAAGUUGAGUGCCCUAACCACGAGCCAGCUUCGUCGUGAAAGGCAAGCCCCGGAGCAUUCUAAGUCUCCCUUUACUUUCGAAAGUUUACUUAAAUAUGUUAUAUCUAUUGAUGCAUUAAGUAUAGGAGUUGUGAAGAAACCUUUGCUGCAUUUUACUCAAUCCUUGUCCAGAUAUCUUACCACUACCUGGUUCUAUAGUUAGGAUCGAGUAGCAGCUUAGCCAGCUUUAAUCGGUAGAAGUCGGGUGAUUUCCUGUCACCUACGCGAUAUAGGGUUAUGUCAGAUCCCGAUGGACUAUAUGUGCUAUCGUGGAUGGAACCUGAUUAAAUUGACUUAAGCCGGGCGGAGUUUUGCAAGGUUGUAGUAACUCCGUCUGUGGCAGCUAAGGACCAACCGUUGUACGUCCUCUUGUCAUGUUGAACGCAUGCCUGACACUUAGUUGGCCGGAUAACUAGUUCCGACCGCGAAGCCGAGUAGUAUUACUCAGGUCGGAAGACCGGCAAGUAUAAAGUGCGCACUAUCGGAGGAAGUGCUGUGUGUGGGGGACCAUUGGCGUAAGCCCAAAGGCAGGUGAGUUAAAAUUCCUGACCUCCCUGGCAGAGUGGUAGCCCUGGGAGUGCGGCGCUGAUCGGAGCCGCGAUUCCUGAGUCGUACCAAAGGUGACCCGUUAGCUCUCCGACGGGGGAUGCUUGGGCGAGUGCUAGGAAUACCCCUCCAGCUGGAUAGGAAUUCGAUUCGAAUCGCCGUCUCUCCCGGUUAGUGAGAACUUGACAGAGCAGCGGCAAACGUAGCAUUCACUAAUGAACUUGGUUCAUGAUAAUGAUGAUAGCAAGGAAGAACAUAUGAUGAAUUUGAUAUGGUUAUUAUUGCUUGUAAUAAUCAAGUGAAGUGCUUUAGUACAGGUGCUAAUCUAGUGGUAGGCUGAUGAUGAUUAAAUAUGAUGCUCUCACAACAUUGUAGUUAUAAUUUAAGCUUUUGGCAAAUGUUGAGUCAACCAGCUCCACUUGAUAUUAGCUUUGCAUGAUCCUUGGUGUCUUUUAUGUUUUACUAGAUGGGUAAGUCUAGCUGAGUACAUUCUCGUACUCAGGGUUUAUUCCCACCUGUUGCAGAUGAUAUCUUUUAUGAUGGCUUCUGCAAGACCUGUCUCCAUCCCGCUGGGGAUGAGGACUAACCGUUGGGCAUGGUUCUCUAACAAACUCGUACCUGCUGCUUUUGGAUGGAUGGUGUACGACCCUGGCUAUAACAAAAACUUAUGAACUGAACUUUGGACAGUGUGUGUAAUUAUUUUGCUUCCGCUACUUCAAACAUGGGUUGUAAUAACUAAGUAUCUCCGAUGUGGUGCCGCUUCGACGGCAAUGAAUGACUAUGUAACAUUCGCUGUGUUGUGUUGAACUAUUACGAUCUUGGUUUGUUGUAAGUUGGUUUGAAGUCCUUCGUGAUUUCAGUUGACUACCGAGAUUAUAUGGGCUCAAGUUUGAAAACUUGAUUGCUUGUCGAUCGUUUCUACAUUUGAACUCUUAUAAUUUGGUCGGUUCUGUGACAGCUGGUAUCGGAGCAUGCUCAGCAUUAUAAAUGCAGCGUUUGUGUAUUUGAAAACAAAGAGUUUUUAAAUAAAAUUUUGGAAAUCAACACUUAAUUAUGCCAGUGGUUGAAUCCUCCUUGCCCAUAUAAGGACUAUAGGUGGCUAUUUAAGUACUGACUUGGGGGGUUUUAUUUAUGCAUCUCCGGCAGUACUCAGGUAUGGAUGUGUGAUGACCGCACUAUGCUACCCUAUGGUCUAAUAGUAGAGGUAGCCUUCAAAUGUGAAUUAGCCACAUAUGUCACUAGAUUUAAAUUAUGCAACGUCGCACCUACGCUCUGGUAAGUAUGAGCUGUGAGAGCAUGAUCGUCCAAACGGCGGUCUAGGAGAGUGUUCGCGGUGGUUUUCUGGAGUGGUUACAUGUCAAAACCAUGGAACCAUGAAAGAAACUUAAUUGGGGAGUAUUUAAUUUCUCGGGUAGCUGUGGUGUUAUUGUUUGUGCAUGUUGGGCAUGUCCAAGCAAUGUGCACUUAGUUUACUGCUUUCUUGAGUGAUAUUGGGAAUUGUUGGGCUGAAAUGAAGUUUUCUGCAGGUACUCUAACCACGCACGUGUAAUUCGCUAGAUAUCGUAUCGAGAGACGAAUGUAUGCCACCGUAUAUCCGUUAGAAUAUUAAUUUUCUAAUUUUGUGAGGACGUACGGUUCAUGCAUGCAUCAUGUCGCAUUCAUACAUACAUUCUGUCUACUCCUUCCCUUACCAUGUCAUCCCUUUUAAUUAAAUAAAUGUUGCUUAAAAUUAAUCCUCUCUUACCCAUGGUAUUCCUAUUCCUUUCCACAAAUGGACGUGCCCGCUUCACCUCACCCAAGUGACACCUUUCUGAGCGAGUUUGGCACUCCUACCUUGCUCUGGAGGGUGCUACAGUCUGUGGGGUAUACUGAGCCACCUCAGUAUUCUUGGUGGGAGGUGGAUAUGACAGGAGAGUUGCAGUGGUUUGCUGUGCAGGGAGUUGUCCCUCCACAUGGGGGCAGGCCUGCAUGGACAGGGUGGACCUGUAACUCAAAUGGGCAGACUCCUUGGGAAGCAGCUCAGGUUGCAGCCUAGGCUAUGCUGCUCAAUAUCUGUCAGAGAUUUGGUGAUGAGCUGACAGGAGAACCAGCGGCCUCCAUUCCCCGUGCUGACCCAGCAGCAGCGGAGUGGAAGCAGGUUGAUGGGUGUGCGUUGGUCCGAGGCAGGGGAGAGCGAGCUAAGAGUUCCAGUCCUGCUAUGAGUGCUAUGAUGGCUGUGCUCAAGCUGUUCAGUCAGCGAGAGGACACUUGUGCACAGGUGAUGGUGGCUAUUCGUCAGGCUCAGGAGAUGCAACAGAAGGCUGAAAAGCAUGCUCGCAAGUUUCGCAAGCAAGCUAGGCUCCUGGAGCAAGCUCAGAAGGACCACAAUGACUGGGAAGGCGUUGCGGAGUACCGUAGGCAGCAGUGGGUGAAGGCCAUUAGGGAAAGAGAUCAUAAGCAGGAUCAGAUGAGUCAGUUAGCUCGAGAGAGGGAGAGUGUAGGAGCGCUUGGUGCAGGUCACUCGUGAGAGGGAUACUGCACUCUGUGUGUCGGAGAACAGGCGCCAGGCUUGGGAGAUGCACUGGAUUUAGUCGCUUGAGCGGGAGAACUAUCUACAGGAUCAGAUUGAGGCUGGUCUUGUGGAGAUUCACCGUCUCAACAACUUGCUACACCCUAUUCCUCGCCCUGUACCCGUGUAUCCAGAGGUGGGACCUCAGGUGAUUGUGGCUGAUGACGAUGGUAUGGAGGUCGAUGGACCAGCAGCGGCUGCACCACCCUUGCACGAGGACAUGGAGGACGAGGAGCUUGAGCCAGUUAGUGACGAGGAUGGGGAGGUGAUCUUUGACGCUGACUCGGACGACGAGCAUGGAGUGUAGUGAGUAGUGGGUAGUUGUUAUGUGAGGAUCUUUUGUAGUUUGGCAGUUAGCAGGGGUGCUUUUGUAAUCAUGAUGUAAUCUAGAACCUUGAUCUUUGCCUUAUGUCAUGUACUGUGAUGGUGUAAUAACUUUAUAGACCCAAUGUGUAACCUUAACAUGUUCGAUCUGUUAUGACGAUGUUUUCCGUUGUGGUGCAUAUUACGGAUGUCUCUGUCUUGUGUUGGAUUGGUGAUGUUGUUUUGUGGAAUUGAAUUAUUGUGCCUUUUUCUGUAAAGCUAUUCUCUCGAAUACUUUCAGGCAUAAAUAUAAGUUCUUCUAUAGCAAGUCUUGUCAUCAUCAAUGCUCACUGACUGUAUCUUUACAGAUGUCUCGUGGCACUUGAGGUGCGGAACAGCGUGCGAACAUGAACCCACCCCCUCCUCCUCCACCACCAAAUCCAGCUGAGCUAAUGCAAAUGAUGGUGGAAAAUCAGAGGAUGCUCACAGAGACCAUCAACCGGAUGGCAAAUCAGGGUGGUCGUAAUGCACAAGAUGGGCCAGCACCUAACCAGUACAGUAGCUUCAAGGAUUUCAUGGAUACUAAGCCCCACCUUUCAGAGAGGCUGAAGGACCCCUUCAAGCUGAGGAAUGGCUGAACACGGUGGAACAAAAGUUCCACUUGCUUCGGCUGACCAAGGGUUUGAAGGCUGAGUAUGCAGCUCACCAACUGCAAGGUCCAGCAGGCAUGUGGUGGAAUCAGUAUCAAGAAGCCCUUCCAGCCGAUACUGUGCUUGACUGGAAUCUUUUCCGUGAAGCUUUCAAAGGGCAUUUCAUUCCUCCUGGUGUCAUGGAGAUGAAGCAUACCGAGUUUAUGCAGUUGACUUAGGGCAACAAAACUCUGAAGGAAUACUUGCAUGCUUUCAAUCACCUAUCAAGGUAUGCUCCUGAGUUUGUGAACACUGAGACCAAGAAGAUUGCCAGCUUCAAGCGGGGUUUGGGCCCCAAGUUGCUGAAAACCAUGGGCCGCACUAAGUGUGCAACUUUCAAUGAGUUUGUCAGUGAUGCUCUUACCCAAGAGAACUACAAUACUGUGUACACUGUGACCAAGACUCGCAAGAGGGCUUUUGAGGCCGGGGCUGGGGCAUCUCAGUCCAAGGCUCCAGUGGCAGCUAAGCCCCUGAACCGUGCUCCAAAUCCUAACCAGCGGUAUCGCCUCCUAUGAAGAAGAAUCAGGCAAAGACGGGUUUCCGCAAGGGUUACUCCAUUGCUCUUCCUAGGGGCAACACGGGUCCCAGCUAUGCCAAGACUCCACCUACCAACCGUCCGUGCUGGAAUUGCAAUCAGACCGGGCACUGGCAGAGCAAUUGUCCUUACCCGCCAAAGAAGGUCAACCAAGGGAAUGUCCGUCAGGGGUGUGUUCACUACACAACUGUGGAGGCAAUCCCUGCUAGUGAGGUAGUUAUGGCUGGUAAGUUUCUGGUUAACCAAUGUGAUGCACUUGUGCUUUUUGAUUCAGGAGUAUCGCAUUCUUUUGUGAGUUCAGACUUUGUGUCUAAGCAUAAUCUCAAGGCAAUCACACUAGAAAAGGGCAGUUAUUGCAUUAGUGCUGCUGGAAAUGAUAUUUCUACCAAUCAAGUGGUUUUGGGGGCAACUCUGGAAAUAGGAGACCGUCAGUUUCUUGCUGAUCUGGUUGUUUUACCCGGUGUGGGUAUAGACGUAAUUCUGGGUAUGAAAUGGAUGAGUGGUAACAGAGUUCUUAUCGACACCACCACUCGUGUAGUGAUGUUGAGAGACCCAAAUACCAAGGAGGCAUUCUUAGUGCAACUUCCUCAAGAUAUCCAUAUCCGUAGCACUGUGAAUGCAGUUACAGCUAAGGCCAUCCAGGAUAUUCCGGUGGUGUGUGAGUUCCCGGAUGUAUUUCCUGAUGAUUUACCCGGGCUUCCUCCAGAUCGGGAUGUGGAGUUCAAAAUUGAAUUAAUCCCAGGUACCGCUCUUAUCUCUAGAAGACCAUAUAGAAUGCCACCAAAUGAGCUAGCUGAGCUUAAGACCCAAAUAAAUGAGUUGUUGAAGAAGGGUCUUAUCCAUCCUAGUUCUUCUCCUUGGGGUUGUCCGGCUAUCUUUGUGAAGAAGAAGGAUCAGUCCUUACGCAUGUGUGUGAACUAUCGUCCCUUGAAUGCGGUGACCAUCAAAAAUAAAUACCCUCUUCCUCGCAUUGAUAUUUUGUUUGAUCAGUUGUCUAAAGCUAAGGUAUUCUCCAAGAUUGAUUUGCGAUCUGGGUAUCAUCAGAUCAAGAUCCGUCCUGAAGAUGUACCUAAGACAGCUUUCUCGACGAGGUAUGGGUUGUAUGAGUAUCUCGUCAUGUCCUUCAGCCUUACGAAUGCACCUGCUCAUUUCAUGUACCUCAUGAACUCGGUGUUCAUGCCCGAAUUGGACAAGUUUGUGGUGGUUUUCAUUGAUGAUAUCCUAGUAUAUUCUUGCAAUGAAGAGGAGCAUGCAGAGCAUCUGCGUGUGGUGUUGGUGAGCAUCAGCUUUAUGCAAAAUUCAGCAAAUGCGAGUUUUGGCUAAAGAAAGUACCUUUCUUGGGCCAUGUCUUAUAUGAAGAAGGCAUAUCGGUGGAUCCGGCUAAGGUGCAAGAAGUGCUGGAUUGGAAGGUUCCAACUUCGGUACACGAGGUUCGGAGUUUUCUCGGUCUGGCUGGGUAUUAUCGUCGAUUCAUUCCGGAAUUCUCAAAAAUAUCCAAGCCUAUGACUCGCCUACUUCAGAAAGAUGAGAAGUUUGUGUGGACGCCUGAGUGUGAAAAGGCAUUCCAGAAGUUGAGGACAUUGCUAACAUCAGCUCCUGUCCUAGCUCAACCUGAUAUCGAGAAGCCCUUUGAUGUCUUCUGUGACGCUUCAGGUAUUGGUCUAGGCUGCCUGUUGAUGCAAGAAGGUCGCGUUAUCGCGUAUGCCUCAUGCCAACUUCGAAAUCAUGAGGUCAAUUACCCUACUCAUGACUUAGAAUUGGCAGCAGUUGUUCAUGCUUUGAAAAUCUGGACGCACUAUUUGUUGGGUAAUCUGUGCAAUAUCUACACUGAUCAUAAGAGCCUCAAGUACAUCUUCACUCAACCUGAAUUGAACAUGCGGCAGCGAAUGUGGCUUGAGUUGAUUAAAGAUUAUAAUCUACAAGUGCACUAUCAUCCGGGCAAGGCAAACGUGGUUGCGGAUGCCUUGAGUCGAAAAGCGCACUGUCACUCAGUCCAGGUGGAAGAUCCGUUGUUGUCACACCUUAUGCACCCACUUGUGCUCAACCAGAUUUCUCUGGAGAGUACUCUUCGAAAUCGAGUCAUUGAAUUGCAGCAAACAGAUGUAGGCAUCCACCAUAUAAAGAGGAAAAUGAAAGAAGAAGAAACCAAGCAUUUCCGGGUCGAUGAGAACGGAAUUCUUUGGUUCAAAGAUCGACUCGUGGUUCCAAAAGACCGUGAGCUACGAAAUCAGAUCUUAUCUGAAGCUCAUUCAUCCAAAUUGUCUAUCCAUUCUGGUAGUAGCAAGAUGUAUCAGGAUCUGAAACCUCUGUUUUGGUGGACAAAGAUGAAAAAGGAGAUUGCUGCUUUUGUCGUUCGUUGUGACAAUUGUUGUCGCGUGAAGGCCGUUCACAUGAAAGCUGGUUUGCUUCAACCCUUGUCAAUUCUUGGUUGGAAAUGGGAAGAAGUCAGCAUGGAUUUCAUCGUUGGACUUCCAACUUCUGUCAAGGGUUACGACUCUAUCUGGGUGAUUGUAGACUGUUUGACCAAGGUUGCUCGUUUUAUUCCAGUUCAAACUGACUAUCGUCCACAUCAAUAUGCGGAGUUGUACUUCGAGCACAUUGUCCGUCAAUAUGGUGUGCCUCGAACUAUCAUAUUAGAUCGUGGACCACAGUUCACUGCCCGUUUUUGGGAGUGUCUACAUGAGCAGAUUGGUACUCACUUAGUCCGUAGUUCGGCAUAUCAUCCCCAAACGGCAGGUCAAACUGAACGGGUUAACCAAAUCCUAGAAGACAUGUUGAGGGCAUGUGCUCUCUCUUCUAAAGGUUCUUGGGUUAAGUGGUUGCCAUUAGCUGAGUUCUCUUACAACAAUAGUUAUCAGGAUAGUAUCAAGAUGGCUCCAUUUGAAGCCCUGUUUGGUCGAAAGUGUCGAACCCCGUUGAAUUGGGUGGAAUCCGGGGAACGAAGGUAUUAUGGCAUCGAUUUUGUGAACGAAGCAGAGUAGCAAGUCCGUACCAUCCAGCAACAUCUGGAAGCUGCUCAAGCUCGUCAGAAAAGUUAUGCUGACAAAAGAAGGAACCCGAUUGAGUUUGCGGUCGGUGACCAUGUGUAUAUCAAGGUGUCUCCGAUGAAGGCUGUACAAAGGUCCGGAGUCAAGCGAAAGCUUGCACCUCGUUAUGUGGGACCCUAUCAGAUUCUUGAAAGGAAAGGGGAUGUGGCGUACAAAGUUCAACUACCAGUUGAGCUUCGAGCUAUUUUCCUUGUCUUCCACGUAUCACAAUUAAAGAAGUGCCUUCGUGUUCUAGAGGAACGAGUGGAAGUUCGGGAUAUCAAGUUGAAAUCUGACUUUGUGUAUGAAGAAAAACCUAUAGCGGUUCUUGACAGCUAGGAAAGGGUGACUCGUAAUCGGGUGGUUAAAUUCUACAAGGUGUUGUGGAGUAACCACGGGGAGGAAGAUGCCACUUGGGAAACCGAGGAUUAUUUGAAAGAAUUUACAAAACAUUCUUCGAAAAUCAGUAAGCUUUCAAAUCUCGGGACGAGAUUUUUGUAAGGGGGGAGCGCUGUAACACCCCAGUGUUAUGGUUGCAUAAAUCACAUGCGUAACAUGAGCAUCAUCAUCUACUCAAGCAUUCCAUGAUCAUCAUCUACCUUGAGCCAAGUCAUUUUAUGCAAAAAUGUGAUUUAAGUUGUCUAAAUAGGCCUCCUAGACUUGUGUUGGUGUGUACCAUGCUUGUGUUUGUGCUCUAUGCCUUGCUAAUUAGUUUAUCUAUGCUUAACUCAACAUUAGGAACAAUGUUAAUGUUGAUCAUUUCUCCAAAAUAAUCACUUAAGACAUACUUACACAAAUAGGCCCUAGAAACCUCUUCUGCUUAGGCUUUUAAAAAGUGUUUCAUAAAAUGUUUGCAUGUCAAAACUUUCUCCAUCAAAGUUGUAGCAAAUUUUAUAAGAAACAAAAGUUGUUUUAUGGCCAUCUCAUGAAAAUGAACACAACUAGCUCAAAAGUGAUCCACAAGGCAGAUUUGGGGCUGUUUCCAACACAUAGAAAAUUUUCUAAGUCUAGGAUCGCAACAGUUUGCUCGAGGGUAUGUUGCUUAGCUUCCAGUUUGAAUUCUAGACCGAAUCAGACCUUGAUCAUGUAAGCCAUGUUGGAGUACUCAUGUAGCUCUCCAGCAUAGAGCAAUUAGCUAGCAAAGUCAUCGAGUGCUUUAGGAGAUAAUCGCAGUGCAAGAUCGGGUUUCAGUCGGGAUCAACGACUGAAUGGAGUCGCCGUCAGUUCAGGGGAGCUCGCCGGUGACGCACGUGUGUGGACCCGUGGCGUCCGUACGUCGCCGUUGGUCCCACUCGUCAGUCCUCAGCGCGUCCUACAGCUCGCCACGGCGCCCUGGUUGCGUGGAUAGCGCCAUUUCCCUCCCGGUCCACUCCCUCUCGUGUCUGUCAUCGUCUCCGCGUCGCCGCCGUUGCUUCGGCGAGCUCGCGCGCGCGUGUCUCCGUGUCUCUGGCCAAACAACUCCGCCCAGCACUCCGCUAGCUUCCCUGCAACACCAUCGUCGAGUUGGCUGCAGCUGCCGAGCCUCGGUAAGCCCGCAUUGACUUCUCUGUCGCGAGCUUACCUCGCCGGAGCACCGCCAUGGUCACCGGCGUCGUGGCCAGGGCUCCGUAGUCAACCAUUCCUCCUCGUUCUUGUCCCAAAAGCUCCGCUAGGUCAUGCUGAUGCUCAUCUGCAUUCUCUUCCGCUCUGUCUCCGGCCAGAGACGCCGGCGGUCGGACGCGCACCACCGUCGUGCCGCCAUUCGCGAGGGCAAGGUACCUAGGGUCCAGUAGAGUUAGGGUUUCGGGUACCGCUCGAUGCGGAAUGGAGUGGGGAGCACGAUGGUGCCCUUGGCCAUCUCCAAGACCUCGCCGUUGACGAGAUCCCCGGCGGUCAAGUCACGCCUCUGCUCUCGGGUCACUGGCAUGUGGGGUCUGUUGACUGGCAUGAGCUGUUUUUGCAAAAAUCAUAUCUCUGGUUCUGGUGAUCCAAAAAUUGUGAAACCAAUUUUGUGGUAUUCCUUGAGAUGGCUAGUUUUUAAUAAAAAUAUAAAAUGAACCAUGUUUUCUAGGAAAAAUAUUUAUUAGGAUUUAAUCUUGUUAUUCAUGAGUAAAUUCAUAUCUCUUGUUAUGCUCCUCCUUUUCCCAUGAGUUUUUUAUGGUAAUCUCUGUGUGGUUUUAGAAUGCUAUGAUAAAUAUUUCAUGAUUUUUGGAGUACUGGAUCUGUGAAAUGUAAUUUAUGGUUAAGAUAUGGCUUGUUUUCUUAAUUAAAUCAUAGUAAAUAAUUGAUGCUUAUGCUGGUGCUCUACUUUUGUGUCACACUUCUUUAUAGUAAUAGUAGCAUGUAAAUAAUCUGAAAUCUGCUGUUUGGCACCAUAUAAGCCAUGUUCCUUAAUUUAUGAAAUAAGUACCUUGUCACAUUUUAAAUGCUUAUCUAAAAAUUGACAUGGGCAAUUGCCCUGAAAAGUUUAUGGUGAUGUCCAUCUGCUAUGAUUGUGCUUGUGUAAUUUUUGUAGAUUUUUCUGAGCACUUUUGCUAAGUAUCUUGUAAUUAUGUCCUUUUAUAGAAUUAAAUGGAUAAAUGCAUUGUUAUUAAAUAUCUAGGGGUUAACAUAUAAUGUUCUGGUUAUCUUAUGUGAUACUUGUGCUUAUAAGCCAUGUGGUUGAUACUGUUUAUGUUUUGGCUAUGUCAUCAAAUAAUUAAUUGGUGGGUUAAAAGCUGUUCUGGACAGCAAGGGAGUAAUUUAACUUUUGCUUAAUGAUAAAUGGGUUUUCUGGGAAACUUCUCUAAAUCAAAGUUGUUGUAAACUUUAUGAACUAUCUGUGGGUUAAAUUUGGGAUCAUUUGGUCUAGUAGUUUUGAAGUUAUGAUCUUUCCAAGUUAGGUUCCAGAAAUAGGUAUUCUCUGUUUUUCUGGGACAGAACCUGGAACUUUGUUUAUAAGGCUUGCUUAACUUAUGAAUCUUGUGGUGAUGUUUAAAGAUGGUUUGUAGAAAAUUUCAUAAGCUUUCCAGAAUGUCCUCACUCAUGUGUGUUGGAUCUGCCUAGCAUUAGUUAUGACCUGUUUACUGAGCUAAUUCUGUUAUGUGAUGCUUGCUGUUAUAGUAACUUGCUAGGCUUUGGCUAAGUUAACUUAUCGUCUUGUGUGAAGCUGUUAUAACCGUUACUCCGUAAAUGAGUGCCCAGUGAGUCCAUUAUGUUAUCAAGCAUUCAUCUUUUAGUAUGUACACCUUCUUAUUCAUCGAGCAUGCAAUAGGUGCAUCGGACGCGACCGCCUCCUUCGAGUUUCAAGUGAACCCCAAAGGCCAGGAGGGCAACCCGGAGGUGGAGGUCCAGCAAGCCGGAAUCGAGGAGCCCGAAGAAGAGGUUGAGUGCCCUAACCACGAGCCAGCUUCGUUCAUGAAAGGCAAGCCCCAGAGCAUUCUAUGUCUCCCUUUACUUUCGAAAGUUUACUUAAAUAUGUUAUAUCUAUUGAUGCAUUAAGUAUAGGAGUUGUGAUGAAACCUUUGCUGCAUUUUACUCAAUCCUUGUCCAGAUAUCUUACCACUACCUGGUUCUAGAGUUAGGAUUGAGUAGCAGCUUAGCCAUGCUUUAAUCGGUAGAACUCGGGUGAUUUCCUGUCACCUGCGCGAUAUAGGGUUAUGUCGGAUCACGAUGGACUAUAUGUGCUAUCGUGGAUGGAACCUGAUUAAAUUGACUUAAGCCGCGCGGAGUUUUGCAAGGUUGUAGUAACUCCGUCUGUGGCAGCUAAGGACCGACCGUUGUACGUCCUCUUGUCAUGUUGAACGCAUGCCUGACACUUAGUUGGCCGGAUAACUCGUUCCGACCGCGAAGCCUAGUAGUAUGACUCAGGUCGGAAGACCGGCAAGUAUAAAGUGCGCACUACCGGAGGAAGUGCGGUGUGCGGGGGACCAUUGGUGUAAGCCCAAAGGCAGGUGAGUUAAAAUUCCUGACCUCCCUGGCAGAGUGGUAGCCCUGGGAGUGCGGCGCUGAUCGGAGCCACGAUUCCUAAGUCGUACCAAAGGUGACCCGUUGGCUCUCUGAUGGGGGAUGCUUGGGUGAGUGCUAGGAAUACCCCUCCAGCUGGAUAGGAAUUCGAUUCGAAUCGCCGUCUCUCCCAGUUAGUGAGAACUUGACAGAGCAGCGGCAAAUGUAGCAUUCACUAAUGAACUUGGUUCAUGAUAAUGAUGAUAGCAAGGAAGAACAUAUGAUGAAUUUGAUAUGGUUAUUAUUGCUUGUAAUAAUCAAGUGAAGUGCUUUAGUACAGGUGCUAAUCUAGUGGUAGGCUGAUGAUGAUUAAAUAUGAUGCUCUCACAACAUUGUAGUUAUAAUUUAAGCUUUUGGCAAAUGUUGAGUCAACCAGCUCCACUUGAUAUUAGCUUUGCAUGAUCCUUGGUGUCUUUUAUGUUUUACUAGACGGGUAAGUCUAGCUGAGUACAUUCUCGUACUCAAGGUUUAUUCCCACCUGUUGCAGAUGAUAUCUUUUACGAUGGCUUCUGGAAGACUUGUCUCCAUCCCGCUGGGGAUGAGGACUAACCGUUGGGCACGGUUCUCUAACAAACUCGUACCUGCUGCUUUUGGAUGGAUGGUGUACGACCCUGACUAUAACAAAAACUUGUGAACUGAACUUUGGACAGUGUGUGUAAUUAUUUUGCUUCCGCUACUUCAAACAUGGGUUGUAAUAACUAAGUAACUCCGAUGUGGUGCCGCUUCGACGACAAUUAAUGACUAUGUAACAUUCGCUGUGUUGUGUUGAACUAUUACGAUCUUGGUUUGUUGCAAGUUGGUUUGAAGUCCUUCGUGAUUUCAGUUGACUACCGGGAUUAUAUGGGCUCAAGUUUGGAAACUUGAUUGCUUGUCGAUCGUUUCUACACUUGAACUCUUAUAAUUUGGUCGGUUCUGUGACAUAAUUCCUGCAAAAUAUAAUCGCUAUGGUACAAAUUGAACUUGUUAGAAAUACAAUGCAUGUGUGUAUAUAAUAUGAUUGCUUCUUCUCCUUUUGGAUCAAGUUGGCAGUUUAUGAUUGGUCUACAAUGAGUGCCAACAAGUCCCCCAAGCUUAACCUUUGCUCGUCUCGAGCAAAUAAUUAAGUAUGGUUGUUGAUUAGGAGUUGCUACUAUGCCGAUAUAAUUCAAGAGUACCUUACCUAUAACAAAGUAUUCAUUCGCAAUUUAAAUAAGUUGGCAUGCUAUCCACUCUUUACCUUGACUUCUCAUGAGGCUUAUAGCUUUUCCAAGUUCUUGGGUGAUUGCAAGUUUGAAUGGUUGUAACAGACUCACCAUUCAUUCAUCCCUUGAUAGACCAUCAAUCUAGAGGUUUUAUAAAUUUCUGCAAAAUAAAUAAGUUCCUCGAAUGAUUCUCUCAAUCGCUCAUUGUGUAUGAAAUCCUCACCAAAGGCAUUUGUGUUUGCCUUUAAGACCUACCACUAAGGCUGAGAAUGGAGCUUUGGGAAGGUAUAAAGGUGGGCGUACUUACGACACUUGUGUUGCCAAGUUAAAGCCUAGAUCAUGAGGAGAUACAAGUCAUACACCUUCAUUGAGAUGUGCAAGUGUGUGGUGUUUUUGGUGGUAGUCCUAUCUAAAUAUUUUUGGUUACUCCUUGUAUCAUGACUCUCUUUAUUUGAGGAAGAGAAUGAGAGAAUGUAAACAUAUGGACCCUAAAAAAAUGGAUCAUAUAUAUAUAUAAUUUUAUUUCUAACGGGGAUGUCGAUUUUCCCGUCCAUGCCCUUUGGCUUUUCCUUCAUUUUUUUCAUGGAUAACUGAUGCCCACAUGUUUCAAAGGGAUCUCAAAGAGGAAAAUGGAGAGAUCUCAUGAUGGUGAUGUAAGGAGUAGAAUUGUGUAUGGGGAUGCGCAAACCUCAGGGUGAGAGUUUGGCAUACUGAUUUGGUGGAAGCUAAGGCGCAACUCUCAGGGUAAGACUCGGCUUUAUAUGGUGGGUGCGUGAAUCUCAUAUCAUGGGUGCGUGACCAUAAUCUCACUCUAGAAUACCUGGGAUUUGACUCAACUAAAAGCGCCGCAAGCCACAUAUGACUAAAGGUGGACAAACUACUAAGCAAGUCAUAUGGCCUUGGUAGGUAUUUCAUAAUCAUUGAUUAUCUCUUUGUUUUGAAUUUUUUAAAAGAAAACUUCGGAUGUCAAGUUUCUCUUAGAACAAAGUCAUAGCAAAAUCUAUUUAUACCAUAUCAUGUCUCGCAACAACUUAAAAAAGGAUCAUGCAUUUGCAACCCACAAGAUUUCAAGUUCUUAGAAUGAGACAUUUUUAGCCAACAAACUUAAAUCUUGAUGAACACUAAAUUAUAACUUAGAUACUAGAGAAGUAUAGACAGAGCAACUAUUCAUCAUUUCAACAUAAGAGAAACUAACAUAUCAUAGCGCACAUGAGAGUGGGUUUUUUUGAAAGAUGAUGAAAAAUUGCUGAAAUUUAAAUAGUGAAAUUAAGAACUAAAAUUAAGUGCAAGAAUGUAAGAUACAUGUUACCUCUUGUGGGGGUCCUCCCCCAAGCUAGCUCACUGCUGCGGUCCAGGGAAAUGUGCCAUGGAUCGCAGGUAGGCCAUCUAUGCCUCGUGCCGGUGAUGGCUUGCAUCCUCAAGGUCGAUGAAGCUCUGCUGGGUCUGCUGAUGCCAUCGGGUAGCAGUCUAGAUGUGGGCAUUCAGCGUACCUGGGAUCUACCUGUUCAGGAGCUCCAGUCCUCCCAUGCGAGUGUUGAGGACGUCCAGUGUGACCUGAGGGCGAACAGGGGGUGGCAUUUCCUCGGAAUCUGAGGAGUGUCCUGGCUCGUGAUGCCUGGAUCCCGCUUCCCCAUAUGCCACUGGCUCACUUGGGCCUGCGCCUCCGUGCGCCUACCAGCUCGACCCUCCUGCAUGCUAGCUCGAUCCUCCAGCCUCGUAGGGGUGAGGAACGUAUCCCAUACCAUAUACAUACCCAGGGGUAAAUUUGAGUGCAAGUAUAGUAGGGGUCCAUCCCAUCCCUGGCAUAGCUGGUGGUGGAAUGUGCUGUGCUGGCUGUGCGGAUGGUGCUGGCUGUGCUGCCUGUGCUGCCCUUGCUGCUUGUGGUGCCUACUCUUCUUGUUCCCUCCUCCGUGAGUUACUGCGAGAAACAGAGCUCCUGCGUCCUCCUUCCCUCUCAAUGAGGGUGAAGGUGAGUGAUGGGGAAUUAUACAGAGCGAGAUCCGGGUUAGGUAACUAGAUCUCGUUUGUAUAUCCCGGAAAAUAAAAUAAAAUCUUUUUACCUAUUUCAUCGCGUUUAAUCAUGUGUGCAUGCGAAAGAUGUGAUUCAUUAACCAUGAUGCGAGGAGUAGUGAUGUAAAUAAUGGUAUUAGCAGCAUGGGGAUCAACACUUGCAGCAAGGCGAGCAAUAAGAGAUGUGUACAUGAUAGCAGUUGAAGUCUUAAUGGAAUGCAACCAAUGAUUAACAAGCUCAACAAUAGGUGCAACCUUAAUCUUUUUGAGCGCAGCAUAAAGCAACUUCAACUCUAUGUCGUAAGUAAGAUGCGUAUCAUCUCUUGAAAAGAACGAACUAGCGAUCCACUUAUGGGGAAGCCUCAGAGUGGGGUGAUGGAUGCUGGCAGAAUGCCCCUGAAACUUUCCAACGACGUGUUGCCCCGAGAUCAAAUGCCAGAAAGCAUGACGUUGGUAAUCCCCAAGGGAGAAACCUAACUCAAUGGAGCACUGCUCGUGGAAACCCAAACGGUUGGCAAGAUCCUUCCAAUAAAUACCGAAAUCACUUCCAAAGCAACGAAAGGUAAUACCAUAAUCGACAGUUUGUAGAGUGCCCAAAAUUUGUAUCGUCAAAAGACGUGACCCAAGAUCAUGAUCUGGGGCAACUCUACUCCAACCAAGAUGCUUGAAAAAUAGUAUCAAACUCAACAUCCAUACCUAUUUGGUGCAAGAAUGCGGGGUCGAAUGCCGGCGAAUGGAGGAACUCGCGUUCCUUCAAGAGGUUGUAUGCCUACAUCUCCCGCUCGCUCUCCAAGUCGAUGAAGGGGGCGUCGGCCUCGUCAAUGACAAGACCGUGUGGCCCCUCCUCCUCUCCUCCAUGUGCCGGCUGCUCGUUCCUUGUAGGGGUUGGUGGAUCUUCCCCGUGUUGGCGACGGCUCCUUCUAAGCCCGAAAAUUCUAUUCAUGGUGGAUGAGCUAGCACAAGUGUAUGGUGUUUUUGCUUGGAGAGGGAAGUGUGCAAGAGGUUUUUGACAGAAUUUUCUUGCAUUAAGCUUGUGGAGUAAGCUAUGAAGCAAAGUGGAGCAAGAGAGUGAAGAAGGGAAAAGUAAAAAAAUGUGUGUGAGAGGGGUGAGGUGCUCCACCCGGGAUCCUUUCUAUUUAAGUUGAUCGCAGGCGGGGGAGCGCCCCCUCAACGGCUACUAGUCGUUGCCCAAAGGCCAAGGCCAGCAGGCCUUGGGCAGGGUGCGGCCGCACCCUGGUGCGCCCGCACUAGUGGUGGGCCCGCCUCUGCUCGGCCUUUUGGCUGCUGGCUCCAACGGUCACCCCAAACGUCUCUCUGGUUACGAUCAGACUUGGUUCGAAAUCUUGCUCUAGAUUUUGAUUUUCCACAUAUUUAUUCAAAAUAUUUAUGGUUUUCAAAAAUUAUAUAAAAAUAAGAUUUGGAAAUGGGAAAAUCUAUACUACGAGAAAAUAAUUUUUAUAAGAUUUUCAGAGAAACUUUAUUUUUGACUAAAAAUAAAACUAUAGAAAGGGAAACUUUUGGAAACUAAAAAUAAAAACUUCCUAUAAGAAAGGAAAUUAAAACGAAAUUUAAAGGAUUUAAAAACACAUAAUACCUGAGCGGGGACACCUCCCCCAAGCUUGCUUGAUGUCGUGGGCCCUCUUAAGAUAUCUUUAUUGGGACACAAAUAGCACAAAAUUUAUUUUUAUUAUAUAUAGUUUUUUUAGAGAACUACCGAAUGCCUUCGGUAAGGGCUCAACAUUUAUAGUCCGUUGGCAGGACUUUCCUUCCUUCAUUCUUCUGUGGCUGCAUGGACGAACUUAGUAGAGGUUUCCAGUUGCCCUGGGAUCCUCUCUGUGUCAGUGACUGGAAUUGAUGCAGCUAUCUAUGCUAUCUGUGUUUCUAUCAUCUUGUUGAAACUCGUCUGACUUUUGAUAGAUGAACAAAGAGUUUCAAGUCUGGCGUUGAUGUUCUCAAUGAUCUUGUCAUUGUAGGACAGCUUCUUGGUCAGAUUCUCGUUGAUUUUAGCUUGCCCUAUGACCAGAUCUUUCAAGGAAGGCUGAUUGAAGAAAUUACCCUACGGGCGGUGCUGAUUGUUCCACACGUUGUUACCAUGCUGUGGUGGCCGAAACCCAUUGUUGACAUAUGCUGCUUCUUCUUAGGUUUCGGGGCAAUUGUUCCCCGAAUGGCCAUCAUCACCACAAACUUAACACGAUAUGUGUGAGUUCACUGCUUGGACAGUGCCCAUGUUGGGAUUUGCAACUUGUCCGUCCAUCCUUUGUAGCAGCAAGUCUAUUUUUGCGACAAGCACAUCUGCCUCCUUCGCAGAUUGUGAACAUUUUUGUGUUUUCCUUCCUUCUUCCCAGCUUUGAUUUGCCACCCUCUUCUCGAUGAGGGCAGUAGCUUCAUUAAUGGUGAGAGAAAGGAAUGCACCUCCAGCUGCGGCAUCUACGUGCCCCUUUGACAUGGUCAUGAGGCCUUCGUAGAAGUUCUGGAGCACAAGCCAGUCUUCCAUUUCAUGAUGAGGACAGGCCCGGAUGUACUGCUGGAGCCUCUCCCAUGCUCCGGGUAUCGACUCAAGUGAAGACUGCUGGAAGUUAGAGAUCUUCCCCCUUAGAGCGCUGGUCCUGCUCAUGGGGAAGAACUUGGCGAGGAAUGUCACGGAGCACUUUUCCCAUGUUUCAACACCUUCCUUGUUCUGAUAAAACCAUUGUUUCGCCUUUUCGGCGAGGGAAAAGGGAAACACGGAGCCUGAUGCUGUUCUGCGCAACGUCAUUGAUGACAACGGUGUCGCACAGCUCAAGGAAGUUCUGAAGGUGGGCGUUGGCAUCCUCGCUUGGCAGGCCACAGAAUUGGCUUUCCUGCACCAUAGAGAUGAGGCCAGUACGGAUCUCGAAGCUUCCAUUCCCCAUAUUGACAGCAGGCCCAAUCGGCACGUUGGCAACACUGGGAGUGGAGUAGUCACGGAGUGUCUUGGCCAUCACGAUUGGUGCGGUUAGUGCUGGAACAGUUGAUUCGCUUGCUGGUUGCAUAGUAGAAGAAGAGACGGUACGAACCCUUCUCUUCCUUACGAGUGUUUCUGGAUCACUGUGGAAGUUUGCCAGCAAGUUGAAACCGCUCAUACACUAUCCUGUUUUCAUUCCAAUAAAAAGAGGAAGAAAACAGUAAAGUUAUCCUGCUUAAUCUAUGGCUACCAAUGCUUAUUAUGCAAUCAAUGUUUAUGCUAGUAUGAUUUUUGCCUUCCCCGACAACGGCGCCAGAAAUGCUUGUUGGCAUUUCUUAGCGUCACUACUAAAAAUAGACCAUAGAUCCAUCCUUAGCAAUGGCACCAGAAAUGUUGGGUGUUGGCAUACCAUAACUAUCACUACAUCAGAGAGAUAACACAAGGCAACUCGAGGUCGCCGGCCUUAGCAGUGCAGUCUGGUAACAAUAAUUAGGAAUGCCGGAUUGGCCUUCCUAACCAUCCUUACUUGCCACAUGCAAAGGUGUGGCACUACACUCGAAAGUGCACAAGGAUUACAAUCUUAAGUAACGAUACUUAGCUACGCUAAUCGAUAGUUCAUGAAUGAAGAAGUAAUAUAACUGCGAGCAGACAGAACUGUCAUUGCAGCAUUUCAACCCGUGAGUAUUCAAGGGUGUCGAAUUUAUAAUUCCUAUAGGAAGGCAAAGGGGUCAAACAUGGUGUAAACAUGAUUACUUAUUGAAUGCUUGGUAGACAUAGAGUAAACAGGAAUAAACAUGUAUUCAAGAUAGUGGACACACAUUGGAUCAACCUCAAGGAUAAAAUAGAAGAGAAAUAAUAAAUAAAGAAUAAAGAAAUAAAUCUACUUGAGCGGGCAUGGGUCACAUAUAACUAUGCAUAGAACUGUUAGUGGAUCAUCUAAUUAGCAAUAAAUAGAGUUAGAACUAAGCCUGAGAUGAGGGGAGAUCCCCGUAGCUGGAUACCCAGCCAAUAGAGACUUUACAGAACUCCUAUCGGAAUACCUGAUCGUGGGGGAAUGCAAAGGAUGACAAAGCCGUCACUACCCUACUGUUGACACUUGCUAACACCACUUGAAUACUAGGUUGUCAUCCCCAGCAUGGCACUAGAGUGUACUAUGGUAUUUAUACGCACACAGAUAAAUCCGCAAGCGCACGGAUACGGUUGUAGCUUUUACCCGGUUAAAGGUUUUAUCGUAUCCACAGGGAAAUGGGAGAUCUGAUCUACGCUCAAACUUAACCUAGAUAGAUAGGUAGGUGUAAAUAGGAAAGAUGGUAGAAUUGAAUAAGAACAAUAUUAAAGGUAAGAUAACAAUGGGUGAUAAUAUGGGAAUAGAGAGUAGAGCAAUCUAGUAUGUGGGUGGUGGUAGGAGAAUAAAGAGGAUAACUAUGGUUUCUCUACUUCAAAGGGGUAUGUCUAUGUCUGGGAUGAACCACGUGAUAAGAAUACACCACAAAGGAUGCUUAUCCAUAGGCCGAUAAACCCUACCAGUCCUGCUAACGGGAGGUGGACUACAGGGGACCAAUGUAACUGUCACCUACGUGGCCUACCACACGAUCCAGCUAGACAGGGGAUAUGCACAAGUAAUCUAGGUCUAAGCACCACGCUUACACCUAUACUACAACUCUAACCUAUAGGGUCCUAUAGAUUAAAAGUACUCAAAAGAGUUGCGAACCAGAACAUACAUGAAUAGUAAUUGCAUAAUGAAAUAGAAGUAGAUUACCAGAGUCAUCCCAUGAGCAAGCUUGAUUAGAGCUUGAUCAUGGCGAAGUACAACCGGAGGAAGAACCGACAGGCUGGCCUCUCCUCCAAUCCACCCUCGCUCUCCAUCUCGCUACUAUCUAGAUCUACUCUAGUUUAGAGAAGAGAGGAGAGCUCUCAUCUCCAAACCCUAGCUUUUGCUUUGUCUAUGAAUAAUGAAUGAGGAUCAAGGGGUGCCUCCUCCAGGGGCCAGGGGGCUUGCUUAUAUAGCCCCUCCAAAUAAAUGUGGGCCAUCGGAUCAAACCGACCUUAAUCGCAUGGUUUUCCUUAAUCCUUUAUGUCGGUGGAGCAUAAUCCGCGAGGCGGAGCUUGAUUGGCUCCUGUAGCAGGGCGGGCGCCCUGUCCCCGAGCCCGCUCGGCUUCCCGUUCGUUCUCGUGGCUUCUGGAGUCUUCUAGAUGAUAGAAAAUUGCGCGACACAUUAAUAUCUCUAUGUAAACCCAACGUGUGGGCCUUUCCUCCAUAUUUCCUGAUAACCCCCUGCAGAAAUAGACAAACACCAAAACUCGUGGAAUUAUGUCAGAUAAAACCCUAAGUCUAGGUGUUGGUUGCAUUUGGAUCCUUUUCUUUAUUUAUUUGAUGAUUAAAUUUGAUACUUAAGGACCGUCAACAACUGCCACCUACCGCUCUACCCGAAAGAUACCUGCACAUCCACUGAUUUCCACAUACCUGAACACCAUGUUCAUGUAACUGGAAACAACUCCUAACCCUCGCGGGCCCCACCCCUUCGAAGUGAUAGGCUAGGCUAAGGGCAACCAUCACAGCAUAGUGAACCAUCAUCCCAUUCCUAAUUCUAAUCCUAAUCAUACUAAUCUGAUGAAUAAUGAAGAACAAUGAUGAACAUAUCAAGAACAUAGCACAAGAACUAAGAACUAGUUCAUAUACUAUGAACAUGAUAAGAACACAAUCAUACUCUAGUUCAUAUGCAUAAUCAUAUAAAGAUGAAUAGAACUUGCUCAUGGUAGAAGAUUGAAUAUUAUUCAUACCAAAAAGAUCCUUUCUUCCAAGGAGACAAGCUCUCCUUGCUAGCUCUUGCCUUGCUCUACUACUAAUCUAGACUAAAGAUACAAGUGAGAGGUGUGAGGUAAAUUGACUCCAAAUGAUGUGUGUGUUGAAAAGGGGGGAGAGCCUCUCUUUUUAUAGUGGAACUAGGAUGGUUUGUCGCAUCUAAAUUUGGUAGUAGGUGAAACCGUCCUAUGCAUGGCAGCAUGCAACCGCCUGAGAAAGAUGGGCCCGGUUUGUCGCCUCUAGGGGUGCGCCCGCACCAGGGUGCGGUCGCACCCCAGGUGGGUCCCCCUAGCCAUGGUCUUCCAAGCAGCAAGUGACACACCGACAUAGGUGCCACAUCACACUCCACUAUGUCAACAUAUUCACCAAUCUUGAACGGAACUUUCUUUUUAUAUCCAAUCUUGACAUCUCCAAAAUCAUUCAGCCACUGUACAUGUAUGGAUGAGGGUGUCGUAGCAGCUUCAGGCCAAGUUUAUCAGUCAUCUCAUGACUAGCAAGAUUAUUUCAGCUUCCUCCAUCAAUAAUCACCUUCACCACCUUAUCAUGUACCUUUGCUCUGGUUUGAAAUAAAUUAUGUCGCUGCCCAUUUUCAGCUUCUUUCAUUUGAACACUCACGAUUUGAGUCACCACAAGAGCAGCACCAUGCUCAAAUUCACAGCCAAUAUGUUCCUCAUCUUGAUGGGCCUCAUCAACAUGUUCUUCCUCAGCUUGCUCUUCACUGGCUGAUUCAAUUUCUCCACUAUCAUUCACAAUGACCACACGAUUAUUUGGACACUCUCUUGAUACAUGUCCACGGCCUCCACACUUGAACCACUGAAUUCCACUACUCUUGGAAAGUGGAACCCACUGAAGUAUUGUUUGAUGCUGCUGGUUUUGAACUUGGGACAGCAGUGUUCUUUCCACUAAAAGUACCCUGAAAAUUAGAUCGUGAGCCUCCACUUGAGCCUUUCACCAUGGAUGGUUCAGCAGAAAACAUAGUGAUUGAUUUGCUUCCUCCAGAGAAGUUCCUCAUACCAAAGGACAAGGACUUGCUGCUCUUAGCAUCUUGCUGCAAUUGACGUUCAGUUUUGGUUGCUUGAUGUACUAAAUCAAUAAGAUGACGGUAUGGCUGAAACUCAACAAUGCGCUGAAUAUUGCGAUGCAGCCCAGCCAUAAAACGUGCAAUAGUUUGCUCUUCAUCUUCAUACACAUUAGCUCUAAUCAUAGAUUUCUCCAUCUCCUUAUAAUACUCUUCAACAGAGAGACUUCCUUGCUUCAAAUUCUGCAAUUUAUCAAAAAGAUCACACGGAUAGUGCUUCGGCACAAAACGACUUCUCAUUUCUCUCUUCAUUUCAUCCCAAGUUGCAAUAGGAUGUCUUCCAUCUUCUUCACGAUCACUGAGGAGCUGCUCCCACCAUAUCAGAGCAUAUCCUUCAAACUCCAGAGAUGUCAUUGCCAGAUUCUUCUCUGUAGAAUAAUUAUGCAAGCGAAAGAUUUUAUCCACUUUCAGCUCCCAAGUGAAAUAAGCUUCAGGAUCAGACCCACCAUCAAACUUUGGCAUGGUAAACUUCAGUUUUCCUAGCCUCUCCUCAUGAUUGCCUCUUCUACAAUGUCGGCGACCAUAUCGAUAUUGAGAAUGAUCAUCAUCAUCCUCUUUUUCAAAUUCUUCAUCAUCAUGAUUUCUUCGACCUUGACCUCUUCCUCUACCUCGGUUCCUCCUUCCUUGUUCCCUUGAGCUUCUACUAGCAGCACUUCUAUCACUCAUAUCUCCAUCUUCACCAUGGUUGCUUGCUCCAUCAUGAGGUUGGCGACGCCUUCUGAUUUCAGUCAUAAGGUUCUGAACAUCUUGUGUCAACCUAUCUUGCUUUUCUUCUAUGCUUUGUCGGAGUUCAUUAAAUUGUGCCAAAGUGACACAAUCCUCUAUUCCAUCACCCAUCUUCCUGUAAGGUUAACUGAAUACAAAUAAUUUGUAUUUGUGGAAUAUGAAAAUUUGGUGGCCCUCACAACUCACCUCUCUAACCACCGAAGCUCUUAUGAAUUCCUCUGCUGUAGAUUAUAAGGAAAACAAAUGUGUGGUGGCAACUGAAAGUGAUGACGAGGCGAAUACAAGAACAAAGACUACCGAUUAAGAUNNNNNNNNNNNNNNNNNNNNNNNNNNNNNNNNNNNNNNNNNNNNNNNNNNNNNNNNNNNNNNNNNNNNNNNNNNNNNNNNNNNNNNNNNNNNNNNNNNNNAGCUUGGUGGGGAGUAAUACACAAGGAAUGCAAUUUGAGUUCUAGUUUUUGUAAAGUUAAGUAGCGAUCCAAACUAGAAGUUCUCUGCCUAGUGCUGAUCAAAAGAUUCGAAGUGUAUAAAUAGAUCACACACACGCAAAGAAAUUUCAGAAUUGAUGCAAACAAGGAGUGUGAUUGGGAUGCAAGUGUUGCAGUCAGACCCAACCAAAGUUUUGCACCAAACAAAGAAAGCAAACUGGUUGCAGAACUUGAUAUGAAACUUUCAGCACCUGUGCACAUAAACCAACUAAUCUUUCAGAAUUUCUCUCUGAACCUUUCUCAACUAUUUUUUUACUUCACUUCUUUUUUGCACUUUCUUUUCUUUUUUUGGACACACUUUUUUUAUAUAUAGAACUAAAAAACAGGGAUCAGAUUAUGAUACUUACACAACUAAAAACAGAAAUAAAGCAACAACCAGUAGCUAAAUAGGAUCAAAGUUAACACAAAGGAUGAUAUAGGCUAUAGAGAUUUUUUUGUGGGGAUUUUUAGAUAUAAAAGAGGCACAGAGAACACGCGAAGGAUAAUUAUCAGCAACUAAAACAAAGACUCUAAUGGACUACGACUUAACCGAACUCACUAAAAUAACAGAUUGAUACAUAGGUCUAAGCAAUAUAUUUUUCUGGCUUUUUGGUGGAUAGGACGAAGCAAAAUAUAUAUGUAGCUAGGGAUAAAAUUCCUACCAUGGUAACGAAAGCUCUGAUACCAGAUGAUGCGACACGUUGUCCCGAUCUUCACGACAUAGGAAGAACACCGAUAACUAGCUGAAGAACAGCCGGAUAACGUGCUGCAAGCAGCGAUAACUAGUGCAAUCUGGCAAAUAAAACUCGAAGCCAACCACCGUCUUUAACCGGCAACCUGAAUCGAGGAUUCGCCCAACCACACUCUAAAAGAACCAACCAACACAGCCUACAAUCAAUCAAGGAAUACCUUGAAGGGAGUAGGAGCACCAAUUGGGGGCGGAUGAAGCCGUUGCCUAUGUAAUUCCGCGAGGAAAUCACAAGAGCAAGGGGUAGAGAUCACUCUCUGAAUAUUUGCUAGCACACAGCUAAACAAAAGGGGUUCUGUAUUUCAAUUAUCAAAAGUCUAAGAUUACAAUGAGUCUUAGGGGUUAUUUAUAAUAGCAACAGCCCUGCUAGAUAGGUAUGAAAACGAAAUAGAGUUUCUGAGGGAAGGCAGUGUGAAAGGUCCCCUCAAAAUGGAUUCCCGAAGUGGCUUCGCGUGACUGUUGGCCUCCAGAGUAGUUUCCAAUAAACUGACCAUAACUUUUUAUUGGGAAGUCCAAAUGAUGAACUGUGUAUUAGGUGUGAAACUAGACUCAAAGGGAUUUCCAGCAAUGUAUGCCUACCAGCACGAAACAUUGUAGAUUGGUACAGUUUUACUUGGCAACUCGUACCAACAUUCUGUCACGACAGACCGUUGACCUUCUGAGCAGUCUGUACUAAUUCUGGUUUGCAGGCAAUAUGGAGUAUCCAAACUGGUUGCCACUAGAUUCAUUAGAAAGUAGACUCGUCAAGCUUUCCAACAAGUCCUCAUGGACCUUCAUAUAUUUUGUGAGUAAAAAGUUAGAUUUCUUUGCACUAGUCCAUUUUUGACUUCCACUGGUCCGUUUUUGACUUUUUCUGGACUUGCACUGGUCCAUUCUUCAGGGUCCGAUUCAUCCUUCUCUUCUUCUAUAUACCUGAGUACAAUCAAGGUACAACACUUAGGUAGUAUAUAAUUCUCAUUAGUGUUAAAAUAAAUCUCACAAAGUAGCACGUGGACCUCUUGUUGUAGCUUCUUUGCACGACUACGUGUAAUCGGUCCAUUGAUGACUUGGGCUGGUGUCGGUGUAGGUGAAACUUGAGUGGAUGUAGCUUGACUUGGAGCUUGUGACAUCUUGCUUGGUGGCAUGGUCAUAUCAAUAAUUAAUAGCUUUCUUGAAAGAAUAUAAAGAUUGUUUUGCUUGGGAGUAUUAUGAAAUGUCUGGUCUUGAUAGAAGGUUAGUUGAACAUCGGCUACCAAUUAAACCUAGGUAUCAACCUUUUAAGCAAGCUCCAAGAAGGAUUAAACCAGAGGUAAUGGCCGAUGUCAAAGCAGAAAUCACUCGAUUUUAUGAAGCAAAAUUCAUUUGGCAAUGUCGAUAUGCUGAAUGGAUUUCCAGUGUGGUUUGAAUAAAGCUACCCCUAUGGAUAGUUAUCCUAUGCUUGUUGGUGAUAUGUUAGUUGAUGCACCAGCAGGACAUAAAGUCAUUAGUUUUAUGGAUGGUAGUGCCUGAUAUGAUCAAAUCAUAAGAUUGCUUCUAGAUGUCCUGGUGCAUUGGGUUUAUAUGAGUGGGUAGUCAUGACUUUUGGACUCAAAAAUGUUGGUGCAACUUAUCAGAGAGCAAUGAGUUAUAUCUAUCAUGAGUCAGCAAGAUUGUUGAAAUUUAUAUAGAUGAUGUAGUUGUGAAAUCCAAGGAUUAUCAAGAAUAUUUGGAAGAUCUCAAGAAAACUCUUAUGUGUGCCAGAAAGCAUGGAUUGAGAAUGAAUCCACAUAAGUGUGCUUUUGGAGUAUUGGCUGGACAGUUCUUGGGUUUCAUGGUGCAUGAAAAAGGGAUUGAAGUUGGGCAAAAGAGUUUUGAAGCAAUUAGCAAGAUAGUACCUCCAACUUCAAAAUCUGAAUUGCAAUCUUUGAAAGGCAAAUUUAUUUUUGUUAGAAGAUUUAUUUCGAACUUAUCAGAUAAGAUUUUGUUGUUCUCUGCAUUGUUGAAAUUGAAGAGUGAUCAAGAAUUCAAGUGAGGGAACAAACAACGAAAGGCAUUUGAAGAUAUUAAGGAAUAUAUGAAGUCUCCACCAGUUUUAGUACCUCCUUAGAAGGGAAAGCCUUUUAUGUUGUAUGUAGCAGUCGGUGACCAUACUAUUGCAUCGGCUUUAACGCAAGAAUUUGAAGGAAAAGAAAGAGUUAUCUUCUAUUUAACUAGAAGAUUGUCGGAUCCAGAAACUAGAUAUUCACCCAUUGAAAAGAUAUGUUUAUGUUUGCUUUUCAUGUACUAAACAUAGGCAUUAUUUGUUGUCUUUGGAAUGCACUGUGGUGUCCAAGUUUGAUGUGAUCAAACAUAUGCUAUCUAUGCCUAUUUUGAAUGGGAGGAUCUGUAAGUGGAUUCUUGCAUUAUCAGAAUUUGAUUUAAGAUAGAAAUCAGCUAAAGCAGUUAAAGGUCAUGCUAGAGCUGAUUUCAUUACUCAUCAUCGAGAAGGGGAAGUGACAAUGUUGGAAUAACCCCUUGGGCUUUAUUCUUUGAUGGAUCUACUUGCAAGCAAGGAGGGGGUGUCAGUAUUGUGUUGAUUUCUCCACAAGGGGUGAGUUUUGAAUAUGCUAUUCCCAUAAAACCAACAUCUACUAAUAAUCAAGUAGAGUAUGGAGCUGUUCUUAAAGGUAUUCAACUUCUACAUGAAGUAAAGGCUGAGAGUAUUAAAGUUUUUGGUGAUUCUCAAUUGAUAAUUAAUCAAUUGCUCGGCCUAUAUGAAUGCAAAGAGGAUGUCCUGAGGAAAUAUUAUGAAGAAGGCCAAGAACUUCUUAAUUCUUUUUUUUCGUUAUGAUGAAGCAUAUUCCCAAAAUCCAGAAUCAAGAGGCUAAUCGGCUAGCUCAAAGUGCUUCUGGAUAUCAGCAAAUUAUUGAAAUUUUAGCCGAUGAAGUUGUUGUUGAUAAAGAUUGGAGAAAGGAUAUUAUCGAGUAUUUGAAUAAUUCAGCACAACAAGUAUCCAAGAAAUUGUGGUACUUCUUGAUGAUUAGCUAUAUCAUAGAACAAUUGAUGGUGUGCUCCUUAAGUGUGUCAACCGAGAAGAAACUAAGGUUUUAGUGGGAGAUAUUCAUGAAGGAGUUUGUGGUGCCCAUCAAUUUGCUCAUAAGAUGAAGUGGAUGAAAAGAAGAGCAGGUUAUUUUUUGCCGACCAUGUUGAAGGAUUGCUUCGAGUAUUAUAAAGGAUGUCUAGAGUGUUAAAAGUUUGGCAAUAUUCAAAAUCUCCAAUAUCGGCUAUGAACCCUAUUAUGAAACCAUGGCCAUUUACAGGUUGGGGAAUAGAUCUAAUCGGCCAGAUAUUUCCAUCGUCAAGUAAGGGACAUAAGUUUGUUUUGGUAGCAAUGGAUUAUUCUACUAAGUGGGUGGUAGCUAUUCCUUUAAAGGUAGCAUCAUCAGCUAAUGUGAUUGAGUUCAUCCGAGAACAUAUUAUUUAUAGAUUUGGGGUCCUUAAAUCCAUUACAAUUGAUCAAGGGAAGAUGUUUACAUCCAAGGAGUUUGAAGACUUUGCUGCCAGUACUAGUUUUAAAUUGAUCAAUUCGUCUCCUUACUAUGCCCAAGCUAAUGGACGAGCAGAAGCUUCUAAUCCGAUUCUUAUUAAGAUCAUCAAGAAAAAGAUCAAUGAAAAUCCAAGGAAGUGGCAUUCAGUACUCAGUGAAACUCUUUUGUCUUAUACGAUGGCUUGUCAUGGAUCGACUAAAUGUUUAGCAUAUGAGUUGGUUUAUGGGCAUGAAGCUGUAUUGCCAUGGGAGAUUAAUCUAGAAUCUCAAAGGAUAUCACAGCAAGACAAAUUGAUAGCCGAUGACUACAAGAAUCUUAUGUUGGACAAUUUAGAUGAUUUGAAGUUUCAUUGGCUAAAGGCUUUAGAAAAUAUUAGAGCUAACAAAAUCAGGUUGCCAUGUUCUAUAAUCAAAAAGUGUAAGAAAGAAGACUCAGUGAAGGUGAACUGGUUUGGAAGGUAAUUUUGCCGAUUGGAUCUAAAGAUAGUAAAUUCGGCAAGUGGUCACCUAAUUGGGAAUGACCAUUUCAGAUUACUAGGGGUUGCUCCUAGAAAUGCUUACUUUUAUGAAACUUUGGAAGGAGAAUAGUAUCCUAGAGCUAUUAAUGGAAAAUAUUUUAAGAAGUAUUAUCCUAGUGUCUGGGUAGAUCUACUUUAGUUGAUCAAGUCAUACAAAGAGAUGUUUUGAUAGCCCAUACACCAAGUAUGGCCUUUAGUAUAAAAAUUCAGAGUGUUAAGUUGUCAGGAAUAUAUAGCCGAUACAAUGAGUAUCGCCUUCAGUUCAAAAUUUUAAGGGGUUUUGACAGUAAAGUAAUUGAUACAAUAAUAUUCAGUGUUCAGAACUAUAAUUUAUAGCCGAUAUAAUAGAUAUCGCCUUUAGCACAAAAAUCAGAAACACAAAGAAUGUUUUAUUGGUUCAAAAUCAUAUUAAAAUUGCCUCGGUGGGCAAUGUCACAGACAGUGGAUUAGCAAAACAAAAUAAGAUAAAACUGCCUCAAGUGCAGUGUUCUUCAUUGAUCUAGAGGAGUUUUUACAUUGAUCAAAAAUAAAAAAACUAAAUUAAUCCUCAUCGUCAUAGACAGGGCUGAUGAUGUCUGACGACGAUGAGGCCUGCACCAUUGCAUCGGCGUAGGGGGCGAACUCCUCCACCAGCUCAUCAAAGUCUUCGUUGUUGCAUUCCUCGAUGAAGUCCAGAGAAAGAUGCUCUGAGACUUGGGCUCCAUAAUGGAGCUAGUUGGCUAUCAGUGCAGCGCUGCUCUUGAGUGGACGCCAUGGAGCGCAAUCUCCCGGACAUGAUCAGGCAUGUCUUGGAGGCGCUCCAACUAGGUCUCCCCACGAGCGUUGACCAUCCCGGUGACCGCGGCGACGGCAGGGGUGAGGGUGUUGAAUUGCUCCUAGGGCACUGCGAUCAACAAAAUACAUUGUAUCAACAAGUUUGUCGAUUAACUAAAAAGAUAUAGAGAAGAUGAACUUACUGGCGAUGGUGGAAUUAGACUCUACUAAUUGUUCCUUGGACUGGGCCAUGGAUCCCUAGGUGUUCUCCGUCACCGCUCCAAAGCGUUGUGCUGCUCUUGGAGGCGGUGGGACCUCUUUCACUCCUCGGAGUAGAGGUCCUGGGCUACUCUAAGACGCUGGAGGAAGCUCCAGGCGUCUUUGUGCCUGAAGACGGCAUCAUAGCCAAUGGGCUCCGAACAUGCCUAGCUUGCCUCAAAUUGCCUGGUUCACAGCAGCUUCCUCAAAGGCUACUGCUACCGGAGGUAGAGAAGAUGCCAAUGCCUUAGGAACAUGGUUGCUCAGGCCUGCCCCAGGAUUGAUUUAGUGGGGCAGGUGAUAAGUAAGUUUAGAAUGAGAUUGUAGAAAUUGCUACACUAAGUUACCUAUUCAAAGGCCUGCGUUGUGCAGAGUUCACCUCACCGGAUGAAGAAGGUGAUGCGGGGCACUUGCCUCUGCUGUCUGCCAUUCAUUGGAAGGUUACAGUUCUUGGGAGAGAAGGCAAGAGGCUUGAAAGAUUGAAAGGUUGAAUAUGCAAGUCUGACUGUGUGACUUUUACCCUUAGAGCUCUGGUAUUAUUUAUAAUGGGGUAAGUGAAAGUUGAAGCAGUUUGUAGUUAAUCCCCUAGAGAAAGUGGUUCGACUAUCAUCACGAUGAUUCCUUGAAUUUGGGGUGAGUGGAUCGGCUAAACAUAAAACAUCUCCAUAAUCCUAGAGACGUGGGUGACAGAGAAUAACUGAUCAACUUAACUAUGACCGCGGAAGACCUGAGUAGUGGAUCGGCUAACUUUCCCGAUAGAAUUCUACUUUACUUCGAUUCAGUUGGCAUUUCUGAUGAGACUUUAAACAAAAGUACAUAUUGCUGGAGAGGAAAAAACAAGUCUAAGUAAAUAAAAGUUAAGUCUGAGAAUUACAAGAUGCAAAGUAAAUGACCAGAGUGUUCAAAUUACGUAUUUAGAAUAAACUUAAUUUAUUUUAAAGCUAAAAGCCUAAUGCUAUCUAUUUCGGCUAUCUGUUGCUGAUCUUCUUCAGCUGAUCCAGGAAUCUUGGCUUUCUUAUAUUGCUUAAUUUUGUCAAGCUUAGCCUUCAAGGUUGCCAUGUUCUUUUUCUAAUUGGCUAAAGAUGCAGGGAUUUGAGAUAAAGCUUCUUCCUUCUAUUUGAUUGCAUGUUCUACAGUCUUCAACUGAGCUAACAGUUGUGUCCUUUCUUCAUUAAGAGCAGCCAAAUCUUUGUUGAUUUCAGCAGGAGAUUCUUUGAGGAGAUCGACUGCCUUCUUAACUGAUAGGAUUUCUUGGAUGCAUUGGCUUUCAGGAGCAGCUGAGUUCUUUUGAGCUUCUCUAGCUGCUAAUCUAGAUUGAGCGCUAAGGAAUUUAGGGCCAUUGGCUUCGAGGAAUGCAGCUGGCUGAAUCAUUUCUUUCAAAGAAGGAGUAAGAUCAUCUUUGAUGUGAUUGAAGAUCUCUCUGAUAGAACCUGCAUCUUGAACUAAAAAUGAAACGUCUAGCUCCAGAUGGGUGAUCAAGCUUUGUAGUUGAGCUUUAAUGUAGUCAGGUAUCAUCAGUGGAGUAUCUUAUGAGAUCAGGAUUGUUUCUUCAUCAAGAUAUUCAUCUAAGGAGAAUGGCAGAUCAGGUGAAGAAACCUAUUCCUGUGUUGAGCUAAACAAAUUAGUGUUUAUCAGGAGAUAUCAGUGGAUGAUAAUAAGUGGUUUGAUAUACCUAUUCUACUGAAACCAUGGUAGAGCUGGGAAUAGCCGAUGAAGCAACUUCAAGAAGUUGAAGGUCUAGAUUCAUGGAAAUGAGUUAGUAUAAGUAAAAGGAUUUAUCCUAUCGGCUGUUGUAUGGUGUUACCUAAAGAUACUUCUAGGAUUGUGCCCGGGUUGGGAAUAGCAUCAUCAUCACUGCUGGUGAAAGAUAAGCCCUCUAGAAGGUCAGGAAGUUUAGGUCCCUUUUGAACAGUAGAUUUGUGGGCAACAUCCUAAAAAGUAAAGAGUUAGCUAAUGCAUAGGCAUAUUGUAUACUUAUGAGUUAACAGAAAGGUUACCUCGGUGGCUGCAUCAGCUAAAGACUUGAGCUAUUUUGAAGGAGUUACUUUGGUCUUCUUCAAGGUUGCCUUCUGAGAAGCAGCCAAUUGCUUUCUUUUUAGUGUAGCAAUCAGCUGAUCUUCAGGUAAGUCUAAUGCUGGCUUCUUCAAUAAAUCUUUUAGAGGAGGUGCAUCAGAGCCUAGUCUUGGGUUAGGGCACCAUAUAUCAUAGGUCACCAGUGGAGGGUUCAAGCUAGCAAGAUCUUGUAGACAAUUAAUAUAAGUGAAUCUAUUCUGAGGUGACAGAAAUAUCAAAGUGUAGUUUAUUAAACAUACCUCAAGUGCAGCUUGGAAGUCUAGGUCUAAGGAGGAGCAGUAAACGGAUACUAGCACAUUGAAGAUAUGUUGGCUCCACUCUUGCCACCAGUGAUCAAAAGCUGUAGAAGUGAAAAGGGUGCACUCCCAUCCGCUAAUGGCUUCUGGCAAUAGAGAUUGUUCAAAAUGAAGAAUUCUGUUGUACUCUAUUCCAGCACUAACAGUUUCCCUUAGUUUCACCUUAUCAGCAAAGAAUAAGGCUGUGGGCAAUUGGCCAAAACCCAUCUAUCUGGCUACUAUUGAGGGAUAGAAGAAUUCAUAGGAAGUUGGGGGUUUCUCUCUUCCAUGUCUGACUUCAACAGGCAGAAGACUUGGCCUUACCAAAUGGCUCAGAAUUUUGAAAUCCUAAGGAUCACUAUAAAUGGUCUAAAAUCUGAAUGAUGCUGGGAGUUCAAAUUUUAGAAUAUCUGAGUGGACAAACCACUCUAGAUAUGCCUCUUGAGAAUUUCUAUAGAAUAAUUUGAAGAAGUCAGUAGUCGAUCUAUCAAUAGUGAUUGUCGAUGCUGCCUCACCAAAAGACAUACAUCGGCAAAAUUUUUGAUUUCUUGAGAGUUGUUCUUCUUGCUCUUCUAGGUAUUCUAAGGAAAAAGGACAUAUUGAUCGGUUCUGGAGUUACUAACCUCUGCAGAUGGAGAUUGAGCCAUAACUGCAACAACCACCAGGGACCUGUGAUGGUUGGAAUAGUCUUAUUCUCCAUCAGAUAUUGUGAAACUCUGUUCAAGAGACUAUGCAGUGCUCCAAGGAGAUUCUUGCCAAGUGGAAUUUUAGAGGUUCUUGGUAUUUUCUCUAACAAAGUAAGAUAAUUGGAGGUUGGAGAGCAAGCCUAUCCACAAAAGAGACAUCUGUCCAACCACAUGUUUAGGAAAGCUAUAUGUUCCCUAUCAGACACACAUCUAUUAUCAGACUUGUGGCUAAUAAUGUAUGGGGACCAACCCCUAGUUCUAAUGCUAUCUAGCUUGACAAACGGUUUCACUAGUAAAUUGAAGGGGUUGACCUGUCCUGCAAUGUUGAGGACUAUCAGCAUGUGGACAUCAGCUAAUGUUGGGGACAACGGGCCUUGUCUGAAGAGGAAGACAUUGUAGGUGUUGGACCAAAAGAAACAAGUAGCCCUAAGCAUAGGUUCAUUUUUCUUGAUAUCAGAGAGGGACAAGGAGAUGCACUGGUCCAAGUUCCUAUGUGCCCAAUCUGCUCUAUUCUUGGCUGCCACCUUGAUCAAUUAGUUUCUCCAGCCUAGGAUGAUUGACGGCCAGUUCCUCAUUGAUGCUCUCUUAUCCCAGAGACCUAGAUGCAUGUUGGAUUCCUUGAAGGGGACUCUGUUAGUCUCGGCAAUAAUUACCUGCUAGGAUUAGGGUCACCCAUUGGACCUAGGAAGCUCUUGUGUAGAUUGCCAUCAAGUGGGAUGAAUACUGGCCCUGGAGAUUCUAAAAGUAAAAGAAAAGAGUAAGGGCAAGCUGACAGAGUAAGAUAAUUUAGGGAAGCACUGGAAGAAAGCAUACCUCUAGGAUGUUGUCAAUGGACGCCAUUGGAACAAAAGUAACUGAUUCGGUGUGUUGAGAAUGGAUCGUGUGGAGAUUUAGUGGAUUAUACUGAUUUUGAAUUUUCGACUUGGAAUACUUGGAGGAAAACUGUAACACCCGAUUUUAAGAACAAAAUCAGAUAUGCACCAUAUGUGAGUUUUAGAAGACAAGCCUCACAUAUAGCUACAAAUAAGGGGUAAUAACAAAGGACAAUGCAUAAAUUAUAUAGCGUAGAUAAUAAAUUAGAAACAACCUUGGGCAGCAAACACGGAAGAGAACUCCAAACUUCGGGAGUUAACCUCACUCUACAGGAUCCAACUGACUGGUUGAUCACAAGCCCAAAACUUCUCCUGAGGUGUGGGGGAGAUAGCAAGAUUGAGUUCAAGACGAACUCCGCAAGUAUAACAACUAGUUUGUAUAGAUCCCACAAUCUCAUGAUCAAUGUGACAUAAAUAAUAUAGAGCAUUAAACAAUAAUCAUGAGCAUAUUUACACAACAAGAUUCAUCACCCUUAAUGUAAGAAUCCCCAAGGCCGCUCGUGACCGUGAGCACGGCUAGUAUACCAAUUUUUAACACACUGCAGAGGUUGUACAUCUUUACCCAUGAGUCAUGAUUUACCCUUUCGCUCAAGGUGAUCAGCCUCGUAACCCACUACCAAGGUAGGUCGGUAGGGAUCACUAUGAAGUCUUUCAAAGGUUCGUCUAACAAGUUAGGGCCGCUUGGUUUCGGUAGUCAGUCCAUGUGAUUCUACCCCGCAGGGGAUCCACGGUCUGCUAUCCCCCAUUUGUGCCACACGGGUAACCUCUAACAAGCUACAAAAGUUACUCAUACUUGACUAAAGCCAGAGCCAUUAUAGCCCUCAUGGUUGCACUUUCAUCCCGGUUAUCACUUACGAAUAAAUCCUCAAGUUGUUAAAAAGUCAUUAUUAUCAUUUGUUGCUUUAUAUUAAUCUAGUCACAAGAUCAUGGUCAUAGAAUUAAAACCCAAAUGCUCUACUUGCCUUGAUCCAAUUGCUCCUGCUGGUCCUGCUGAUCUUACUUGCUUCCAAGGUUCUGAUAUUGAUCACCGAAGUAAUGCCACUGUCUAAUCUCGAUCAUCGAUCAUCAACACACAAACAAUCGAAGACAGACAUACACGAAGCAAACAAGAUUACAAUUAGAACAGUACACCAGCAUUAAAUAAAUAUAAAUAAAAGUUUUCCAAAAUCAUCUACAUGCUGCUACGAUCACGUCAACGAGAAAUUCACGGAAAACGGAGUUAUGACACGAAAGUUACGUUUUUAACGGGAUUUCAACAGGAGUUUAUGGACUUGUAAUUAACUAGGGAAUCUAACAGUGGCGAACCCAGACAACAAUGGUACUAACGCGAAGUUUAUGAAAUUAUGAAACUAACGCAACUUGAUCGGAUCGAAUCGGAGCUAAAACGGAGAAGAUACGAAUUUUCAAAGAUUUUAUAUAGAAAAGUAUUUAAUUAAAUAGGGUCACAAAUUAAAAAGUUCAAACUGAUCAACCAAGAUUACUAACAUGUUGAUCUCGCGAAAACGAAUCUAACACAAUUUGAACGGGUCAAAUCGGAGCUAAACGAAUAUUUUAUGGCCGAAACAAUGUAGUGGCAAUUCUGUAAUUACUGCAAAGUAUAAACGAUUUAAAUUAAACAAAAAAAUCCUGGAAAUUUCCUCGGCCACGGACUGCGGGCAUGAAUAAAAGAAAAUUGGAGGUCUCUUUGGCAAAGUUGCCCUGCGAAGGGGUAUGGGCCGUUCCUGGCCAUCAGAUUCAAGAUCAACGUGCGAGAUUAGAUGGGAGGGGAGACAGAGGGGACUGGCGGCCGGAGUUGGGGAAGGUUGCGGCGGCAGCCAUUGCCGGCGGCGAGGAGCUCGCCGGAGUAAGCCGUUCUGGCGCUACGGUGCACCAAAUUCGAAACCGCGAGUACUGGGAGAAAGAGGAGAACGAAACGAAUUCAUUCCCGAGCUCAGCACGGCCGGAGAAGGACACGCGCAGUGCGGACAACGGCGACACCAUUGUCGACGCCCUCGGUGCGUGCGAACAAGGCCUUAGAGGCCACGAAACGGAGCGAAAGAAUCACCGGGAGAAAGAGGGGGAGAAGGAGAUGCUCACCGCGGCGAGAAGCGGGGCAAAGACGGCUCGAAAAGCUGAGCGACGCGCGGCCAACGAUGGUGGUUUUCGGUGCUUGCACAAGUGGAGCAGAGGCAAGGGAAGUGAAAUGAGGGGAGGGGGAGGGCGGCUCGGGCGCGGACGCUCUUCCAAUGCCGACACGCGGGGCAAGAAGUGGUGGGGAUCGUGGGGAGCGGGGGCGCGGCUCGAUCCGUUGCUGUCGAGAGAAAGGAGAGAGGGAGGUGACGGUUGGAGAGGAAGGAACUGACAAGCGGGCCCCGCUUGUCGGCGAGAGAGAGGGGGAAAAGUGGGAAAACUGGUCGGCUGGGCUGCGGCCCAGAAGGAAGGGGGGCGCAGGGGCAACUGGGCCAAGCAGGGCGAAAAGAAGGAAAAGGGAAAAAAGUUUCCAUUUUCUUUUCCAGAUAUAUAUAUUUUUUUAAAACUCAUUUUUCUAUUGAAAUUUGAAUUCAAAACUCUUUACAAAUUCCACACAUCCCAAAAAUAAAUGUGCUGCAGCAUGAAUGCAUCAAAAUGUUUUCUAAACUUAUAUUAAAUUUUAAUUCCCCAAAUUUAUUUAUUUUUCCUAUAUUUUUUAUGCUCACAAAAAUUAUUUAAUUAAAUCCAAUUCAUCUACUUAAAGGAAUGAAAUUUUGGGUGUUACAAUUCUACCCCCCUUAAAAUGAAUCUCGUCCUCGAGAUUUGGAAGAGGCUCAGAUCCUCUGAGAGAAACAAGAAAAUAUAUCUUGAUAAUCCUUUCAACUUCACAACUUGCAUACCAAACUUAAACACUUGUCUCAACGUCACACCUCAUGAACAUAAUUUUCAUUAAAUACUAUUAUUCAUAACUGACCAAAGUCCAUCUUGACUACUAAUUUCUUUUAGCUUACAACUCCAAGAGACACGGAAACUUAAUAUGCAUUUGUCUCCUCAGGUAGGAGUGGACUACCGUGAUACUCCAUUCUUUUUCCUGAUGGUGCUAUUAAAAACAUUUUGUACUGGGUACCAUAGAUCACUCCUUUGUGUGCACACAACCAUCCAUUACAAAGGACAAAGGGAAUACUAAGUGACUCUAGCACAAUGAGGUUUAUAGUGAAGUUUUCCUUGUUUAUGACCAGAUUGAUAUUUGAGUAGACCUGAUCUGCUUGUAUUUCUCCCACUGGGGUUUGAACUAACAAAGGCUUCCUCGUUGGGCACUUCACCCUCUCGAUUGUCUUUACAAGGUCGGUAGAAAUGAAAGAAUGCGAAGCACUCGGGUCAAACAGAGCAAAAACUAACACUGAGUCCACUUGAAUAUAGCCACCCACCACUUUGGUAGCUCCAAGAAUGUUAUGCCUAUCCACAUUGCUUAGUCUUCCAUUGAUAUAGUCUCGUUGCACCCUACUUCCAUGAGCAGGCUUCUUACGGCUUUUCCUUUUUCUCUUUCGCCGUUGUGGAUUCUGAUUUGAUUCACUUCCAACUUGCUCUUGAGUAUCAUUAUUUUGAUAGCACUCAGUUUCAUCGUACUCAUAACAUCCUUCAAGGGUAGGAUCAUCAUUCUCUUCCCACGUAUCAGUAAGAGGCAUCAUAGAGGGCUCCUGAUCCAUGGGAAACUACACUCCCUGUCAUCAAAUGACCAACGUCAAUGACACAAGAAGGAGAGAUGAUUAUAUUCAUAGAAUAUCUCACGAGACAACUCUCACUUCAAGAUGAGUUGAAAAUGCAUCAACCCAUGAUAUCAAGGUACUACCCCCCUUAAGAAAGGUCGACUAGGAGGCACAAGGAAGGUAGCUUGCACUUUUUCUUGACAAGUUAUCUUGCAUUGAGACCCUUUUGACAUCCCAAGGAACUUAUGUGCAAGGAAGAAUAAAUAUCCUGAAAUUUUCUCACGAUAAGAAAAUCACCAGCGCAGUAAAAUGGACAUAACUCUUGUUCUGUUAAUCCAAUAGGGUUAUAGCUUAUACCGUUAGAAAGCUUAGAAAAUUUCCUACAACCUUUCUAUAGAACACUUUUCCAAAUUCUAUUGCUAUGUUUGUCCAAAACAGCAGGCAACCAAAACUGGUCCAUGUUCUUGACAGCACAUCUAUAUCGUCUUGUGAUUUUUGUAACUUCCAAACCAUAAUAGCUAUGAGGGUGCUUCUUGUGGUCAGAGAAAGACCAUGAAGUCCACUCUCAUCCAGAAUUUUGUCAUGAUUUUUAUUCAUCCAAGAUCAGAGACAUAAGCCGAUAAAGAUGAGAUACUCUAGAAAGGCACGAUAAGGUAACAAGAGAAAAACCAAAACCCAACUAUUUAUGUCAUUAAUCCUUAUGCCUUAGACAUAUAAACUAAAUGAAAUUGUGAAGAAACUCACAAGAUCAUUACACUCAUUACAAAGAUCCAAAACAAACAUAAACAUAAAGACAAUUCAACCAAGCAGUAAAGGUUCACAAGGCACACAAACUCGACUUUCGCUGCUAGCAUUUUUAUUACACAAGGGUAUAAACUCCUAUAUCUUAAACUCAGUGUGGCUUCUUUCAUGAUACUACUGUUGGUUCUUCUGUGGACAAGACUUUACAUAGUGUCCUUCCUGUCGGCAGUGAUAACACUUUUUCUUAGUUGGAUCCUUCGUGAUAUGAUUUUCCACUGAGGUGUUGCUCCGUGUGUUAUCAGCUCGCUGACUCUGAAGGUUUGUCUCUGGCUGGCUAGCUUUCUUCCUAACUUGGUUGAUCCGUCGAGGUUCAAACUCUUUAUAAGUGAUGGUCCAUCCAUCUAUGCAUACCUCAUGAGCAGUGGGGUUAGCUUGAGAAGUUUCUUCAUCUCCAAGGUUUGGAUUUUCAUGGCCAGGGUUCAAAGCUAAAUGUGACGACUUAGGAUUUGAAUGUUGUUCACUUCCCAAUGCUAGCUCUAGUGAUUUUGCCUUCCUCUUCUUAUCCUCAUUAGUCACACCAUUUGGUUUUACCUUCACUUCCUUUUUAGAUGACCUAUUCCGAAGACAAGGAAGACCGUAAUGCCUACAACAAUGGCAUUGAUCCUGAUAUCCCGAUGUAUUACUAUCAACACCUCCAUGGGUUCUCAUAUUUUUCCAAGCUUCUGCUACUUGUCUCUUCACUGGUCGUGAGAUGCACUGCUGAGAGUUCCAAUUAUGAGUCAUUCCUUCAACUACUUGCUUUUGCAUGGCUAGAAGCUUCUCCUUGUCGAAUGCUUUUACGAGUGGCAUCUCUGAGUCCUUUUGUUCCUUCAUGUCAAUGGUCUCGUCGUUAUGAGCCAUCUAAAUAGACAAGGAGGUUGGAUUUAGAAUAGAGACAAAGUUUUAUAACAGAAUAGGGUAGAGGUAAGCAUAAAUUUUAGCAAUUAUCAAGGUUAAGGUGGAAGCAAGAAGUAAGCAGAGAUAGAAGCAUCCUAAAACGUCCGGUUCUAACUAGGCUUGCGUCCUACAGUCAGCAUUGCUUUGAUACCACUUUGUAACACCCGAUUUUAAGAACAAAAUCAGAUAUGCACCAUAUGUGAGUUUUAGAAGACAAGCCUCACAUAUAGCUACAAAUAAGGGGUAAUAUCAAAGGACCAUGCAUAAAUUAUAUAGCGUAGAUAAUAAAUUAGAAACAACAUUGGGCAGCAAACACGGAAGAGAACUCCAAACUUUGGGUAUUGACCUCACUCUACAGGAUCCAACUGACUGGUUGAUCACAAGCCCAAAACUUCUCCUGAGGUGUGGGGGAGAUAGCAAGAGUGAGUUCAAGACGAACUCCGCAAGUAUAACAACUAGAUUGUAUAGAUCCCACAAUCUCAUAAUCAAUGUGACAUAAAUAAUAUAGAGCAUUAAACAAUAAUCAUGAGCAUAUUUACACAACAAGAUUCAUCACCCUUAAUGUAAGAAUCCCCAAGGCCGCUCGUGACCGUGAGCACGGCUAGUAUACCAGUUUUUAACACUCUGCAGAGGUUGUACAUCUUUACCCAUGAGUCAUGAUUUACCCUUUCGCCCGAGGUGAUCAGCCUCGUAACCCACUACCAAGGUAGGUCGGUAGGGAUCACUAUGAAGUCUUUCAAAGGUUCGUCUAACAAGUUAGGGCCGCUUGGUUUCGGUAGUCAGUCCAUGUGAUUCUACCCUGCAGGGGAUCCACGGUCUGCUAUCCCCCAUUUGCACCACACGAGUAACCUCUAACAAGCUAGAAAAGUUACUCAUACUUGACUAAAGCCAGAGCCAUUAUAGCCCUCAUGGUUGCACUUACAUCCCGGUUAUCACUUACGAAUAAAUCCUCAAGUUGUUAAAAAGUCAUUAUUAUCAUUUGUUGCUUUAUAUUAAUCUAGUCACAAGAUCAUAGUCAUAGAAUUAAAACCCAAAUGCUAUACUUGCCUUGAUCCAAUUGCUCUUGCUGGUCCUGCUGAUCUUACUUGCUUCCAAGGUUCUGAUAUUGAUCACCGGAGCACUGCCAUUGUCUAAUCUCGAUCAUCGAUCAUCAACACACAAACAAUCGAAGAUAGACAUACACGAAGCAAACAAGAUUACAAUUAGAACACUACACCAGCAUUAAAUAAAUAUAAAUAAAAGUUUUCCAAAAUCAUCUACAUGCUGCUACGAUCAUGUCAACGAGAAAUUCACGGAAAACGGAGUUAUGACGCGAAAGUUACGUUUUUAACGAGAUUUCAACAGCAGUUUACGGACUUGUGAUUAACUAGGGAAUCUACCAGUGGUGAACCUAGACAACAAUGGUACCAACGCGAAGUUUAUGAAAUUAUGAAACUAACGCAACUUGAACGGAUCGAAUCGAAGCUAAAACGGAGAAUAUACGAAUUUUCUAAGAUUUUAUAUAGAAAAGUAUUUAAUUAAAUAGGGUCACAAAAUUAAAAAGUUCAAACUGAUGAACCAAGAUUACUAACAUGUUGAUCUCGGGAAAACAAAUCUAACGCAAUUUGAACGGGUCAAAUCGGAGCUAAAACGAAUAUUUUAUGGCCGAAACAAUGCAGUGGCAAUUCUGUAAUUACUGCAAAGUAUAAACGAUUUAAAUUAAACAAAGAAAUCCUAGAAAUUCCCUCGGCCACGGACUGCGGGCUUGAAUAAAAGAAAAUUGGAGGUCUCUUUGGCAAAGUUGCCCUGCGAAGGGGUAUGGGUCGUUCCUGGCCAUCAGAUUCAAGAUCAACGGGCGAGAUUUGAUGGGAGGGGAGAGAGAGGGGACUGGCGGCCGGAGUUGGGGAAGGUUGCGGCGGCAGCCGCUGCCAGCGGCGAGGAGCUCGCCGGAGUAAGCCGUUCGCGCACUACGGUGCAUCAAAUUCGAAACCGCGAGUACCGGGAGAAAGAGGAGAACGAAACGAAUUCAUUCCCGAGCUCAGCACGGCCGGAAAAGGACACGCGCAGUGCGGACCACAGCGACACCAUUGUCGACGCCCUCGGUGCGCGCGAACAAGGCCUUAGAGGCCACGAAACAGAGCGAAAGAAUCACCGAGAGAAAGAGGGGGAGAAGGAGAUGCUCAACGUGGCGAGAAGCGGGGCAAAGACGGCUCGAAACGCCGAGCGACGCGCGGCUAACGGCGGUGGUUUUCGGUGCUUGCGCAAGUGGAGCAGAGGCGACGGAAGUGAAAUGAGGGGAGGGGGAGGGCGGCUCGGGCGCGGACGCUCUUCCAAUGCCGACGCGCGGGGCAAGAAGUGGUGGGGAUCGUGGGAAGCGGGGGCGCGGCUCGGUCCGUUGCUGUCGAGAGAAAGGAGAGAGGGAGGUGACGGUUGGAGAGGAAGGAACUGAUAAGCGGGCCCCGCUUGUCGGCGAGAGAGAGGGUGAAAAGGGGGAAAACUGGCCGGCUGGGCUGCGGCCCAGGAAGGAAGGGGGGCACAGGGGCAAUUGGGCCAAGCAGGCCGAAAAUAAGGAAAAGGGAAAAAAGCUUCCAUUUUAUUUUCCAAAUAUAUAUAUUUUUUUAAAAACUCAUUUUUCAAUUGAAAUUUGAAUUCAAAAGUCUUUACAAAUUCCACACAUCCCAAAAAUAAAUGUGUUGCAGCAUGAAUGCAUCAAAAUGUUUUCUAAACUUAUAUUAAAUUUUAAUUCCCCAAAUUUAUUUAUUUUUCCUAUAUUUUUUAUGCUCACAAAAAUUAUUUAAUUAAAUCCAAUUCAUCUAUUUAAAGGAAUGAAAUUUUGGGUGUUACAAAAACCCUUGCUUUAAGGCCGAUGAACAAAGAAGACAGAGGAGGAAAUAGAGUAAUCAAUAUGUCCGUAUCGGUUUUGAGUUGCAAUUUUGGAAUAAAACAAAUUUUAUCCCAAAAUUUGGGGGCAUGUGUUAAUCCAAAUUUUGGUAAGUCAGGAAACUGUCAGUGGGCCUGCUUCGAAGAAGGAGGGACAACCGGAUAAGUGGAUCGAUUAAAUAAGAGGGGCAGUGAAAUUUGUCGAUCAAAAAGGUGUUGGAACAAGGCAAGACGAAGGAGACGUGUCGGGUUCAAUUAAGAAUGGAAAAGUUAGAGUCCAGGUUACCUUUUGGAGGAAAGAGUCAUAUUAGGACAUGAGACUAGGACUCCAGACUAUAAAUAUUGGGAACCGAAUCAAUGGCGGAGCCAGGAAUUACAUAUAGGGGGGCAACCAAAAAAUCAACUUGUUAAAACUAAGCAUAAUCGGCGACCGCCUAGCUUGAUUUGUCGACUUGACGUAGGUGCUCGCAUUUUCUAUAUGUAUUUUAGGAUCAAAUGUGUUAUUUUUCUGGUGGUAAAUGACACACCCUUAACAGAAAGAUGUUUGAGAUGAUUUUGUAAACCAGCUUGAGAGACGCGUCUCUAUUUUUCUAAGGUGCUUCUUAGUAUUAUCUAGUUAUGUUUUGUAUUUCCUCCAUCCCAAAGAAUUUUGGAGAAUCAAAGUAGAAAGAAUCACAAAGACUUAUGCCAUCAAAUAGGUAUUCUGCGAAAAUAUAAUUAAUGAAGAACCUAGUGAUACUUAGUUGAUAUCAUAAGUAUUACUAUCUUGUUAUAUAAAUUUUGUCAAAUUUAGGAUGCUUGGACUCUCUAAAAUUCAUACAAUGACUUAUAGUUUAGAAUGGAGGGAGUACAAUUUUACUAUCUAAAUGAUACUGAUAAGUAUAUAUAAGAAAAAUUGUUAUAUUUUUCUCUUAAUAUAAAUAAAAAUCAUAAAUUUAUACUAAUAAAAAUGUUUGUUGACACAUGUUAGGGGGGCCAUGGCCCUGUCAACCCCCCCUUGGCUCUGCCACUGAACCCAAUCCUUGUAAGAAUAUACACAAUUAUAAUACAAACCCUUUUCGGCUUCGGCCACCAACCUUAGGAGUAGGAGUAAUAGUAGUUCUCGAUGAGACCCUCAACGAAUCGAGCUGCAUCGGUUGAUUUUGACCUUCGGUUUCCUUGUAAGUUUUGUCAUGGUUCAUGUUUAGUUUGUUAUGGCUGCAUCAUUUGAACUCAUGUCAAGCUCAGUUAUGAACUAGUUAUCGAUUUGAAUUGUAUUUGUGAGACUGCAUUGCUUCAAUCUCUUAUGGAUAUCGAUUAAAAUUAGUUAUCGGCUCUAUUAAAUUGGCAAUUUAAUAGAUUCAUUAAGUUAUCAAUAUUGUUCAAAGUUUAAUGUUUUAUUUAUCGUAACAAUAUUCUACCCAAUCCAGAUUCGACACGUUGGUUUGAGAUUCAAAUCAAUACGCUUACUACAAACCCUAAGCAAUCAAUGAUUGUUAAGCGAAAUUAAAAUAAUUAACGUGUUGAUCUUGGUUGAUUACAUGUUGUGCGUUCAGGAUAUUUAUUUUUUUGUUAUGGUUAAUUUGGUAACAAUAAUUGAAUCUUACUAUAACGAAAUAAAUAGAUCUUGUUCGUACGUCAUGGACCCAUGUAUUGGCUAAAUAGUCAAUCUAGUUAAGCUCAAACGAAUAGCGUGCGUGCAUAAACCCACUUAUGCAUUAAAUGAACUAGUAAUCUGUGUUGGAGUUAUUGAAGCCCGCUAGCCUUUAGACCAGGUGAAUAUAGAUUUAAUACAUAUUAUGAAAGUGAUUUAUCAAAACUGCAGGCCUUUAGACAUGUUUUAAUAAGUUAUUGUUUGUUUAAUGAAUGAAAGGAUAAUGUACGUAAGCUAUCUCUCUUUUAUACACAGUGUAUUGGCUAAAAUAGCCGAUACGGUCAUUCAUACCCAUAAGAUGCAAAGAACAAAUGUUCCAACCUAGUUCUGGAUGAUCGGCAGUUAGCCAAUUUGGCCUUUCAAGGAUUGCUGCCACAUCUCAAAGAUAAGUAUGCCUCUCAAGAAUUUGAAAGUUUAAGUCAUUUGAUGCAGAGGAUUUCUGAUCAAAAUGUCAAGGCUUUUGAACCUAGGAAGACUUGGAAUAAAAAGGUAUCAUUUAUUGAUGAGGCAGGAAGUUCUAAUUCUGAUGAAGAACCAGUCAUCGGCUUGGCAGAAUGGGUAAAAAAUAAGAAGCCGAUGUCUUGUCCUUUUGGCCAGAAAGAACUAGAGAAAUUUGCUUUUGAUAUCUGUUGGGUAUUUUAAACGCAAACAGAAAAAUCCGCAAGCGUACGGAUACCGAUGUAGCUUUCACCCGGGAGUAUUCCAGAGUAUCGAUUUUCCACAGAGAACGUGAGUGUACUAAUUAAGAUCCAAGAUCGCCCAAGGAUAACUAUAUAAUUAUUUUUGGUGGGAAGAGAGAAAGUUUCCUGAGAGUUCUCUAGUUGAUCUAAGAAUCAAGAAUUACUUCAAGAUUAUUUAUUUCAGGACAUCAUAGCACUAACCACAGAAAGAGAUGAGAAGGGGGCUAGGAAGGUCUGACUACGGUCCUACAAACACCGAUCCGAACGAGGUGGAAUACGUCGACCGUUAGGGCUGUCACUACCCUAAGGCUACCACAACAAUCCGCAGGAUUGGGUGCAAUUCCAGGUAAUUGCAAGACUAAACACCACGUCUAAUCUAUUAAUUACUACUCUAAUGUUGCAAAGAUUAGAGCACUUGAUGCAAGCGGGAAUCCAAUAAAUAACUUGAAUGUAAAUAAAAGUAAUUAAAGAACUCAGGAUUAUGAAUUGAAGAACCUGGAGAACGAUGAAGAACGAACCAGUUGCUGCAAAAGUACAAUGUUGAGGAAGAUCCGACAGAUCCGGCUCCUCCUCCGCUCUCCUCUUCUCUCUCCCUAUUUUCUAGAUUACAACUAGAACUAACUAGAACUAGAACUAGAGGAACUAGAACUAGAACUAGAUGAACUAGAACUAGAUCUAGAUGAACUAGAGGUAGAACUAGAAGAACUAGAGGGAUCCUCUCUACUUGGAUGAAGAAUUGAAACCCUAACUUUGAUUCUGUAGAAGAGGUAUGAUCUCCAGGGGCCAGGGGGGUCUGGUUUUAUAGUCCCUUCAAGUGAAUCUGGGCCGUCGGAUCAAACCGACAUUGAUCGUGUGGUUUUCCUUGAAGUAUUAGGUCGGUGGAGCAUGAUCCCCGAACUUCACCCUGAUUGGUCCAGGGGGAGGGCGGGCGCCCAGUAAGGGAGGGCGGGCGCCCAGUGCCCGGCUCCGUUACGUCUCCCGUUCGCUCCCGUGGCUUCUGGAGUCUUCUAGAUGAUAGAAAAUUACGCGGCACGUUAAUAUCUCUAUGUAAACCCGACGUGUGGGCCUUUCUUCCGUAUUUCCUGAUAACCCCCUGCAGAAAUAGACAAACACCAAAACUCGUGGAAUUCUAUCAGAUAAAACCCUAAGUCUAGGUGUUGGUUGCAUUUGGAUCCUUUUCCAUGAUUAGUUGAUGGUUAAAUGUGAGAAUUAAGGACCGUCAACAAGCUCCCCCAAGCUUAACCUUUGCUCGUCCCUGAGCAAAGCUAAAAUCAACAAGAAAAUAGAGGUUACUUUUAUGCCUCUUACUACAGUGUUUUUAAGUUAUCACUAAGGUCUUAAGUGAUUGAAAAAUAGAACGAUCAAGUCAAGCACUAUGUCUCAAGUUCUUCCGUCUUACCUUUGUUCUGGAGUUUUUUUUAUAAGUCUGCAAAAUAAAACUGAGGCAUUUGUCUUUUUCUCGAAAGAUUUAUAAGUAGAGCUUUAAAAGUUUUAGCAUACUUACUUUGCAUUUUGCUAUGUUAACGCUCGGAGUAAGGGAGAGGAAUGCCAUACUCCUAGAUCAAGACCUUUGACCUUUUUGAGAAGUUUGUCAUCUCUUAAUGGCAUAUUGCUUAUUAGAGGGACCAUGGGCUAUCAUUUUUUUUCUUUCUUCUUUUUUUUCAGUCUCUUUUUUUUUUCAAGUGGGCAGCAAGUUCCUCUAAUUCUACUGUCGGACACAUGUCCAUUUUUUCCACUCAGGUGGGUAUCUUUGUACCACUAAUUCUACUUCAGACACUUGUCCAUUUUUACCUCUCGUCUCACUCUCUUUUUUUUCGAGUCACAUUUUUGCAUAGUCCCAUGCCUCUAACGCAAUGAUACUUCGGAAGAGUGAAUCUUUUAUAUUUUUAAAACAAAAAGAUCUUGAUCUUGAGAGCAUGAUAAUUCUCUCAACCAAAGCUACAAGAAUUAACAAUGGCUUGAACAAAGAAAGUACCCACAGUUUUAAUAUUUAUUUCUUAUAAGACUCUAGGUAUUAUGAUAUAUAUAUAUAUAUAUAUUUUUUAUGAAUUUUUAGAUUUUGAAAAGAUAAAAUCUCCAGAACUCUAACAAAACUUGAAACAAGUUAAAUAGUAGCUCAGACCUUCUCAUAUCAUGUUUGUCAAUUACCUAGACUUGAACCAAACUCUCUUUUAUUUUAAAACUUAGGAUUACACAAAACUAUUGUAUAUUACUCAAAAGAAAAACUUUGUUUGGUUUCAUGGUUAUGCAUUUUUAUUUAUUUAUUUAAUUCCGAAUACUAGAAAAUAAAACCAAAGGAGGAAAAGUAAUACUUAUCUAGAUACACGUGGGGGUGCCUCCCCCAAGCUGGAUGUUGACAUAGUCGUUCACUCUUGUGGCCUGCAUGUUCGGUCUUACUCUUCUUAAGCUUCAAAAUCCUGCACAACCCAAAUAGACAACAAAACUCGUGGAACAUGUUAAGGGUUAGGUAAUUGUCUAGAGCUUAUGAGAGCUUAGAAUUCUAUAAACUCAAUCACAUCAAGCUCCUCUGCCAGGUUGUUUUGUGGCUCAAGAUAGAUUUUCAAGCGUAGACCAUUUACCUUAAAAGUGUUACCUAUGUCAUCUUGGAUGGUAAUAGCUCCAUGAGUUGAAGUGUCAAUAACCUUGUAUGGUCCAUCCCACUUACUUCGUAGCUUACCAUUACCAAAGAGCUUAACUCUUGAAUUGAAUAGUAGAACCUUAUCUCCAGGCUUAAACUCCUUGUGCUUGAUUCUCUUAUCAUGCCAUCGUUUUGUUCUCUCUUUAUAGAUCCUUGAAUUGUGGUAGGCUUUCUCUCUCCAUUCUUCUAGCUCAGAUAGUUGCAUCAGACGAUUCUCGCUAGCAAGGUGGUGAUCCAUGUUCCAUUUCUUGAGUGCCCAAUGAGCCUUAAACUCUACUUCCACAGGCAAAUGACAAGUUUUUCCAUAUACAAGUUGAUAAGGUGACAUGCCUAUGGGUGUUUUGAAUGCAGUUCUAUAUGCCCAAAGUGCAUCAGGAAGUUUGUCCUUCCACCCCUUACCCAUCUCAUCUACGGUCUUUUGUAAAAUAUUUUUGAUUUGUUUGUUAGAUGUUUUGGCUUGACCGCUAGUCUGAGGAUGGUAUGGUGUUGCGACGUUGUGUCGAACUCCAUGAUCGGCUAGGUACUUCCGGAAGAUUUUGUCGAUGAAGUGGGAACCUCCAUCGCUUAUAACUAUCCGGGGUAUACCAAAACGAGGAAAGAUAACUUCGUGGAACAUUCUCUUGGCAUGUUUUGAAUCAGCUGAUCGACAAGGUAGGGCUUCCACCCAUUUGGAUACGUAGUCCACAGCUACUAAGAUAUAUUCGCAAUUCCCGGACAUAGGGAAUGGCCCCAUGAAAUCAAUGCCCCAAACAUCGAAAAGUUCUACUUGAAGAUUAUUUGUGAGAGGCAUUUCAUUUCGUGAGUUAAUAUUCCCAUGUUUUUGACACCGGUGGCAUCUCCUGACAAAGUCCUUUGUAUCUUCAUACAUCGUUGGCCAGAAAAAACCACUUUGCCAAAUUUUAGCUUGUGUUCGAAAUGCUCCAUAGUGUCCUCCAUAUGGCGAGGUAUGGCAUCUUUCCAUAAUUUGAGUAGCCUCAGCCAUAGGAACACACCUUCUCAAGAGUCCAUCAGCGCAGACUCGGAAAAGAUAUGGCUCAUCCCAAAGGUGGAAACGACUAUCGUGAAGCAACUUCCUUUUGUUUACACCAGGUGGGACAUAGCCUUUUACUAUAAAGUUUACGAUGUCUGCGUACCAUGGAUCUGCAUGUGUUAUCUUAAGUAGGGUGUCAUCCCUUAGGUAGUCAUUUAUGGGAAGUUCAUCAUGUGUUUCCUUAUAUUGAAGCCUAGACAAGUGGUCGGCUACGGAAUUCUCAACUCCCUUCCUAUCUCGAAUUUCUAUGUCAAAGUCUUGGAGUAGAAUAAUCCAUCGAAUUAGACGAGGCUUAGCAUCUUUCUUAGUGAGGAGGUACUUGAGAGCAGCAUGGUCUGAAUAGAUGAUUAUCUUUGCCCCCACUAAGUAAGAUCUAAACUUGUCUAUAGCAAAGACAACAGCUAAAAGCUCUUUUUCAGUUGUAGUGUAAUUGAGCUGUGGUCCAGACAAGGUUUUGCUAGCGUAGGAUAUGACAUAGUGCUUUUUAUCCUUGGUUUGUCCUAAAACGGCACCAACCGCAAAAUCGGUAGCAUCACACAUGAUCUCAAAAGGAAGAUUCCAAUCAGGUGGUUGGAUAAUCGGGGCUGAGAUGAGUGCUUUCUUAAGAGUUUGAAAAGAUUUAUGACACUCAUCACUAAAGAUGAAAGAUGCGUCCUUAGCUAGGAGAUUAGUUAGGGGUCUAGCAAUUUGAGAGAAAUUCUUGAUAAAGCGUCUAUAAAACCCUGCAUGUCCCAAAAAGCUACGGAUUCCUUUCACAUUCGUGGGAGGUGGAAGUUUUUCAAUAACUUCAAUCUUUGCUUUGUCCACCUCUAUACCACGUCCGGACACUUUAUGUCCUAGCACUAUUCCUUCCUGAACCAUAAAAUGGCAUUUCUCCCAGUUUAGGAUUAAUUGUUUUUCUUCACAUCUCUGCAAGACUCUGUCUAAAUUCUCCAAACAAUGAUCGAAGGUUUUGCCAUAGACGGUAAAAUCAUCCAUGAAAACCUCCAUGAUCUUCUCAAUCAUGUCCGAGAAAAUAGACAUCAUGCACCGUUGGAAAGAAGCUGGAGCAUUGCACAAUCCGAACGACAUUCGUCGGUAUGCAUAAGUUCCAUAUGGACAUGUAAAGGUAGUCUUUUCUUGGUCAUCUGGGUGGAUUGGGAUUUGGUGAUAUCCAGAAUAACCAUCAAGGAAACAAAAGAAAGAGUGGUUUGCAAGCCGUUCCAACAUUUCAUCAAUGAAGGGUAACGGAAAGUGAUCUUUCUUUGUAGACUUGUUGAGUUUUCGAUAGUCAAUACACAUACGCCACCCAGUGACAAUUCAUUGAGGGAUGAGUUCAUUCUUCUCAUUCCUAACGACCGUCAUUCCUCCUUUCUUUGGCACUACUUGUACAGGGCUAACCCACUCACUAUGUGGCACAGGAUAAAUAAUCCCAGCAUGAUAGAGUUUGAGGACCUCUUUCUUAACAACCUCUCGCAUAGCAUUGUUAAGUCUCCGCUGUGGUUCCCUUAAAGGUGUAAAAUUAGGAUCAAUAGGGAUACGAUGAGUGCAGAGAAUGGGACUAAUGCCCGUGAGAUCCUCGAGAGAAUAGCCAAAAGCUGAUCUAUGUCUUUCAAGAACAGUGACAAGUUGUUGUGUUUCAUAAUCGGAAAGCUUGUCACUGAUAAUUACUGGAGUUUUUGGGUUAUUGUGCAAGAAGACAUAUCUAAGGCCAGAAGGAAGAGGUUUUAAUUCUAUCGAAGGAGGUAAAGGUUGUUCAUUUUUGUCUAGCUCAACGGGUUCUACCAACUCUUCUUCUUCUUGAACAAAGUGUUCAUGAUUAAAGAAUGGUUGGGCCAUCUCCUCUUGAGUCAACAUUAAGAUCUCCUCAAUAGGAUCUGGUACAAGUUUGGGUUCCACUAUCGUGUUAAUUGAUCUAGUAAGAGGAACAAUAAUAGUAGAAUUCCCAACCUUGAAGUCUAAAUGACCUCGUUGUGGUUGUUCUUGUAGAAGUUUCAUGAUUGGUCUACCAAUCAAGAGAGGAAUCUCCGGUAUGUCAUAAAUGUGAAAAUCUAGACAUAUUCCAGAGUCCUUGAUUCUAAUAGGAACUGCCCUUAAUACCCCAUGGCUUUCUAGAAUUAAUCUAGAUGGACUUUGUAAAAGUUUUUGAGAUGGGGUUAUGGACUCGUUGGGAUAAAGAGUGUCAGCUAACUCCUUGGAAAUAACAUUUAUCCCAACAUAUGGAUUGUAGUGGACCUUCCUAGCGGACCUUCUAAUUUGGCAUAGAAGAAUGGUUGAAGGAGUGAUGAUUCGAGCUACCUCAGGAGACAGCUCAGCUUCUGUUAGCCAUUCAUAACUUAGAAUAGCCGAAAGGCUUUUGAUGUGUUCUAUGUCAACAGAUUCUACUCUUAGAACGGAUUGAGUGGUCCUUGCUAGAGGUCGUGUUUGGAUAGGAAAAUUCGAGGUGUUUCCAAAAUCUUCAAAAAGAUCUUCCUCGAAUUCAAAGGGAUGCUCUAAAGGUGGUGGUUCAUCAUCCCUUAGUUGGUUUUGCAUUCCUUUAUCAGGAGGUUUUUCUACAACCAAAUUAAUGGAUGGGUCAGGUGAAAUUUCUAACUCGGUUGCAAGUUCCUCAUCUUUUGGUUUAGGAUCAGGCUCGACUUCUUUUUCUCCUUCAGGAAACUCAUCAUAAAUGCCUGUGUAAGGGGUAUUUUCAAGAAUUUUUUCUAGGAUAGCUCUACCCUCAUCUGUGAGUUUGUGUGUGAAUGAGCCUCCUGAAGCAAUGUUGAGGUGAAGAGCAGCUUCCUUGUUUAGACCACGAUAAAAGUGGUAGUACAGUACAUGGUCAGGCAGGGAAAGGUUUGGACCGAAAUUGGUAAGGCUUGUGAACCUAGCCCAAGCUGCUCCUAAAGUUUCCUUCUCUCUUUGUUUGAAUGUAAGAAUUUCAAUUCUAAGGUCAGCAAUUCGAAAAAGUGGGAAGAAAGCGAGACAAAAGUUGUCUCGAAGUUCAUCCCAACUUCCAUUAACACCUCCUACAGAAUGAGUAUACCACUUUUUUGCUCUUCCCAAAAGGGAGAACGGAAAUAAUUUCCAUUUAAGGGUUUCUUGUGUCAUGCCGGAAAUAGAUCGGCAAGAGCACAACUGCUCAAAUUCUCUAAGAUGGGUGUAUGGAUCUUCAUCUACUUGCCCAAAGAAGGGUUGCUCCUGAAUCAUGGCUGAGGUCAUAGCCAUCUGUAAGAAUUGGAUGUGAUGAUGGUGGUGGCUCUAAUAACUCGUCCUUUGGAGCAAAGAAUUUAUAGAUAGGAGUGAAAUCCAUGUGGUGUGGUGAAAAUGGUAAGGUGAGUGUGGUAAAAGCGAAAAGAAAAAGGAUACACGGACGACUUGGUUCGAAACUAGCACAGCUACCGUUCCCCAGCAACGGCGCCAGAAAGCUUGUUGGGUAUUUUAAACGCAAACAGAAAAAUCCGCAAGCGCACGGAUACCGAUGUAGCUUUCACCCGGGAGUAUUCCAGAGUAUCGAUUUUCCACAGAGAACGUGAGUGUACUAAUUAAGAUCCAAGAUCGCCCAAGGAUAACUAUAUAAUUAUUUUUGGUGGGAAGAGAGGAAGUUUCCUGAGAGUUCUCUAGUUGAUCUAAGAAUCAAGAAUUACUUCAAGCUUAUUUAUUUCGGGACAUCAGAGCACUAACCACAGAAAGAGAUGAGAAGGGGGCUAGGAAGGUCUGACUACGCUCCUACAAACACCGAUCCGAACGAGGUGGAAUACGUCGACCGUUAGGGCUGUCACUACCCUAAGGCUACCACAACAAUCCGCAGGAUUGGGUGCAAUUCCAGGUAAUUGCAAGACUAAACACCACGUCUAAUCUAUUAAUUACUACUCUAAUGUUGCAAAGAUUAGAGCACUUGAUGCAAGCGGGAAUCCAAUAAAUAACUUGAAUGUAAAUAAAAGUAAUUAAAGAACUCAGGAUUAUGAAUUGAAGAACCUGGAGAACGAUGAAGAACGAACCAGUUGCUGCAAAAGUACAUUGUUGAGGAAGAUCCGACAGAUCCAGCUCCUCCUCCGCUCUCCUCUUCUCUCUCCCUAUUUUCUAGAUUACAACUAGAACUAACUAGAACUAGAACUUGAGGAACUAGAACUAGAACUAGAUGAACUAGAACUAGAUCUAGAUGAACUAGAGGUAGAACUAGAAGAACUAGAGGGAUCCUCUCUACUUGGAUGAAGAAUUGAAACCCUAACUUUGAUUCUGUAGAAGAGGUAUGAUCUCCAGGGGCCAGGGGGGUCUGGUUUUAUAGUCCCUUCAAGUGAAUCUGGGCCGUCGGAUCAAACCGACAUUGAUCGUGUGGUUUUCCUUGAAGUAUUAGGUCGGUGGAGCAUGAUCCCUGAACUUCACCCUGAUUGGUCCAGGGGGGAGGGCGGGCGCCCAGUAGGGGAGGGCGGGCGCCCAGUGCCCGGCUCCGUUACGUCUCCCGUUCAUUCCCGUGGCUUCUGGAGUCUUCUAGAUGAUAGAAAAUUGCGCGGCACGUUAAUAUCUCUAUGUAAACCCGACGUGGGGGCCUUUCUUCCGUAUUUCCUGAUAACCCCCUGCAGAAAUAGACAAACACCAAAACUCGUGGAAUUCUAUCAGAUAAAACCCUAAGUCUAGGUGUUGGUUGCAUUUGGAUCCUUUUCCAUGAUUAGUUGAUGGUUAAAUGUGAGAAUUAAGGACCGUCAACAAUAUCACCAAAGCCAAUAGGAUAUUUGAUUUCUUGCUUCAGGAGGGGCCAAUUAAAUUGUCACCUAAUCAUGUAAUCCCAUCGGUAGAAGAAUUGAAAAAGAUUAAGUAUUGAAAAUGGCAUAAUGCGACUUCACAUAGUACAAAUGAAUGCAAAGUGUUUAGGUUGCAAUUGCAAUCGGCUAUAGAGUCUAGGAGAAUUAAGUUUGAUAAUUCCAAAACUAAGAGGCUGAUGAAAAUUGAUCAGCACCCUUUCCCCACUAACAUGUUAGACGCUAAGGGUAAGACUAAGGUCUUGACGUCAGAAACGGCUGAGAAGAAUGCAUCAAUAGAUCCCUAGCAUCAGAUAACUACUAAUGGCGCCAAAGGGAGAGGUUUGUUGAAGGAAGGUGAGAGUUCUGGACGGCCUCCCCAAUCUGGUGUAGUAAUCACUCAUAGACGACAACGGGAGAAUUGGCAACAGCGUGAGGAUCGGUAUCGACAUCAGCAGGAGGACCGACGUCAGGAGGAAGAGAGGCGUCGACAAGAGUGGAAUCGGCAUAGGGAUCAUUGAGAUUGUCCAUUUUUUGUACAUUGCUGGGAACAGGGUAUUAAACUACCAACUGUUCAAGAUUGUCCUGAGUGCAAUGGUUAUCGACAGCAUGAUCUAUCAAAUGAGAGAUUCCAAACCGAUAAUCAGUGUCUUGAUGGGUCAAUCAGGAGAAGAACAUCAGUACAUGAUCGGCUGGGGGCAGGCUUAACGUGCAUGACAGGCUUGGUGGACGUGUCGAUCAUUUUCUGAGGAAUGAGGAAGAACUUGAAAAGAUAGCAAACGCACGGGUUCCCGAUGAAUUCAUAUUUUGCAGAGAUUCUAACAUUCACCAUGUAGAGUUAAAGGAGGUUCGCUAUUAGUCGGUUUGGAAGACAAAGCUUCCCCGAUGGUGUCCAGAAGGAUUAAUAAGGACGCAGAGGAGGAGGAUGUAGCGGGAACGUUAUGAAGAUUUCUAUAGAGUGGAAAAUUCUGCUAAGUCUGAAGAUUGGCAGCAGUUGGACCGCAAGGGAAAGGACCAUCGGCAGAUGUCAACAUGGUGUUCAUAUUGCCAAUGGAGUUUCUUGCACCCUCUAGUGAUGAUGAGGAAAUUAGUCUCCUAGAUCAAAUAGCUCUGUUGGCACUUGAUCCAAUAACAACUAUUUUUGAGAAACCCUCCGAUGAUGAAAGGCAGCAUCUUAAAGCUUUGUUCGUUAAAGGCAGGGUUGAUGGAUAGCCGGUCUCUAAGAUACUUAUUGAUGGUGGAGUUGCAAUUAAUAUUAUGCCAUAUGUGAUGUAUCGGAAGCUUGGGAAAGGAGAUCAGGAUUUAACCAAGACCGAUCGGCAGCUGAAAGAUUUUGAAGGUAAUGUGUCUCCAGCUAAAGGGGUUGUAUGCGUUGAGUUGACCAUCGGCAGUAAGACCUUGCUGACAACUUUCUUUGUUAUUAACAGAUAAAAUUGAAGUUGUUCCUGGGGAUUCUUCAUACAUCAUUGCAUCGGCAGAAUCAGAUACUUAUGAGUGAACCAGGUGCAUAUCGAGAGAGGCUUGGGAGAAAGAUUUCCUCAAAGUUGCUGAUUACGAGAUUCCACCGAUCCAAACAGUCGGUUCUGAUGAGGAGUUUUAAUGGAUAGGUUCGCCGAUGAUGGAAAGUUAGGAUAGGGGUUUACAUCGGCUGAUGAUUUAGUAGAAGUAGACAUAGGUAGUGGUGACAGGCCAAGGCCUACUUUCAUUAGUGCUAGGUUAGAUUCUGUUGAUGCAAAAGCUGAUCUGCAAACACAAAUGGCUAAUACCCGAUUUAAACGUUAAGGCGUGCCAGCCGAUUUGACCUUACUAUCGGCAAAGGUGGUAACUCGAAUACUUUGGUCCUAACAACAGCGAUGCGCCUGGAUGUCACGGCCAAGACGUAUUCACACGGAACUUGAGAACACACCGAGCUUAAGUCGACGAAUUCCUAAGAACUCGUAAUGAAAAGAAAAAGUAUGACGAAGUCAUCGAAAAAGUAGAUGCUUGGAAUAUGAGUAAAACGUGUGUUUGAUUGAUUGAUAGAUCCCGAUUACAAAGCCCUAGGGUCCAUAUUUAUACCCUGCUCAAAGAGCUACAACCAGACACGACUAGAACUCGAAUUCCAAAUUACACAGAACCCGUAUACAAAACGACUUGAAUAACUAAGGAAAACAUAAAACUAUCCCCCCGUGACAGACUGGAACACCUCCACAAACCGAUCGGCAACUUCCAGACUCUCCCUCCAUAUCAUCGGCAAACUCCCUUGUCGUAGCCAUCGGCACAAACACAUCAUCACCUAUGGACUUGGUCAUGUUCAACCACUCCUCCAUCGGCAACCAUCCUCAUCGGCAACUCAUCCUGAUAGAUCAAACACUGCCGUCUUAUCUUACCGACCUACACUUUACCAAUCAUGGACACGUGCCCAAAAACGGUGUCAACACAUGCCCCCCAAUUUCGGAGUAUGAAAUCAUUAAUGCUCCGAAAUUCUCUGCAGUAAUGAUGCCUUUCCGCAAUUAAUGCUCCCAAUCUGGUAACCGACAGCCUUAAUCUGAACAACUCUGAUUUGAUUCUUCCGCAGAUUCCUCGAAAUCCUCAACUUCCCAAACGGACAUUUCCAUUUUAGUCACGCAUCGGCAAUAUUACUGUUACAAGGACUUGCCGAUGGACUGAUCAGGACGUCCAUAUCUUAUCCUUCCAAACGGCUAUCUCCACUUUAUUCGCCCAUCGACAAUAUGACCGUUACAAGGCGCUGCCGAUGGACCGACCAGGAGAUCCCGCCCGCACAGUAAAAUAUCUCUGGAUAAUGACCCCUUCCUGUCAAAUCACCUGCACAAUCCCUUGAUUACCAUGCGAACAGUUACCAUAUCUACCUGAGUACCCUCGGAUUUCACGGAUACGGCGAAGAGAUAAGUCAAAUUUGCCCUUGCCCGUUUUGUCCUAUAAAUAGUUCCUUCUCGGGUACUCCUUCUCCAUCACAUCAUUCCACAACUCCAACUCUACUUUCCCGGCGGCGGCGCUGUUCAAGAGCUCCAAGAUCUUCGACGAAGUCCCUUCUUCACCAACUCUGAAGCCCUCGAUCAUCCUCCUCGUGACAAGAUGGCCGUGAACUUCAUCGUUCAUGAGGUCAGUUCUUCACUCCAUCUCCUCGUGACAAGAUGGCCGUGAACUUCUCUUGUACUUUUUCUCGCACCCCUGUUCAUCCGCAAUCCGUUUUACUGAACAUUUUCUUUUUCUUUCUUUGUUUUUCUUUUACCUCCAAAACCAUUAGGAUUUGUCCAAUAAAAUUGUCAUCCCCACCGAUCAACCACACCUCCAAUGCCUUGGCCCGUUAGGGGAUCCAGAUCCAACCGACCUCAUUAACGCAGAAACCAACAGAAUCCCUUUUAGAGCCGAGAACUUUUCUUUGGAUCUGUGGAAGGAUACUUUCUGUUCUUGGCCCAGUCCUACUGUGGGAUGGACGGAUUGGUUUUUGAUGGUCAGCAACUCAAACGAAGUUCAGUGGGGCGAGAGAAAACUAGACCAAUGCAUCAGGUUGUCCAUUGCCGAUAUGCAUAGAAAUGAAUCAUUGCUGAUAGCUGCAUCAUACUUCUGGUCAGACACGCUCAACGCCUUUGUCUUUGGCCACGGUCCUGCUUCCCCUACUCUUGCCGAUGUAGCUAUGCUCACUGGCCUAGAUGUAUCUUCUGCCGAUAGCACCCACUAGUGCCAAGGUAGAAACUCGUUCCAUCGGCGGUUGGUCAGGGUAUAUUCAGAAAUAUAAACGAACUGGCCCUGUCAACAUAAAGGAGCAGACCUGCUUUCUGAACAUGUGGUUGGACAAAUUCGUGUUUUGUGGCCGAUCGGCAGGACCAACCUCCGUCUAUCUAGCAGCAGCAGAAAACUUAGCUAAUGGUGGCUGAUUUCCCCUCGGCCGAUACCUGGUUGGUGCAGCCUAACACCUCCUUCAUCAAGUGACUAGGAAACUCUUACUCGGCCAGUCUAUCGGCAACUUGGGAGGUCCCUGGUGGUUCAUCAACAUGUGGCUCAGUCUCCACAUGCACAAGCGUCUUGAAUUUGACCUUUUUGCACAACGUUUUCCAAGGGACAUAGCCGAGAACUAUAAACUAGAUGAAGAAGAAUCGGCAACACGCCCUCCCCUAAACUUUGGUGAAGCUGUCAUAGUUUUACCUGGUACAGGGGGUAAUGCAGACCAGGUCAGCCGAUUCUUCCAAACCUUGUAUGAAGGCUUGACCAGAGCGGAGCGAGCAUGAUUGGCUUAUGACGAUCCAAACACCAUGUUUCCUCUGGUUUUCAACCCGUUCAAUGAUGCUCUUGACACGGAUCACGAAGUGAAGAUGGCACUGGUCACUCCCAGAGCUAUACCAGUGAAUUUCUUUGGUAGUGGGAAAACCUCCAUCCAGACCUAUGAGUUUUAUAACCCAUCGACAUUAGCUCGUCAAUUAGCUUUCGGCCAGCUGCCGAUUGCACUCUAUUAUGCUGAUGUGAUAAAACCCAGGGAAACCAUCACUAGCCUUCUUGAAUGGAUUCGAGUGGCCCAACUGCCAUCAAGUGCCGAUACAGAUGUAGACCUGUCAGAAUGGGUUCCAGCCGCCUUCAUCACUCACGCAUACAAGCAAUGGUGGGCAGAAUGGAAGGAACAUCUGUUCUGCAGAUUGGCUCUUAUGUAUCGCGGCAUGAUCGACCCCGAGUACAAAGUUCUUGAUGACACUGUAAGUAUCUUCGAACCGAUGUUUCAAUUUUCUCAUUUUUAUUUCCAUCGGCGAUUUACCUUUGUAUCAUCUUGCAGGUUGACAACACCCCUCCAUCGGUCAGCAGGAGUGGCAAACCGAUUGACCUGUUUCCAUCAGGCCCAAUCUCCUCAAUCGGCAACAACGCUCCUACCCUGGCCGCCAUCAUGCAUCGAUGUGUACACCUCAAGAAAGUCACCACUAGGAGGACUCAGAUAUCUCCAUCGGUAGCUGCUUCCACCUUGGCACAGGUGUUCAAGGUAAUUGUUAAACCUUUUCAUUCAUACCGAUUCGUAUUUUACAUCUGCCACACUUGUACUCAUAAACCUUUUCCAUAUCAGCAGACCGGCGCAUCAGCAAACGCCAGAAGCAAAAGUGCCGAUGCCCCCCAGUCCAGUCAACCGAAGAGAAAGGGUGCCAAGAACACCAGGGCACAAGCAAAGCGCCAAAGAGUAGCAACGCCUCCUCCUCCCCCGGUAUCUCCAAUCCCGGUGGAAUCUUCUCCUUCUGCUCCAGAAGCCCAGAUGCAACAAGUACCGUCUCCCCCUCCAAUGCAAGAAGCACCACAAGUGGAAGAACCCCAACCAGAAGAGCCUCAAUUAGAAGCACCCCAGCCAGAAGAUACACCAACCGAUGUAGGCGAGCAAACUACCGAUCCGGCAGGUUCAAUCAUAUCAUCCGUAGUUUCUUCAAUCUAGACAAGCACUGUCCCUCCUCAAGGUAACAUAUUUUUAUGAGAUUAUUGCCGAUGAACCCAUCUCUUCUGUUUUACAAUUAUUUCCGUUAUUCUUUCAGCUGACAUAGUCCAACCGGCCGUCUCAGCCGAUCAUCCUGUUAUUCCAUCGGCAUCUUCCAGUGAAAGGCAGGAGAUCGCCUUAAAGCAAGUAAGUUAUCCAACCCCUGUUUGCAUCAUUUAUCAAUACCUGGCCAUAGAAUAACCCGUUUUAUUUCCUUUUUAGGAGCAGGACUCUCCUGACAGCUUAUUCUCUUUCGCCAUCGACAUCUCCGAAGAUGAGGGUGAAGAAGCAAGCUCUUCUCGGGCAGUUGUGAUCACAUCGGCAGAAGUCAGGGCAAAGCUGGAAGAAUUAUCGGCUCUCCUCCACCAAGACACAGCCCAGCUAGUCGAUGAUUCCAAUCCAGCCAAGGCUUUAUUCAAGACUCUGAGAGGCCACAUCCCCGCCGAUGCCGAAGAAGUUCUCUUUCAAGCAGCAUACCUGGAGAGCCGUCAACUGCAGUACCAGAGGGCGGCCCAGCGCCUUGCCGACAGAGCCGCUCAGACUCGUCUUUCUGAGGAGAUGAUGAAGGAAAAACUUCUUACCGAUGAAAAGCAUAAGACCAUCGGCACCCUAAAGUCCUCGGGAGAUGCUCUGAAGCACAAAAUUUUCGAUCUGUCGGCAAAAAGGGAAGCUCUGUUGGCAGAACAUAAACAAGUAGAGGAUGCCCUGUCCCAAGCCAGACAGGAAGAAAGCCAACUACCAGAGACAAUCAAGCUUCUUGAGUAAGAGCGAAAUGUCCAUGGUCGCAAAGCACUGUAGUUGAAGAAGAAGUUGAAACCAGUAGAAGGUUCUGCCGAUGAAGACGCCAAAGAGAUAGAAGCAGCCAAUCAAAUCCGCAUGCGUGCUAUAUCGGCCAUCCAAGCGCUGCUAAACAUGUGAGCCCUUCAUCGGCAACAUACUCACCUUUCUCUGCUUUCCAGCUUUCUUGAUGUUUAGUCUAGCCGAUAGGACUAUUAUCGGCAUCUUUUGAAACAUUGAGUCCUGCCCCAAACAUAUUUCAAUCCAGCCGAUAGGAGUGUUAUCGGCAUUUAAACUUUUAUGCAUCGAUCCAUAUGCUGGGGUGGUAUUUCUUUAGAUAUUUGCCAUUUAAUGCUCUGGGAAAUUCAACUCCUUCGAGAGUUUCUAAAAUGUAGGCAUUACCAGGAGCCGAUCGACUUAUCCGAUAGGGACCCUCCCAAUUGGGAGACCACUUCCCAAACUUUGGACUUUUUGUCCCAAUCGGUAAGAUUAAUUUCCACACUAAGUCCCCAUCGGCAAACUCCUUAGCUUUUACCUUCUUAUCAUACCAUCUGGCAACUCUUUUCUUAUUCUCUUCUAUACUCAUCAAAGCCCUCAGCCGAUGCCAUGCUAGAUCUUCCAACUCGUCUGUCAUCAAAGUAGCAUAAUCAUCGGCAGCCAAUUGAUCUUGAAAAGAUAAUCGCCUAGACCCAGCCUUAAUUUCCCAAGGUAAUACUGCAUCAUGCCCAUACACCAAUUGAUAGGGUGAAACCUUGGUCGAUCCAUGACAACCAUCCGGUAUGACCAUAAAGCCUCGUUUAACAACGUGUGCCACCUUCUAGGAUUUUCUUCAAUCUUCCGUUUAAUAAGCUUAAUAAUUCCUUUGUUAGACGCCUCGGCCUGCCCAUUAGCUUGAGCAUAGUAAGGAGAAGAAUUUAAAACCUUAAUCCCCAGGCCGAUUGCGAAUACAUCAAACUCCCCUGAUGUAAACAUAGUGCCCUGAUCGGUAGUAAUUGUUUGACGAAUCCCAAAUCGGUAAAUAAUAUGCUCUUUCACAAAAUCAAUCAUAUUGGCCGAUGUGACUUUCUUCAAAGGAAUAGCUUCAACCCAUUUGGUGAAAUAAUCGGUGGCAACUAGAAUAAACUUAUGCCCUUUGCUAGAUGGUGGAUAAAUCUGGCCGAUCAAAUCAAUAGCCCAUCCUCGGAACGGACAAGGCUUUAUAAUAGGAUUCAUAGCCGAUGCAGGCGCCCUUUGAACAUUACCAAACUUUUGACACCCUUGACACCCUUUGAAAUACUUAAAGCAAUCCUCAAGUAUAGUCGGCCAAUAAUAUCCAUUUCUCCUAAUCAUGCACUUCAUCGUGAAAGCCGACUGAUGUGCUCCACAUACCCCUUCAUGGAUUUCUCCCAUCAAACUUCUAGCUUUAUCAUCACCUAAGCAUCGGAGAAGAAUCCCAUCAAUAGUUCGGUAAUACAAUUCAUCUCUGAGGAGCACAUACUUGGUAGCUUGAAACCGAACCCGCCUUUCAACUUUCUUAGACGGAUCCUUCAAAUAAUCAAUGAUUUCUUUUCUCCAAUCAUCGGCACCAAUUGCCGAUAUCGUACUAAUCAUAGGCUGAUAUCCCGAGGCAUGCUGAGCCAACCGAUUGGCCUCUUCAUUAUGCAAUCGAGGAACAUACUCUAAUCGGAAGUCUUUGAAUUUCUUUAACAGUUGCAUACUCCUUUCGUAAUAAGUUAUGAGAACUUCACUUCGGCAUUCAUAGCUUCCAGCCAAUUGAUUUAUAACUAGCACAGAAUCCCCGAAGACCUCAACAGCAUCAGCAUGAACUUCUCUUAACAACUCCAAUCCCUUUAUUAAAGCUUGAUACUCAGCCUGAUUAUUCGUCGAUGUGGCAACAAUUGGCAAGGAAAACUCAUACUUCCUUCCCCGAGGGGAAAUUAAUACUAUGUCGAUUCCUGCCCCCCGGUCACAUGUGGAUCCAUCAAAGAAGAGCGUCCAAGGUACAAUUCCCAAAGUUUCCACUGCACCACAAUGUUGUGUUACAAAAUCAGCCAUAAUCUGACCCUUAACUGCCUUAGUCGAUUUGUAACGCAGAUCGAAUUCCGACAGCGCCAAAAUCCAUUUACCGAUCCUGCCACUCAUAAUUGGCAUAGACAGCAUAUACCGGACCACAUCAUCUUUGCAAAUAACAGUGCAUUCGGCCGAUAGCAAGUAGUGCCUCAACUUGAUACAAGAGAAAUACAAGCACAAGCAUAGUUUCUCAAUAGUCGAAUACCUAGUCUCAGCGUCAAUCAACCACCUGCUUAAGUAAUAAAUUACACGCUCUUUCCCUUCAAAUUCUUGAAUUAAAGCCGAACCGAUGACCAUCCCAUUGGGAGAUAAAUACAAUCUGAAGGGCUUCCCUUGCUGAGGUGGGAUUAGAACUGGAGGAUUUACUAAAUAAUUCUUGAUUUCAUCCAGAGCCAACUGUUGUUCUUUCCCCCAAACAAAUUCUUGAUCGGCUUUUAGCUUAAGAAGAGGACUGAAAGCAAGAAUUUUACCAGACAAAUUAGAUAUAAACCUCCUGAUAAAAUUUACCUUGCCGAUCAAGGACUGGAGCUCAGUCUUAUUGGUAGGGGCAACUAUUUUGUUGAUGGCUUCAACAGAUCUUCGACUGAUUUCAAUCCCCCUUUGAUGCACCAUGAAACCGAGAAACUGUCUUGCCGAUACACCAAAUGCACACUUAUUGGGAUUCAUUUUCAAACCAUGCUUCCUCGUACAUUCUAACACUUUUCGUAGAUCGGCAAGAUGCUUUGUGAAGUCUCUAGAUUUUACCACCACAUCAUCAAUAUAAAUCUCCACCAGCUUGCCGAUGAACUCAUGAAAUAUAAAAUUCAUGGCCCUUUGAUAAGUAGCACAAGCAUUCUUGAAGCCGAAGGUCAUGACUAUCCACUCAAACAAUCCAACAUGACCAGGGCACCUGAACGCGGUCUUCGGAAUAUCCUCUUCAGCCAUGAAUAUUUGGUUGUAUCUUGCAUUGCCAUCCAUAAAACUAAUAAUCCGAUGUCCAGCCACAGCAUCAACUAGCAGAUCGGCAACUGGCAUUGGGUAUCCAUCCAUCGGUGUAGCUUUGUUGAGAUUCGUGAAAUCAUUGCAAACCCAAACCUUCCCGUUCUUCUUGUAGACCGGAACAACAUUGGAAAUCCAUUCGGCAUACCGACACUGCCGAAUAAACUUGGCUUCAAUAAGUUUAGUUAUUUCGGCCUUGAUAUUAGGAAGAAUAUUAGGAUUACAUCGGCGAGCUAGCUGCUGAUAUGGCCGAAAUCCAGACUUGAUAGGCAACCGAUGUUCAACAAUCGAUCGGUCCAAACCAGGCAUCUCAGUAUAAUCCCAAGCAAAGCAAUCUUUAUAUUCCAUUAACAAAUCAGUCAAUUGCUGCUUACACUCAGGACUUAACUUAGCACUAAUAAAAGUAGGUCUAGGUUUAUCACCACUACCUAUAUCUACUUCUACCAAAUCAUCGGCCGAUGUGAACCCCUGGCCUAAUUUUCCAUAAUCGGCGAACCUAUCCAUUAAAAACCAUCUUCAAAACCGACUGCUUGGAUCGGUGGAAUUUCAUAAUCGGCAACCUUGAGAAAAUCUUUUUCCCAAGCUUCUCCUGAAAUACACCUAGUUCUUUCAUAGGUGUCUGCCUCUGCCGACGCGAUGACAUAAGAAGAGUCUCCUGGGACAAUUUCAAUCUUAUCACCUACCCACUGGACCAAGCAUUGGUGCAUUGUAGACGGGAUGCAACAAUUGACAUGAAUCCAAUCUCUUCCCAACAGUAAGUUGUAAGCACCCUUUCCACUGAUCACGAAGAAAGUUGUCGGCAAGGUUUUACUGCCGAUGGUCAACUCUACGCAUAUGGCUCCUUUAACUGGGGUUACAUUGCCCUCGAAGUGCUUGAGCAUCAUAUCGGUCUUGGUCAGGUCCUGAUCUCCUUUUCCAAGCUUCCGAUACACUGCAUACGGCAUGAUGUUGAUAGCAGCCCCACCAUCAAUUAGAAUCUUGGUCAUCGGCUGCCCGUCAACCCUUCCUUUGACAAACAGAGCCUUGAGAUGUUGCCUUUCAUCAUCGGCAGGCUUCUCGAAGAUAGCUGUCAUCGGAUCCAGAGCCAAUUGAGCUAGUUGGUCGGAGAAUUCUACCUCAUCAUCACUGGAUGGCGCGAGGAACUCCAUCGGCAACAUAAAGACCAUGUUGACAUCUGCCGAUGGACCUUUCCCCUUAGGAUCUGGUUGUUGCUGAUCCCCAGACUGUCCAGAGUUCUCCCCCUUGCUCAACUCUUCUCGCCUUUCGCGCUGCAGUCUUCUCUUCUGAGUCCUGGUCAACCCCUCUAGACACCAUGGAGGAAGUUUCCGCUGCCUUACCGAUGGGCGGCGAUUUUCUCCUGACUCCAUUCGGUAAGUAUUGGCAUCUCGGCAGAAGAUGAACUCAUCGGGAACCGGUGCAUUAGCCAUCUCUUCGAGUUCUUCCUGGUUCCUAGGAAAAUAUUCAACACGAUCCCCAAGCCUGUCGUGCACACUGAGCCUGCCCCCCAGCCGAUCAUGAACGGAUGCUCUCCCCCUAAUCGGCCCAUCAAAUCAUCGAUCAUUAUCACGAUAGUACCGAUCGGACCUGUCAUAGCGCUCAUAACCGUUGCACUCGGGACAAUCUCUGACAGUGGGGAGUUUGAUAUUUUCCUCCAACAAUGAAUGAAGAACGGGCAAUUCUAGUGGUCCCUAUGCCGAUUCCACUCCUGUCGGCGUCUUUCCUCUUCCCGACGAUAAUCCUCUUGCUGGCGCCGAUACCGAUCUACACGUUGCUGCCAAGUCUCCCGGGGCCUCCUGUGAGUUAUCACAAUGCCGGAUCGGGGAGGCCUUCCUGAGUUAGCUCCCUCCUGGAUCAAGCCUUUCCCUUUCACAUCGGCAGUAGUGAUUUGAUGCUGAGGAUCCACCGAUGCACUUCUUUCAGCUGCUUCUGACGUUAAGACCUUGGCCUUUCCCCUCGCAUCCAGCAUGUUUGUCGGGAAAGGAUGUUGGUCAAUCUUCAUCGGCUUCUGGGUCUUGGAGCUGUCAAAUUUGAUCCUUCCAGAUUCUAUAGCCGAUUGCAGUUGCUGUCUGAAGACCUUGCACUCAUUAGUGUCGUGAGAAGUCGCAUUGUGCCACUUACAAUAUUUCAUCCUCUUUAAUUCUUCAGCCGAUGGGAUCACAUGAUUAGGUGACAGCUUGAUCUGACCUUCCUGGAGUAGAAAGUCAAAUAUCCUAUCGGCCUUAGUGGUGUCGAAUGCGAACUUUUCUGGUUCCUUGUGCCCAAAAGGGCAAGACAUCGGCUUCUUAUUUUUUACCCAUUCUGCCAAGCCAAUCACUGGUUCUUCAUCAGAGUCCGAGCUUGUUGCUUCAUCAACGAAUGACACCUUUUUGUUCCAUGCUCUCUUGGGCUCGAAAGGCUUGAUAUCUUGAUCAAAAAUUCUCUGCACCAAAUGACUUAAGCUUUCAAACUCCUGAGACGCAUAUUUGUCCCUGAUGUGUGGCAACAAACCCUAGAAAGCCAAAUCGGCUAGUUGCCGAUCAUCCAGAACCAGGCUAUAGCAUUUGUUCUUGACUUUCAGUAUUCUCUGCACAAAACUUUCAACCGAUUCAUCAUUGUGUUGCCCCAAUUUAACCAAAUCGGUGAUCUUCUUCUCAUGGACCCCAGAAAAGAAGUACUUGUGCAAUUGUUUAUCCAGAUCGGCCCAGGUAAUCACUGAGUUGGGAGGUAAUGAUAUAAACCAAGUGAAAGCCGAUCCAUACAAUGAUGAUAAGAAUAAACGGACCCUUAACUCAUCCCUGUUACCAGCUUCCCCGCAUUGGAUGAUGAACCUGUUGACGUGCUCCAUGGUUGACGUGUCAUCCUGCCCAGAAAACUUACUAAAAUCCGGUACCUUGUACCGAUUCGGAAGCGGGAUCAAAUCAUAUGUGGGAGGAUACGGUGUCCGAUAAGAGUAAGUGUUGACUUUGGGUUUUAUCCCAAAUUGGUCCCUCAUCACUUCAGCGAUCUUAUCGGCCCAAUAAGCAUCGGCAUCUUGCCGACGAGGCGGUUGCGGAUCGGGCGCCUGCUGGUAGGCUUCCACGUGUCGAUGCAGCGCACGAUCUGCAUGGAACAUCGAAGUAAUCAUCUGGCCCCCAAUCUGUGGACCACCAAGCUGUUGCCUGCCAAUCUGUUGUCCGCUGACCUGGUGCCCAAGAUUUAUUGGCUGGUUGGGAAUCCCCUGAUUCUGAAACCCAGGAUAGAUCUGGCCUUGCUGGAACCCUGUAGCCUAAUGACUCUGUUGGGGCGUUUGCGGAAAAACUUGCUGCCCAAGCCAUCCAUUAUUAGCAUUCAUCGGCAUAGGUCCUGCCGAUGACUGGUAAUUGGGCAUCAUCAUCGAAUUGACAUACCCAGGUUGAGUCAUAAACCUCUGUUGCAUCAGCAAUGAGUCUGCCGAUGUGUUAGGCAUCUGGAACGUUGGAGCUUGAGAAUUCCCAGUGUAAGGUCUUGCAGUAGUAGUUGUAGUAUACUGGGGACUCUGAUUCAUCGGCAUGCUUGGGGGUGCCGAUGCCAUAGGAGCCUUGCCUCUCACAUCAGUCGCCUGCGACGUACCCGGUGUUAACUCUGGAGGCAUACCAUAACCCCACCAGUUAGGAGGAGGAAUCGAUCCUGACAUUGCCGAUGCCAAUAGAUCUGUAGCGAGUUUAAUCUGCCCAUCUGAAGUUGGUGGAUUAGUCAUCAUCGGCGUAGAUCGUGCAUUAGUGAUUCCCAACGUGCUUGGCGGAAUGGGAAUUUCUAUGCCCGCAGCGGCCGUAGCAGCCGAUGGAGCUGUGACCACCGGUGAUCCUGGCUGAUGAUGAGAGGGGCCCACAUAGUCUGGCGGCAAUUGUCCUUCCUUGAACGUUCUGGCUACGGCGUUGAAAACCGUAUUGGACAGCACACCAGCUUGGUUGAUCAAAGCACGGUUGAUAGCACUAUCAACCAUCUCUUGAAGUUUACCAGGAUUGGCUUCGAAAGUAACCUGCCGAGGCAUCGGCAGCGCAUCCUUCUGGAUCACUUCACCGCUCAUGUUUAUGCUGAAGGACCUCAGGCAUUGCUGCUUGUAAUCCUCCAUGGCUUUAGCAAUAGCUUGCUUCUGCUCGUCUUUGAGACUAUCUUCUGUCACGGGGAUAACGUUCUCCAAUUCGAACUCAGUAUUUGACAUGUUGAUCUUGAUCUUGAAUCUGUCCCACCGGGCGUGCCAAAAGAUGUGUUGAUGCAAAAGCUGAUCUGCAAAUACAAAGGGUUAAUACCCGAUUUAAACGUUAAGGCGUGCCAGCCGAUUUGACCUUACUAUCCCCAAAGGUGGUAACUCGAAUACUUUGGUCCUGACAACAGCGAUGCGCCCGGAUGUCACGGCCAAGAGGUAUUCACGCGGAACUUGAGAACACGCCGAGCUUAAGUCGACGAAUUCCUAAGAACUCGUAAUGAAAAGAAAAAGUAUGACGAAGUCGUCGAAAAAGUAGAUGCUUGGAAUAUGAGUAAAACGUGUGUUUGAUUGAUUGAUAGAUCCCGAUUACAAAGCCCUAGGGUCCAUAUUUAUACCCUGCUCAAAGAGCUACAACCAGACACGACUAGAACUCUAAUUCCAAAUUACACAGAACCCGUAUACAAAACGACUUGAAUAACUAAGGAAAACAUAAAACUAUCCCCCCGUGACAAACUGGAACACCUCCACAAACCGAUCGGCAACUUCCAGACUCUCCCUCCAUAUCAUCGGCAGACUCCCUUGUCGUAGCCAUCGGCACAAACACAUCAUCACCUAUGGACUUGGUCACGUUCAACCACUCCUCCAUCGGCAACCAUCCUCAUCGGCAACUCAUCCUGUAGAUCAAACACUACCGUCUUAUCUUACCGACCUACACUUUACCAAUCAUGGACACGUGCCCAAAAACGGUGUCAACAGAUUCCGAAUGUAAACAACAAUGGACCGAUUUGUUAAAAGAGUAUAUAGAUUGCUUUACUUGUGAUUAUACUGAGAUGCCUGGAUUAGACCGAUCGAUUGUUGAACAUCGGUUGCCUAUUAAAUCUGGAUUUUGGCCACAUCAGCAGCCAGCGCGCCGAUGUAACCCUAAUAUUCUUCCUGACAUUAAGGCCGAAGUAACCAAACUUAUUGAAGCUAAGUUCAUUCGGCAGUGUCAGUAUGCUGAGUGGAUCUCCAAUGUAACGUUCCUAUUUACAAGAAGAAUGGGAAACUUCGUGUGUGCAUUGAUUUUAGGAAUCUCAACAAAGCCACACCGAUGGAUGGCUAUCCGAUGCUAGUUGCCGAUUUGUUGGUUGAUGCUGCGGCUGGGCAUCAGAUUAUUAGCUUCAUGGAUGGUAAUGCAGGGUAUAAUCAAAUAUUCAAGGCCGAAGAAGAUAUUCCUAAGACUACAUUUAGGUGUCUUGGUCAUGUUGGGUUAUUUGAAUGGAUAGUCAUGACUUUUGGCUUGAAAAAUGCUAGUGCUACUUAUUAGAGGGCUAUGAAUUUUAUUUUUCAUGAGUUCAUCGGCACGUUGGUGGAAAUUAAUAUUGAUGAUGUGGUGGUUAAGUCUAGGGAAUUCACAAAGUAUCUAGCCGAUCUAUGAAAAAUACUUGAAUGUACAAGGAAACAUGGUCUAAAGAUGAAUCCUAAUCAAUGUGCAUUUGGCGUAUCGGCAGGCCAGUUUUUGGGUUUCAUGGUGCAUCGGAGAGGAAUUGAAAUUAGUAAGAGAUCUGUUGAUGCAAUCAAAAAGAUAGUUGCCCCUGUCGAUAAAACUAAACUUCAAUCCUUCAUCGGUAAGAUUAAUUUCAUCAAGCGGUUUAUAUCCAACCUAUCGGGUAAGAUUAAGGGUUUUAGUCCUUUGCUCAAAUUAAAAUCUAAUCAAGAGUUUGUGUGGGGAAAAGAGCAACAGCUGGCCUUGGAUGAAAUUAAGAACUAUUUAGUAAAUCCUCCUGUAUUAGUUCCACCUCAACACUUGAAGCCCUUCCGAUUGUACUUAUCCACCGAUGAUACAGUUAUCUGUUCAGCUCUCAUUCAAUAAUUUGAAGGGAAAGAAUGUGUGAUUUAUUAUUUAAGUAGAAGAUUGGUGGAUGCUGAGAUAAGAUAUUCGGCCAUUGAAAAGUUAUGCCUAUGUUUGUACUUUUCUUGUAUUAAAUUGAGGCAUUAUUUGCUAUCGGCCGAAUGUACUGUCAUAUGCAAGGAUGAUGUAGUCAAAUACAUGUUAUCAAUGCCGAUUUUGAAUGGUAGAAUCGGUAAGUGGAUAUUGGCAUUAUCAGAGUUUGACCUACAUUAUGAAUCGGUUAAAGCAGUCAAAGGGCAGAUGAUGGCUGAUUUUGUUACCCAACAUUGUAGUUCGAUAGGUUCUUUAGAGGUUGCUCCUUGGACACUUUUUCUUUGAUGGAUCUACAUGUGACCAAGGAGCAGGUAUCGGUGUAGUGUUAAUUUCUCCUCAGGGAAAGAAGUAUGAGUUUUCAUUGCUGAUUGUUGCUACAUCGACAAACAAUCACGCUGAGUACCAAGCUUUGGUAAAAGGGUUGGAACUAUUAAGAGAGAUUUGUGCCGAUGUUGUUGAAAUCUUUGGUGAUUCUUUGCUUGUUAUAAAUUAGUUGGUUGGAGUUUAUGAAUGAUGUAGUGAAAUUUUAGUAUCAUAUUAUGAGAGGUGUUUGCAGCUAUUGAAAGAAUUUAAAGAUUUCCGUUUGGAACAUAUUCCCCGAUUACAUAAUGAAGAAACUAAUCGGUUGGCUCAACAUGCUUCGGGAUAUCAACCUAUCCUGGGGGUGUUUUUAUCGGCAAUCAGUGCCGAUGAUUGGAGAAAGGAAAUUGUUGAUUACCUGAGAGAUCUGUCUAAGAAAGUUAAGAGAUGUGUUAGAUUUCAAGUCACCAAGUAUGUACUCCUUGACAAUGAGUUGUAUUAUCGUACAGUAGAUGUGAUUUUACUUAGAUGUCUUGGUGAUGAUGAAUCAAAAAGUUUGAUGGGUGAAAUUCAUGAGGGGGUAUGUGGAGCACACCAAUCGGCGUUUAAAAUGAAAUGGAUGAUUAGAAGAAAUGGAUAUUAUUGGCCGACUAUUCUUGAGGAUUGUUUCAAAUACUUCAAAGGGUGUUAGGGAUGUCAGAAGUUUGGUAAUAUCCAAAGGGCGCCCGCAUUGGCUAUGAAUCCUAUUAUCAAACCUUGGCCAUUCAGAGGAUGGGCUAUUGAUCUCAUCGGUCAGAUUUAUCCGCCAUCAAGCAAAGGACACAAGUUUAUUCUUGUCGCUACUGACUAUUUUACUAAAUGGGUUGAAGCUAUUCCUUUGAAGAAGGUGACAUUGGCUAACAUGAUUGAUUUUGUUAAGGAGCAUAUUGUUUACUGAUUUGGUAUUCCUCAGACAAUCACUACCGAUCAGCGUACUAUGUUUACAUCGGGAGAGUUUGAUGAAUUUGCAAUCGGUAUGGGGAUUAAGGUGUUGAAUUCUUGUCCUUAUUAUGCUCAAGCUAAUGGGCAGGCCGAAGCUUCUAACAAAGGGAUCAUUAAGCUCAUCAAGCGAAAGAUUGAAGAAAACCUUAAAUGAUGGCAUACGAUAUUAAAUGAAGCCCUAUUGUCGUAUCGGAUGGCGUGUCAUAGUGCAACUAAAGUGAUAUGACCACGCCACCAAACAAGAUGUCACAAGCUCCAAGUCAAGCUACAUCCACUCAAGUUUCACCUACGCCGACACCACCUCAUGUCAUCAAUGGACCGAUUACACGUAGUCGUUCAAAGAAGCUACAACAAGAGGUCCACGCGCUACUUUGUGAGAUUCAUUUUAACAUUAAUAAGAAUUAUAUACUACCUUAAGUGUUGUACCUUGAUUGUACUCAGGUAUAUAGAAGAAGAGAAGGAUGAAUCGGACCUGAAGAACGGAACAGUGCAAGUUCUAGAAGAAGUCAAAAAUGACCAGUGGAAGUCAAAAACGGACCUAUGCAAAGAAAUCUUCAUAACAUUUUAGUCACAAAAGCCAUGAAGGUCUAUGAGGACUUGUUGGAAAGCUUGUCGAGUCUACUUUCCAAUGAAUCUAGUGGCGACCAGUUUGGUUACACCAUAUUGCCUGCAUACGUGCUGGUUGGCAUACAUUGCUGGAAAGCCCUUUGAGUCUAGUUUCACACCCAAGAAAUGGUUCAUCAUUUGGACUUCCCAAUAAAACGUUAUGGUCAGUUUACUGAAAACUGCUCUGGAGGCCAACAGUCACGCGAAGCCACUUCGGGAAUCCAUUUCGAGGGGACCUUUCAUAUUGCCUUCCCUCAUAAACUCUAUUUCGUUUUCAUACCUAUCUAGCAGGGCUGUUGCUAGUAUAAAUACCCCCCUAAGACUCAUUGUAAUCAAAGACUUUUGAUAAUUGAAAUACAGAACCCCUUUUGUUUUGCUGUGUGCUAGCAAAUAUUCAGAGAGUGAUCUCUACCCCUUGCUCUUGUGAUUUCCUCCCGGGAUUACAUAUGCGGUGGCUUCAUCUGCUACCAAUUGGUGCUCCUACUCCCUUCAAGGUAUACCUUGAUUGAUUGUAGGUUGUGUUGGUUGGUUCUUUGAGAGUGUGGUUGGGCGAAUCCUCGAUUUAGGUUGCCGGUUAAAGACGGUGGGUGGCUUCGAGUUUUAUUUGCCUGGUUGCACUAGUUAUCGCUGCUUGCAGCAAGUUAUCCGGCUGUUCUUCAGCUAGUUAUCGGUGUUCUUCCUACAUCGUGAAGAUCGGGACAACGUGACGCAUCAUCUGGUAUCAAAGCUUUCGUUACCACAGUAGGAAUUCUAUCCCUAGCUACACAUAUAUUUUUGCUUCGUCCUAUCCACCAAAAAGCUAGAAAAAUAUAUUGCUUAGACCUUUCUUUCAAUCUGUUAUUUUAGUGAGUUCGGUUAAGUCGUAGUCCAUUAGAGUCUUUGUUUUAGUUGCUGAUCAUUGUAACACCCAAAAUUUUGAUUUCGAUUAAUAGGAAUUAAUUUGAUUUAUUUGAGUAUUUCUUCUGUGAGCAUUUAAUAUAGUAAAUAAAUAAUUUUUGUCGAAAUUAAAAUUUUGUUCACCAUAAAUUUAGAAACAUGGUUGUGCAUUCAUGCUAAGAUUUAUUUAUUCCCCUGUGUGUUUUGUUUUGUCUACAAAAGGAUUUAAAAAGUCUUCUCAAAAAGCUAUAGAAAGGAGAUUAAAAAAAGAAAAAGGAAAACCCCAGCCAAACCCGUCUCCCCCUCUCCUCUUGGCCGUAGGCCACAGCCCAGCACCCUGUCCCCCAGCGCACGGCCCAUACCGGCCCAGCCGAGCAGGCCAGCCGCGGCCCAGCGCAGCUCCCUUCCCCUCUUCUCUCUCUGACCAGUAGGCCCCACCUCCCUCUCGCUGACGAGGCGACCCCACCUGGCGGGCGCUGCUCCUCUUCCUUCUUGCGCCGAGGACGAACAGGGCUCAGUUGGGGAUAACCGACCCGAGCUAAAAACUUUCCAUCCCGAAAACUCUGAGAUUUCUUGCCAUAUCGACCCCUAUUUAACCCCCAGCACCGCCCCUCGUGUUGUUUUCCACCCUCGACAUGGAAACCAAGCCCUAGACGCCAGCCCACGGACGGUUUGAAUCUCGCCGAGAGCCAAGUCCUCCGCCGCACGCCGCGAGCCGUUUUCGUCAUCUCUCGGUCCAAGCAAAGGGUCCCAGCGAGGUCGCGGUGAGCUUCUCGCCCUCCCGGUGUUUUUCUUUCGUUGAUUGGCGCUCGGAAUCAAGGAAUCGGUGGACUCUGGCGAGCACUCCCAUGGCGCCGCCACGGGGAGGCACAACUCCGGCCGGCCCGCCGCCACUGGCCCCCUAGACGUGCCCGAGCCGUCGGAUCAAGAUCCUGCGGCCGAGAUAGGAAGAUACCCCUUGGGGGGGUAUUUUUGUUAAAGAGUCCUCGAACUUCUUUAGAAUAGGACCCGCAGUCCAUAGCGCCUAUCAGAGUUUACGUUUUGCUCUUGGGGAAGCGUAAAGCCUCGGGUUAACGCCAGAAUAUGUUUUCCAUUAUUUACAGAAAUGCAACUGAUUUUGUUUUGCUUAUAAAAUGUUCAUUUUAACUCCGUUUUUGUCCAUUCAAAUUUCAUUAGAUUCAUAUUCUCGAACUCUACAUGUUAGAAGUAUUAGUUCACUGUUUUGAAACUUUUUAAUUCUGCAGUAGCAUUUAAUUAAUUAUUUCUCUAUAGGAAAUCUGAGAAAAUUCAUAUCUUCCACGUUUUAAUUCUGAUUUUCGUGAACUUUGCGUUUGUGUGAUCGUAACGCUGCGUAGAAUAUUUUUAUAAACUUUUAUCUUUGAUUUCUCACUGUUGGUGCAAUGUUCUAAUUAUAGCUUGUUUGCUUUGUGUAUGAUUGUCUACAUUGGAUUGCGUGUUGUUGAUUGAUGUUUGGGAAUAGACGGUGAGCCAAACGUUGGUGAUCAAGACCAAGCCUUUGAAGACCAGCAGGCUCAGGAGAGCUUUGAUCAAGGCAAGUAUAACUGGGGAUCAUCCAUGUUACCUAUACACAAUUAAUACAAUAUUUAUCAUAUGCAUGUGUCCACCUUGAUGACCUUAGCAAAAUCAUGGAUGAUUGUUAUCCUGAAUUCCUUGUUACCUAUUUGGAUAUGCAUUUCGGUAGUUCUUGCUAGCGCUUGAUUAUUAAUCCAUGAUCUUGUGGCAUGAAUAUUUGAAUAUACAAUAAACAAUAGAAUAAGCUUUCUAGCAACUUGAAUAUAAAGGGUGGAAAGAACUCUGGCUUUUGCUGGAUUGAUUUUGACCCUCCAUAAGGUCUUAUCCCUUGGCAAAAGCUGGGACAACUCGUACAACCAUGCGGGCUAUAUGGCUCUGGCUUUAGCUCAGUAUGAAGACCUUUUCUAGCUUGUUAGAGGUUACCCGAAAGGGCGCUAGAGGUGCUGAACCGACACGGGUAUAGUGCGAGCCCCUGUCCCUAUGUGUGUAGGCUGCACGUCAUUGUGCCAUUUGGAAGGGGGGUAUCUAUAUCUGCUCGCGAAGGAAACCUUGCGGCCCUAACAUGUUAGACGAGCUUUUGAAAGGCUUCAUAGUGAUCCCCGCCGACCUCCCUAGUUAGGGGGUUAAAAGACUAGCUACCUCGGGUGAAAGGGUAAAUCAUGACUCAUGGGUAAAGAUGUACAACCUCUGCAGAGUGUUAAAUCUGGUAUAUCAGCCGUGCCCACGGAUACGGGUGGCCCGGAAAACUGACGGAAUAGAUGGACCCUGAUGAACAUGAUUAAUGAUGAUAAAUGAUGGUUUAUUAUAUUGUUUAUAUGUGUUAUUCUUAAUUCUUGUAUACAUUGAUCAUGUGGUUAUGGGAUUAAUUAUGCUACCUUGAUAUUCACUAUCCAAUGAUUAAAUAUGCUAUCUACAUAAGCUAAAUGCCGUGAAACCAGUGUCAGCUUAUUGAGCCUCAUGAACCCGUGGUUAUACUUGUUGAGUACGAUAUGUGCUCACUCUUGCAAUUUCCCCCACACCUCAGGAGAGGUUUUGGGCUUGUGAUCAACCAGUCAGUUGGAUCCUGUAGAGAGAAGUUAAUACCCGAAGGUUGGAGUUGUCUAUCCGCUGUUUGCUAUCAAAGGUUAUCUCUUUUAUAAUAAGUACGUUAUAUAUUUAUGCAUUGUCUUUUGAUAUUACUCCUUAUUUGUAGCUAUAUGUGAGAUUUGGUCUCUAAAACUCACAUAUAUUGCAUAUCUGGUUUUGUCCUUAAAAUCGGGUAUUACAAUCAUUUAUCCUUUGCGUGUUCUUUGUGCCUCUUUUAUAUCUAAAAAUCCCAACAAAAAAUCUCUAUAGCCUAUAUCAUCCUUUGUGUUAACUUUGAUCCUAUCUAGCUACUGGUUGUUGUUUUAUUUCUGUCUUUAUUUGUGCAAGUAUCAUAACCUGAUCCCUGUUUUAGUUCUAUAUAAAAAUAAAAAAAAGUGUGUCAAAAAAAAAGAAAAGAAAGUGCAAAAAAAAGUGAAGUGAAAAAAAGUUGAGAAAGGUUGAGAGAGAAAGUCUGAAAGAUUAGUUGGUUUAUGUGCACAAGUGCUGAAAGUUUCAUAUCAAGUUCUGCAACCAGUUUGCUAUCUUUGUUUGGUGCAAAACUUUAGUUGGAUCAGAUUGCAACACUUGCAUCCCAAUCAUACUCCUUGUUUGCAUCAUUUCUGAAAUUUCUUUCCGUGUGUGUGAUCUAUUUAUACACUUUGAAUCUUUUGAUCAGCACUAGGCAGAGAACUUCUAGUUUGGAUUGUUACUUAACUUUACAACAACUAGAAUUCAGAUUGCAUUGCUUGUGUAUUACUCACCACCAAGCUCCACAUAAAAACCAUCGUAAUCGGUACUCUCUGUUCUUGUAUUCACCUCGCCAUCACUUUCAGUUGCCACCACACAUUUGUUUUCCUUGUAAUCUGCAGCAGAGGAAUUCAUAAGAGCUUCGGUGGUGAAAGAGGUGAGUUGUGAGAGCCACCAAAUUUUCAUAUUCCACAAAUACAAAUUAUUUGUAUUCAGCUAAUCUUACAGGAAGAUGGAUCGAGUGGACAUCCAAGAUCGUGUUACCAUAGCACAAUUUAAUAAACUCUGGCAAAGCAUGGAAGAAAAGCAAGAGAGGUUGACACAAGAUCUUCAGAAUCUUAUGUCUGAAAUCAGAAGGCAUCAUCCACCUCAUGAUGGUGCAAGCAACCAUAGUGGAGAUAGAGAAGAUAGUGAUGGAGGAAGAGGAGGUCGGAGGAAUCGGAGGGCUGCACAUGUUAGAGGAAGAAGACAUAGUCGAAGAAAUGAUGAUGAAUCUGAAGAUGAGGCUAAUGACAACCGCUUCCAACUCAGUUUUGGUCGCCGAUGUCAUAGAAGAGGCAACCAUGAAGAAAGUUUUGGCAAACUGAAAUUUACCAUGCCAAAAUUUGCUGCUGAAACAUCCACGAGGAAUUUCUCUAGAGGAAGCAAAUCACACACAAAAUUUGCUGCUGAACCGUCCAUGGUGAAAAGCUCAAGUGGAGGCUCACGAUCUAAUUUUUAGGGUACUAUUAGUGGAAACAACACUGCUGUCUCAAGUUAAAAACCAGCAGCAUCAACCACUACUUCAGUGGGUUCUACUUCCAAGAGUAGUGGAGUUCAGUACUUCAAGUGUGGAGGCCAUGGGCAUAUAAGUAAGGAGUGCCCAAAUAACUAGGUGAACAUUGUGAAUGAUGAUGGAGAAUAUGAAUCAGCUAGUGAAGAGGGAGUUGAGAAGGAAGCCCGUGGAGAUGAGGACCUUACUGGCUGCGAGUUUGAGCAAGGAGCUGCUCUUGAGAUGACUCAUAUCUUGAGUGUUCAGGCAAAUGAAGCAGAAAUUGGGCAGCAACACAAAUUAUUUCAAACUAGAGCAAAGGUGCAUGAUAAAGUGGUGAAGGUGAUUAUCGAUGGAGGGAGCUGCCAUAAUCUUGCUAGUUGUGAGAUGGGUGAUAAACUUGGCUUGAAGCUGCUACGACACCCUCAUCCAUAUCAUGUACAGUGGCUGAAUGAUUCGGGAGAUAUCAAGAUUGGAUACAAAGUAAAUGUUCCAUUCAAGAUUGGUGAAUAUGUUGACACAGUAGAGUGUGAUGUGGCACCUAUGUUGGUGUGUCACUUGCUGCUUGGAAGGCCAUGGCAAUAUAAUCGAUAUAGCCAACAUCGUGGGAGAACAAAUCAUUUCAGUAACAAUCUAAAGGGGAAGAAGUUUGUUCUCAAGCCUAUGACACCCCAACAAAUCAUGGCUGAACAUUUACAAAAGAAAUCUGAAAUUGUUCCAGUGAGUAGAGAGGAAGGAGAGCAAAAGAAAUUGAGUGUCAUCCACAAUUUGGUGAGUGACUGCCACAAGCCAAAUUUGAGGGAGAAAAGAAAGGAGAGGGAGAGAAUGUAGUCAUGCUAGCCACAAAAUCUGAAAUGAGAGAAGUGAGGAACAACCCUAAACAAGUGCUCUUUGUACUUGUGUACAAAGGCUUUUUAAUUUCAGCUAACGACAUGACCUCUCUUCCUAGUGUUGUGUCUCAUCUUCUACAGGACUAUGGAGAUGUCUUUCCAGAAGAAACACCGGCGGGACUACCUCCAAUUCGUGGGAUUGAGCAUCAAAUUGAUCUCAUUCCAGGGGCUACACUACCUAAUCGACCACCAUAUCGAACCAAUCCAGAAGAAACAAAGGAGAUACAAAGGCAAGUGCAAGACCUUCUUGAUAAAGGUUUUGUUCGUGAACGUUUAAGUUCUUGUGCUGUUCCUGUAAUUUUAGUACCUAAGAAAGAUAGUUCUUGGAGAAUGUGUGUUGAUUGUAGAGCUAUAAAUAACAUCACUGUUCGCUAUCGCCAUCCUAUCCCACGUUUAGAUGAUAUGCUUGAUGAAUUAAGUGGUUCCACCAUAUUCACUAAAAUUGAUUUGAGAAGUGGAUACCAUGAGAUAAGAAUUUAAACAGGGGAUGAAUGGAAAACUGCAUUUAAAACAAUAUUUGGGCUGUAUGAAUGGCUAGUUAUGCCUUUUGGUUUGACUAAUGCUCCUAGUACUUUCAUGAGAUUAAUGAACCAUGUCUUGAGAGCUUUCAUUGGAAAAUUUGUUGUUGUCUACUUCGAUGAUAUCUUAAUUUACAGCAAGUCUUUUGAGGAACAUGUGAAUCAUAUUCGUCAAGUCUUAGAAGUGCCUAGAAAGGAGAAAUUAUUUGUUAAUCUUGAGAAGUGCAGUUUUUGCACAGACCAUGUUGUGUUUCUUGGCAUUGUUGUUUCACGAAAAGGCAUAGAAGUGCAUGAAAGCAAGGUGAAAGCCAUCAAGGAUUGGACAUCUCCAACGAAUGUAAGUCAAGUAAGAAGUUUUAAUGGCCUUGCUGGUUUUUAUAGGAGGUUUGUGAGAGAUUUCAGUACCAUCGUUGUUCCUUUGAAUGAAUUGACAAAGAAAGGUGUUGACUUUAAAUGGGGAAAAUCACAAGAAAAUGCUUUUCAAGAACUAAAGAAAUGUUUAACUGAAGCACCAUUACUUGUUCUUCCUGAUUUCACUAAAACUUUUGAAUUUGAAUGGGAUGCUAGCAGAAUUGGCAUAGGAGGAAUUUUUAUGCAACAAGGAAAACCUGUAGCAUAUUUUAGUGAAAAACUAGGAGGUGCUCAACUGAAUUAUUCUGUGUAUGAUAAAGAACUAUAUGCUUUGGUACGUGUGCUUGAAACAUGGCAGCACUACUUAUGGAAAAAAGAAUUUGUUAUUCACUCUGAUCAUGAAGCUUUGAAAUACUUGAAAGGACAAGCAAAACUAAACCGUCGUCAUGCCAAAUGGGUUGAGUUCAUCAAAACAUUUUCAUACAUUGUGAAAUAUAAGAAAGUGAAUCGCACAUUGUCAAUGUUGCUGCGAACAAUGGUGAAAAAGAACCUGAAGGUUUGGUAGGAAUUUCUGCCACAUGUCGAGUUUGCAUAUAACAGGGAAGUACACUCUAACACUAAUAUCUGUCCUUUCAAAAUUAUAUAUGGGUUCAAACCUAUUGCUCCGAUAGAUUUGUUGCCCCUUCCAUUGCAGGAAAGAACCAAUAUGGAAGCCUCCAAGUGUGCUGCAUACAUCAAGAAGGUACACAAGAAGACCAAGGAAGCAAUUGAACUCAAGGCAGGACGCAAGGCUGCAAGUAUGAACAAACAUAGGAAGAAGGUGUUAUUUGAACCCAGGAACUUGAUGUGGACACACAUGUGCAAGGAUCUCUUUCCUCAGCAGCGCAAAUCAAAAUUGUUGCCACGAGGAGAUGGUCCAUUUCGUGUUCUUGACAAGAUCAAAGACAAUGCAUACAAGAUGGAUCUUCCUGCAAGUUAUGGCGUGAGCAACUCCUUCAAUGUUGUUGAUCUCUCACCAUUCACAAGUGAAGACACUUCAGAGUCGUGGACGACUCCUUUUCAAGGGGGGAGGAUGAUAUGACCACGCCACCAAACAAGAUGUCACAAGCUCCAAGUCAAGCUACAUCCACUCAAGUUUCACCUACGCCGACUGUUGACGGUUCUUAAGUAUCAAUUUUAAUUAUCAAAUAAACAAGAGAAAGGACCAAUAUGCAAACAACACCCAGAAUUAGGGUUUGAUCUAACAGAAUUCCACAAGUUUUGUUGUUUAUCUGUUUCUACAGGGGGUUAUCUGGAAAUAAGGAAGAAAGGGCCACAUGUCGGAAUUACAUAGAGAUAUCAACGCACCGCGCAAUUUUCUACCAUCUAGAAGACUCGAGAAGCCACGGGAAGGAAGCAGAGGCCGAAAGGGGCCUGGCCCAGGGCGCCCACCCCCCUCUAUACUCCGUUCAGGACUCUUUUCGCACACGACGCUCCACCGACCUAAAGGAUCAAGGAUAACCGUCCAAUCAAUGUCGGUUUGAUCCAAUGGCUCAUGUUCACUUGAGGAGACUAUAAAACCAGACCCCCUGGCCCCUGGAGGAGACAAGUUUAUCAUAGAGUUGAGGGGAGCCCUCGAAGGAAAACCUCUUCUCUAAAUAAAAUUUAUUUUUAGGCUUAGCAUCCAAUGUGAGUAGAAAUAGAUCUUAUAGUUUCUACUAGAUUGAGAGAGAUAGAGUGGAGGUGUAGAUCGGAGGAAUCCCGGCGUGUCGGUGUCUACUCCGAGCUUGUACCUGCGGGAUCAAGUUCUCCUAACCCGAGGCUUGCUCCUAGGAUUCAUCAGUAUUUCGACUUCUCAAUUCUAGUAAGUUCUUGUUUUAUUGUUCUUUUGGUUUAUGAGUUUACUUUAAUCUCUUCGCGUAGAGUUUAGAGUAAUAAUCUCUAGCGUAGACGUGGUGUUUAAGCUAGGAUACUCAUAGAUAUUCCCUGACUAGCUAGACCGUGGUAGUAGCGAGGAACAUGACAUUUCCGAGUUACCUUUGCAAAACAUAUCUCUAUUGAUGCAAAAGCUGGAUCUGCAAACACAAAGUGCUAAUACCCGAUUCAAACGUUAAGGCGUGCCAGCCGAUUUGACCUUUCCAUCGGCAAAGGUGAUAACUCGAAUACUUUGGUCCCGACAACAGCGAUGCGCCCAGAUGUUACGGCCAAGAGGUAUUCAUGCGGAACUCGAGAAUACGCCGAGCUUAAGUCGACGAACUCCUAAGAACUCGUAAUGAAGAGAAAAGUAUGAUGAAGUCGUCGAAAAAGUAGAUGCUGGAAUAUGAGUAAAAACUUGCGUUUGAUUGAUUGAUAGAUGUCCCGAUUACAAGUCCCUAGGGUCUACAUUUAUACCCCGCUCAAAGAGCUACAACCAGACACGACUAGAAUUUCAAUUCCAAAUUUAAACAGAAUCCGUGUAUAAAACGAUUUAAAUAACUAAGGAAAACAUAAAACUAUCCUUCUGUGACAAACUGGGACACCACCACGGACCAAUCAGCGACCUUCAAGUCUUCCUUCUAUGUCAUCAGCAGACUCCCCAUCGGCAACAGUUAAUACUGGCCAUCGGCAUAAACACAUCACCACCCACGGACUUAGCCACAUUCAACUGUCUCCUCAUCGGCAACUACCCUCAUCGGCAACUCCCCUGGAGACCAAUUAGUGUUGCCCUUUCUCCACCGAUCCUGGGUACGUGUCCAAAAACGGUGUCAACACAUGCCCUCCAAUUUCGGAGUAUGAAAUCAUUAAUGCUCCGAAAUUCUCUGCAGUAAUGAUGCCUUUCCGCAAUUAAUUCCCCCAAUUUGGUAACCAACAGCCUUAAUCUGAACAACUCUGACCCGAUUCCUCCGCAGAUUCCUCGAAAUCCUCAGCCUCCCAAACGGACAUUUCCACUUUAAUCGCCCAUCGGCAAUAUUACCGUUACAGAAAGCUGCCGAUGGACUGACCAGGACGUCCCGCCCAGCGAAAUAUCUCAACCUCCCAAACGGUCAUCUCCGUUUUAUUCGUCCAUCGGCAAUAUUACCAUUACAAGGUGCUGCCGAUGGACCGACCAGGAGAUCCCGCACAGUGAAAUAUCUCUAGAUUUUGACUGCUUCCUGUCAAAUCACCUGCACAAUCCCUUGAUUACUGUGCGAACAGUUACCAUAUCUACCUGAGUACCCUCGGAUUUCACGGAUACGGCGAAGUGAUAAGUCAGAUCUGCCCUUGCCCAUUUUGUCCUAUAAAUAGUUUCUUCACGGGUACUCCUCCAUCACAUCAUUCUACAGCCCCAACUCUACCUUUCUGGCGGCGGCGCUGUUCGAGAGCUCCAAGAACUCCACUGAAGGCUUUUCUCCACCAGUCUCGAAGUCUUCAAUCUCCUUCCUUGCGAGGAAAUGGCAAUCAACUUCACCGUUCCUGAGGUCAGUUCAUCACCCUAUCUCUUGUACCUUUACCGCAUCCUUGAUUAUCCGCAAUUUACCUUACUGAACAUUUUUCUUUUCCUUUCUUUGUUCUUCUUUUUACCUUCAAAACCAUUAGGAUCUGUCCAAUAAAAUUGUCAUCCCUACCGAUCAGUCACAUCUCCAAUGUCUUGGUCCGUUAGGGGAUCCAGAUCCCACCGAUCUUAUUAACGCAGAAACAAACAGAAUCCCCUUUAGAAUCGAGAAUUUCUCUCUGGAUCUGUGGAAGGACACCUUCUGUUCCUAGCCCAGUCCUACCGUGGGAUGGAAGGAUUGGUUUUUGAGGGUCAGCCACUCAAAUGAAGUCCAGUGGGGCAAGUGAAAACUAGACCAAUGCAUCAGGUUGUCCAUUGCCGAUAUGUAUAGGAAUGAGUCACUGCUGGUAGCUGCAUCAUAUUUCUGGUCAGACACACUCAAUGCCUUCAUCUUUGGCCACGACCCUACUUCCCCUACACUUGCCGAUGUUGUUAUGCUCACCGGCCUAGAUGUAUCUUCUGCCGAUAGCACCCACUUUUUCGAUACCAAACCCAGUGCUAAGGUGGAAACCCGCUCCAUCGGUGGUUGGUCAGGGUACAUCCAAAAAUACAAACGAACAGGCCCUGUUAACAUAAAGGAACAGACCAGCUUCCUAAACAUGUGGUUGGACAAAUUUGUAUUUUGUGGUCGAUCGGCAGGACCAACUUCUGUCUACCUGGCAGCAGCAGAAAGACUAGCCAAUGGUGGCCGAUUUCCCCUCGGGCGAUACCUGCUUGGCGCGGCCUACCACCUCCUUCAUCAAGUAACCAGGAAACUCCUGCUUGGCCAGUCCAUCGGCAACUUGGGGGGUCCCUGGUGGUUUAUCAACAUGUGGCUCAGCCUCCACAUGCACAAGCGUCUUGAGUUUGACCUUUUCGCACAGCGCUUCCCCAGGGAUAUAGCCGAGGACUAUGAACUGGAUGAAGAAGAAUCAGCAACUCGUCCUCCUCUAAACUUUGGCGAGGCUGUCAUCGUUCUGCCUGGCACUGGUGGCAAUGCAGACCAGGUCAGCCGAUUCUUCCAGACCUUGUACGAAGGCCUGACCAAAGAGCAGCGAGCGUGGAUGCCUUAUGAAGAUCCACAUACUAUGUUUCCUUUGGUUUUCCAUCCAUUCAAUGACACUCUCAACAAGGAUCAUGAUGUGAUGAUGGCACUGAUCACUCCUAGAGCUAUACCAGUGAAUUUCUUUGGCAGUGGAAAAACCUCCAACCAAACCUAUGAGUUUUACAACCCAUCGGCACUAGCCCGUCAACUAGCUUUCGGCUAGCUGCCGAUCGCCCUCUGUUAUGCCGAUGUGAUAAAACCCAGGGAAGCCAUCACUAACCUUCACGAGUGGAUUUGAGUAGCUCAAUUGCCACCGAGUGCCGAUACAGAUGCAGAUUUAUCAGAGUGGAUUCUAGCCCUCUUCAUCACUCAGGCGUAUAAACAAUGGUGGGAAGAAUGGAAGGAGCAUUUGUUCUGCAGAUCGGCCCUUACAUACCAUGGCAUGAUUGAUCCUCAGUACAAAGUCCCCGAGGAUACUGUAAGUACCUCCAAACCGAUGUUCUAAUCCUUUUACUCUCAUUUUCAUCGGUAACUUACUUUCCGUGUUAUGUUGCAGGUUGAUGACACUCCCCCAUCGGUCAGCAAGAGUGGCAGGCCGAUUGAUCUGUUCCCACUAGGUCCAAUCUCUUCAAUCGGCAACAACGCUGCCACUCUGGCUGCCAUCAUGCAUCGAGGUGUACGUCUCAAGAAGGUCGCCACUAAGAGGACUAAGACAUCUCCAUCGGUAGCCGCCUCGGCUUUGGCACAGGCUUUCAAGGUAAAUUUUCAAACUUUUCCUUAUCGAUUUCAUUUUUGCAUCUACUAUACUUGUACUCACAAACUUUCCUCUCCGUAUCAGCACACUGGCGCAUCGGCAAAGACUAGAAGCAAAAGUGCCGAUGCCCCCCAGCCCAGUCAACCGAAGAGAAAGGGUGCCAAGAGCACCAGAGCACAAGUAAAGCGCCAGAGAACAGCAACACCUUCUCCUCCCCUAGUAUCACUGAUCCCAGUAGAAUCUUCUCCUUCCUCUCCAGAAGCUCAGAUGCAACAAGCACCAUAUCCCCCUCAGCUGCAAGAAGCACCCCAAGUGGAAGAACUCCAACCAGAAGAAUCCCAGCCAGAAGCCCCUCAGCUGGAAGACACAUCGGCUGAUGUAGGCGAGCAGACUACCGAUCCAGCAGGCUCAAUCAUAGCAUCGGUAGUUUCCUCGAUCCAGACAAGCACUGCACCCCCUCAAGGUAAUACAUCUUUACAAAGUCAUUGCCGAUGAAUCCACUUUCCUGAUCUCAUAAUUACUUCUGUUAUUCUUUCAGCUGACAUAGUCCCAUGGGCAGCUCCAGCAGAUCAGCCUGUAGUGCCAUCGGCAUCUUCCAGUCAAAGGCGAGAAAUUGCCUUGAAACAAGUAAGCCACCCAAUCUCCAUUAGUAUUAUUUGUCAAUACUCAACCAUGGAAUGACUCACUUUAUCUCUCUUCUAGGAGCAGGACUCUCCUGAUAGCUUGUUUUCCUUUGCCAUUGACAUCUCUGAAGAUGAAGGUGAGGAAGCAAGCUCUUCUCGGGCAGUCGGGAUCACAUCGGCAGAAAUCAGGGCAAAAUUGGAAGAAUUAUCGGCCCUCCUUCACCAAGACACGGCCCAACUGGUUGAUGACUCCGACCCAGCCAAGGCCCUGUUCAAGACCCUCAGAGGCCAAAUUCCUGCCGAUGCUGAAGAAAUCCUCUUUCAAGCUGCACAUCUAGAGAGCCGUCAGCUGCAGUACCAGAGGGCUGCCCAACGUCUUACCGAUAGAGCUACUCAGACUCAGCUUUCUGAGGAGAUGAUGAAUGUGAAGCUCCUUGCCGAGGAGAAGCAUAAGAACAUUGGCACCUUGAAGUCCUCAGGAGAUGCACUGAAACACAAGAUCUCUGAUCUGUCAGCAAAAAGAGAAGCCCUGUUGGCAGAGCUCAAGCAAGUGGAAGAAGCCUUGUACCAAGCCCAACAAGAGGAAAACCAGCUGCCCGAGGCAAUCAAACUCCUUGAGCAAGAGCGAAAUGUCCAUGGCCAUAAAGCACUGCAGCUGAAGAAGAAGUUGAAGCCAGUGGAAGGUUCUGCCGAUGAAGACAUCAAAGAGAUAGAAGCAGCCAACAAAAUUCGCCUUCGUGCUAUAUCGGCCAUACAGGCACUGCUAAACAUGUGAGCUCUUCAUCGGCAACAUAUUUGCUCCUCUCUGCUUUCCAGCUUUCCUAAUAUUUGGUCUAGCCGAUAGGACUGUUAUCGGCACCUUUCAAAACACUGAGUUUUACUCCCAGAUACAUUUUGAUCCAGCCGAUAGGAGUGUUAUCGGCACUUAAACUUUUAUGCAUCGACCCAUAUGCUUGGGUAAUACUUCUUUAGAUAUUUGCCAUUUAAUGCACUGGGAAAUUCGACCCCUUCGAGGGUUUCUAAAAUAUAAGCAUUACCGGGAGCCGAUCAACUUACCCGAUAGGGACCCUCCCAAUUGGGAGACCACUUCCCAAAUUUUGAACUUUUAGCCCCGAUCGGUAAGAUUAAUUUCCAUACUAAGUCUCCAUCGGCAAACUCCUUAACCUUCACUUUCUUAUCAUACCAUCUGGCAACUCUCUUCUUAUUCUCUUCUAUACUCAUCAAAGCCCUUAGCCGAUGUCCUGCUAGAUCAUCUAACUCGUCUGUCAUUAAAGUAGCAUAAUCAUCGGCAGCCAAUUGAUCUUGAAAAGAUAGUCGCCUAGACCCAGUCUUAAUUUCCCAAGGUAACACUGCAUCAUGCCCAUAUACCAACUGAUAAGGUGAAACCUUGGUCGAUCCAUGACAAGCCAUCCGGUAUGACCAUAAAGCUUCGUUCAACAAUGUGUGCCACCUCCUAGGAUUUUCUUCAAUCAUUCGUUUAAUAAGCUUGAUAAUUCCUUUGUUAGAUGCCUCGGCCUGCCCAUUAGCUUGAGCAUAGUAAGGAGAAGAAUUUAAUACUUUAAUUCUCAUACCAAUUGCAAAUUCAUCAAACUCCCCCGAUGUGAACAUAGUACCCUAAUCGGUAGUAAUUGUUUGAGGAAUUCCAAAUCAGUAGAUAAUAUGCUCUUUCACAAAAUCAAUCAUAUUGGCCGAUGUAACUUUCUUUAAAGGAAUAGCUUCAACCCAUUUGGUAAAAUAGUCAGUGGCAACCAGAAUAAAUUUGUGUCCUUUGCUGGAUGGCGGAUAAAUCUGGCCGAUCAAAUCAAUAGCCCAUCCCCAGAACGGCCAAGGCUUGAUGAUAGGAUUCAUAGCCGAGGCGGGCGCCCUUUGAACAUUGCCAAAUUUCUGACAGCCUUGACACCCUUUGAAAUACUUAAAGCAAUCCUCAAGUAUAGUCGGCCAAUAAUACUCAUUUCUUCUAAUCAUCCACUUCAUCUUAAAAGCCGACUGAUGUGCUCCACAUACCCCCUCGUGGAUUUCUCCCAUCAAACUCUUAGCCUCAUCAUCACCUAAGCAUCUAAGAAGAAUCCUGUCGAUAGUUCGGUAAAAUAAUUCAUCUUCAAGGAGCACAUACUUGGUAGCUUGAAACCAAACCUGUCUCUCCACUUUCUUAGAUGGAUCCUUUAAAUAAUCAAUGAUCUCUUUUCUCCAAUCAUCAGCAUCGAUUGCCGAUAUUGCAUUAAUCAUGGGCUGAUAUCCCGAGGCAUGCUGAGCCAACCGAUUGGCCUCUUCAUUAUGCAAUUGAGGGACAUGCUCUAAUCAGAAAUCCUUGAAUUCCUUUAACAGUUGCAUACUCCUUUCGUGAUAGGUUAUGAGGACCUCACUUCGGCAUUCAUAGCUUCCAGCCAAUUGAUUUAUAACUAGCAUAGAAUCCUCGAAAACCUCAACAGCAUCAGCAUGAACCUCCCUUAGCAAUUCCAAACCCUUUAUCAAAGCUUGAUACUCAGCUUGAUUAUUUGUGGACGUGGCAACAAUCGGCAAGGAAAACUCAUACUUCCUACCCCGAGGGGAAAUUAACACUAUGCCGAUUCCUGCCCCCCGGUCACACGUGGAUCCAUCAACGAAGAGCGUCCAAGGUACAAUUUCCACAGCCUCCACUGUACCGCAAUGUUGAGUUACAAAGUCAGCCAUAAUCUGUCCCUUAACCGCUUUAGCUGAUUCCUAACGCAGAUCGAAUUCCGACAGCGCCAAAAUCCACUUACCGAUCCUGCCACUCAUGAUCGGCAUAGACAGCAUGUAUCGAACCACAUCAUCUUUGCAAAUAACCGUGCAUUCGGCCGAUAGCAAAUAAUGCCUUAACUUAACACAGGAGAAGUACAAGCAUAAGCACAGUUUCUCAAUAGCCGAAUACCUAGUCUCAGCAUCAAUCAACCUCCUGCUUAAAUAGUAAAUCACACAUUCCUUCCCUUCAAAUUCUUGAAUUAAAGCCGAGCCGAUGACCAUCCCAUCGGUAGACAAAUACAAUCUGAAAGGCUUCCCUUGCUGAGGUGGGAUCAGAACUGGAGGAUUUACCAAGUAAUUCUUGAUUUCAUCAAAGGCCAACUGUUGUUCUUUCCCCCAUACGAAUUCUUGAUCGGCUUUCAACUUAAGUAAAGGACUGAAAGCACGGAUUUUACCAGUCAAAUUAGAUAUAAACCUCCUGAUAAAAUUUACCUUGCCGAUCAAGGACUGGAGCUCAGUCUUGUUGGUAGGAGCAACUAUUUUGUUGAUAGCAUCAAUGGAUCUUCAACUAAUUUCAAUCCCCCUUUGAUGCACCAUGAAACCAAGAAAUUGUCCUACCGAUACACCAAAUGCACACUUAUUGGGAUUCAUCUUCAACCCAUGUUUCCUUGUACAUUCCAAUACCUUUCUCAAAUCGGCAAGAUGCUUUGUAAAGUCUCCAGACUUAACCACCACAUCAUCAAUAUAAAUCUCCACCAGCUUGCCGAUGAACUCAUGAAAUAUAAAAUUCAUAGCUCUCUGAUAAGUAGCACCAGCAUUCUUCAAGCCAAAGGUCAUGACUAUCCAUUCAAACAACCCAACAUGACCAGGACAUCUAAAUGCAGUCUUUGGAAUAUCUUCUUCAGCCAUGAAUAUUUGAUUGUAACCUGCAUUGCCAUCCAUAAAGCUAAUAAUCCGAUGCCCAGCCGCAGCAUCAACUAGCAGAUCGGCAACUGGCAUUGGGUAGCCAUCCAUCGUUGUAGCUUUGUUAAGAUUCCUGAAAUCAAUGCAGACCCGAAGCUACCCAUUUUUCUUAUAGACUGGAACAACAUUGGAAAUCCAUUCGGCAUACCGACACUGCCGAAUAAAUUUAGCUUCAAUAAGUUUGGUUAUUUCGGCCUUGAUAUCGGGAAGAAUACUAGGAUUACAUCGGCGAGCAGGUUGUUGAUGUGGCCGAAAUCCAGACUUGAUAGGCAACCGAUGUUCAACAAUUGAUCGGUCCAAACCAGGCAUCUCAGUAUAAUCCCAAGCAAAGCAAUCUUUAUAUUCUUUUAGCAAAUCAGUCAACUUUUGCUUACACUCAGAAUUUAACUUAACACUAAUAAAAGUAGGCCUAGGCUUAUCACCACAACCUAUGUCUAGUUCUACCAAAUCAUCGGCAGAUGUGAAUCCCUGGCCUAAUUUUCCAUUAUCGGCGAACCUAUCAAUUAAAAACCUUCAUCAGAACCGACUGCUUGGAUCGGUGGAAUUUCAUAAUCGGCAACUUUGAGAAAAUCCUUUUCCCAAACUUCUCCUGAAAUACAGCUAGUCCUUUCAUAGGUGUCCGCCUCUGCCGAUGCGAUGACAUAAGAAGAAUCUCCUGGGACAAUCUCAAUCUUGUCACCUACCCACUGGACCAGGCACUGGUGCAUUGUAGACGGGAUGCAACAAUUGGCAUGAAUCCAAUCUCUUCCCAACAGUAAGUUAUAAGCACCCUUUCCACUGAUCACAAAGAAGGUGGUCAGCAAGGUUUUGCUGCCGAUGGUCAAUUCAACACAUAUGGCUCCCUUGACCGGAGACACGUUCCCUUCAAAGUCUUUAAGCAUCAUAUCGGUCUUGGUCAAAUCCUGAUCUCCUUUUCCAAGCUUCCGGUACACUGCAUAUGGCAUGAUGUUGAUACCAGCCCCACCAUCAAAUAAAAUCUUGGUCAUCGGCUGUCCAUCAACCCUUCCUUUGACAAACAGAGCCUUAAGAUGUUGCCUUUCAUCAUCGGCAGGCUUUUUGAAUAUGGCUGUCAUCGGAUCCAGAGCCAACUGAGCUAUAUGGUCGGAAAACUCCAACUCAUCAUCACUGGAUGGUGCAAGGAACUCCAUCGGCAACAUAAAUACCAUGUUGACAUCUGCCGAUGGACCUUUCCCCUUAGGAUCUGACUGUUGCUGAUCCCCAGACUGUCCAGAGUUCUCACCCUUGCUCAGCUCUUCUCGCCUUUUGUGUUGCAGUCUUCUCUUUUGUGUCCUAGUCAACCCCUCUAGACACCAUGGAGGAAGUUGUUGCUGCCUUACCGAUGGGCGAUGAUUUUCCCUUGACUCCAUCCGAUAAAUAUUGGCAUCCCUGCAAAAUAUGAACUCAUCAGGAACUCGAGCAUUAGCCAUCUCUUCAAGUUCUUGCUGGUUCCUGGGAAAAUAUCCAACAUGAUCGCCGAGCCUAUCGUGCACACUGAGCCUGCCCCCCAGCCGACCGUGAACGGAUGCUCUCCCCCUCACUGGCCCGUUAAAUCGCCGAUCGUCAUCGUGAUAGCACCGAUCAGAUCUGUCAUACCGAUCAUAACCAUUGCACUCAUGACAAUCUUUGAUAGUGGGAAGUUUUAUAUUUUCCUCCCAACAAUGGAUGAAGAACGGACUAUUCUAGUGAUCCCUAUGUCGAUUCCACUCCUGUCGGCGUCUUUCUUCCUCCAGACGAUAGUCCUCUUGCUGGCGCUGAUACUGAUCCUCACGUUGCUCCCAAGUCUCCCGAGGCCUUCUAUGAGUUAUCACAAUACCAGAUCGGGGAGGCCUUCCUGAAUUAGUUCCCUCCUGGAUCAAGCCUUUUCCUUUUGCAUCGGCAGUUGUAAUCUGAUGCUGAGGAUCUACCGAUGCACUUCUUUCAGCUACUUCCGAUGUCAAGACCUUGGCCUUUCCCUUGGCAUCCAACAUGUUUGUUGGGAAAGGAUGCUGAUCAAUCUUCAUCAGUUUCUGGGUUUUGGAACUGUCAAAUUUGAUCCCUCCAGAUUCUAUAGCCGAUUGCAGCUGUUGUCUGAAAACUUUGCAUUCAUUGGUGUCGUGAGAAGUUGCAUUGUGCCAUUUGCAGUACUUCAUCCUUUUUAAUUCUUUAGCCGAUGGGAUUACAUGAUUGGGUGACAAUUUGAUCUGACCUUCCUGAAGUAGAAAGUUAAAUAUCCUAUCGGCCUUGGUGAUGUCAAACACGAACUUCUCUUGCUCUUUAUGCCCAAAAGGGCAAGACAUCGGCUUCUUGUUUUUCACCCAUUCUGCCAAGCCGAUGACUGGUUCCUCAUCAGAAUCUGAGCUUGCUGCCUCAUCAACAAAUGAUACCUUUUUAUUCCAGGCCCUCUUGGGCUCAAAGGGCUUGAUAUCUUGAUCAGAAAUUCUCUGCACCAAAUGGCUUAGGCUUUGAAACUCCUGAGAUGCAUACUUGUCCCUGAUAUGUGGCAACAAAACCUGGAAAGCCAAAUCGGCCAGCUGCCGAUCAUCCAGAACCAGGCUAUAGCAUUUGUUCUUGACUUCCCGUAUCCUCUGCACAAAACCUUCAACGGAUUCAUCAUUGCGUUGCUUUAACUUGACCAAAUCGGUGAUCUUCUUCUCAUGAACCCCAGAAAAGAAGUAUUUGUGGAAUUAUUUCUCUAGAUCGGCCCAAGUAAUCACUGAGUUGGGAGGUAAUGAUAUAAACCAGGUGAAAGCCGAUCCAGAUAAUGAUGACGAGAAUAAGUGAACCCUUAACUUGUCCCUGUUAGCAGCUUCCCCGCAUUGGAUGAAGAACCUGUUGACAUGCUCCAUGGUUGAUGUAUCAUCCUGCCCUGAAAACUUAGUAAAAUCCGGUACUUUGUACCAAUUUGGAAGCGGGAUUAAAUCAUAUGCGGGAGGAUACAGUGUCCGAUAAGAGUAAGUGUUGACUUUGGGCUUUAUCCCAAAUUGGUCUCUCAUUACUUCAGCAAUCUUAUCGGCCCAAUAAGCAUCGGCAUGUUGCCGAUGAGGCGGUUGUGGAUCUGGCACCUGCUAGUAAGCUCCCACGUGUCUGUGCAGUGCACGAUCUGCAUCGAACAUUGGGUUGGCCAUCUGACCACCAUCCUGCUGACCACCGACCUGUUGACCGCCAAAUUGUUGCCCGCCGAUCUGCUGCCCAAGAUUCAUUUGCUGGUUGGGCAACCCUUGAUUUUGGAACCCGGGGUAGAUCUGGCCUUGCUGGAACCCUGUAGCUUGAUGAUGCUGUUGGGGCAUUUGUGGAAAGACUUGCUGCUCAGGCCAUCCACUAUUAGCAUUCAUCGGCAUAGGGCCUGCCGAUGACUGGUAAUUGGGCAUGAUCAUUGAGUUGACAUACCCUGGCUGAGUCAUAAACCUCUGUUGCAUCAGCAUUGAAUCUGUCGAUGCAUUAGGCAUCUGGAACAUUGGAGCUUGAGAAUUCCCAGUGUAAUGUCUUGCAGUAGUAGUUGUAGUAUACUGGGGACUCUGAUUCAUCGGCAUAUUGGGAGGUGCCGAUGCCGUAGGAGCCUUGCCUCUUCCAUCAGCCGCCUGAGAUGCACCAGGUGUCUUCAAUGUGAACUCUGGAGGCAUACCAAAACCCCACCAGUUUGGGGGAGGAACUGGUCCUGACAUUGCCGAUGCCAAUAGAUCUGUAGUAAGUUUAAUCUGCUCAUUUGAAAUCGGUGGAUUAGUCGUCAUCAGCGCAGAUUGUGCAUUAGUGACUCCCAACGUACUUGGAGGAACAGUAGUCUGGGUGCCCGCAGCGGCUGUAGCUGCCGAUGGAGCUGUGACCACCGGUGACCCUAGCUGAUGAUGAGAUGGGCCCACAUAAUUUGGUGGCAACUGUCCUUCUUUGAAAGUUCUAGCCACGGCAUUGAAAACCGUAUUGGACAGCACACCAGCUUGGUUGAUCAAAGCACGGUUAAUAGCAUUAUCAACCAUAUCUUGAAGUUUACCAAGAUUGGCAUCAAAAGUAACCUGCCGAGGCAUCGGCAGUGCUUCCUUCUAGAUCACCUCGCCACUCCUGUUUAUGCUUAAGGACCUCAAGCAUUGCUGCUUGUAAUCCUCCAUGGCUUUAGCAAUAGCUUGCUUCUGCUCAUCCUUGAGAUUGGCCUUAGUCACAGGGAUGACAUUCUCCUGAUCGAACUCAGUAGUCGACAUGUUGAUCUUGAUCUUGAAUCUGUCCCACUGGGCGUGCCAAAAGAUGUGUUGAUGCAAAAGCUGGAUCUGCAAACACAAAGGGCUAAUACCCGAUUCAAACGUUAAGGCGUGCCAGCCGAUUUGACCUUACUAUCGGCAAAGGUGAUAACUCGAAUACUUUGGUCCUGACAACAGCGAUGCGCCCGGAUGUCACGGCCAAGAUUCACAUGGAACUCGAGAAUACGCCGAGCUUAAGUCGACGAACUCCUAAGAACUCAUAAUGAAAAGAAAAGUAUGACGAAGUUGUCGAAAAUGUAGAUGCUAGAAUAUGAGUAAAAACUUGUGUUUUAUUGAUUGAUAGAUGUCCCGAUUACAAGGCCCUAGGGUCUACAUUUAUACCCGGCUCAAAGAGCUACAACCAGACACGACUAGAAUUCGAAUUCCAAAUUUAAACAGAAUCCGUGUAUAAAACGAUUUAAAUAACUAAGAAAAACAUAAAACUAUCCUUCCGUGACAAACAGGGACACCACCACGGACCAAUCGGCGACCUUCAAGUCUUCCUUCUAUGUCAUCAGCAGACUCCCCAUCGGCAACAGUUAAUACUGUCCAUCGGCAUAAACACAUCACCACCCACGGACUUAGCCACAUUCAACUGUCUCCUCAUCAGCAACUACCCUCAUCGGCAACUCCCCUGCAGACCAAUUACUAUUGCCCUUUCUUGCCGAUCUACUCUCCACCAAUCUUGGGUACGUGUCCAAAAACGGUGUCGACAAUCUCGUUAGCAGGAAGGAUAGGGUUUAUAGGUGCGGGUUGAACAUCCUUUGUGGUGUCUAGAUUCCGUUAGCCUCCCUAAUAGAACAGUAGAUCAUCCUUACCAAGGUUAGAAGGAGAUUACGGUUGUAGUCUUCUCUAUUUAUCACUCACAUCGAGAAACAUUCUUCGUUGCCUAAAGGGUUAGUAGUAAUAGACCGGGUUAGUCAGAUGCACUCUUUCUCCUAGUGGUAAAAAAAUAAAUACGAUACUCUAGAUAACCUCCCGGGUAAAGUGCUCACCGAUAUCCGUGCGCUUGCGGAUCAAUUCCUUAUUGCGUUCCCAAAUAUCAACACCGACACCAGCCCAUGUCAUCAAUGGACCGAUUACACGUAGUCGUGCAAAGAAUCUACAACAAGAGGUCCACGCGCUACUUUGUGAGAUUCAUUUUAACAUUAAUAAGAAUUAUAUACUACCUAAGUGUUGUAUCUUGAUUGUACUCAGGUAUAUAUAGAAGAAGAGAAGGAUGAAUCGGACCUGAAUAACGGAACAGUGCAAUUUCCAGAACAAGUCAAAAACGGACCAGUGGAAGUCAAAAACGGACCAGUGCAAAGAAAUCUUCAUAACUUUUUAGUCACAAAAGCUAUGAAGGUCCAUGAGGACUUGUUGAAAAGCUUGUCGAGUCUACUUUCCAAUGAAUCUAGUGGCGACCAGUUUGGAUACACCAUAUUGCCUGGAUAACAGAAUUAGUACAGACUACUCGGAAGGUCAACAGUCUAUCAUGACAGAAUGUUGGUACAACUUGCCAAGUAAAACUCUACCAAUCUACAAUGUAUCAUGCUGGUUGGCACACAUUUCUGGAAAGCCCUUUGAGUCUAGUUUCACACCCAAGAAACGGUUCAUCAUUUGGACUUCCCAAUAAAAAGUUAUGGUCAGUUUAUUGGAAACUGCUCUGGAGGCCAACAGUCACGCAAAGCCACUUCGAGAAUCCAUUUCGAGGGACCUUUCUAUUGACGGUCCUUAAGUAUCAAAUUUAAUUAUCAAAUAAACAAAGAAAAGGAUCUAAAUGAAAUCAACAUCUAGACUUAGGGUUUUAUCUGACAGAAUUCGACGAGUUUUGGUGUUUCUCUAUUUCUGCAGGGGGUUAUCAGGAAAUACGGAAGAAAGGCCCACACGUCGGGAUUACAUAGAGAUAUCAAUGUGCCGCGCAAGUAUUUUACAUCUAGAAGACUCCAGAAGCCACGGGAAGGAAGCGGAGGCCGAACGGAGCUAGGACCUGGGCGCCCGCCCAAGUCCUUAGGGCGCCCGCCUUGCUACAGUGGCCAAUCACGUUCAACCUCGCGGAUUAUGCUCCACCGACCUAAAGGAUCAAGAAUAACCGUUCAAUCAAUGUCGGUUUGAUCUGACGGCCCAGGUUCACUUGAGGGGACUAUAUAACCAGACCCCCUGGCCCCUGGAGGAGGCAACCCCUUGAUCAUUAUUCAUUAUUCAUAGACAGAGCAAAAGCUAGGGUUUAGAGAUGAGAGCUCUCCUCUCUUCUCUAAACUAGAGUAGAUCUAGAUAGUAGCAAGAUGGAGAGCGAAGGAGGAUUAGAGGAGAGGCCGGCCUGUCGGUUCUUCCUCCGGUUGUACUUCGCCAUGAUCAAGCUCUAAUCAAGCUUGCUCAUGGGAUGACUCUGGUAAUCUACUUCUAAUUCAUUAUGCAAUUACUAAUUAUGUAUGUUCUGGUUCACAACUCUUUUGAGUACUUUAAUCUAUAGGACGCUAUAGGUGAGAGUUGUAGUAUAGGUGUAAGCGAGGUGCUUAGAUCUAGAUUACUUGUGGAUAUCCCCUGUCUAGCUGGAUCGUGUGGUAGGCCGCGUAGGUGACAGUUACGUUGGUCCUCUGUAGUCCACCUCUCGUUAGUAGGACGGGUAGGGUUUAUCGGCCUAUGGAUAAGCAUCCUUUGUGGUGUAUUCUUAUCACGUGGUUCGUCCUAGACAUAGACAUACCCCUUUGAAGUAGAGAAACCAUAGUUAUCCUCUCUAUUCUGCUACCAUCGCCCAUAUACUAGAAUUGCUCUAUUCUCUAUUCCCAUAUUAUCACUCACUAUUAUCUUACCUUUAAUAUUGUUCUUAUUCAAUUCUACCAUCUUUCCUAUUUACACUUAUCUAUUUAUCUUGGUUAAGUUAGAGCGUAGUUAGUUCUCCCGUUUCCCUGUGGAUACGAUAAAACCUUUAACCGGGUAAAAGCUUCAACAGUAUCCGUGCGCUUGCGGAUUAUCUGUGUGCGUAUAAAUACCAUAGUACACUCUAGUGCCAUGCUGGAGAUGACAACCUAGUAUUCAAGUGGUGUUAGCAAGUGUCAAUAAGCAUUAUUGGCGCCGUUGCCGGGGAAACGGUUGCUGAGUUGACUACGAACUAGCUUAAUCAUUUUCUAAAAAAAAUAAUAAAAAAAUAUAUAUACUUUUCCUUUUAUCCUUUGCCUCAUCUCUGCUAUUCUUUCUUCUUAUCUAAUCCUUGAUCUCUGGUCUAUCAUGAAUUCAAACAUGUCUAUCUAUGAAUUUCAUAGACCUACCAUAGCAUCUAGUUUUGAGAUAGACCCCGAAUACAUAGAAUUUGUUCAAAAACAACCUUUCUCAGGAGAAGGUGAGGAAAACCCAUACACACACCUAAGAGAGUUUUAUUGAGUCUGUGACCUCCUUCGUAUAGUAGGCAUGUCUGAUGAAACCCUUAAAUGGAAGCUCUUUCCAUUCUCUUUAAUAGGAAAAGCUAGACAUUGGCAUAAACUAAAAAUAGGGAGUGUUCAUGGAGAUUGGAAGGAGUUAUAUAGUAGUUUUCUUUCUAAAUAUUUUCCAAUCUCCAAAGUGGCGGAACUUCGACGUGAGAUUAUUUCUUAUAGACAACUGGAAGAAGAAUCUCUUAGGAAGAAGUUCCAGAAGAAGUUCUUCUAUUUCACUUUUUUAAGGGCCUUAGUGGGGAAAAUAAGCAAACCUUGAAUACAGCCUCUAGAGGAUCCUUCUAUCACCUACUUGCUAGUGAAGCUUGGAAUUUGAUUGAUUUAUUAAGCGGAAAGUCUCAGCUUUUAUAUCCCUGAGAAAGAGAAAGAACCAGUUCCUAGACAAGAAGAAGAAGUUUCGAUAGCCAGAUCACAACCACUUCAAUUCCAAACUUUAGCUAUCGAUCCUAAACCAUCAAUACCCCAAAAUUCUCCAAGGGAGGAAGGAAUUCCGACCUUAAAUCUUUCAGAUGCUGAUGGUUUAGACUUCUGGUUCCAUAAGAGACCUUCAUGCAGGGAUAAUUCAAAUCCUCGCAAUAAUGGUUCUCUUAGAGAAUGUCCUGAUUCCUGUUAUGAAGAAGUCGAGGAUGACAUAUCAAGUGAAGGAGAGCUAAGCCAUAUUGAAAAUUAUAACACCUCCCCAUUCCUUAUCACAAGUUAUAAAUGGCUAGAAUGUGUAGAAUGGAUGGAUAAGGAAGAAGCCUUAAUGAAUUCUGACUUUGGUUCAAUUUCAAAUGGUGAGUUCUUGACUCCCUUUAAAGAUGAGAUUCAUCCAACUACAGAAGAGGACAUAAGUGAGACCAAUCCAAGAGAAACUCUGAACAUUCAGAUUGAAGACGAAGAUAACAUUAAUGAGCAUGGAAUUUAUUUCAUAGCCACUUUGUUUACUCCAUGCUCACAUGCAACAUCUUCCCAAUCUAUUGGUCUCUCCAAUAUCACCACAUUUGAGAUCUCCAGCCCCCUCUUCCUUUCUAUUUAUAAAAACUUUAAAAGGGCGAUUGUCGAUGCAUAUGUCUAUAAUAAAUAUUGCAGAUCUCGUUGAGUUGAUCAUGAUAUAGGUCAGCGUUGGAAGGGAAACCACUUCGCUGACAUAAAUUGAUGGUUUCACAAGGACAAGCUUGGUGUCCUAAAAUAAGCACUGAUCAGAUCGUAACAUGAGUUUUUAAUUAUUUGCAACAUUACCUUGUGUAUUGAGCAUAUAAGGAUAAUUGUAAAAAUAUUCCUUCGGGUAUUCUUGUCACUAACCUUUCUAGGAUUGGAGCAAGAAGAUCGGAUGAAUGACAAGCAAGUACAAGGUAUGUCCAACCAAUCAUCAUGCAACACUGAACUAAAUUCAUCCAAACUUGAAUUCUGCAAAAUUCAAGCUUGGGGGAGUACUUUACAUAAAAACAUCCUUUGCCAUGUUGCUGUGUUGGUUGUCCCUACCUUUAAGACAUGCUCAAUUUGUUAAAUAACAAUCACACUACUUCAUCUCCACUUGAGUAGAUCUCUAUAAAUGCUGUCAUGUUACCUUUGCCUAUUUACUAGCAAGUGUUAGUUUGGAAGUACUGCACAUACUUCUAUUGGCUUUUAAAUUAAGCAUGGUGCUUAGGUUAAAUAGUCUUCCUUAAUCUGAUUAGACAUGGAGUCUAGUUCGGUUAUUGAACUAAAAACUGCUUGUGUAGACAUUGGUAUAUAUUUGUCGGACUAACCCCUGCAGAAAAACUUCCAAUAUCGAUUUGGGAAGUCCUGAGAUAAACUCACAUCAGAGACGAAGAGAGUGACACAUGAAGUUUAACAAUUUGCACAAGAAGGACAUAGCUCAUUCAUCAUAGAGAGAUGAUCCAUGGAGGGUGCCACUAACACGAUGCACAACCGCUAAGAAAGGAAAGCUUCCACAAGGUGAUACUGUACCGUCACUCUUCAAGUAUGGUAACACCUUAAGGUACUUGCCGAUCACUUUUAUAAGCUUCUCCUUGGUUUUGGUGUUCAUAUGAAUAAAAGAGACAAACAUGUAUGAUUUAUAGCUCUAGGUUAACCAACCCAAUCGAUUCAACAUGUUUAGUCCUUCUACUUUUGUGAUCCCACACUCCUAAUCAUAUGAGCUAAAAUGUUACGCAUUCAAUCUUUGAGAGAUAUAAAGAAAAAGACAUAUACAUAGAUAGAUUAUCUUUCCAUAAGGUUGAGCGAUCUGAUCUGACAAAUGUUAUAAGUGCUACACUCAUGAACUUUUCAUCCAUCAACUUUGUCUUGCUCACUAUGCUUAGGGUUAGAGAAAAACAAAUACACUUUUGGUUCUGUUGGUCCACCAACAGGACCCAUGCACUUGAUCUCUGCCUUGUCUCUAUGAGCAGGUACACUUCGAGCAAAACAUGGAGGAGUUUUAUAACUCUCAGACUCUACCAAGUAAAGCACCUGAAUCAAAUGACGCAUCUGAAGAAUGAACACAUUGAACCCUCACCGAAAGGUAAGAUCGGUAGUUAUCCAUAUUUAUCCUUUCUGCAUUCCCUUUUCCCUUUAAUUUUUUACUUUCCUUAAAUAGAUUAUUAGUUAAUCAUGCUAUCUUGAAAAGAAAAUAAAAAUGUUAAAAAAUACUAAGCCCCAUGUGAGUAUACGAGUGGCAUAAAACCCAUAAGUACCUUCACUUUGGUGGCAUAAAAAUAAAAUAAAUAUUUCUUUUCUGCUUUAUAAAAUAAAAAUAUAAAAACAGGGAGUAAUAUUUAUUGAGGAAGCUCAACAUGAUGAAGGCUAGAUAUUUAUGCUAACACUUAAUUAGUUCCACAAGCUUUGUUGUCUAUUUGAGCUCCACAGAAUUUAAGAAUCAAGAAGACUAGCAGACGGAGGACAUUCUAAUCGCUGUCAGAAUGCUGCUGACUUUCAAAUACACCUCUGCCACCUGCUAGCAACAUCAAGAGAAAUUACGUCAAAAUUCAGCUUGGGGGAGAGCACCCCCAUUUAUCUCGCUAAGUAUUUCUACCUAUCUUUAUACUUAUAUUAUAUUAGAAUAUUAAAAUACAUAAACUAUGAAAAACCAAAUAAAGAUUUUGUGCUUAUAUAUAUAUCUUUUGCUUAGUGUGUUUAAUAAAUAAAGUGGCUAUGCUAAUCUGAAUCUUAAUAAUAAAACUCUAGCAUGGAUAUGACGAAUAGUUGCUCUGCCUAAUUUGCAAAUUUGAAGUUCUCUCUCAAGUUUAGACAUAACUGUUAUAAUUUAAAGCUUGCUCUAGAUCUAAACUUGUGGGAUGAAAACUUGAUCUGAAAUCUAAGUUGUUAACGGAUAUGAUAUGGGAAGGUUGAGCUGCUGUUUAUCUGUUCCUAGAGAUGCUAGAAUUCUGGAGAAUUUUAUCUUUAAAAAAUCUUUAAAAUAUUGCAUGAUGAGUUCCUGUAUGAUGAGAGUUUAAAUUCCUACCACAACCAUAUAUAUACAUGCUUGCUAGACUUUGAGCCACACAUUUAUUAUUUACUGCUUAUGAGCAUUGAGUGUGGUCAAGCUAUGUAGACCCUUAGGAGCUUGUCAUGUGGUUAAAUCAAGAUUCACUUGCACGUUCACUCAUAUAUGCUACUUCUACUCCGGAAGUACCAUCCACAUAUAUCCAUCCAUGUCCAUCUCCAGAACCAGCCAAAAAUAUUCUACUCCUAAUUCGAGAGAGAAUAGCCAAAAAUAUUUUUGUUUUCCCUUGUGAAAUAAAUGCUCAAGUUAUCUUGCUACUACCACUUGCUAUAUUAUCUCAAGAGAUGAGUGCUCUGAAAAAAAGAAAAAAAAUAAUAAACGAGGAAAUAAAAAGGGGCAAGUGCCCGGAACCUCGAAAGAAAAAAAAAGAGUGAGACGAGAGGUAAAAAUGGACAAGUGUCCGACAGUAGAAUUAGGGGUACAGGAUACCCACCUGAGAGGAAAGAAAAAUGAAAGAUAGAGCAUCUCAUUCUCCUCAUAAAGUUUCAAAAAGCAAGUAAGGUAUGUAUCCCUUCAAAAGAGCAAAAGUAGAAUUAGACUUCCACCGUUGUUAUCACCAUCAUCACCAUACACCAUUCAUUCGCCACACAUGCACAUCUUGAUUUGACUUAUUGACUUGUUUCUCUAGAUCCAUGGUUUGACUAUGCAAUAAAUGUCUUGUAAGUAUGUAUUAGUUGUCUCCCACCUAUGAGCUCUAGAUAUUAAAGACUUAUUAGAGUAGGGUGAGAGAGAAGGCAAUGUCACUAUGCCUUAUACCACAAAUACCAUAUAUCUUGAGAGAAGGCAUAUACCAUCACUGCCUUGGUAAGGAUCCAGAAAUACCAUAAAAGAGAGAUUUAGAGAGUCAUACAAGGAAUCUCUAAGUUUUAUUUGAAAAUCUGCAAAAACUCCAGAGCUAUAGCUGAUCAAGAAUAAGAGCCAUGGCACUUGGCUAGACUGUUCUAUCUUUUAACUACUCAAGACAGAAGUGACGGUUACAAGUCCCAUGGUGAAAGGUAAAGUAAGUAAGUUUUAGUUCUUGACAGUUUACUCUAACUCAGAGAUGAGAUCUUAUUUAAAAGCAUGUGUACCAUCAAAUUUCUAAGAUAUUGCAACAACUUCUAAUCCAUUGCUGAGUCUAUCCUUGCUCAGGGACGAGCAAGAGGUAAGCUUGGGGAGUAUGUUGACGGUCCUUAAGUAUCAAAUUUAAUUAUCAAAUAAACAAAGAAAAGGAUCUAAAUGAAAUCAACAUCUAGACUUAGGGUUUUAUCUGACAGAAUUCCACGAGUUUUGGUGUUUCUCUAUUUCUGCAGGGGAUUAUCAGGAAAUACGGAAGAAAAGCCCACAUGUCGGGAUUACAUAGAGAUAUCAAUGUGCCGCGCAAUUAUUUUACAUCUAGAAGACUCCAGAAGCCACGGGAAGGAAGCGGAGGCCGAACGGAGCCAGGACCUGGGCGCCCGCCCAAGUCCUUAGGGCGCCCGCCCUGCUACAGUGGCCAAUCACGUUCAACCUCGCGGAUUAUGCUCCACCGACCUAAAGGAUCAUGAAUAACCGUUCAAUCAAUGUCGGUUUGAUCCAACGGGUCAGGUUCACUUGAGGGGACUAUAUAACCAGACCCCCUGGCCCCUAGAGGAGGCAACCCCUUGAUCAUUAUUCAUUAUUCAUAGACAGAGCAAAAGUUAGGGUUUAGAGAUGAGAGCUCUCCUCUCUUCUCUAAACUAGAGUAGAUCUAGAUAGUAGCAAGAUGGAGAGCGAAGGAGGAUUAGAGGAGAGGCCGGCCUGUCGGUUCUUCCUCCAGUUGUACUUCGCCAUGAUCAAGCUCUAAUCAAGCUUGCUCAUGGGAUGACUCUGGUAAUCUACUUCUAAUUCAUUAUGCAAUUACUAAUUAUGUAUGUUCUGGUUCACAACUCUUUUGAGUACUUUAAUCUAUAGGACGCUAUAGGUGAGAGUUGUAGUAUAGGUGUAAGCGAGGUGCUUAGAUCUAGAUUACUUGUGGAUAUCCCCUGUCUAGCUGGAUCGUGUGGUAGGCCGCGUAGGUGACAAUUACGUUGGUCCUCUGUAGUCCACCUCUCGUUAGCAGGACGGCUAGGGUUUAUCGGCCUAUGGAUAAGCAUCCUUUGUGGUGUAUUCUUAUCACGUGGUUCGUCCCAGACAUAGACAUACCCCUUUGAAGUAGAGAAACCAUAGUUAUCCUCUCUAUUCUGCUACCAUCACCCAUAUACUAGAAUUGCUCUAUUCUCUAUUCCCAUAUUAUCACUCACUGUUAUCUUACCUUUAAUAUUGUUCUUAUUCAAUUCUACCAUCUUUCCUAUUUACACAUAUUUAUUUAUCUUGGUUAAGUUAGAGCGUAGUUAGUUCUCCCGUUUCUCUGUGGAUACGAUAAAACCUUUAACCGGGUAAAAGCUUCAACGGUAUCCGUGCGCUUGCGGAUUAUCUGUGUGCGUAUAAAUACCAUAGUACACUCUAGUGCCAUGCUGGGGAUGACAACCUAGUAUUCAAGUGGUGUUAGCAAGUGUCAACACUUUCAUAUUACCUUCCCUCGGAAACUCUACUUCAUUUUCAUACCUAUCUAGCAGGGCUGUUGCUAGUAUAAAUACCCCCUAAGACUCAUUGUAAUCUAAGACUUUUGAUAAUUGAGAUACAGAACCCCUUUUGUUUAGCUGUGUGCUAGCAAAUAUUCAGAGAGUGAUCUCUACCCCUUGCUCUUGUGAUUUCUUCGCGGGAUUACAUAGACGGCGGCUUCAUCCGCUCUCAAUUGGUGCUCCUACUCCCUUCAAGGUAUUCCUUGAUUGAUUGUAGGUUGUGUUUGUUGGUUCUUUGAGAGUGUGGUUGGGCGAAUCCCCGGUUAAAGACGGUGGUUGGCUUCGAGUUUUAUUUGCCAGGUUGCACUAGUUAUUGCUGCUUGCAGCAAGUUAUCUGGCUAUUCUUCAGCUAGUUAUCGGUGUUCUUCCUACAUCAUGAAGAUCGGGACAACGUGACGCAUCAUAAAGUGUCACCUUAUCAGUUGGUAUAUGGGCACAAUGCUGUGUUACCUUGGGAAAUCAAAGCUGCCUCUAGGCGGAUAUUUUCUCAAGAUCAAUUAGCUACCGAUGAUUAUGUUACUCUAAUGAAAGAUGAGUUGGAGGAUUUGGUGGGACAUCGGUUGAAGGCUUUGGAGAAUAUAGAAGAGAAUAAGAAGAGAGUAGCUAGAUGGUAUGAUAAAAGUGUAAAGGCUAAGGAGUUCACUUAUGGUGAUUUAGUUUGUAAAUUAAUUCUAUCGAUUGGGACUAAAAGUUGUAAAUUUGGAAAAUGGUCUCCUAAUUGGGAAGGUCCUUAUCGGAUAAAUCGAUCUGCUCCUGGCAAUGCAUUUAUUCUAGAGAUUCUCGAAGGAGUUGAAUUUCCCAGAGCAUUAAACAGAAAGUAUUUAAAAUGAUACUACCCUAGUAUUUGGGUCGAUGCAUAAGAAGUUUUAGUGCCGAUAACAGUACUAUCAGCUUGACAAAAUACUUGUGUUUUUGAAAGAGCUGAUGAGGCAUACUACCGAUGAAAAACUUUAUAGAUUCAAUAGAGCUUGGAUGGCCGAUAUUGCACAAAGACGAAUUUGGUUGGCUGCCUCAAUCUCUUUGGUGUCUUCAUCGGCCGACCCUUCUAUCAGUUUGAGUUUCUUCUUCAUCUGCAAGGCCUUUUGGGCUUGGGCAUCCCUUUCUUGCUGAAGGUCCUUAAGCAUAUCUGGCAGCUGGCUUUCUUCUUGCUUGGCCUGAGUUAGUGCUUCUUCAACUUGCUUGAGCUUAGCAAGUAAAGCUUCUCUUUUGGUCGACAAAUCAAAAAUCUUUUGCUUUAGUUUGGAUCCUGAGCUUUGUAGAGUGCCGAUGCUUUUGUGCUUCUCAUCGGCAAUGUGCUUCACUAACAACAUUUCCUCUUUACGUUUGGCUUGUGCAGCUCUGUCGGCAAGGCGUUGGGUAGCUUUUUGGUAUUGGAGACGGCGACUUUCCAGAUGAGCAGCUUGGAAGAGUACCUCUUCGACAUCGGCAGGGAUCUGACCGCGGAGAGUCUUGAAAAUAACUUUAGCCAGAUCGGAGUCGUCUACCAGUUGAGCUAUAUCUUGCUGAAGUAAGGCCAAUAGAUCCUCCAGCUUGGACUUGAUUUCCGCUAAUACGAUCCCGAGUGCCAGGGAGGAGCUUGAUUCUUCUCCUUCAUCGUCGGAAAUAUCGAUGGCAAAAUAAAAUAGACUAUUAGGGGAGUCUUGUUCCUAAAAAUAGAAAAGAAAAUAAGUUAGUCAGGAUUAAGUAUGAAUAAUACAGGACUGGCCAGGUUGGGUGACUUACUUGUUUCAAGGCGAUUUCUUGCCUUUGGCUGAAGGAUAUGGUUUGAAUGGUGCCCUGAUCGGCUAGAUUUGCCGAUGGAAUAUCUUCAGCUACAAAAUUGGUUAAGUGUUAAGAAUUAUGGUUUCUUUAUGAGAUGCAUCGGUAAUGGUCCAAUAAGUGAUCUGUAUUCUACCUUGGGAAGAGACGAUGGUUGUUUGCUUGGGAAUGGCGACGGAUGAUGUGCCUUGAUCAGAUGGAUCGAUGGUCUGUUCAGGUGCAUCGGUCGGGUCUGCUUGAAUCUAGGGCGCCGGAUGAGGUGGAGAGGAUGGUGCUGCUUUCUACCGUUUCGGCUGAGUCUCGGUACUUGUAGGAGCCUUUCUCUUGGGAGGAGCUUGACUGGAUGUUGGCUGGGGGGCAUCGGCACCCGAUGAUUGGACACUUUGGACCUUUGCCAAUGCGCUGGUUUGCUGCUACAAGACAUAAGGUUUUAUGGGUUAAGUAUGAAAGCAGAGGAAUAUUUCUGAAGUUCAUUAAUAAUGAAAGUGUCUAUUGCAAAGUUACCGAUGACACUCCAGUUGUAGUCGAUACACCCUGAAAGGAUAGUGUAAGUGCAGGCUAAAAUCGGUAUAACAGAAAUAAAUUGAGGAUUACCUUAAAAGCUUGUGCUAGAGUGGCGGUAGCAACCGAUGGAGCGGCCUUUGACCAUUUGGUGGUCAUCUUCUUGAAACGAAUUCCUUGGUGCAUCAGGGCUGCUAGACUGGGAGCGUUGUGGCCGAUCAGAGAAAUUGGAGAUACUGCCUAGAGAUCAAACGGCCGCCCACUUCUACCCACCGAUGGUGCCGGAUCAUCGACAUGUUAAAAUGAAGAAGUAAGUUGCCGAUAAAAUUAGAAGUAAAGAAAGAAUUGAGUAUUGGAGAGAGACUUACAACAACAUCCGGAAUUUCAUACUCAGAGUCGAUCAUGUUCUGGUAUGCAUGAGCCGAUGUUGUGAACAAUUGUUCUUUCCAUUAUUCCCACCGUAGUUUGUAAGAUUCGGUGAUGAAGGAAGCUGGAACCCAAGCCGAUAGGUCGACAUCUACUGUAUCAGCGUCUAGCGGAAGUUGGGCUACUUUUAUCCACUCAAGGCCGCUAGUGAUUGUUUCCCUUGGCUUGAUCACAUCGGCAUAGCAAAGUUUGAUUGACAGUUGACCGAAGCCAACUGACGAGAUAAUGUUGAUGGAUUGUAGAAUUCGUAAGUCGCAUUGGUAUUCUUUCCUCUGCCGAAGAUGUUCACUGGAAUUGCCCUUGGGGUGAUAAUGGCCAUCAUCAAAUCAUUGUUCUUGUUAAGUGCUUCAUCGGCAGGAUGAAAGAGGAGGGGGAAUCUUGAUUCUUCAUGUUCAUAGGGCAUCCAGGCCCGAUGGUCCUAGGAAAGACCAUUAUAGAGAGUUUGAAAGAAUCGGCCGAUCUGAUUCUCAUGUGCAUCAGUCCUAGGAAGGACUAUGAUGGCCUCACCGAAGUUGAGGGGCGAGCGAGUUGUCGAUUCAUCUUCUGCUAACUUGUAAUCUGUGCAAAGAAAUCCGAUUGCACACGCUUGUGCAUAUGAGCAUUAAGCCACAUGUUGAUAAACCACCAAGGACCUCCCAGGUAACCGAUGGGUUCACCCAACAAAAGCUUCUCAGCCACUUGAUGAAGGAGAUGAUAGGCAUUACUCAAACGGUAUUAGCCAAGGGGAAAUUGGGAACCAUUGGCUAACCGCUCAGCAACUGCUAAGUAGACACAAGUCGACCCUACCGAUCGGUCGCAAAAGAUAAACUUAUGCAGCCACAUGUUUAGGAAAAUGGCAUGCUCUCUCUGGCUGACCGAUCCGGUUUGCUGAUACUUCUGGAUGUAUCCUGACCAACCACCGAUGUUACGGGUGUCUACUCUAUGAUCUGGUUUCUAAUUGAAAAGACUACCAUCAUCAGCAGUUGAGAUAUCUAGCCCUGUGAGCAUGAGUACAUCGGCAAGUGUGGGGGAAGCUGGGCUGUGACCAAACUUAAAAGCAUUGAAGGUUCUGACCAAAAGUAUGCAGCAGCUAUCAUCAUCGACUCAUUUUUCUCCAUAUCGGCAAUGGAGAGUCUGAUAUAAUGGUCUAGUUUGCGUUCUCCCCAAUACAUCUCAUUAGCCCCACUGACUCUUAGAAACCAAUCUUUCCAUCCAUUAGUGGGUUUUGGUAGGAUCGGAAGGUGUCUUUCCAUAGAUCUAGGGAGAAAUUUUCAGCUCUAAAAGGAAUUCUGUUGGUUUCUGUGUUUAUUAUGUCAGUAGGAUCUGGAUCACCCAUCGGACCCAAACAUGGGAUGUGAGGUUGCUUAGUAGGGAUAACUAUUUUGUCACUUAGUUCAUAAGUUUGGGGAAUCAAAAGGACAUAAGAAAACAAAAAGAAAGUACAAAGUAUAUAAACUUGUAAGAAUGUGAAGAACUACGGUAAGGAAAAAGGAGAAGAUAGAAGUAGAUUAACCUCGGGUGCGAUGAAUUUGAUGGGCAUUUCUUCCAAGGUGAAGGGGAGACUGAGGGCUUGAAGAUACUGGGUUGAGAGUUUUGCUGCAGGGGAGCUUCUCGUUGCUGGAGUUCUGAAGCUUUUCGUCGAGGUCUUCGCCGGAGGAGAUGGGAUUGAAGAUGGAGAAUGGCAGGGUGGAAGAUGAGUACUGAGGAAGGAAGUAUUUAUAGGUUGAGAUGAGUGGGGGUAUUUUUGACUUAUCUCUUUGCCGCAUCCAUGAAAUUCAAGGUUGUUUAGAUGGAUAUGGUAACUGUUCGCACGAUAAUCAAGGGAUUGUGCAGGUGAUUUGAUGGCAAGUAAUCUUGAUCUUGAAGAUAUUUCACUGUGCGCAAUGUUUUAAUGAGUCAUUGGCAAUCCAUCCUGAUAGUAAAGUUUUGCCGAUGGGCGGUUUUCCCUAUGAUUUGGUGUAGGUGGUUGGAAGAUUUAAGGUGUUUACUGAGAUGCGAGUAUCAAGGUUGAGGUUGUUUGGAUUUGGUAACAGAUUUUUACCAGAAGGAAAGUAAUUAUAAAAAGGUCAUCAUUAUCUAGAGUAAAUUUUGGGGCAUUAAUGAUUUCAUACUCCAAAAUUGUGGGCCAUGUGUUGACACUGUUUUUAGGUAUGAGUCAAGAUAGUUAAGACAAGCUGAUCGGUGGUAGGGAAGUUGCUGUGAUCAAUCGAUAAAAGAGUGUCGAUAGCCGAUGAUGCCGAUGACAGAAUGAUGGUUGGAGGAUUCUGCUGGCCUGAGGUUGGAGACGACAACUGCUGAUUGUUGUCGAUUAGUCGCCGAUGCCGAUAAGGGACGGUUGAUUGCCGAUGCCGACGGAAGAGAAUGUAAAAAUCAUUGCUAAAGGGGCAUGUAUGUGUCGAUGGGGCAAGACUCGAUGAAGGUUUGGAACAAAAAGUCAAUGAAGACUUGAAGCAGUAACCAAUGAAGAUUUCAUCGUUAUUAGGAUGGACAUAGGAAUAGAUGAUCAUUGUUUCUUUCUAUAAUUAUCGAGAUAUGCCUUAUAUGUAAGAGUCUCAUUUGCUUUAGAUGAAUCUUAGUUGUUUUCGGUUGUAACUCUUAAGGGAUAGGGUAUAAAUAUAAACCCAGUGGCAAUGUAAAAUCAAUCAAUACCAAACACAAGUUUUACAUCUACUUUCACAUCUAAUUUUCGACGACUUCGUCAAUUCGCAUACUUUUUUUCUGUUUACGAGUUUUCAAGGAUUCGACGAGUCAUACUCGAUGACUUCUCGGGUUCCAUGUGAGUACCUCUUGGCCGUGACAUCCGGGCGCAUCGCUGUUGUUAGGACUAAAGUAUUAAAGUUAUCACCUUUGUCGAUUGCUAGGUCAAAUCGGCUGGCACGCCUUGAUAUCAAAAUUGAGUAUUAGCCCUUUGUGUUUGCAGAUUUAUUUUUUGCAUCAACAAGUUUCCAUCUUAGAGUUUCAUUGGCCAUGCUCUUAAUACUUAGACAUGAACAUGUCUGCUCAAAAUUAGCUAAGUGGGAAUAGGGUUUUCCGCUAGAAUUACCACAAAAAAUAUGUUCUUGAACUAAUUUGUCCCGGGCGUAGCUCAUAGCCACAUGAUGUGAUAGGUUUAGAAGAUUCUUUUGGCUGGAGGUACAAUCCCAAUGGUUCUCCAUAUUGAUAUAAAAGUUGAGAUUCAAUUUCCAUAUUUAUAUAUUAUUAUAUAUAUUUAUAAUUUUUUAUAAAAGGAUAACUAUAGACUAAGAUAGACUAAUGUCAAAAAUCAGCAAACUAUUCCCUGGCAACGGCACCAGAAAUGAUUGUUGGUAUAAAUUAACUGCACCCUAAUAAUGAUUAUAAUUAUAUUAUCCACAAGCGCAUAGAUAUAUACUGAUCAGCACUUCACCAAGAUCAACCCAGUUUUAAUAUCGAACCCAAAGGAACAGUAGGUGAUUUAUAACCUAGCCUAUAAUUCUUAAUCUAAGGGGUCACAAUCGAUCUAGAAACUAUUGAUGAUGAGGAAAUACUAAUGUACUCUGUUUCUAAUAACCAGUAAACUUUGUAUAGUAUUGUCUUAUCGGACAAGUAACCCAAAUAGGGGAAGAAUGAGUGUAAUCCCCUAUCAAGCACCUAUAAGCCUAUCAAUCCUAUCAAUGGGAAGUGGACUACAGACGAAUCUCGUAGCUAUAAAGUCACCUACGUGAACUACCACUGUCCGGCUGAUCAGGGGACAUUCACAAGCAACCAUAGCCCAGACACCACGUCUAUGCUACGAAUCACUACUCCGACCCAGGAGCUACCCAAAUCAUAGUACUCAAUAUAAUAUGAGUUGCAAACCAAAGACAAAUACAAACAAAUUUCUUAUUCUUACUUGAAUCAGAAGGGUAAAUACAAAAGUACCUCAGAACGUGGUUCUAGGCGAGGGAGCCGAAUCGAGACGUAUACAGCUCCUGAGGAAGCUCCGACAGACCGGGACUCCUCUGAAUCUCUACUCCUCUACUCUAUCUCUCUAAUCUCUAUAUUGAUUGCUAGCCUAGAUCUAGUGGAUCUCUAUCUAAUGCUCCGGCUCUUCAUCUCUGGAUCUAGCCUCCUCUAGGGGGGUCUAGCCUUCUAUAUAUAGCCUGGUGGGAUGAACACGCGCUGUCGGAUCAAAUCGACUUAACAAGCGGUCAAGAUGGCUCCUUAGAGGCGGUGGAGGACCAGCCAGCGCUAAGGUGGGGCCGACCGGCCCCACCUGGCGGCUGCUGGUUCCCACCUCGCGUUGGCUGUCUUCUAGAGUGUUCCUGAAUCCUCUGGUGUUAUCCUUCCAUCGCGGAUAAGUUUCAUGGCCAAUUAGCACUUAAAUCCCUCUUUUCAGCACUUUUGAAAUAAUCUCUAGAAAACACAGAAUAUACAAAACUCGUGGAAAUUGUCAGUGAUAACCCUAUUCUUGUAGAUAUUCAUUUCCGGUGGAGAGAUAAAUGCUAACAAAUUUUGUAACUUAACAGGUGUCAGCAAUAACGGUAGGGAGUAUCUACUGAAAUAACUGGAGAUUUAUUAGACAAGAUAGAAUGAAUAUUUUUGGGUGUCUUCUAGUGUAGGAGUAGAACAUUUUCUAAGUGUAUGUGGAAUGUGUAUGAAUAAAAGAAUGGUACUCCUAGGAUAGGAGCAGCAUAGGCGCGUGUCUCUAGGAUAGAAACAACAUAGAGUGUAGUAUAUAUUUUUGGGUGGUACUUCUUGGAACAAAAGUAGCACAUAGUGAAUGUGGUGGAUGUAAGUGGUUGUGUACUUCUAAGGACAGAAGUAGCUAAGAUCAAUGGAUGGAGAGCACAUAAUAUUGAUUUUUACAAGACUAGUUCCUUAGGGUCUACACAGCUUAACUACCCUCAGUGCUUAUAGGUUGAAAUAUAAUCGGAGGCUUUCCUAAUCUAGUAAAGUAUUUGGCUAUGGUAGUAAUUUUAAACUCUCAUCAUGUAGUAAUUUAAGAUUUUCAAAAUAGAAUUCUUUAGAAAUCUAACAUCUCUAGGAGCAAGACUGAUAGCAGCUCAAAGCCUUCACAUAUUGUAUCCAUCAACUACCUAGACUUUAGUUCAAGUGAUUACUACCCACAAGUUUGAGGCUCAGAGCAAAUCUUAAGUCUAAACAGUUGUGUUUAAAACUAGAGAGAGUACAAGGUUGAAAACUUGGUACUUAUAAGGAAUUAUGGCAGAGCAACUAUUCAUCAUCUCCAUAUAAGAGUUUAUUCUAGAGGUUCAUUUAAAUAGAUUCAUUAAGAGCACUCCUAACAAGAUUAAUUAUGAAAGAUGAAAUAUUUAUUGGGUUUCUAAGAUUACUCAUCUUUUUAUCUUAUCACAACAUACUAGUAAUAAAUAGAUAAGUGAGUUAGGGACACUUAGCUUGGUAUACAGGGGUUGCUCUCCCCCAAGCUAGAUGUUAACAUAGUCUGCUGACGUUGCUGACGGGCACUGAAGGCAUACUGAUCCUCCUAGAGCGACGUGGGUACUUGUUGUCAUAAACAACACUUGCCUGCUAUGAAUAGUACUCCAACAGGGGACAAGACGUCUUCUGCCUGUUAGUUCUUCUUGAUCAUUUAAAGGCUGUGAAGCUCAAAUAGACAACAAAGCUUGUGGAACUGAUUAAGCUUUAGUAAUAAACCUCUAAGCUUUGGGAGUCUAGAACUUUCUUAUACCCAUUUAUCUUUUAGCAGGAUCAAUAUGCUUUCCAUAUUUAUGGUAUGCUGACAGUAGAUAAGUUUGUGAGUUGUUCCAUCACAUAUUAAAUACAUGGGGCUUAGCAAUUUUUCUAGAUGCAAUGCAAUACAUAUUUAUUUUCUUUUUCUAAUUCAAAAAUAAUAAAGAUGAAACUACUAAUGCAAUUAAGAGAAGUAAAUAUGCUAAAGGAAAAUGCAGAUAAAUACCAAGUUACCUCGUAGCGCAGUGUUAGGUGAUUUUAAGUCCUCCAAAUAGGACCUUCUUGUUCACUCAAUGAUUGAGGGGCACAUCAGAUGGCGCCACAGGUGUUGUGUCCUCUACAGGAUUUAAUUUUGAAUUUACCUUUGGUUUCCAUACCUGCCCUGUAGGUGAUGGUGUCUUGGAGGAGAGAGUGUCUAGAAUCACUAUGUCUUCUUCUGUGGGUACCCCCACUUUGGCAGUGUUCUCCUUGUCGUGAUAUCGAUCUUCGAACCUUGAAACCUCUCCUUCAUAGUUGGCCCAUCCGUCUACAAAAUUCUUCUUUUCUGAUGGUGGGUACGUCGCCUUCUCCUUCACCUAUUCUUCUUGGGAUCUUCCUCAAUUAUAUAUUUGCUAUUGAAGUGAAGGCGUACCUUUUCUAAGGGAAAUUAGAAAUGGACCUCCCCUGUUGCAAUGUAUAUGAUGGCCUUGGUGGUGUUGAGGAAUAGUCUUCCUAGGAUGAUGGGUGGAUCACAUUCAUCUUCUCCCAUGUCGAUGACCAAGUUAGUGGGGAUGUAGUGGUCGUCAAUAUGGACAGGGACGUUUUUGACUUUCCCUUCCACGAAGCGAAAGGACUGGUCUACCAAUUGUAGCUACGCAUAGGUAGGGUCCAUAGGCAUAGUACCAUAUAGAAAUUCAUAAGUUACCUUGGCCAUUAUGUUGACGCCUGAUCAGGUAUCGUCCUUCUUGAUCACAUGUGGAGACUUGAGCAGGUGGUCAUACUCCAUGCGGAUUGCAGUGACCAUCUGUGUGUCUCUGUCUUCUGGGUCUUCUGUUUGCCCUUAUUCUUGGUCUUAGCCUUGUUUUGAGUGUUGCUCUUGUUCCUAGCACCAACAGUUUUGUUCUGAGUAGGGAAUGACAAUGUCCUGUUCUCGAAAUAAAUGGCUUCCCUAUUGCCCUUAAUGUUGAAAGUAAUCUUGGCAUUGUUGGCAUAGAUAAUAGCUCUGGCAGUGUUCAAGAAUGGUCAUCCCAUAAUGAUAGGUGACCUCUCAUCAGUAACUGUGUUCACUACUAUGAAGUCUACAGGUACGUUAGAGUUGCCUAUUCACACGCAGAUCUCUUCCAAGAUUCCCAUGGGGUAGCAGAGUGACUAGUCUGCAAGCUGCAAACACAUGGUUGUGUCUGAUAAAGGAAUAUUGAAAAGUUUUUCAUAUAUCACCUCGACAUGAUGUUGACGCUUGCACCGAAGUCACAGAUCGCCUCAUCAAAGUUUGUACUUCCAAUGGAGAUUGGGAUGACUAGCCUCCCUAGAUCACCUUCCCUUGUUCAUAGGGACGAGUCUAACCAUGUUGCUUUCAGAGGGUCCCUCUAGUAGCUUUCUGCAUUAAAGAUGUCUACAAGAUUUGCAGUUUCUAAUUCUCUGAUUGUCCAGGAAUCUUACCUUGAUCGUUGGUGGCAGCAAAGGGAGCAAGUUGUUGUAACUAAGACUCUAGCAUCUUAUUAAAGCUAAGCUCAUUCUUGAUAGCAUUUGAAAAACUUUUCAUUCUAAUAUUAAUUGAUUCUAAAGUUUUAUCAUUAGAUGCUAGCUUCUUAGAUAGUCUAUCCAUUAACUUGCCCUGAUUAAUUACUAACUCCCUUAAAGGUGGUUGAUUAGUAUUAUUGUAAGAAUUAUUACCUUGGUAUUUACCUGAGUAGUUACCUGAGUAGUUAGGCCAUUGUUUCUGGUUCCAGCCUUGAUUCUACUGAGGAUGGUAGUGGUAGUUGUUGUUGUUGUUGAUGAUGUAGUUCAUGUCCUUCGUUAGCUCUGGGUAGUUGGUACCUGUAUGCCCAGUUUCUCCACACUCUUCAUAAGUCAUGCCAGAAUCAUGAAUGUGCGUGACUCUCUUCUUCUCAAUGGUUCUCUCAUCAAGUCUUUUCAUCAACAGGCCCAUCUUGUCAACUAGCAUGUCUACCUCCUUGAGGUGGUGCAUUCCUCCACCUCUCUUGCGGGUCUAGGUUGUCUCUUCACUCCAACCUUGGUUGGAGGCCAUCUUUUCCAUAAGAACAGUGGCUUGUGUAAUGGUAAGUGAUAAGAAUGCUCCUCCAGCAGUCGUAUCCAUGGUUUCAUGAGUGCUGUUGCCAAGCCCAUGAUAGAAUAUUGUCGAGGGUAUCGGUAAGGGGUACCCUCAGCGAUGCGCAUUAUGAGAUUGCCCAUACGAAGGUUGGGACCCCCAAUUCGACGCCUUAAUCUUACUUACGCGCCGCCAACGACGGUCGCAGCCUCGAAUACGGAAAUAGCGUCGAGCGAAUCGGUCAGGGCUCGAGCAACGACUACCGUCGAAGACGGAAGCGGGCUCGAGCGAACCGAGAGACGUCGAGCGUUAGGACACUGUCCGCCGCCUGACGCGCGCACGCGGGCGGGAGCAUUAAAUGCACCUGACGUUUCCCACCUAACACCCGGGUCACGGAAGGCGUGAUAGGGAACAAGCUUCUGUCCCAUCAUUCUUUUUGCAGCCUUCCCACCGAACGACCCAGGGUGCGUCAGGACGCAGGAAACGAGGAUGGAACGUCUAAUCAGGACCCCCUCGAGGCACCCAAGGUCAGCGCUCCGGAUGUCAGCCUAUUACGCGGCGCCCGACAUUCGACCGAACGAGGUCCCUUCUCGGGGACGAGUCGGGCAUCGACUGACAACACCACAGCUGCUCCGCCGGAUCCGCCACCAUACCAUACGAGCAUGCGGUCUCAGAACCAGCACAAGGCGGCUGGCAGGACAGCACGCAGGAGCACGCGUAAUCAUCACCAAGCUAUCAAGAUGGGACGGCUCGAGGCCAUGACGUACGGAAGCCUCGAGUAGGUCAGCGCUCCAUGCGGCUAUCGAUCCAUACUCUAAUAUCUAUGCAUGUACCCUUUGUCUCUCCUUGGAGCUAUAAAAGGAGGGACUCAGGAAUAGAAGAGGGACACAUCACAACGCAAGCACACACACACACACGUAGUGGAGCGACACAUUUCAUUCCACGCUUGUAUUCGCCCCUGUACAAGCACUUAGGUGCAAGAUAAUACGAACUCUCUCCCCCCGCUGGACGUAGGGCCUUCUCUUGCCCGAACCAGGAUAAAUCUCCGUGUCUUCUUGCAUCACCAUCCGGAAAGGGGAGCACGCAUACAAAUUUACUCGUUGGUGUGACCCCCCCCGGGGAAAAAACACCGACAGUUGGCGCGCCAGAUAGGGGUCCUGCGUGUUUUUCACCGAUUUCCCACCACUUUCCGGAUGGCUACUCCUGCCUCGCCGCUUCCGCACUCCACGGUGAUUUGGUUUGGGAGUCUCGAGUUCAUGUCCACGGGCUUCGGCUACGACAUGAUCUUGCUCUCGGUCAAAGGACCAGGAGGAGUCCGUGUUACGCCAGCACGGUUGAAGGCUCCAAGACGCCCUCACCACCACGCCUCCCCGCCUAAGAAGAGGCGCGGGCAGCACCACCGCGGCCCCCUUGCUUCGGCACGACCAACAACUCGUGCAAGGCAGGAUGCGGGCCACGGGUCGGCAACACCGUCUGACCGAGCAACAAGCGCGACGACUCAGCACCACGCGACGACGGGGGGAGACGCGUCUCGCGCGCCCUCCCCCACCGCAGCUAGGCUACCUCCACGCGGGUUGUUCUCUCCAAGGACGGCACUGCCGUUCGGAUUGGACAACGCCGCGGCAUCGCUCGCCAAGACGAUAUGCCCAAACGCUCAGACAUACGUGGAAAGACCAAUGGUCAUCCCACGUAGUUCCGAAGAGCGGCGGCCGACGUCCGAACUGCCGGACCUUUCCCAAGUACGGGGCCUUCGCCGUCUAGGCCCCGGACGAUACUCGAUCACCUCCCUCAGGCAACGAUGGCUGGAGGAAGGACGUGAAUGUCUCCACGCUGCCGAGCUGGACUCCGACUCCGAGACAGACAGUUAUGACCCUACGAGGGAAUGCUAUCACCUCGACGGAGCGGCAGAAACCACCGACGAGACACGGGAUGCUGUUGCGGGUGGACGAGCCCCCGCGGCGCAAGAAGACCCCAGGACGCCUGGGAACGACGGACGGUUCGACCCUCUUCCUCAGGAAGAUAGAACUGCGCAGCUCGCGCAGCUGCGGGAGCUCAAGAUGAAGCUCGACGAAGAUCGCGAGCGCCUCGUCCUGCUCGAGCAAAUCCUCGAACAAGACCUGCCCUACCCGCCAGGCGGAAGUGUCCGCAGACGCGCUCGAGAGGUACAUCGACAAAUCGUCGGUGACACGGAGGCGGAGCAACCUGUCGGCCGUUUCCCUCGAGCAGGCCAAAAUGUAGUGGCAGCGACGAUGCUGCUGCGUAACAUGCCAGAACCAUCGAAUUCCCAGGCCCGACGAAUUCGGGAUGAGGUUCAGACGUUGCUCCAGGUGGCAGCAGUUCAACAAGCCGAAAGUUCGGCAUCUCGACGACGAGGAGCUGCCACAGAGAAGCGCGACGAACAGCCUCUAAUCGAAGAGGAGGUGUCUGUCCAGCAACAACCUCCCCCUCGAGGCAGAAAGACCGCUCUCAUCCUCCCUGCCGACAAUCAACGUCGACACGACGCGCGACACGACGUCAAAGAAAGUAGACGCCGACGGCACGGAGACGCGGAAGAACGUGGUUAUAGCGCGCAUCGCGGUGGGAGGUACGACAGCGACGAGGACCGGGUGGCCCCCGAGCCACCAGGCCCGCGGGUGUUCAGCAGAGCAAUUCGCAGCACGCCCCUGCCUAGUCCAUUCCGACCCCCAACCAGCAUCGCGAAGUACAAUGGAGAAACCAAGCCAGAGCUAUGGCUGGCCGAUUUCAGACUGGCUUGUCAGCUAGACGGCGCUCGGGGGGAUGAUCGAGCCAUCAUCAGACAACUACCCCUUUUCCUCUCCGACACCGCCCGUCGAUGGCUCGAGGAACUCCCAGCCAAUCAGAUUCACAACUGGGUUGACCUGGUCAGAGUCUUCGAGGGUAACUUCAAAGGGACCUAUAUACGGCCAGGGAACUCGUGGGACCUCAGCAAAUGCAAGCAGAAGACAGGAGAGACUCUUCGGGAGUACGCUCGACGCUUCUCGAAGCAACGCACUGAGUUACCACACAUCCCCGACCACGACGUCAUCUUGGCGUUUGUCUCGGGCACCACCAGUCGAGACUUGGUGCGGGAAUUAGGCCGCAAUCGACCUCAGACCGUCGACGAGCUGAUGGACGUAGUAGCUAACUACGCGGCAGGGGAGGAGGCAGUCGGCGCUUUCUUCAGCUCAGAAGGAAGAAAGGGCAAGCAGCCCGUCGAUGAAGAAGGGACUUUCGGUCGAGGCCUCAAGAAAAAUAAAAAGAAGCAGAAAGUACGGCAGUUCCACCAGGGAGAUUCGGGUGACGACCUUGUCGCCACGAUGGAUCGAAAGAAGCCGCGAGGCCCUCCGGAGGGGGGAAUCUUCGACAAAAUGUUGGAGGAGCCGUGCCCUUACCAUAAGGGAGGCGCUAACCACAAACUCAAGGAUUGUCGCAUGCUGAGAAAGCAUUUCGACGGUCAGGGGCUCAAAAAAGAUGCGCGUGAUGACUCCAAGAAGGAGAAGGCUGGCGGCAAGGAGGACAACAAAGAUGACGACGGCUUCCCCGCCGUCCACGACUGCUACAUGAUCUAUGGCGGGCCUUCGACUCAGUUGACCACGAGGCAACGCAAGAGGGAGCGUCGCGAAGUCUUUGCAGCAAGGAUGGCGGUGCCCCAGUAUCUUAGCUGGUCAAGCACUCCCAUCACCUUCGACCGAGAGGAUCACCCCGACAAAGUGGUCGCCCCAGGCGUCUACCCGCUCGUCGUCGACCCCAUCAUCGUCAACACCCGACUCUCGAAAGUGUUGAUGGACGGCGGCAGCAGCCUCAACAUCAUCUACCUCGAGACCCUUGAUCUCCUCGGCAUCGAUAGAGAACGCCUCCAGCCGAGCGCCGGCGGCUUCCAUGGCGUCGUACCGGGGAAAAAAGCACUGCCAGUAGGUCGAAUCGACCUACCGGUCUGCUUCGGAACGGCGGCCAACUUCAGGAAGGAGACCCUCACCUUUGAGGUGGUUGGGUUCCGAGGCACGUACCACGCCAUCAUCGGACGCCCGGGCUACGCGAAGUUCAUGGCUAUACCUAACUACACAUACUUGAAGCUGAAGAUGCCUGGUCCCAAAGGCGUCAUCACCAUCAGUUCUUCCUUCGAGCACGCGUACGAGUGCGACGUCGAGUGCGUCGAGUACGGGGAGGCGGUCGAGAGCUCCACCGAGCUCGUUGCGAAGCUCGAAGCCAUGGCCGCUGAGGCUCCAGAACCUAAACGUCAUGCGGGCAGCUUCGAGGCGGUGGAAGGUACUAAGAAGAUCCCGCUCGACCCCAACAACUCCGACGGCAAGGUGCUGACAAUCAGCACCGACCUCGACCCCAAAUAGGAAGCCGUGCUCGUCGACUUUCUCCGUGCGAAUGCUGAUAUGUUUGCAUGGAGUCCCUCGGAUAUGCCGGGCAUACCGAGGGAAGUCGCCGAGCACUCCUUGGAGAUUCGAGCCGGUUCCAAGCCAGUGAAGCAGCGGUUGCGCCGAUUCGACGAGGAAAAGCGCAAGAUCAUUGGCGAGGAAGUCCAAAAGCUUUUGACGGCCGGAUUCAUCAAGGAGGUUCAUCAUCCUGACUGGUUAGCGAACCCUGUAUUAGUUAAGAAAAAGAAUGGGAAAAUGAGGAUGUAUGUUGAUUAUACUAGUUUGAAUAAAGCAUGUCCAAAAGUUCCCUUUCCAUUGCCACGCAUUGAUCAGAUUGUCGAUUCUACCGCGGGAUGUGAAACCCUUUCUUUCCUUGAUGCAUAUUCUGGUUAUCACCAAAUAAAAAUGAAAGAGUCCGACCAGCUCGCGACCUCUUUCAUCACGCCUUUCGGGAUGUAUUGCUACGUGACCAUGCCAUUUGGGCUUCGAAACGCGGGAGCCACGUAUCAACGUUGCAUGCUCCACGUAUUUGGCGAACAUAUAGGUUCAACGGUCGAGGCCUACGUCGACGACAUUGUCGUCAAGUCAAAGCAACGAGGAGACCUGAUCCAGGACCUCGAGGUUGCUUUCAGCUGCUUGCGCACCAGCCGGAUCAAGCUUAAUCCCGAGAAGUGCGUUUUUGGCGUGCCUCGAGGCAUGCUCUUAGGAUACAUUGUUUCACAACGCGGUAUCGAGGCCAACCCCGAGAAAGUCUCGGCCAUCACGAAAAUGGGGCCAAUUCGAGACAUCAAGGGUGUCCAGAGAGUCACGGGGUGCCUGGCGGCUCUGAGCCGUUUCAUCUCGAGACUAGGAGAAAAGGCAUUACCAUUAUAUCGACUCCUGAAGAAGGUCGAGCGUUUUUCUUGGACCCCCGAGGCCGAGGAAGCACUCGAAAAGCUGAAAAAGAUGCUGACUUCGGCACCAGUCCUGGUUCCACCUCAACCUGCGGAGCCGCUGCUCCUCUACGUCGCGUCGACGACCCAGGUCGUCAGCGCGGCGGUGGUGGUCGAAAGACAAGAAGAGGGUCACGCGCUGCCAGUCCAAAGGCCGGUCUAUUUCGUCAGCGAGGUGCUUUCGGAGACCAAGGCGCGUUACCCCCAAAUCCAGAAGCUGAUCUACGCCGUAAUCCUUGCCCGCCGUAAAUUACAACAUUAUUUCCUUGGUCAUCCUAUCACGGUGGUCUCUUCUUUCCCUUUGGGCGAAAUAAUCCAGAGCAAGGAGGCCAUGGGAAGGAUAGCGAAGUGGUCGGUCGAGCUCAUGAGCGAGACUCUCACUUAUGCGCCUCGAAAGGCUAUCAAAUCGCAAGCCCUGGUAGACUUCGUCGCAGAAUGGACGGACUCCCAGCUUCCCCCGACUCAGGUCCAGGCGGAGCUGUGGACAAUGUAUUUCGACGGGUCACUCAUGAAAACUGUGGCCGGGGCCGGCCUACUGUUCAUCUCACCUUUGGGCGUCCACAUGAGGUACAUAAUCAGGAUUCAUUUCGCCGCAUCUAACAAUGUCGCAGAAUAUGAGGCCCUCGUCAACGGUCUCAAGAUCGCUAUUGAGUUAGGAGUCCGACGCCUCGACGUCCGAGGCGACUCCCAACUCGUCAUCGACCAGGUAAUGAAAGCCUCGAGUUGCCAUGACCCAAAGAUGGAAGCAUACUGCAAGGAGGUGCGUCGACUCGAAGACAAAUUCCACGGCCUCGAGCUCAUCCAUGUCGCUCGACGCUACAACGAGGCAGCCGACGAACUCGCCAAGAUUGCAUCUACCAGAGGCACAGUGCCGCCUGAUGUAUUCUCAAAGGAUCUACACGAGCCAUCCGUCGACUUAGGCACGGGGGCUGGCGCCGAUACCACCAUCGCCCAACCAACCAAUGCUGUCGAUGCGCUCUUGAUGGAGGAAGAGGUGAUGGAAAUAGAACGACGACCGGGUCGACCAUUCGAUUGGCGCACACCGUUCCUCGACUGCCUUAUCCGCGGUGAGUUGCCAGAAGACAGGACAGAAGCUCGUCGUAUCGCUCGACGGGCCAAAUCAUAUGUGAUCUACGGUGAAGACAACGAGCUAUAUCGACGGAGCCCGACGGGAAUCUUACAGCGUUGCAUCACCAUAGAGGAAGGCCGAAAACUCCUCGACGACCUGCAUUCGGGGGCUUGUGGCCACCACGCCGCCCCACGGACCCUUGUAGGAAACGCUUUUCGGCAAGGCUUUUACUGGCCAACGGCCGUGGCGGAUGCCGUCGAGCUCGUACGCUCGUGUCACGGGUGCCAAUUCUACGCCAAACAGACGCACCUGCCCGCCCAUGCUCUUCAGAUGAUCCCCAUCACCUGGCCGUUUGCGGUGUGGGGGCUCGACUUAGUAGGACCUCUACAAAAGGCGAAAGGAGGGUAUACACAUUUACUGGUGGCUAUUGACAAGUUCUCUAAAUGGAUCGAGGCUCGACCCAUCACUAACAUCCGCUCCGAGCAAGCCGUCCUCUUCUUCUCCGACAUCAUCCAUCGAUUUGGGAUCCCCAAUGUCAUCAUCACCGACAACGGCACCCAGUUUACUGGCAGAAAGUUCUUGGAUUUCUGUGAUCAGCAUCACAUCCGUGUGAAUUGGUCCGCAGUAGCCCACCCUCGAACUAACGGCCAAGUCGAGCGUGCCAACGGCAUGAUUUUACAAGGACUCAAGCCAAGGAUCUACAAUCGAUUGAAGAAAUUCGGCAAGAGAUGGGUCGAGGAGCUUUCCUCGGUCCUAUGGAGCCUAAGGACAACGCCGAGCAGAGCCACCAAAUACACCCCGUUCUUUAUGGUCUACGGCUCUGAGGCUAUCCUCCCCACAGACCUCGAGUAUGGGUCACCUCGACUCAGGGCUUACAAUGAGCAAUCGAACAAAGAAGCUCAAGAAAACGCGGUCGACCAACUCGAGGAAGCUCGAGACAUGGCCCUCUUCAACUCUGCUAGAUAUCAGCAGAGACUCCGACGCUACCACGACAAGCACGUACGCAAGAGGGACCUCAACGUAGGCGACCUUGUCCUACGACGCCGGCAAAGCAACCAAGGACGCCACAAGCUAACCCCACCUUGGGAAGGCCCGUAUGUGGUGGCCGAGGUCCUUAAGCCAGGAACGUACAAAUUGGCGGACGAAAAGGGGGCAGUCUUCACCAACGCAUGGAACAUCGAACAGCUACGUCGAUUCUACCCCUAGAAGUCCUAGAUUUACGAUCCUACUUUUUGUACGAAGACUUUGUAAAUGAACGCAUGAAUAAAUAAAGUCUUUCCCUCGAGUAGUUUCUUUCUGUACCAAAAAUAGUUACGAAUUAUAGUCUCGACGUUAAAAGGGGAUGCCGACCAUGACCCAUCAUAGUCCGCACCCCCUCGGGGGCUACCAGAGGGACGACCCCUCCCCAAGCGUCGAAAAAGCCAAAAAGUUUCUCUAUUUCCUACUUAGUAAACCUUGAACGAUCGAGUAGUCAAGGCGCCUCGAGCCCCUCGAGGACCGAAGGAUAGCGAGCCUGAGAACACCUACGCCCCCGGGCUAUGGAAACUCUACUCACUCCCUCACCCUCGAGGCGAUCGAGGCUGUGUUUUACGAAAAAUCGAACAAGGAACACAUGUGUAGGCGCAGAGGAAACAAAAGAACCUCGAGUGGAAAGACAAACAAACAUUUAACAACCACAAAAGUACUGUAUCGCUCAGAAACAGGAUUAACUAAGUUUUAUACAAGGGGCCCCAGGCACCCCGAGCAGGCUCGCAGGCCUCAGUCCAUGGUACGACCCUCGCCACCCUCACCUCCGCCCGAGCCAGUCUCAGGAGGAAGCACCUCAGGUUCAAAUAGCUUGGCCAGCCUCUCUCCAGGGGCCUCCGCGUCAUCGAUCAAAGUGUGAAGCCUUUCUUCGUUCUCCGCGUCGGUCUUAGAGAUGUCGGUGACGAAGCCGUGGGAUACUACAUCCAUGUCGUAGGAGAAGCCCGAGCAGACAACCGCCAUCGCCCGCUUCACCCCGAUGUGGAGGGCAUCCCGCACCCGAUCUCGCAGCGUCGCACCUAAGUAGCACAGCUGAUCGACCAGUGCGUCACCUCGAGAGUCCUCCCUCGACUCAUCCAUAGGCUCGACCUCCCAAGAGGUCGAGAGAUCGCUUAUCGCCGUCCGCACUCGACGGUUCAAAGCAACCUCAGCCUCGAGUUGAGCCUUGGAGUUGCGAGCCUCGGCUUGGGCGGCCAGGAGUUCGUCCUUGAGCCCUACAGAUACCGAUACAAAGGAGCUUUAGAAAAAACUCAAGCACACCUCGAAAAGGAAAUUCGACAAAGGGAACAUACCUUUGAUGCUCUCCUCUAGAGCCGUGUUCUCGCCAACCAAUCUGGUAUUGGCACGCUCGAUCUCUCUGUUGGAGCGCGUCAGCUCAGUAUUGGCAACACGGAGAUCUUCGAUCACCCUGCCAGCCUGAGCGACGGCUCCACUCUUCUCUAGCAGUUCUCCCUUCAGACGCUCGACGUCGUCAGAGAGACUGCGGGAUCGAGCUCGCUCCAUCUCGAGGUCUUCGAGGGCUUUCUUUUUUGCGUCCUCGGCGGCACCCCUGGCGACCUCACUUUCCACGAACGCUACCUUCAUCUUCUGGAAGGUAUCGCGGAGGGAGUCCAGGUCGGUCUGGAGAAGGCCCUUCUCCUUAUCCAGGUCCGCAAUGAUGCCCUUGUGGGACAGGACCUCCUCCCGGGCUCUGGACGCGGCCUCCUCGACCGAAAGAGCCCGCUCCCGUAGCCGCACCGCCUCCUCCUCCGCCUUCUUCGAGACCUCUCGGGCCUCGGCCAAAGCAGCCUCCCUCACCUUCUUCUCCUCCUCGAGUGCUAUAAGAUCUUUAUAAGCUUUAAGCAGCUUUUCCUGUGACUCGAGGAGUUGAUCCUUGAGGAGGGGAAGCUGCUCCCAUCCGCCCCUCGUGGCAUGAAUGAAGCUAGAUUUGAUGCGAGAGGUCUCUUUCAUAUCCUGCCAAUCAGGGGCCAGGGGGGUUAGAACACAGAAACCCAAAAACACCACCAAGAUUGGAGCUCGAGAAACACUUACAAAAUAAGCUGGCCCAAGCCCGUUGUUGAUGACGUCCGAUAGGAGCCCCACCACGUGUUUCAUCCAAAGGCGGAGCUCCUCGACGUGCUCCUACUUCUCGACCUCCUUCUUGUCGUCGAGGAAGAUAUUGGGCUCGGACGGGUCGCUGGAAGCUCGGAUACGAAUCCGAUCGGGACACCAGUUCUCCAUCUCCCGAUCGGCCCGUACCUUGACGCCGCGGAGAAAGUUCUCGACGGUCUCGAGGGAACCCCCGUGGCGCAAGAACAGGUCGGCGAGGCAAGGGAACCGCCCGUCGUCAUCCACCGUUUUCCAUGUACCGUCCUUACUCCCAGACGACCCGAUCUCGUCCUCCUCAGAGGGGAAGCGAUCCUCCCACGCUCGACGCUCCCGGAGGAACCCUGGGGCGAUCCCGUCCAUGCCAUAGAGUGUCCUCUUGAUCUCGGACUCGGGGUCGGUGGGGGUGCGCAUCAUGCAGGCGAGCGCCACCACUCCGUCCGCUCGCCCCGAUUCUGCCCGGAUCGCGGCAGGCGCCCCCGGGAGAAGCCACGCUGGGGUGGGAGGCCCGUACACCGGCAAAUCUCCCUCUUGAUCGCCGGGCUCUUGCGACGCCUGCGGCGCCGGUCCGGCCAAAAUUUGAGGCGGGGGCUCGAGUGGCUCGUUCUCUUGGCCCCCCAGCUGCUGUUGCCGCCCCAGCUGCUGCUGCUGCUCGUCAUGCUGAUGCUGCGGUUGCUCCUCCGGCUGGGGUUGCUACUGCUGCUGCUCCAGUGAUGGCUGCACCGCCUCGCGCUCCCGCGCCUCCUCCUCCUCCAUCUUCCUCUGCGUCUCGAGGGCUCGAAGGCCUGCGGGCCAGGGAGUCCGUCCUGCGACGUUGGGAGUCGACGCCUCUUCCUCCAUGGGUCGAACGCCCCCAGACGCUUCGUUACCAUCAGACGUAUCGCUGAUGGUGAUGGGCUCCCCCUCGACCCCCAAUCGAGGGGGCUCGGGGGCUCCCUCUGACGCUCGUGUCUGGGGGGUCGCAUCAUGAGUUGGUGGCGGCGGAAUAGGCGCGGGACGAGGCGAAGCCAUCUCGACGCCGGCUGAAGAUUGGGUGCUUGACGGGCCUGCAAAACAAAGGGUAAGGGUCAGACGUUAUGAUAACCGACAUAAUAAUAUCGCGACACCCAGGAAUUAACUACAAACCUGGUUCAGUGGAGGCGGCACCCGUUCUGAGCCUCUUGGCCAUCGAUGGUUGGGCCUGCUCGAGGGUCCGUUUCAGCCUGAAAAAAAAAAGUCAGCAUGUGAGGAAAGGCGAGAGAAUGAGGGGACAAAGACCGCAAUAACAAAAGAGCUUACCCCACGGGCAGAACGGCUCGCCUUCCGCCACCCCGACCAGCGGGCCUCGAGCCACCCCGCGUCGGGGCGCUAGGCCCCUCGAGGGCAGAAAUUGGCCUAGGUACGUCGGAUCCCGCUUGGCGGGCGCCGGGACUCGCGCUCCUACGACCGGCGUCUCCUUUCUCAGAAGCCGCAGCGCGACCGCGGGUCAGCGGCCCCGACGCCUGGGACCUAGCCGGACCGCUCUCCUUGGGCGCCAGGGGAGGGCGCGGUGCGUCCUGGCCCGCCUUGAGCGCGGAAGGAGCGUCGGGCCGGGGACGACGAGACCCGCUCGGACCCUCCUCCGGCGCCUCCGUCCGGGGGGCGUCGACGUCAUCUCGAGGCGGGCCCUCGAGGAUCCGAUCGAGACGCGACGCCAUCCCCUCGGAGUCGUCGCUACUCUCGUCGUCAUCAUCGUCGUCGUUGGGGGAUUCUUCCUCAGGCUCCCCCCUCUGCCUGGAUUUGGCUCGACGCGCUUCUAAUGCUUGGCGGUCGAGAUUCUUCUUCUUCUCCCCCUUUUUUGCGGAGUCCUUGGCGGACUUCAACUUCUCGGCGGAUUGACGCCGUUUGUCGCGAUCGACCUCGUCCUCCUUUACUGGAGGCCUCGAGGACCGGACAUCAAUCCGACCCUGCCAAAACUGAGGUAGACUUAGAAAAAAAAAGAGAGGGGAGAGGGGAAACCUAGAAUCGAGGAUGCGCGCAAGAAGAAAGCGUACCAGAUCUAUCGAGCCUGCGUCGGGUCGCAUGGGGAAGCCGUUGACGUGCUCCGGCUUAAAAUCACCGGCAAUUGCGGCCCUGACUCGGGCCGCGACUUCAUCGUCCGUCGGAGGCCCGCUGGACAUCCGACAUGCCUCGAGGUCCCGAGACGAGACGCCAGGGCCCAUCUCGUCCAUCCUCAGCGGUCGUGACAUCAGAGGGAGAACUCUCCGAUGAUGGACGGCCGAGAGGACGAGUGCGGCGGUCAAACCUUCCUGGCGAAGCUUCUUCAGGGCGUCGAGGAGAGGGUCGAGCCGAGGCUGAUGAGCUUGGACGACGCCGUAUGUCCAGUCCGCUGGGCGCUCCAAGAUUAGACGGCCCGAGUAGGGAGGUAGGAGGUUGUCGUCGUUCCGCAGGUAGAACCAUUGAGAGUCCCAACCGGCAUGGUUGGUCGACAACCCUACCGGGAUGUACUCCCGCGGCCGGUCCGUCUUCCCCGUCUUCUGCACCAGAUUGAGGCAACCCGCUCGCACGGGUUUCCUCACGCCCGUGGUUCCGGUGGAGGCGUGAAACAGCUCGCCCCUGUAGAGGUGGAGCCACAGCUCCCAGUGCGGCAUCAUCCCUAGGAAGCCCUCACAGACGGCGGCGAAGACCGCCGCCACGGUGAUGGCGUUCGGGGAGAAGUGCUGCAGCUCCACCCCAUAAUGGAAGCAGAGGGCCCGCAUGAAGCGGCUUGGAGGCGCGCCCAGACCGUGGCGGUGGAACUUGGCGAAGGACACCACGUAGCCCUCAGGUGGCUGAGGCGUCCUGUGGCUCGCUGGCGGCGCGAUCCACUCUGGCGACGACAGCGAGGUGCGGCGGCGCAGCAGUCCCUCCUUCUCGAGCUCCAACAGCCGGCGCUCCGUCAUCGACGACGGGCGCCAGUCAUCGGCGGCGACGAGUCUUACAGGCAUCUUGGUUAACGGGACGGUGGGUUCGCUACGGCUCGAGGGGGCGUGUGCGCGUGAGAUGACGAGAAAGCAAAGGCAGCGAAAGAACGAGAGCGAGAAGGCGGAAGGGAGAGGAACGGCGGUGACGCGACGACAUAUUUAUAGGCAGCUGACCGCCAACGGACAGAUCCGAGAAGUAAGGUAACUCCCCCAUAAAUGCGCCGCCUGACAGCUCCCUCUCCCUCCUCACAGGCCGGACUCUCCGAAUUCCUCGCCGAUACGGUGUCGCAACGUCAUCCGCCUAAAAAGACGCGCCCAACGGGCAGAAAUGCGAACCGCCACGACCGUUUCCUUCCCUCGUAAGCCAGGGGACAUAACCGCAAAAGUCUCGGGAGGUCGACGGCUGGCCCGCCGAAAGGGUUCGACAGCCGAUCUCGAGCGCCAGAGUCAGGGAUCCCCAGCGAGUGGUCGAAAAUCGAGGCCCGCCUCGAGGACUUGCUGGCGAUGUUCAAGGUAGGAUCGAGACAGUCGAGAGGAAUCCCCCCGAAGGGAGGCAUCGAGCCACUGGACUCUAUCGAAUGAGACCGGUAUCCCCGACCACGUCGACCCUGCUUUAUGAGGACGCCUCCGGGCUACAGCUGACCCCCCUCGAAAGGGGCACAGGUUCUCACUUGGACUACCCGCUAGGAACUCAAUUUGGGAUGAAAGACGCUCGCUCUAUCGAGAGUACGUCGAAACCCACGGGCAAAAACGAGCCAGUCAGAAUCUUCCACCACUGGUGUCGAAAGCGUUUCUGCGAAUUAGAUAACAUAACCCUCGAAGGAGUCAAAAACUCCUCCGAGGUCUCGGGGGCUACCCCGCGGGGUCGCUCGCGCGCCCCCACGAAAAUUCGACCGUAAAUCAAAACCUCCAUUCGAGCGCUAGCGCUCGAAUGAAGGCUCGGGGGCUACUGUCGAGGGUAUCGGUAAGGGGUACCCUCAGCGAUGCGCAUUAUGAGAUUGCCCAUACGAAGGUUGGGACCCCCAAUUCGACGCCUUAAUCUUACUUACGCGCCGCCAACGACGGUCGCAGCCUCGAAUACGGAAAUAGCGUCGAGCGAAUCGGUCAGGGCUCGAGCAACGACUACCGUCGAAGACGGAAGCGGGCUCGAGCGAACCGAGAGACGUCGAGCGUUAGGACACUGUCCGCCGCCUGACGCGCGCACGCGGGCGGGAGCAUUAAAUGCACCUGACGUUUCCCACCUAACACCCGGGUCACGGAAGGCGUGAUAGGGAACAAGCUUCUGUCCCAUCGUUCUUUUUGCAGCCUUCCCACCGAACGACCCAGGGUGCGUCAGGACGCAGGAAACGAGGAUGGAACGUCUAAUCAGGACCCCCUCGAGGCACCCAAGGUCAGCGCUCCGGAUGUCAGCCUAUUACGCGGCGCCCGACCCUCGACCGAACGAGGUCCCUUCUCGGGGACGAGUCGGGCAUCGACUGACAACACCACAGCUGCUCCGCCGGAUCCGCCACCAUACCAUACGAGCAUGCGGUCUCAGAACCAGCACAAGGCGGCUGGCAGGACAGCACGCAGGAGCACGCGUAAUCAUCACCAAGCUAUCAAGAUGGGACGGCUCGAGGCCAUGACGUACGGAAGCCUCGAGUAGGUCAGCGCUCCAUGCGGCUAUCGAUCCAUACUCUAAUAUCUAUGCAUGUACCCUUUGUCUCUCCUCGGAGCUAUAAAAGGAGGGACUCAGGAAUAGAAGAGGGACACAUCACAACGCAAGCACACACACACACACGUAGUGGAGCGACACAUUUCAUUCCACGCUUGUAUUCGCCCCUGUACAAGCACUUAGGUGCAAGAUAAUACGAACUCUCUCCCCCCGCUGGACGUAGGGCCUUCUCUUGCCCGAACCAGGAUAAAUCUCCGUGUCUUCUUGCAUCACCAUCCGGAAAGGGGAGCACGCAUACAAAUUUACUCGUUGGUGUGACCCCCCCCGGGGAAAAAACACCGACAAAUAUAUACAUGAGCAGCCAAUUCUCCAUCCCAUGAUGAGGACACUCAAGUAUGUAGUCUUGAAUGCACUCCCAAGCUUCUAGGAUUGUCUCAUCAUGUUGUUGCUAAAAGCUUGAUAUCUUCCCACGACGAGCAUUAGUCUUGCCUGUGGGAAAGAACUUCGCCAGGAAAUUGGUGGAACGUAAUGCCCAUGUAGUAUUCUUCUCCUUGUUGGCGUAGAACCAUUGCUUCACUUUCCCCAAGAGUGAGAAUUAGAAAAGGCAAAGUAAUAUAGCAUCUCUGGGGAUGUCCUUGAUAGUGAAAGUGCUACAGAUAUCUAGAAAGUGUUGAAGAUGAGCACUAGCAUCUUCAUGGGCCUUCCCACAGAACUGGCUUGCCUGCACAUGUUGAUCAGCACCGGCUUGAGCUCAAAUGACCCAUUGAUGUCCACAGCUGGUGUCAAACUUUGAAUAGUAGGUUGAUCUUCUGAUUUAGGAGGAUUGGUAAGCUGACAUGAUGGUGAUGUUGAUUAAUUCCUUCUCAACCUAGCCUUCGUCUUCCUUAUCAAUGUCUCUGGACUAUCAACGACAUUAUCUUGGAGAUCAAACCUGUUCAUACAUUACCCUGCAUAUGAUAUAUAAAAAUAGAUAAAAGACAAGGGUAAGUCUGCAUGAGUGAGAAGGGUGGAUGGUGCUCAAUCCAUGAGUUGAUGCAGUGAUGCUCAUUAUCCUUUCUUGCUUUCACCUUUCCCAACAACGGCGCCAAAAAUGCUUGUUGACACUUCUUAACGCGAUCACUAUAAAUAGACUUUUAAACCUAUCCCUAGCAACAUGUCAAAAUUACUUUACAUCACUUAAGCAAGGUUGUCAUCCCCAACAAGAUGUAGAAGUGUUGGUAUUAAAUCUAUAUGUUUUUCUAGGAAUGGAUAAAUAAAUAAAAGAUCCACAAGUGCAUAGAUAAUACCAAUGUAGCAUUUUAACUGGGAGUAAUCCACGUAUCAUUAUUUAUAUUUUUACCACUGGGAAGGGACAUGCAACGGAUAAUGAGCAAUGAGCACUGCAUGUAAUCACGAAGAUAUUAACCAUGUCUUUAUCUAUCUCUCAUGCAGGGUAAGUGUCAGAUAAGAUAAAUAUAUAAAUAUUAAUAAUAAGUGAUAGAUGAUAAAUAAGAAUUUAUAGCCAUAUAAUAAAUAUGAUAAUCAUCUCAAUUAGACUACUCUAAGUCUAUAGCACUAGCAUGGACUAGGACAAUCUACAAGAACAAAUCCUAAGUUAACUAUAUUGUGAAAGCAUACAUUGAUUAGUGCAAGUACACCUAGCAUCAUCGUAAGAAAAUGUUAUAUCUACGCAUAGUAAUAUUACCAAGAAAGAUUAUGAACAUAGCAAUCACUUCUCUAUAAUAAUGGUGCUCUACAAGCCAUAUAAUCAGGAGAAGGAAUACAGAGGACUCAAUAGGACUGUCACUCCCGCGAUCUACCUCAAGCUCCAGACUAUAACGGGUAAUCACAGAUAAAUAUGGUCUAGGCACCUCGUCUACACAAUAUCUACCACUUACCCAUCGGCCUAAUGAGUAAGCGCAAUACAAUCCUAUGCAUAAACAUAAUUCUAAUCUAAGUACGCUAUGGAUAUAAUCAAAGUAGACUAAUAACAAUAUAAUUGAGAACAUAAGCCAAUAGAAUAAAGUCAAUUCUGAUAUAAUCAAAUAGAUCAAAGUCAUAUUCAUAGUAGCAAGAACUAAUAUGAAUAUCACAAAGAAGAAUAAGAGUUAACCAAGAACGACGAUAGAUCUGGACUCCAAGCUUAACUUGACUCCUUCUAGAUCUAUUCCUCUGUAGCUAUGCUAUAGAACUAUAGAGAUCUAAUUGAGAUGGGGGCUAAGAACCCUAUAGAGACAGAUCCAUUUGAGGGAACCCUCUAUGUCUAAUUCUUCUUCUCUUGAUCUUCUCAGAGAAUAAUGAACUCCUCUCCAAUGGGGUCUGUUGACACUUACUAACACCACUUGAAUACUAGGUUGUCAUCCCCAGCAUGGCACUAGAGUGUACUAUGGUGUUUAUACGCACACAGAUAAAUCCGCAAGUGCAUGGAUACCGUUGUAACUUUUACCCGGUUAAAGGUUUCAUCGUAUCCACAGGGAAACGAGAGAACUGAUCUACGGUCUAACUUAACCUAGAUAGAUAGGUAGGUGUAAAUAUGAAAGAUGGUAGAAUUGAAUAAGAACAAUAUUAAAGGUAAGAUAACAAUGGGUGAUAAUAUGGGAAUAGAGAGUAGAGCAAUCUAAUAUAUGGGCGAUGGUAGGAAAAUAGAGCGGAUAACUAUGGUUUCUCUACUUCAAAGGGGUAUGUCUAUGUCUGGGAUGUACCACGUGACAAGAAUACACCAUAAAAUAUGUUUAUCCAUAGGCCGAUAAACCCUACCAGUCGUGCUAACAGGAGGUGGACUACAGAGGACCAACGUAACUGUCACCUACGCGGCCUACCACACGAUCCGGCUAGACAGGGGAUAUCCACAAGUAAUCUAGGUCUAAGCACCACGCUUACACCUAUACUACAACUCUAACCUAUAGGGUCCUAUAGAUUAAAAGUACUCAAAAGAGUUUUGAACCAGAACAUACAUGGAUAUUAAUUGCAUAAUGAAAUAGAUGUAGAUUACCAGAGUCAUCCAAUGAGCAAGCUUGAUUAGAGCUUGAUCAUGGCAAAGUACAACUGGAGGAAGAACCGACAAGCCGGCCUCUCCUCCAAUCCUCCCUCGCUCUCCAUCUCGCUACUAUCUAGAUCUACUCUAGUUUAGAGAAGAGAGGAGAGCUCUCAUCUCCAAACCCUAGCUUUUGCUCUGUCUAUGAAUAAUGAACAAGGAUGAAGGGGGUGUCUCCUCCAGGGGACAGGGGGCCUGCUUACAUAACCCCUCCAAAUGAAUGUGGGCCGUCGGAUCAAACUGACCUUAAUCGUAUGGUUUUCCUUAAUCCUUUAGGUCGGUGGAGCAUAAUCCACGAGGCAGAGCCUGAUUGGCUCCUGUAGCUGGACGGGCGCCUAAGGAGAGAGGGCGGGCGCCCUGCCCCCGAGCCCACUUGGACUCCCGUUCGUUCCCGUGGCUUCUGGAGUCUUCUAGAUGAUAGAAAAUUGCCGCACACGUUAAUAUUUCUAGGUAAACCCGACAUGUGGGCAUUUCCUCCAUAUUUCCUGAUAACCCCCUACAGAAAUAGACAAACACCAAAACUCGUGGAAUUAUGUCAGAUAAAACCCUAAGUCUGGGUGUUGGUUGCAUAUGGAUCCUUUUCUUUGUUUAUUUGAUGAUUAAAUUUGAUACUUAAGGACCGUCAACAACUCCCCCAAGCUUACCUCUUGCUCGUCCUUGAGCAAGGAUGGACUCAAAAGUUUCUGCAGUGGUUUCAUGCCUUAAGGGUACACAUGCGUUCAAACAAUAUCUCAUCUCUGGGUUAGGGUAAACUGUUAAGAUUUAAACUUACUCAUAUUACCUUCCACCAUAGAGCUUUCAACCGUCACUUGUGUCUUGAGCAGUUAAAAGUUAGAACUGUCAAGUCAAGCGCAAUGUCUCUUGUUAUUGAUCAACUAUAGCUCUGGAGUUUUUGUAGAUUUUCAAAUAAAACUCAGAGAUUCCUUUGUAUGACUCUCUCAAAUCUCUCUUUUGUGGUAUUUCUGGAUCCUUACCAAGGUAGUGAUGUUAUAUGCCUUCUCUCAAAGUAUGUGGUAUUUGUGGUAUGAGGCAUAGUGACAUUGCCUUCUCUCUCAUCCUACUCUAAUAAGGCUUUGAUAUUUGGAGCUCAUAGGUGGGAAAUAAAGUAUACAUACUUACAAGACAUUUAUUGCAUAGUCAAACCAUGGAUCCAGAGAAACAAGUCAAUAAGUCAAUAUCAAGAUAUGCAUGUGUGGCGAAUGAAUGGUGUAUGGUGAUGAUGGUGAAAACAAUGGUGAAAGUCUAAUUCUACUUUUGCUCUUUUGAGGGGAUACAUACCUUUCUUGCACUUUGAAGCUUUUUGAAGGGAAUGAGAUGCUCUACAUUUUCUUUUUCUUUUCUCUCAGGUGGGUAUCUUGUACCCCUAAUUCUACUGUGGACACUUGUCCAUUUUUACCUCUCGUCUCACUUUUUCUUUUCUUCGAGGUUCUGGGCACUUGCCCUUUUUUAUUUCCUCGUAUUCACUUUUUUUCAGAGCACUCACCCUCCUGGAAUAAUGUAGCAAGUGGUAGUAACCAAAAUAUCUCGAGGAUUUAUUUCAUGGGGAAUAAUAGGGAUAGGAUAAUGUUUUUGGCUAUUCUCUCCCGGAUAGGAGUAGAAUAAUUUUGGGUGAAUCUAGAGAUGGAAAUGAGUGGAUGUAUGUGGAUGCGUACUUCCGGAGUAGAAGCAGCAUGUAUGAGUGAACGUGCAAGUGAAUCUUGAUUUUAACCGCAUGACAAGCUCCUAAGGGUCUACAAAGCUUGACCACACUCAAUGCUCAUAAGCAGUAAAAAGUAAAUGUAUGGUUCAUAGUCUAAUAAGCAUGUAUAUGUGGUUGUGGUAGGAUUUUAAACUCACAUCAUACAGGAACUCAUCAUGCAACAUUUGAAGAUGUUCAAAGAUAAAAAUUCUCCACAAUUCUAGCAUCUCUAGGAACAGAUAAAUAGCAGCUCAACCUUCCCAUAUCGUAUCUGUUAAUGACUUAGACUUUAGAUCAUGUACUCUUCCCACAAGUUCAGGUUUAGAGCAAAUCUUAAUUCAUAACAGUCAUGCCUAAACUUGACAGAGAAUUCAAUUUUGAGAACUAGUCAUGGCAAAGCAACUAUUCAUCAUUUCCAUGUGAGAGCUUAUCAUGAGGGUUAUAGCAAACUUUAUUUAUUUAUUCAUUUAGCAAACUAAACAAAGAUAUAUACAUAAGCAUAAAGUCUUUAUUUGGGUUUUUAUGAUUAUGCAUCUUUUUAUUAUUUGAGUAAAGUAUAAACGCGAGUAGAAACACUUACCUAGAUAAAUUGGGGUGCUCUCCCCCAAGCUGGAUUUUGACGUAAUUUCUUCUGAUGUAGCUAGCAGGUGGCGGAGGUAUAUUUGAAUGUCGGCACCACCCUGAUAGCGAUUAGGAUGUCAUCCGUUUGCUAGUCUUCUUUGAUCCUUGAAUUCUGUAGAGCUCAAAUAGAUAACAAAGCUUUGUGGAACUAGUUAAGUGUUAGCAUAAAAAUCUAUUUGCCCUUCCUCUAAUAAAUAUUACUCUCUUUGGUAGGAUCAUAAAUUUAUUUUUAUAUUUUCAUUUCUAUAGGACAGGAAUAUAUUUAUUUUCAUUUUUACGCCACCACAGUGAAUGUACUUAUGGGUUUUAUGCCACGAGCAUACUCACAUGGGGCUUACUAUUUUUAACAUUUUUAAUUUAUUUUCAAGAUAGCUUGAUUAACUAACAAGCCAUUUAAGGAAAGUAAAUAAUUUAAGGGAAAAGGGAAUGCACAAAGGAUAAAUAUGGAUAACUACCGAUUUUACCUUUCGGCGAGGGUUCAAUGUUUUAAGUCUUUUGAACAAGACUUCUCACUGUGUUCAUUCUUUAGGUGCGUUAUUUGAUUUACGUGUGAACCUUGAUGUCUGCACCAGUUGAUACAAUGUCAACCAUGUUCUUCGUUUGCCCAGCAGUUUGAAGUGCGGCGUUGGCAGCAUCCUGCUUAGUGUGUUUGUGCUCGUAGAUCCAGGUCCUUCACUUGGUGGAAUCUGGGAGUUGUAAAACUUCACCAUGUUUUGCUCCAAGUGUACCUGCUCAUAGAGACAAAGCAGAGGUCAAGUCCAUGGGCCCUGUUGGUGGAAAACACCAACAGAACCAAAAGUGUAUUUAUUCUUCUCUAACCUUAAGCAUAGUGAGCAAGACAAAUUUGAUGGAUAAUAAGAUCAUGAGUGUAGUAUUUAAAACAUUGGUCAGAUCAGAUCGCUCAACCUAAUGGAAAGAUAAUCUAUCUAUAUUUUUGUUUUUUUAUAUAUCUUCCAAAGAUUGAGUGUGCAACAUUUUAGCUCAUAUGAUUAGGAGUGUGGGAUCACAAAGGUGGAGGGACUAAACAUGUUGAAUCGAUUGGGUUGGUUAACCUAGAGUUGUAAAUCAUACAUGUUUGUCUCUUUUAUUCAUAUGAACGCCAAAACCAAGGAGAAGCUUAUAAAAGUGAUAGUCAAGUACAUUAAGAUGUUACCUUACUUGAAGUGUGAUGGUACAGUAUCACCUUGUGGAAGCUUUCCUUUCUUAGCGGUUGUGCAUCAUGUUUGUGGCACCCUCCAUGGGUCAUCUCUUAUGAGCUACGUCUUCCUUGUGUAAAUUGUUAAACUUGAUGUGUCUCUCUCUUUAUCUCCAAUGUGAGUUGAUCUCAGGAUAUCCCAGGUCGAUAUUGAAAGUUUUCCUGCUGGGGUUAGUCCAACAAAAUAUCCAAUAUCUACUAUUGCAUACUAUCGGCUCAAAAAUCAACCUAGACACCAUGUCUAAUUUGAUUUAGGAGGGCAUUUUAACCAAAGCACCAUACUUAAUUUAAAAUCCCUUAGAAGUAAGAUCAUCAUUCCUAAAUUAAGCACCAUGCUUAUUUAAGAGAUAAAUGAAACUACUCCAAACCUAGACAUAUACUAAAGCAAAUAAAGGUAGCAUGAGAGCAUUUAUAGAGAUCUACUCAAGCGGAGAUGAAGUAGUGUGAUUAGUAUUUAACAAAUUGAGCAUGCCUCAAAGGUAGGGACAACCAACAUAGCAACAUGGCAAAGGAUGUUUUUAUGUAAAGUACUCCCCCAAGCUUGAAUUUUGCAAAAUUCAAGUUUGGAUUUAAUUCAAAGUUGUAUGAUGAUUGGUUGGACAUACCUUGUGCUUGUCAUUCAUCCAAUCUUCUUGCUCCAAUCCUGGAAAGGUUAGUGACAAGAAUACCCAAAGGAAUAUUUUUACAAUUAUCCUUAUAUGCUCAAUACACAAGGUAAUGUUGUAAAUAAUUAAAAGCUCAUGUUACGAUUUGAUUAGUCCUUAUUUUUUGACACUAAGCUUCUCCAUGGGAAACCAUCAAUUUAUGUCGGCGAAGUGGUUUCCCUUCCAACGCUGACCUAUAUCAAGAUCAACUCAAUGAGAUCUGCAAUAUUUAUUAUAGACGUAUGCAUCGACAACCGCCCUUUUAAAGUUUUUAUAAAUAGAAAGGAAGAGGGGGUCGGAGAUCUCAAAUGUGGUGAUGUUGGAGAGACCAAAAGAUUGGGAAGAUGUUGCAUAUGAGCAUGGAGUAAACGAAGUGGCUAUGAAAUAAAUUCCAUGCUCAUGAAUGUUAUCUUCAUCUUCAAUCUGAAUGUUUGGAGUUUCACCUAGAUUGGUAUCGCCUAUGUCCUCUUCUGUAGUUGGAUGAAUCUCAUCUUCAAAGGGAGUCAAGAACUCACCAUUUGAAAUUGAGCCAAAGUCAUAAUCCAUUAAGGCUUCUUCCUUGUCCAUCCAUUCUACACAUUCCAGCCAUUUAGAACUUGUGAUCAAGACAGGGGAGCUGAUAGAAUCUUCUAUAUGGCUUAGCUCUCCUUCUAUGGCAUUACUUGACAUGCCAUCCUUAUGGUCUUCAUGACUCCUAUGGUUUGGUCGUCUUGGUGAAUUGCUAGGAUCCUCAUGAGACUGGAAAGGAGACGGAUAAGAGGGAUCUCUAAGGUCAAGGAUGGAUUUAGAACUUGUGAACAUGGGAGGGGAGAAGAUAGAAUCUUCUAUAUGGUUUAGCUCUCCUUCACUUGAUAUGUCAUCCUCGACUUCUUCAUAACAGGAACUAGGACAUUCUCUAAGAGAACCAUUAUUGCAAGGAUUUGAAUUAUCCCUGGAAGGUCUCUUAUGGAACCAGAAGUCUAAACCAUCAGCAUGUGAAAGAUUUAAGGUCGGAAUUCCUUCCUCCCUUCGAGAAUUUUGGGGUAUUGAUGGGUUAGGAUCGAUAGCUAAAGUUUGGGAUUGAAGUGGUUGUGAUUUGGCUAUUGAAGCUUCUUCUUCUUGUCUAGGAACUGGUUCUUUCUCUUUCUCAGAGAUAUAAAUGAUAGGAAACUUUCCACUCAAUGAAUCAAUUAAAUCCCUAGCUUCACUAGCAGGUAGGUGAUAGAAGGAUCCUGUAGAUGCUGUAUUCAAGGUUUGCUUAUUUUCCCUACUAAGGCCCUCAAAAAAGUGAAUUAGAAGAACUUCUUCUGGAAUAGAAAGCUUUGGGCUAGUGAGAAUAAGGUUAAUAAAGUGAUCCCAUGAUUUGCCAAGAGAUUCUUCUUCCAGUUGUCUAAAAGAAAUAAUCUCACGCCUAAGUUCCGCCACUUUGGAGAUUGGAAAAUAUUUAAAAAGAAAACUAUUAUAUAACUCCUUCCAAUCUCCAUGAACACUCCCUACUUUGAGUUUGUUCCAAUGUCUAGCUUUUCCUGUUAAAGAGAAUGGAAAGAGCUUCCAUUUAAGGGUCUCAUUGGACAUGCCUUCUAUGCGUAGGAGGUCACAGACUCGAUAAAACUCUCUUAGGUGUGUGUAUGGGUUUUCCUAACCUUCUCUUGAGAAAGGUUGUUUUUGAACAAAUUCUAUGUAUUCGGGGUCUAUCUCAAAACUAGAUGCUAUGAUAGGCUUUGAAGAUUUUGGUGGUCCGAGAUGUGUGCCCGUAGGUCUACGAAAUUCAUAGAUAGACAUGUUUGAAUUCAUGAUAGACCAGAUAUCAAGGAUUAGAUAAGAAGAAAGAAUAGCAGAGAUAAGGCAAAAGAUAAAAGGAAAAGUAUAUAUAUUUUUUAUUUUUUUAGAAAAUGAUUAAGCUAGUUCGUAGUCAACUCAGCAACCGUCUCCCCGGCAACAGCACCAAAAAGCUUGUUGACACUUACUAACACCACUUGAAUACUUGGUUGUCAUCCCCAGUAUGGCACUAGAGUGUACUAUGGUAUUUAUACGCACACAGAUAAAUCCGCAAGCGCACGGAUACCGUUGUAGCUUUUACCCGGUUAAAGGUUUUAUCGUAUCCACAAGGGAACGGGAGAACUGAUCUACGGUCUAACUUAACCUAGAUAGAUAGGUAGGUGUAAAUAGGAAAGAUGGUAUAAUUGAAUAAGAACAAUAUUAAAGGUAAGAUAACAAUGGGUGAUAAUAUGUGAAUAGAGAGUAGAGCAAUCUAAUAUAUGGGCGAUGGUAGGAGAAUAGAGAGGAUAACUAUGGUUUCUCUACUUCAAAGUGGUAUGUCUAUGUCUAGGACGAACCACGUGUUUAGAAUACACCACAAAGGAUGCUUAUCCAUAGGCCGAUAAACCCUACCAGUCCUGCUAACAGGAGGUGGGCUACAGGGGACCAACGUAACUGUCACCUACGCGGCCUACCACACGAUCUGGCUAGACAGGGGAUAUCCACAAGUAAUCUAGGUCUAAGCACCACGCUUACACCUAUACUACAACUCUAACCUAUAGGGUCCUAUCGAUUAAAAGUACGCAAAAGAGUUGUGAACCAGAACAUACAUGGAUAGUAAUUGCAUAAUGAAAGAGAAGCAGAUUACCAGAGUCAUCUCAUGAGCAAGCUUGAUUAGAGCUUGAUCAUGGCAAAGUACAACCGAAGGAAGAACUAACAGGCCGGCCUCUCCUCCAAUCCUCUCUCGCUCUCCAUCUCGCUACUAUCUAGAUCUACUCUAGUUUAGAUAAGAGAGGAGAGCUCUCAUCUCCAAACCCUAGCUUUUGAUUUGUUUAUGAAUAAUGAAUAAGGAUAAAGUGGGUGUCUCUUCCAGGGGCCAGGGGGCCUGCUUAUAUAGCCCCUCAAAAUGAAUGUGGGCCGUCGGAUCAAACCGACCUUAAUCAUACGGUUUUCCUUAAUCCUUUAGGUCGGUGGAGCAUAAUCCGCGAGGCAGAGCCUGAUUGGCUCCUGUAGCUGGGCGGGCGCCCAAGGGGAGAGGGCGGGCGCCCUGCCCCUGGGCCCGCUCGGCCUCCCGUUCGUUCCAGUGGCUUCUAGAGUCUUCUAGAUGGUAGAAAAUUGCUGCACACGUUAAUAUCUCUAUGUAAACCCGACAUGUGGGCCUUUCCUCCAUAUUUCCUGAUAACCCCCUGCAGAAAUAGACAAACACCAAAACUCGUGGAAUUCUGUUAGAUAAAACCCUACGUCUAGGUGUUGGUUCCAUUUGGAUCCUUUUCUUUGUUUAUUUGAUGAUUAAAUUUGAUACUUAAAGACCGUCAAUAGGGUUAGGGUCAUAUUUAUAGCCCCCUAGGAAGCACCACAACCCUCGAAUCAAACCGACUUAAAUGUACGCUCAAGAUUACUCCUUAAAGGCGGUGGAGGUAGGAUUUGCGAGGUGGAACCUGAUUGAUCCACCUGCCGGCCGGCCACCCCUGACAUGUGGGGCGCCCGCCCCUGGCUCGCUGCCAGGGGGUCCCCACUUUGCAGGGUCGCCUCCUUGAGUCUUCUAGAAUAUUCCUGAGUUGACGUUUCAUGUAUUCUCUCUAUGUAAAUCUGACAUGUGGACCUCCUUUUAUUCUUAUUCUAAUAACCCCCUACAGAAAUAGAUAAUCACCAAAACUUUUGAUAUUCUGUUAGUGAUAACCCCUAUAGCUAGAUAAUAUUCUGAUGUAAGUCUAGCCUCAUGCUAUGUUGACGGUUAAAAAUAGUAUUUAUCUACCAUCAACUGAAGGUGACUUGUCUUAUGGUCAUCCAAGAAACAAAAUAGUGUUGCACUAUCAACCGCUGAAGCAAAGUACAUUGCCACCGGUUGUUGUUGUGCACAAGUCCUAUGGGUGAAGGCCAUAUUGAAGGACUUCAGAGUCAAUUUCAAAGAAGUUCCAUUGUUAUGUAACAAUGAAAGUGUCGUAAAGCUCACUAACAAUGUGGUUCAACAUUCAAGAACAAAGUAUAUAGAUGUCUGUCAUCACUUCAUAAGAGACCAUCAACAAAAAUGGGACAUGUGUAUUGAGAGUGUGGGCACCAAUGAUCAACUUGCCAUUAUAUUCACAAAGUCACUUGAUGAGCAGAGAUUUUGCAAGCUAAGGAAUGAAUUGAACAUACUUGACUUCUCAAAUAUGUGUUGAUGCACCCCACUUAUAUGACAUGUCUCUCCUAUGAGCAACACAAGGUAAACUUGGUUGACAUGUCAUUCAUCAUAUGCUAAGGACUUAUAUAGUGCAUCUAGUCAUUACUAUCAUGUCUUAGGCUUAUUCAUGAAAAUCAAAUGAGUUUGAUUCUGUAUGGUACCACUAUUGCUUAAAUGUUUGAAAUGAUCUUGUGGUAGCAUAUGACAUGUUUGUAGGCUUCUGAACCUAGUGCUUGAUCUAUAAUAUGAGCUAUAAGUGUUUGACUCAACAUGGUACAAGAUUUCCCUUAUUUUGAGGUGUGAAAAAGCUUAUCCUUAGACAAAACUAUGUUAAAUAUCUCAGGCAAGUAAUCUAGAUUGAACCAAUUUGGGAAAAUGAUCAUACUUCACAUGGUUUCACACUAACCUAUCUAAAAUUUGUGCUCAACUUUUGUGGUCAUUAAUGACAAAGGGGUGAGAAAAUUCCAAAGAUAUCAAAAAGGGAACGGAAGAAAGUACAAAGAUAGGGGUUAACAUGAACAAUUUAAAAAGAGGUAUCAAUUAAAAUUUUGAAGCACACAAGUAGGAGGAGCAAGCUCAUAAACUUGUCACUUCUCAAAUAUGUGUUGAUGCACCUCCACUUAUAUGACAUGCCUCUCCCUCGAGCAAAGCAAGGUAAAAUUGGUUGACAUGUCAUACAUUCUAUGCUAAGGACUUGUUUAGUGCAUGUAGUCAUUCGUUACAUGUCUUAGGCUCAUUCAUGAAAAUGAAAUGAAUUUGAUGCUUGUACCACUAUUGCUUCCAUGCUUGAAUUGAUCUAGUGGUAGCAUAUGACAUAUUUGUGGGCUUCCAACCCUAGUAUUUAAUCUAUAAUAUGAGCAAUUAGUGUUUAACACAACAUGGUACAAAAUAACCAUUGUUUGUGGUGUCAAAAAGCUUGUCCUUGGAUCAAACCAAGUUAAAUAUCUUAGGCAAUUAGUCUAGAUUGAACCAAUUAGGAAAAUGAUCUCAGUUCACAUGGUUUCACACUAACCUAUCUAAAAUUUGAGCAUACCUUUUCUAGUCUUUGAUGACAAAGGGGGGGAGAAAUUUCCCAAAGAUUUGCUAAAGGGGGAGAAGUGCAAAGAUAGGGGAGUAACAUGACAAAGGAAGGGGGUCAAUUAAAACUUGGAAGCACACGAGUAGGGGGAGCAAGCUCAUAAACUUGUAUGUUGCAUUUGAAUGUGCAUCACAUAUGCUUGCUUGCAUUUGAAUGUGCAUCACAUAUGUAUGCUAGUUGUAGGUUUGAUUGAUGUAAUGAAGAACUAGGAUGCAUAGGAAGAGUAACUAGACUUGUGUUUUCACAAGUGGUAGUAGAGACUUAUUUAUAAUGAUUGAUCUCAAUGGGUGUCCUAUUUUUGUGAAUGUCUAGUUACAAAUGGUGCUAAGGAUGGUGUAUAUCGGCAAAUCCAGUUGGUAUCACGCUUCAGAGGUCCAUUCCUUACACAUUAGCAUCAUUUGGUAGAAAUUGACUCCUAUCUUUCCUAUUUAAGCAAGUGUAAGCUUUCAAACCCAAAAACUCUUAGCACAUAUGUAGGGAGAGCAAUUGCUACCAAUUUGGGUUUAUAAUUGUUCAUAACCUUUGCACAUCAUAAAAUUGUUGGGCAAGCAACAUGAAUCCAAAAAAAUUUAUUGAAAAUCUUUGUAAAUGGGUUGUCAUCAAUGACCAAAAAGGGGGAGAUUGAAAGCCCUAGAUUAGUUUUGGAUAAUCGAUAAAACCCAAAGUACUAACCUCUAUGCUAAGUGUGUGAAGAUUAGAUGAGGUUGGUACAUACCAAGUGAUGGAGCAAGAGAUGAUUAUAGUGAUGAUGGUGAUGACCACAAGGAGAUCAAGUGCUCAACGUGGAAAAGAAGAAAAAGAAACACUAAAUCCUAUGGAGAUCAAGGCAAAGGUAUUGCUUAGGGCUUUGGUUUUGGUGAUCGGGACACCAUAGAGGGUGUGAUCACAUUUUAGGAUAGAUAUGCAUUCUAUAAAGAGGGGAAUUCUUUGGAUAAACGGUCUAUCAAGUGGCACUAGGUGACAUUGUUCAUGUGCAUGCAUUUAGAACCUAGUAUGCUAACUUAAUCCUUGAAAAUGUUUGUGAAAAUAUGCUAACACACGUGCACAAUGUGAAACACUUCGUGGUUAGCAUGUUUGUGUUACCUUUGCUUUUGUAGCAUCAUUAACUAGUGACUAUGGUACGGAUGGGGAUGUAGAAGAGUGGUCAAGCUAAGCUUCUUGGCAAAAUAUAAACUCACUAAAUUAUUGCAGCUACUUCCAUCAAUGAUGACAAGUGCUCACCAGUUGCUAAUAACAAAGAAAAUCUAGAACAAAAAUUAUGUUGUUGUAGCGUCUCAGGUUGUUAAAGUUGUGUAGUGAGCACUCGCUGCACAACGAUGCUCAUGUAGGCUUCUGUGCCCAUGGUAUCAAAGAUACAAAUGUUGGUGUAGUGAGAUCAUAUAUGCAUAGAUUAUUGUAACUGUUGUUUGAUUUCUUCCAGCUUACAUAUGUAAAGUCCCUUUUAUUUUUUUUCAUUUGUUUUAACAAGUGAUGUUUGUUUCCGAUGUGUUUUCUAUAGGACAUGGAUAAAUUUCAGCAACCUAAGUUAUUCACUCAUGCUCAUAACACCAAGAAAACCUAGCUGCCAGCACACACUAUUAGUUUGGUGACUAAGUUCACUUUUAAGAUUGGGAUGUGAGAUUUCCAUUCCAUUUCUUUAUUUUAUCUAAGAUAACUUGUGACUAAGGUCCCUCAGAGAACUAUUAGUUUGGUGUUCGUGAUGAAUGUAAUAAAUAUAUUGGUGAAUGACUUGUUAACCUAUUGAUUUGGUCAUGAAUGUAAUAUAUUGUUGGAUCUACAUGUGUUAAUAUGGAUUGUUUGAUGUUUGGGGUUGGGUACGUGAUGGUAUGUAUUGAGCCAAAUCAAUGAGUCAUCCUAUGUGACAAGGCAUAAGAACCUAUGACAUAAAAGUAGAAGUCAUAAACGCUUGUGACGUCUAAAACGAAUAUCACAAUAUUAUGACAUGAACACUUAAAUGUCACAAGUUGUCAUGAAAGACACAUAUCUUUUGAUAUUUCAGUUUUCGUCAACUUGGUGUCAUAAAUGGGGAUCUCUGACUUAUUUUUCAUGUAUUAUGACAUAUAUUGAAUGUCAAAAGAUAUCACAUUUCUUAUAGUGGGAGAGCACUAGCUUGCACGUGCGUGUUCGAGGCCCUGCCUCUGGAACCCUAGAGGGGGAGGGAUCGUGACUCAUGAGAGCACAGAGGAGUGGAUAAGCUAUCCUCGAAACUAGCUGUUCUUCCUUCUUGCUCUGCAUUCCUCUCCCAAAAUUCUCCUUGUCUUAUCUACCAGACUCUUAAUAGUCAACUAGUCUAAGAAAUAUUCAAUCCAUCCUAAAUUAUAAGGCAUUUGACUUUUCUACACUAAAUUUGACCACUCGUCUUGUUAAAAUUUUUUUGCAAAAUAUCAUUUAUUUUGUCGUGGCUUGGUUUAUUAAUAAAACUUCUUCGAAUAACUUAAAUUUAAUUAUAUUUGAAUAACACAAGUGGUCAAAUUUGGGGUUGAAAAGUCACUAGUACAAAAAAGCUCUAUGCAGACGGUUGAAUUUUUUUACAAGUGGUUUCAAUUAAAAAAUGCCUGUGAAAAGAAAUCGGCGGGCCCGACUAAAAAACCGCUAGCGAAAAUAAAUUUUUAUUGGCAGUUUUUCUAACAAAACCGCCAGUAAAAAUGGUGCAUUUGUACAGGCGGUUUCUCUAACAAAACCGUCUAUAGAAAUCAUGUAUUUCUACAGGCAGGUUUCCUAAGGAAAAAUCAUAUUUCAACAUGCGAUUUUUAAGAAAACUGGCUGCAGAAAUAAUUUCAAAUUAAAAUUUUUAAGCUUUUCAAAUGACCUCGAUUGAAAAAACUGCAAAAAUGAAAUUUGCAGAUCUCAAAAAGUUAUGAAACUUUUAGUUGAUAAUUUUUCAUUUGAAAUCAUCUUGUUGUUAAAAGCAACAUUUGAAUUUCUUAAAUUUAAAAUUCAAAUUUUAUAAAAGACCUACGAUGGAGAAAGUACCAAUAUAAAAGAUGCUCGGUGUAAGAUAAUAUGAAAUUUUAUAGUUGAUAACUUUUCCAUUUGAAUCUAUUUAGGGCCUCAAAUAAUCAAUGUAUGCUCGGUGUAAGAUAAUAUGUGGAGAGUGAUAAGUAGAGUGGUAGAUGAGGCUACACGUGAGGGGGAGGUCUCACGUUCAAAUCCCACCGAUCGUGUAGUGUGUGCUUUUAUGUAAAAAAAAUGCUCGGGCGAUUAGCUAGUGAGCUUUCCCAAGGAUUAAUUUUUUCUUAUUUUUAAAAGCUGAAUUCGUUGGCCCCUAAUACUCGUUGGCCCCUAAUACUGGCCGUUACGAAAAACGUUUAUAGAAAUAUGUUUAGAACCGCUUGUAUAGAGGUUCAUUCUACUAGUGAGUCAAACAUCUUGUAAUUUAGGAUAGAGAGAGUAGAUUUUCAAAUGCAGCGGUUGACCUGAUGGGUAAAUCGCUUUCAGAUGGAGAUGCGACUGCUAGCUAUACCGCUUGUGAAAAAUCAAUUGUGAAUCCCACCAGCCGUGUUGUGUGUGCUUUUAUUAAAAAAAAAUGCUCGGGCGAUUAGCCAGUGGGCUUUUCAUAGGAUUAUUAUUUUUUCUUAUUUUUAAAAAUCGAAUUCGUUGGUUCCUAAUACUGGCAGUUACGAAAAACGAUCGUAGAAAUAUGUUUAGAACCGCUUGUAUAGAGGUUCAUUCUACUAUAGUGAGUCAAAUAUCUUGUAAUAUGGGAUAGAUGGAGUAGAUUUUCAAAUGUAGCUUAUAUGGUUCGGUUGACCUGAUCGGUAAAUCGCUUUCAGAUGGAGAUGCGACUGCUAGCUAUACCGCUUGUGAAAAAUCAAUCCUGAUCAUAUCUAAAAAUAGAAAUCGUUACCGUACUGAAUCAGGUUUUGGUGAUCCUGCACAACUAUUCUCGACCAGCUACCAUUAAUUAAGGCCACUAAUGCCAGCCAAACUGAUGAGAAACUAUAAAAAUGGUAACCUCCGUCACACCGUCGUGGCAAUCAUUCACUCAGCCAUGUGGUGACGCGUCGCCGGCCGUGUCGUCUGCCUGCCUGGUAGGAAUACGAUCGAUCACUUUGUUGCGUGCAUGCGUGGCAUGAUUCUUCCUUCAUGUGGGCCUCCACAGAAGCCCACCUGCCCACUUGUCUACACUACCGGUCUCCUUCUCCAUAGUCCAUGCAUCCCACCUUCUCUUCUCCUUCCGGCAUCUCCAUUUAAACCGGAGCUCACAGCAAUGCGCAUGAGCGGUGUGGUUAGCUGUGAGGCGCUCGAGUUGCGGGGAGAAAAACAAAAGCUGUCAAGACUUUGCCUGCAGUUUUUUCCUUGCAAGGUUGCAAAUUUCAUCAAUGGCGAUGCCGGUGGAGAUGGCGGUGUGCAUCGCGCACAACGUAUUCUUGCUACUGGACAGCUGGAUCUGGACGUGCGUCCUCGCUGCCGACGAGGCCGCGCGCCUCCUCCGAUCGGCCACACGCUGAUCCUCUAGCUGACUCACGGUGAGGCUGUACCUGCUGUUAUUUGUCAUCCUUGUGACUAAUAACGGCUCGCUUCUUCGAAGUCACGAGGGGUGUUGUUUUAUUUGCCUAAUUCUCGGCAAUCAGGAUAGUUGUCACUUUUUUAGCUUUCCAUUCGGUUACUUUUGUUGCUUUGCCUUUCUGCAUUUAAAUUUUUUGAAUUAAUUAUCCAAAUUUAGGGUCCUAUUUGGAUCAAAGGAAAUUUUAACAAACAAAUUCCAAUGAAGAGAAUAGUUCCUCCAUUCUAAUGAUAAUUUGAUUUAACUUUUUAGAUACAUAUUUUUUUGGCUUUGAGAUACAUGAUUUUAUUAUAUAUCUAGAUAUAGUGCAUAUGUAAUAAGUGCAUAACAAAAACUACAAAAAAGCCAAAACGUCUUAAAUUUUAGAAUGAAAAGGGAGUAUAUAUUUAGGCAUAGUCUAUAUCUAGAUGCAUAGUAAAAAUUAUAUAUUGAAAAAGACAGAAUGACAUGUAAUUUGAAAUGAGGGAGUACAUGAUAGUGCUUAGAAAGGAAAGUUCUUUUCCAAGAAAAGGAAAUCAUGAUAGUGUUUACAAUGGAGGAAAUUUGAUUUUUUUCCUAGAAGGAAAUCAGAGUAGCAUAGAACAUAGGAAAAUCCUCACUUCAACCUAAGAGAAAUAAAUUUUGUGCUCUCUCUUGCUAUGCUCUCAUGUUUUUGUAUUUUUUCCUCAAUUCCAAAUAACUCAAAUUAUCCAUUUCCAUGUUGUGAAAACCUAUAGUUUUUCACUAUUCACUCUAUCUAAUUUCUACCUAUUUUUCAUUCCUUUGUUUCUAACAGGUCCCCAGUGUCCACGUACAAAGCCAAAGAUAUCAUCUACUCCAGUGUUAACCGACACCUAUACCCGAACUAACCGUAUAAAGUUCGGUUAGUUGGAAGCAGGGACCGAAUUUAUGACCGAAAAGUUCGGUCUCGGUCUUGGUCAGUUUGGUUCGGUCUUCGGUCUUCGGGUAAUUAUGCCCAGAGUGACUCCUACAUGACCUCCUCAACCAGUCCCCUUAGUACAGGUGAUGUACUUUUCACAAACUUUUGGUUCCAUCUGGGCCUUGUUUAGUUCCCCAAAAAUUUUGCAAAAUUUUUCAGAUUCUCCGUCACAUCGAAUCUUUAGACGUAUGCAUGGAGUAUUAAAUAUAGAUAAAAAUAAAAAUUAAUUACACAGUUUGAUCGGAAUUGACGAGACGAAUCUUUUAAGCCUAGUUAGUACAUAAUUGGACAAUAUUUGUCAAAUACAAACGAAAGUGCUAAUAUUCCUAUUUUGCAAAAAAUUUUGGAAGUAAACAAGGCCCUAGAGUUCCAAUGAAUAAAAGUCCACUGUACAUUUUGGAUGGCCGUACAGCCGCCUCUGCGUUGUUCAUCAAUGAUUUGCAUUAUGCUGUUCUGAACAUAACUUAUUGUGGUCACCUAUACAGACAAGUGGCUCUACGUACAUAGAGAUCACAUGUGCUUGUCUUUGGUUAGGUAGCACGUUCCAUUUCAUAGUCCAUAUUAAUUUUUCUAUUUAAUUUGAUGAUGUGGCAUGUUGGUUGAGAAGUUAAACAAUAUUUUCGCUCAAUUAAUAGGUGUUCAGAUAAUAGGCAACGUUAGUACGAAUGUCAAGCAAAUUAACCUCAUAUGGUAAAGUAAAAUAAAAAGAUAUUGUAGAAUAUAUAGUAUAUCUGGUAAUAUUGAUUCUUUAAAAAAAAAUUUCCUCUCUCCCAUUUCAGGGCUCCUCAAGAAUGUGUAUAGCAACGAUAGUUAGGUAUUGAAGUCGUCCAUGUGAUAUAAUCUUUUGUUUUUUCCAUUACAAGUAAUGAUUCUGAAACAGCUACUUAUUAUGUCCUUUCUUUUAAUUCAUCCUCUUAGAGAAUGAUAUUGCUGUGAAGUAUAUAUGUGACAGAAAGCAGCGGUGUUAAUUGCAAAUGAAUUCUUAUUAAUGCAUCAGUAUACUAGUUUCUUUGCAUUUCAUGGUGAACCUCAAGGAACAAGUAAUGCCCCCUUGAAUCUACAUUUUUUCUGUUCAGAUUUUUCUUUUGUACAGUAGUAGUUAUAAUAUAAGGUAGAGCCUUCGUUACUCUGUCAUUGUCGGAACCAUACCAAUUUGUGACUAGAGAAACAAAGUAAUCUGUCGCUACAGAUUAGCUGUUGUUGCGUUUGCCAAAGUUUUGAUUUGAAAUCAGGCAAAGACAACAGAAGUGAAGGACCUUACCCUAACAUGCAUAUAUAACCACCACCAAAACGGAAGAGACGACGAAGAUACAGAAAGGACAAAAGACAAUAUCAACUGCCUACAAGAUAUGGCAACUGCUCCGGUACUCUCUUUUUUUAAAAAAAAAAAAUCUACACGAAUCUAAAAGCACAUAAUUAAAAAAAUUAAUUAUUUAAUUAUCUUGGAUCUGGGUCCUGCCUGGCUCAGCCCGUCCAAGCAAAGACCUAGGUCCAGCCCAUCUGCUUAGCUCCAUUAGUGCCUCCGAGAUGGCGUCGCGAGCAGCCAUCGCUACCCAUCCCGAUCUUCCGUCGCACGACCAGUCCACAUGAUGGCUGGCGGCGUCGACCUGGCCGCACUCCACAAGCAGGUUGCCCUCGCAUCCUCCGCUGCCAUCUCCGCCUCCGACCUCGACCUCGCAUUCCAACUCUAGGUCACCGAGGCCAUCCAAGCCUCUCUCCGCUCACUCAAUGUCGCCGCCCCAUCCAAGUAAUUGUGAUUUUUAUAGACGGGGUGAGUCCCCGGAACAAAGUAAUCUUUCGUAUCCAUGGAAAAUUGUUUUCUUUACGUAUUCCGGCGGCUACUGCUGGCCUGGUUGGGUGACAGACCUUGUUCACGAGAAGCAGCACAGGCUAAGACUAAAGGUUCACCGUACUAGAUCAAUUAUAGGUACAAGUUAACUCCAUAAUGAAUUUUUAGUCAUGCCAAAAACCAAAUAAGUAGAAGAACGAAAGCCUGAUAUGUCCCUAGAGGUUAGUUAAACAUAAGAGGAACUGAAUAAUUAUUACCGUCAGUUUGAACUUUGAAGCCAGCAAUGAAUUAACUAAACGAGAACUUACUGUUGAUGACUUUUUGGUUUGGUAACAUAUCUCCUCUUAGUUAAAUUACUCAUAUUCUAUUGAUUACUUUCAGGUUUGGGAUACAACAAAUAUCUGAUGGAGCAGUAUGCAGAUGGACUGUUAUUCUAUCGACUCAUGCUUGUUGCAAGCUUUGCUCAAACUCUGGGUGUAACUUGUGAUUUGUUUGUGUUUCAUGAUCUGUAACAAUUAAAACUGUUAGUUUCGGCUGAUCCUGAUAUUCAGUACCAUGGAUCUUCGCCUCAGUAGAUAGGAGUAACAUCUUUUUUCUCGUAUCAGAUGUACAGUGACGAGUUGGUAUGGGAAAAGUUCAUUUGUGUUCAGUUUGGAGUAAAAGUUAUAUCUAUUGCUCUCAUGAUUGCUUGAGUGGAUGCCUCACUGUUGCACGAAAAAUACAAUUCACAAAAUGAAACCUGUGUAAGUUCGCAGUACGAGAACAAAAUUUACAAACUCAAACUCUGAAUAUUCAGUGAACUAUAAGCUAAAAUCCUGAAAUCUGAAACAAACUGUGCAACGGUGGAAGACACAAACACUAGUACACACAUGCUAUAAACCGGCGAGGGCAAAAAGUUUGCACAGGUUUAAUUAUAAUGCGCCUGUGUUGUAAAUUGGUAUGGCUAGAAUUAAAAACUGCCUGUAUAAAAGGUUCAGUACAAGCGGUUAUUGUAAGAAAACCGUUGUGUAAAUGGUUUAUUUAAACAGACGGUUCAGUUAUGUGAACCGCCUCUGUAAAUAUACUAACAUAGACGGUUCACAUAACUGAAGCGCCUGUGUAAAUGAACCAAUUAUACAGGCGGUUCUGUUACGUGAACCGUCUGUAUUAAUAGAUUUAUACAAGCGGUUCCAUAAACAAACCGCAUGUGCUUUAUCUUCCUAUAAAUACCACCAGCCCGGGCCCUUCUUUGACCUUGGGCGGAACUGUAGCUCGCAGCCACCUUCCAUUAUAGCCCAUCUUAGAGGUCCAGAUUUUCCAAAAUACAAGGGGGAGGUUUUGAUCUUCAUUUCUUGGAAGGAGGUGGCUAAGAAAGGUUAGUUGAUGCCUCUAAUGCCUAUUUUUGUGCCCUCUCGCUCAAUUUGAGCUACUUUUUAGAUCUAGGGUUUCAGCCUGAGAGGGAGAGAGUAGAAUAGCUAUACAUGGACUAUAUUUGCUCAAAUGAGGUUGCUUAAGAUGGUUAGAUGAUGUCUCUCCUCUCAUCUUUUUAUGUUUCCUUCUCUAAUUAGUGAAUCCAAUAAAUAUAUAUGUAGUAGUUUACAUGAAUGGUGUUUCCAUGCUUGGGAAGAGAGAGAACGAUAAGUUUUCUUUUUAGUUAUUUAAAUUAUAUUGUUUAGGAUGUUAUUUUUUAUGUAAAUUUGAUUUAAUUAUGAAAUAAGCAUUUUCAUGUAUGAGGUUGCUUAAGAUGUUGCCUCUCCUCUCAUCAUUUCCAUGUUUCCUUGUCAAAUUUAUUUUAGUGAUAUAAAGAUAUAUAUUUAGUUUCUAUCAAUAGUGUCUUUGUACCUUGUCAAUUUGAUUUAGUUGUUAGGUGUUCUUUUUUGAAUUAUUACUUAGGGUUUUGUCUUUAUUUUUUAUACUUGUUUUAUUUUUUCAAUUUGAUUUUAUUGUUAGGUGUUCUUUAUUUUUGAUAACAAAUAUUCCUAGACAAUAUUUCAAUUAAUUUACUAAUUUUUCAAACGCUCAUGAUGGAGAGGUCCUUAUGGAUGUAUAACUUAUCAAGACUAGAUCUAUCAUAUAUACCCGAGGUGUAUAGGUUUGUUGAUGCCGCUAAGAACCAUGCUUUGAGAACAAAGAUGAAGCACAUAUAUUGUCCAUGCUACGACUGUUGAAAUAUUGUUCUAUUUGAAGAUUUUGAUGUAAUCAUUUUUCAUCUAGUCUGCCAAGGAAUGAAGGAUUACUUGAUUUGGACAAAGCUUGGAGAGGGUAGCUCGGCGCCUUAUACAGUUGGGGACCCAGCAAACGUCGACACCGAUGGACCAGGCAUGCCUGCUGAUCAGUUUUUCCACGACACACCCUACAGUGAACAUGUUGUGCCAAAUGUUACCGCUGGUGGAUUCGCUGGGGGAAAUGGUGGUGUAAGAACUCAUGUCUUACCAAAUGAUACGGCAGCGGACGAUGCAGAAUUCUUGGAGGCAAUGUUGCGUCGUCAUACUAAACCAUCAAUGUUAUUAAUGAAAGGGAUGGAGGCCUUGAAGAAGGCAGCAGAAGAGCCUUUGUAUGAUGAGUCUAAGGGUUGUACCAAAGAGUUCACAACGUUGCGAGCUGUGCUAAAACUGUUGAUGGCAAAAGCCAUGUAUGGUUUGUUUGAUGCUGGAUUUGAUGCGUUUGUUGACGGUCCUUAAGUAUCAAAUUUAACUAUCAAAUAAACAAAGAAAAGGAUCCAAAUGAAAUCAACAUCUAGACUUAGGGUUUUAUCUGACAGAAUUCCACGAGUUUUGGUGUUUGUCUAUUUCUGCAGGGUGUUAUCAGAAAAUAAGGAAGAAAGGCCCACACGUCGGGAUUACAUAGAGAUAUUAACGUGCUGCGCAAUUAUCUUACAUCUAGAAGACUCCAGAAGCCACGAGACCGAAGCGGAGGCAAAACGGGGCCAGAGACAGGGCGCCCGCCCUGUCCUACUGGGCGCCCGCCCACUUCCUGUGGCCAAUCACGCUCAAUCUCGCGGAUUAUGCUCCACCGACCUAAAGGAUCAAGAAUAACCGUUCAAUCUAUGUCGGUUUGAUCAGACGGCCCAGGUUCACUUGAGGGGACUAUAAAACCAGACCCCCUGGCCCCUGGAGGAGGCACCCCUUGAUCAUUAUUCAUUAUUCAUAGACAGAGCAAAAGCUAGGGUUUAGAGAUGAGAGCUCUCCUCUCUUCUCUAAACUAGAGUAGAUCUAGCUAGUAGCGAGAUGGAGAGCGAAGGAGGAUUAGAGGAGAGGCCGGCCUGUCGGUUCUUCCUCCGGUUGUACUUCUUCAUGAUCGAGCUCUAAUCAAGCUUGCUCAUGGGAUGACUCUGGUAAUCUACUUCUAGUUCAUUAUGCAAUUACUAAUCAUGUAUGUUCUGGUUCACAACUCUUUUGAGUACUUCUAAUCUAUAGGACCCUAUAGGUUAGAGUUGUAGUAUAGGUGUAAGCGUGGUGCUUAGACCUAGAUUACUUGUGGAUAUCCCCUGACUAGCUGGAUCGUGUGGUAGGCCGCGUAGGUGACAGUUACGUUGGUCCCCUGUAGUCCACCUCUCGUUAGCAGGACGGGUAGGGUUUAUCGGCCUAUGGAUAAGCAUCCUUUGUGGUGUACUCUUAUCACGUGGUUCAUCCCAGACAUAGACAUACCCCUUUGAAGUAGAGAAACCAUAGUUAUCCUCUCUAUUCUGCUACCAUCGCCCAUAUACUAGAAUUGCUCUAUUCUCUAUUCCCAUAUUAUCACUCACUGUUAUCUUACCUUUAAUAUUGUUCUUAUUCGAUUCUAUCAUCUUUCCUAUUUACACCUAUCUAUCUAUCUUGGUUAAGUUAGAGCAUAGUUGGUUCUCCCGUUUCCCUGUGGAUACGAUAAAACCUUUAACCGGGUAAAAGCUUCAACUGUAUCCGUGCGCUUGCGGAUUAUCUGUGUGCGUAUAAAUACCAUAGUACACUCUAGUGCCAUGCUGGGGAUGACAACCUAGUAUUCAAGUGGUGUUAGCAAGUGUCAACAAGCAUUUUUGGCGCCGUUGCCGGGGAAACGGUUGCUGAGUUGACUACGAACUAGCUUAAUCAUUUUCUAAAAACAAAUAAAGAAAAAUAUUUUCCUUUUAUCCUUUGCCUCAUCUCUGCUAUUCUUUCUUCUUAUCUAAUCCUUGAUCUCUAGUCUAUUAUGAAUUCAAACAUGUCUAUCUAUGAAUUUCAUAGACCUAUGGGCACACAUCUCGAACCACCAAAAUCUUCAAAGCCUAUCAUAGCAUCUAGUUUUGAGAUAGACCCCGAAUACAUAGAAUUUAUUCAAAAACAACCUUUCUUAGGAGAAGGUGAGGAAAACCCAUACACACACCUAAGAGAGUUUUAUCGAGUCUGUGACCUCCUUCGCACAGAAGGCAUGUCCGAUGAGACCCUUAAAUGGAAGCUCUUUCCGUUCUCUUUAACGGGAAAAGCUAGACAUUGGUAUAAACUCAAAGUAGGGAGUGUUCAUGGAGAUUGGAAGGAGUUAUAUAGUAGUUUUCUUUCUAAAUAUUUUCCAAUCUCCAAAGUGGUGGAACUUCGGCGUGAGAUUCUUUCUUUUAGACAACUAGAAGAAGAAUCUCUUGGCAAAUCAUGGGACCGCUUUAUUAACCUUACUCUCACUGGCCCAAAACUUUCUAUUCCAGAAGAAGUUCUUCUAAUUCACUUUUUUGAGGGCCUUAGUAAGGAAGAUAAGCAAACCCUUCAUGCGGCCUCUGGAGGAUCUUUCCACCACCUAUCCACUAGUGAAGCUUGGAAUUUGAUUGAUUUAAUGAGCGGAAAGUCUCCUAGCUUUUAUAUCCCUGAGAAAGAGAAAGAACCAGUUCCUAGACAAGAAGAAGAAGUUUCGAUAGCCAGAUCACAACCACUUCAAUCCCAAACUUUAGCUAUCGAUCCUAAACCAUCAAUACCCCAAAAUUCUCCAAGGGAGGAAGGAAUUCCGACCUUAAAUCUUUUAGAUGCUGAUGGUUUAGACUUCUGGUUCUAUAAGAGACCUUCAAGCAGGGAUAAUUCAAAUCAUUGCAAUAAUGUUUCUCUUAGAGAAUGUCCUCAUUCCUGUUAUGAAGAAGUCGAGGAUGACAUAUCAAGUGAAGGAGAGCUAAGCCAUAUUGAAAAUUCUAACACCUCCCUUUUCUUGAUCACAAGUUCUAAAUGGCUAGAAUGUGUAGAAUGGAUGGAUAAGCAAGAAGCCUUAAUAGGUUCUGACUUUGGCUCAAUUUCAAAUGGUGAGUUCUUGACUCCCUUUGAAGAUGAGAUUCAUCCAACUACAAAAGAGGACAUAGGUGAGACCAAUCCAGGAGAAACUCCGAACAUUCAGAUUAGAGACGAAGAUAACAUUAAUGAGCAUGGAAUUUAUUUCAUAGCCACUUCGUUUACUCCAUGCUCAUAUGCAACAUCUUCCCAAUCUAUUGGUCUCUCCGACAUCACCACACUUGAGAUCUCCAACCCCCUCUUCCUUUCUAUUUAUAAAAACUUUAAAAGGGCGGUUGUCGAUGCAUAUGUCUAUAAUAAAUAUUGCAGAUCUCGUUGAGUUGAUCUAGAUAUAGGUUGGCGUCGGAGGGGAAACCACUUCGCCAACAUAAACUGAUGGUUUCCCAAGGACAAGCUUAGUGUCUUAAAAUAAGCAUUGAUCAGAUCGUAACAUGAGCCUUUAUUUAUUUGCAACAUUACCUUGUGUACUGAGCAUAUAAGGAUAAUUGUAAAAAAAAUAUUCCUUCGGGUAUUCUUGUCACUAACCUUUCUAAGAUUGGAGCAAGAAGAUCGGAUGAAUGACAAGCACAAGGUAUGUCCAACCAAUCAUCAUACAACAUUGAAUUAAAUUCAUCCAAACUUGAAUUUUGCAAAAUUCAAGCUUGGGGGAGUACUUUACAUAAAAACAUCCUUUGCCAUGUUGCUAUGCUGGUUGUCCAUACCUUUGAGACAUGCUCAAUUUGUUAAAUACUAAUCACACUACUUCAUCUCCACUUGAGUAGAUCUCUAUAAAUGUUGUCAUGCUACCUUUGUCUAUUUACUAGCAAGUGUUCGUUUGGAAGUACUCGCCAUACUUCCAUUGGCAUUUAAAUUAAGCAUGGUGCUUAGGUUAAAUAGCCUUCCUUAAUCUGAUUAGACAUGGAGUCUAGUUUGGUUAUUGAACUAAAAAAAACUACUUGAGUAGAUAUUGGUAUAUUUUGUCGGACUAACCCCUGCAGAAAAACUUUCAAUAUCAAUUUGGGAAGUCCUGAGAUAAACUCACAUCAGAGACGAAGAGAGUGACACAUGAAGUUUAACAAUUAGCACAAGAAGGACAUAGCUCAUUCAUCAUAGAGAGAUGAUCCAUGGAGGGUGCCACAGACACGAUGCACAACCGCUAAGAAAGGAAAGCUUCCACAAGAUGAUACUGUACCAUCACUCUUCAAGAAAGGUAACAUCUUAAGGUACUUGACUAUCACUUUUAUAAGCUUCUCCUUGGUUCUGGCGUUCAUAUAAAUAAAAGAGACAAACAUGUAUGAUUUACAACUCUAGAUUAACCAACCCAACUGAUCAAACAUGUUUAGUCCUUUAAUCCUUGUUCUUAGUACUACCUCCAUGAUCCCACACUCCUAAUCAUAUGAGCUAAAAUGUUACACAUUCAAUCAUUGAGAGAUAUAAAGAAAAAGACAUAUACAUAGAUAGAUUAUCUUCCCAUAAGGUUGAGCGAUCUGAUCUGACAAAUGUUAUAAGUGCUACACUCAUGAACUUAUCAUCCAUCAACAUGUCUUGCUCACUAUGCUUAAGGUUAGAGAAGAACAAAUACACUUUUGGUUCUGUUGGUGUUUUCCACCAACAGGGCCCAUGCACUUGAUCUCUGCCUUGUCUCUAUGAGCAGGUACACUACGAGCACAAACACACUGAGCAAGAUACUGCUAACACCUCACUUCGAACUGCUGGGCAAACGAAGAACAUGGGUGACACCGUAUUAAAAGGUGCAGACGUCAAGGUCCGCACCUGAAUCAAAUGACGCACCUGAAGAAUGAACACGGUGAGAAGUCUUGUCAAGAAGACUUAAAACAUUGAACCCUCGCCGAAAGGUAAGAUUGGUAGUUAUCUAUAUUUAUCCUUUCUGCAUUCCCUUUUCCCUUUAAUUAUUUACUUUCCUUAAAUAGAUUAUUAGUUAAUCAUGCUAUCUUGAAAAGAAAAUAAAAAUGUUAAAAAAUACUAAGCCCCAUGUGAGUUACGAGUGGCAUAAAACCCAUAAGUACCUUCACUGUGGUGGCAUAAAAAUAAAAUAAAUAUUUCUUUUCUACUUUAUAAAAUAAAAAUAUAAAAACAGGGAAUAAUAUUUAUUGAGGAAGCUCAACGUGAUGAAGGCUAGAUAUUUAUGCUAACACUUAAUUAGUUCCACAAGCUUUGUUGUCUAUUUGAGCUCCACAGAAUUUAAGAAUCAAGAAGACUAGCAGACGGAGGACAUUCUAAUCGCUGUCAGAAUGCUGCUGACUUUCAAAUACACCUCUGCCACCUGCUAGCUACAUCAAGAGAAAUUACGCCAAAAUUCAGCUUGGGGGAGAGCACCCCUAUUUAUCUCGCUAAGUAUUUCUACCUAUCUUUAUACUUAUAUUAUAUUAGAAUAUUAAAAUACAUAAACUAUGAAAAACCAAAUAAAGAUUUUAUGCUUAUAUAUAUAUAUAUAUUUUCUUAGUUUGCUAAAUAAAUAAAUAAAGUUUGCUAUGAAACUUAAUAUUAAAACUCUAGCAUGGAUAUGAUGAAUAGUUGCUCUGCCUAAAUUGCAAAUUUAAAGUUCUCUCUCAAGUUUAGACAUAACUGUUAUAAUUUAAAGCUCGCUCUAGAUCUAAACUUGUGGGAUAAAAACUUGAUCUGAAAUCUAAGUUGUUAACGGAUAUGAUAUGGGAAGGUUGAGCUGCUAUUUAUCUGUUCCUAGAGAUGCUAGAAUUCUGGAGAAUUUUAUCUUUGAAAAAUCUUUAAAAUAUUGCAUGAUGAGUUCCUGUAUGAUGAGAGUUUAAAUUCCUACCACAGCCAUAUAUACAUGCUCGCUAGACUUUGAGCCACACAUUUAUUAUUUACUACUUAUGAGCAUUGAGUGUGGUCAAGCUGUGUAGACCCUUAGGAGCUUGUCAUGUGGUUAAAUCAAGAUUCACUUGCACGUUCACUCAAAUAUGCUACUUCUACUCCGGAAGUACCAUCCACAUAUAUCCAUCCAUUUCCAUCUCCAGUUUCACCCAAAAUCAUUCUACUCCUAAUCCGGGAGAGAAUAGCCAAAAACAUUUUCCUAUCCCUGUUAUUCUCUGUGAAAUAAAUACUUCAGUUAUUUUGGUUACUACCACUUGCUACAUUAUCUCAAGAGAUGAAUGCUCUGAAAAAAUAGAAGAAAAAAAAAGAAGAAAAAAAAAUAAAUAAACGAGGAAAUAAAAAGGGGCAAGUGCCCGGAACCUCGAAAGAAAAGAAAAAAAGUAAGACGAGAGGUAAAAAUGGACAAGUGUCCGACAGUAGAAUUAGGGGUACAAGAUACCCAUCUGAGAGAAAAGAAAAAGAAGAGCAUCUCAUUCUCCUCAUAAAGUUUCAAAAAGCAAGGAAGGUAUGUACCCCCUCAAAAGAGCAAAAGUAGAAUGAGACUUUCACCAUUGUUAUCACCAUCAUCACCAUACACCAUUCAUUCGCCACACAUGCACAUCUUGAUUUGGCUUAUUGAUUUGUUUCUUUGGAUCCAUGGUUUGACUACACAAUAAAUGUCUUGUAAGUAUGUAUACUUUAUCUCCCACUUAUAAGCUCCAGAUAUUAAAGCCUUAUUAGAGUAGGGUGAGAGAGAAGGCAAUGUCACUGUGCCUUAUACCACAAAUACCACAUAUCUUGAGAGAAGGCAUAUACCAUCACUGCCUUGGUAAGGAUCCAGAAAUACCACAAAAGAGAGAUUUAGAGAGUCAUACAAGGAAUCUCUGAUUUUUAUUUGAAAAUCUGCAAAAACUCCAGAGCUAUAGCUGAUCAAGAAUAAGAGACAUGACACUUGGCUAGACUGUUCUAUCUUUUAACUACUCAAGACAGAAGUGACGGUUACAAGUCCCAUGGUGAAAGGUAAAGUAAGUAAGUUUUAGUUCUUGACAGUUUACUCUAACUCAGAGAUGAGAACUUAUUUAAAAAGCAUGUGUACCGUCAAAUUUUUAAGAUAUUUGCAACAACUUCUGAUCCAUUGCUGAGUCUAUCCUUGCUCAGGGACGAGCAAGAGGUAAGCUUGGGGGAGUUUGUUGACGGUCCUUAAGUAUCAAAUUUAACUAUCAAAUAAACAAAGAAAAGGAUCCAAAUGAAAUCAACAUCUAGACUUAGGGUUUUAUCUGACAGAAUUCCACGAGUUUUGGUGUUUGUCUAUUUCUGCAGGGUGUUAUCAGGAAAUAAGGAAGAAAGGCCCACACGUCGGGAUUACAUAGAGAUAUUAACGUGCUGCGCAAUUAUCUUACAUCUAGAAGACUCCAGAAGCCACGAGACCGAAGCGGAGGCAAAACGGGGCCAGAGACAGGGCGCCCGCCCUGUCCUACUGGGCGCCCGCCCACCUCCUGUGGCCAAUCACGCUCAAUCUCGCGGAUUAUGCUCCACCGACCUAAAGGAUCAAGAAUAACCGUUCAAUCAAUGUCGGUUUGAUCUGACGGCCCAGGUUCACUUGAGGGGACUAUAAAACCAGACCCCCUGGCCCCCGGAGGAGGCACCCCUUGAUCAUUAUUCAUUAUUCAUAGACAGAGCAAAAUCUAGGGUUUAGAGAUGAGAGCUCUCCUCUCUUCUCUAAACUAGAGUAGAUCUAGAUAGU
rnacentral:lncRNA from 1 species